GACUUCUUAUCGCCUUUGGAAGUUAAAUGCCUUAAUGGCAUAGGCAAAGGUGAAUAAGAACAGCACCACAAACCCAACAACCACAGCUGCAACCACUCCCAGGAAAUCAUGUUUGAAUCCAAAAUAAUCAUCCAAGAAUUGUUCCACCGUUUGAUUUUUGUCAAGUAGUGUGUCCUGUAUAUCUCCAAACUGUGAUGUAACCAAUCCAUACAAAGUCCAUGCAACUGGACAUAUCCAAUAGUACCAUCUCCACCACACCGGAAUUCUCUGCAUUCAUCAAGGAAGAAAUAUAACAAUAUGAGUCAUUUCUAUAUCCAUGUGGUAAGGAAAGUUGCAAUUUAAAGAAUCACAGGUUGAGAGCACUUACGUUUCGUGGGACUAUGAAACCUGAAAAGAGGUUCCAUAUUCCAUAAAAUGCCGCGGCAACGAUGGACGCAAUAUGUUGAUUUGGCGUGGCAGCCACAGCCAUCAUGCCAUAGAAGGUGAAGUACAACAAAGUGAAGAACAUGAAGAACAGAUACCAGAAGAAUUUAGCGGCUGUCCAUUCAAAUCCAAUCAUUGCAUAAACUAUAACACCAUACGCCACAGCUUGUGCAAAGACAUAAGGAAUCUCAACUAGAGCCUGCAACAAGAGAAGCAAUUUGAUUAUUAAAAGGCAAAACGUAUUAGAUAUAUGCAAAGUCUGUAGCAUCAGAAAACUAGUUACCUGUCCAAAGGCAUAUGGCAGGGCUGAAUACAUUCCAGCAGCUCUUUCUCUGUAAAAGACUGUUCGUUCAACUACAACGACUGGCUGGACCGAUUGGGCAUUCUGAAUCCCAAGGAAGAGAACAGCAGCAUACAUAGAACCCAUUGCAUUAAACAGAUCUUGUUGCCUUGUCCUGCAAUUUACCACAUGAAGUAUAAAUUAAAGUUGAUAUAGAGAAACAUACUGAGUUCUCAAAAUUUUGAACCAACAUCAAAUUACCUUUUGGUGCCCAGAUCCCAGAACAUUGUCCCAAACAUCAAGGCUAUGAAAGUUGUGAAGAGAAAUCUCACUGCCGUGUAUGGUGGGUUGCGCCAGUAUGACCAACGUUGUUUCCAUAAACAUGCCAAAAAUUGGGUAAAGAAGGGUUGGGAGUAUUGAGUAGCGAAAUAGAGGUCUUUUGUACCAGGGGCAGGUUGGCUCAGUUCUUUAAUUAAAUCUUUGUUUCUCCUGAAACAUAUGCCACUUGUCAGAAAAGGUUUCAACAACAAAUUUAAGCUUCUCAUGAGAAACAUUGGAUGGCUGUAUAUUACUUUGCAAUCUUAUAAUGCAAUUACAUAACCUAUGUUUGAAUCACCUGUACAGGUCUGAAUUCUUGUAUAUUUCAGUGAAAUCAACCCUUAAAAUUACUUCUUGUGCCGAGGUGGUAACUUCCAGCAUCCAGGUUGCAGGGUUAUAACCAUCUUUGAUUUUACUGACUCCUUCAAUUCUCUUUAUGAAAGCAAGUGAUAUGUAUUAGUAAGCGCUUAAUAUGAAUUAACUCAAACUGAAGUAUUUACUUCUUAUAGCUUUUACUUUAUCAUGGCUGCUUACCUCAAAAUAAUUUAUUAGAUGGGAAGAAUGUCUACCCAGUGGUCCCACAUAUAUCUCUUGCCCUCCACGCUUCAUCAGGAGCAACUGCAAAUCCAUUUUAAAUAUUUCAGUACUUGUAUACUAUAACCAGUACUUGUAUUUCAGUACUUGUAUGCAAAUCCAUUUUAAAUUCCCUUAACAUUUCCUACCUCAUCAAAGGCUUCAAAUAUGUCAAUACUUGGCUGAUGGAUGGUGCACACAACUGUCCUUCCUGUGUCCACAGUGUUCCUGACUGUUCUCAUAACAAUUGCAGCAGCUCUUGCAUCUAGCCCUGAAGUUGGCUCAUCCAUGAAUAUAAUCGAGGGAUUUGCCACAAGCUCAACUGCAAUUGUCAGCCUCUUGCGCUGCUCGGUUGAGAGGCCGUUUACACCUGGCAACCCAACCAGUGCAUCCCUCAAUGGGGUCAGUUCCACAAGCUCCAUGACUUCCUCAAUGAACAUCUGUAACCAUUAGCAAUGAUUAUAAAUUGUUUAAAAAACGUUGCAAACCAUAGUAGAGAUGGUAAAAAAUUUGACACUACUUGUGACUCUUCUGUUAGCAGGUUGUGAAGAGGUUUCUCUAGUCUUAUUAAAGAGAUCGGUUAAUUGAUGCAAAUCCUCAAUAACACUCAUUAGCUUGCAUGAACCUCACCAAAUUUGGAUUGCAGGUCAAUGAAAUUUGAACCAGCACUUUUUCCCAUGUGAAGGUCAAUCCAAACUUGAUCCUGGCCUUAGCUCAACCAAGUAUGAAAAUUCAAUUCUAGGGCUUUGCUUGUUUAGAGCACUAAAUUGAACAAGAAAAAUAUGGAAACAAUUCAGGAAACUCCCACCUUUCUGGUUUCAGAAUUCACAUCAGAAGGCAACCGCAGCCAAGCUGAGUAGAGCAAGGACUCAUGGACGGUAACAUGAGGAGAGUGGAUAUCAUUCUGCUCACAGUAUCCAGAAAUUCGAGCAAAAGUCUCUUGCUUCUUUGGGUAGCCAGAAAUGGUGAUCUUACCCUCAAUAUAUCCACCAGUUUUCCGACCAGCCAGUACAUCCAUGAGAGUGGUUUUACCAGCACCGCUAACACCCAUCAGAGCUGUAAGAACACCAGGCCUGAAAGCACCACUCACCCCCUUCAGAAGCUCCAGUCUGUCUUCAAGGGCACCCUGACUUUUCAUUUCCUGCAAGUUCAUUUCAAAUUACUCAGUUCUCAUUUUUGGUUUUAUAGUACAUUAUGAAGAAACAUAUGUCGUCAUUUAAAUAAAUAUGACGUUACCUCUGGCAUGUCAACGGAGUAUCUAAUAUCAUCAAAGGUGAUAGAAUGUGGUUGGAAUGGAAGAACCAUUCCUUUCUUCUUAUUAUGUUUAGCCUCAGCAAUGGCUUCUACCAUUUCCUCUCCCCUCUCUGCAUUUCAAGUUUAAAUUCAAUGAGCCAUAUAAAACAUGUAGUUAAAUGACAAGAACUGAGUCGCACAAUGGCAUGCAUGCAUGCACCAUGUUUGAGUUUCAUCACCUGUGGUUGCAGUUUUGGCAUUGUCAGACUCUUCUGUUAUAACAGCUUGAUGAUUCUCAAAUGCUGCGCAAUUUGCAACAUGUUAGUACACUAAGCUCAUAUUUUUAGGAGUUUCAAUGCAGAGAAGGUAGAGACACCCACGAUUUAGGUAAUUGAGGCACAGAGUGUAAAAGAAGUUGAACACAAAUAUGAAUCCAAGCAGUGCCCCAGCUCCUAUCCAGUACCAGUGUGCGUCUGUGGAGAACCCACGAGACUUCAAUACUGUAACUCCAAGGGAUUCUGUUGAAUCGGUAACAUUCUGAAAAAGGGAAAUACAUACAAUCAUCAGUUACUGACACACAUAAAUAAACACAGAUAUUCACAUGGAACAUUCAAGAACUUACUUUGCUCCAACUCUUCCCAAGGAAUUCAUUUACCACUAUUGCAUUCUGUGCAUACAUCAGAGGGGAAGACCAGUAACCCCAAAUCCACCAUUUCUUGACAUUAUCUGCAGCAUUGACCAAAUAAAAAAGGAAACAAAAAUUCAUUAUUAGGGGUUAUGCGCAAGAAGGUUCUAUGCUUCCUAAAAGAAUAUUUCCUCAUCAUACCAUGUGACAGGAUAAAACCACCCGAUGCCAAGAGCAUAAGUAAAGCAAAUGCCCCAAAUGUGUUUGCAACAAUCAUGUUUCUACCAGCUGCUGCUAUAAAUCGAAAUAAUCCAGAUGCCAUCUGAUUAACAAGCAAGAGGAGAAGAUACUGUCUAAACAACCUGCAAUAAGGAGAUUUGUUUAUUCAGCAUUAAUCAUUUUGGAACAGAGAAAACAUGUAAAAGAAAUCUGGAUAAGUUUCUGCAACUUCAUAACUUUUUCACUUUUACCUUUCCACAUUUGGAUCAAAUCCAAUGACAUAGUAAGUGAUGAACACCCAAACAGCAACUUCAACAAAUGUGAUGGGGAUCUUGAGCACCCAUGAUGGAAGAGCAUAUGCCCAUGCAGGAUAGAAGAGUAGGUCUCUUUGCUUGUAAAAUACGGGAAGUUUUGCAAUUGCCAUGGCAAGUUCUGCCAUUCCAUUAAACAUGAUCAUGACAACAGUGAAGAACAAAGCACCGGUGUAAAUGCUUCCGUCAUCUGUUGAAUUUUUGUGCAUCUCAGUUCUUAGGAAGAGUGUCAUUGCAAUCACUGCCAUUACUGCAAGCUAAAAACAGAAAUAGAAAUAAUAAAAUUACGAUCACAUAUAGAAAAUUAAAAGCCAUUGUUACAAGUAACAAUAAUAAUAAUAAUAAUACUCACUUGGGUGAGCUUGAAAAUAUAGACAAAUGAGUUCCUCUUCAUCAGCAAGUACUCUCUUGACAUGUUGGCAUCCAACAGUACCUUCUUUCUAACACCAUACUUCUUUGUUGUCAAAGCAGCUGGGUGGCUUUUGGCCUUGUCAAAUGGUGAUGCCAGCUCAUCUGCUACUUUCCGUCCAAUGUGAAAUGACUGGAAUGCCUCAGCAAAUUCCUUGACCGUGACAAAACUGUAAGGCUCUUCUUUACGUGCCCAAUACUGGGCCUGAUCUUUCCUAGAUGUUACCUGCAAUGAAGUUUAAAGUUAUGUUCUAGCUCAAUUUUUUUUCUUAAAAAAAAUUUAAAAAAAAAAAGAGAGAUGAAGAUAGAAGAUGCCAAAAGCUACAAAGCUAGAUUUGCACUCACUUCUUGCAGAAAGUCUGCCACACCCUUCCUUGCAGGACAUUUGAAGCCCAUGGAUUCAAAAAAUUCAAGCACAUCUUCACGAGGACCCUGAUAAACAAUCUGACUAUCAGAGAGGAGAAUGAUGUCAUCAAAAAGAUUGUAAGUCUCAGGUGCUGGCUGGAGGAGAGAGAUGACAGCAGUCCCGUUGAGAAUGUGGAUGGUUUGCUUGAGAGAAUUGACAAUUUGAUAAGUUGUUGAGCUGUCCAAGCCAGUAGAGAUCUCAUCCAUGAACAGUGCCUUUGAUGGUCCUACCAGCAUCUCACCUAUCAUUCAUACAUUUCACAUAAUUGAAUUAAAUUAAAUUAAUGAACAAAAAAAAAUCUAAUUGAUUUGUUUUUUCAUUUAGUUGGAAACCAAAUUAUCCUGCCUGUUGUGACACGCUUCCUUUGUCCUCCAGAGAUACCCCUUAUCAUCUCAUCUCCUACCAUGGUAUCUGCACAGAUGUCUAGUCCCAGAAUCUGUAGAUUUAAAUGUAAAAAAAAAAAAAAAAAAUUAUGAAUUAGAAUUGGGUUUUCUCACAAAUCUAUAAGCUAUCAUUGAAAGUUUCAUGGUUAUAAUACCUUCAAUGUAUAAUCAGUGACAACAUUUUCCUUCUGACCUUCUGUUGCUGCUGCCUGAAAUAUUGGAAUCCAAUGAUGAAAAUGUCAACCACCAUGCAAGCAACUUCAGUACAUUAAGAAAUUUCAUAGAUAAAAGAUUCUGACAUAGCAUAAAAUUCACAAAUUAGAUUGAUUCAAGCCAUUCAUUUGAGUAAAAAAAGAAAGAAACAAACUCCAGAACAGACAGAACACCGACAAUACAAAGCCAUUUUGCCUAUCUAUGUCAGAAUUCAAAAUUUAAUUUAUGGAAAAGAGUAGUAUCCAUGUUCACUGAAAGCAAAUAGCUCAAUUUUCUGCAGAACUGAUUAAAAUUUCACUAAAAGUAGAUUCUGUCUUACCUUCAUGAGACAUCAAGAUCAGGAUCAGGCUUAUUAUUUGCUGCUUUNNNNNNNNNNNNNNNNNNNNNNNNNNNNNNNNNNNNNNNNNNNNNNNNNNNNNNNNNNNNNNNNNNNNNNNNNNNNNNNNNNNNNNNNNNNNNNNNNNNNACAUCAAGAUCAGGAUCAGGCUUAAUAUUUGCUGCUUUCUCUCUUCUUGACAGCUCUGCUAACAUGUCUGAGGAUGGCAAAAGUAAGAGUCAAUCUCCUAGGCUAUGCAAAUGUCAUAUAACCACAUUCACAACCUGCAAAAAGCAGAGAAAUAAAAAGCAAAGGCAAUGGUUUAGACUAACCAUAUCGAUCUCCAACACCCUGGCAUCUUGCAGAGAAUGCCAAGGUUUCCCUUACAGUCAUUUCUCCUAUAUGGGUAUCAUGUUGGCUGAUAUAAGCUGCAGUUCUCUGGGGUACAAACUCAUUCAUGCUGUGACCGUUGUAUGUCACCCUUCCCGUAACCUAAAGAAGGAAUUUCAGUUUUUAAGUUGGAUAUGAGAUUAAAGAAAUAAAAAAUCAAACAUUCGAUAGAGAAUCGGGGAGUGAUAAUCAUUUUCUUUCAACCUUUAGAUUGGGAUCAAGCUUUCCAGCCAAUGCCAAUAAGAGGGUGGUCUUUCCAGAACUUGGAGGACCUAAAAGCAACGUCAUUCUGCAGAAGAAAAAUAUGCACAAAAAUCAUGAUCAUGGAUCUUCAGGACAUUCUAAAUUUGGAGAACGAAAAAUUCAUUUGAGUUAUCAAUCCAUUUUUAAUUACUAGAAACAAAUUCAUGCUCACCUGCGAGGUUUGAUGAUUCCACUAACAUCAUUGAGAAUAGUGCAUUUCUUCUUUUUACUUGGAAGAAUGUGGACAGCGUUCAGGAUGCCCUUUGGAAAAGAAGGGAAAAUUAGAAUCUAAAAACAAACUUACCUAAAAGAAUACUAAGUACAUAGCUAAUGAUCAGCAUUUGCAUGUAGUUACCUCAAGUUUAUUAAAAAUGAAAUUAUGGAAUGAAGGCAAAGCUCUGCUUCCUACAAAAGCUUCUGCAUCGAUGGUAAGAUGCUCAAAUCUAACUUCAAUUUCGGGAACAUCAACUCCAACUCUGAAAAAUGGAAGAGACAUGAAAACCCAUUAUCAAAAAUUCAAAGGAAGAUGUUGGAUGCGGAGAAAUGUGGGAAACGCCUAUGAGGCAUAUUUCAGGUAAAAUUUUCAAUGUUCAAAAACAAUUGGCAAGGAAUGCAAGAGAGGAGGAGAAAUCUCACCUAUCGAUACGAUUCUUAAGCUUCAACAAGAAUUUCUCAUUGUCCUCUUCGGCAAUUUUUACCAACCUCUCCACUAAAUUCUUCUUUUCCUGAAACCCAAGGUUAUGUAUAUCAAUUUCACUGGCCUCACCCUCUGAUCCCAUCAGCAAACCUUUCCUCAACCGAUUGUAGGUGGGAAGUUUCUCGAGUGCGGCCCAUUUCAAAGCUUCCUCAUCAUCCUCAUCCCUCGAAGAUUGAGAGAAAACAUCCGCACCCGAGUUCCUCCAUAUCGAAGAACCGUUCCUCCGAAAACUACCACUGGCUCUAUAAAUGUCAGCAGUGGCCAUUGCAACCUGAAACGAAAAACCCUCCUGGAAGACCAACCAAAACCCACAAAAACCCAGAACCGUUUCCUCCAAAGUUUGGGAGAGAAGCUCAAAAAUCAGAGAUGCGUCUCCUCCCUCUCUCUUCUCUGCAUAAAAGUACCUUUGUAUUGCUAAUAUUUGAUGCCUAUAGAGUGGAGGGUUUAUAUAGUGAUGGGUAGAGCAGAAAAUGGGGUGGCUUUCAAGUUUUCAAACUUCUUGAUUUCCCGUGACUCUAUUAAAAAAUAAGCGGACAAUUUGAAUAUAUAAGAGGCUGCGCAAUGACCCCAUGAUAUAACGAACAAGGAGAUGCCACCAUUUUUUACCUGUCAAAUUCUUAAAUAAAACACUUCCAGCGUCUCUCAAUAGGGAACGUGAUUUAUUACAAGCUGUCCAACCCGCUACAUCAACUAACUUUGUCUUUUCAACCGUUGGUCCGGGUUGGUUCCAGGUGGACCCAAAUCCGCCAAAACUACAAAUGUAAGUUAUGUUUUGUUUUGUAUUUUUUUAAAAAAAACUGUUGAGUACAUUUCCCCUCCAACUCUCCUACCCCCCACAAACUUGAGUUCUAAAAUUUAAAUAAAUGACUUUUUAUGUUUAGAUAUUAUAAAGAAAAGUUAAGGAAAAACUGCCACAUAUCGUGUCACAUUCUAUAACAAUAAUAGUAAGUUCCAACGGUCAAGUCAAUCAUGGGAAAUAGAAGGUGAAUUUUUUUGUGUGUGUACUUCCUUUAGAGAGGGUUGUUUCGAUUUCUCGUUUGUUGUUGGAUGGAAUUUUGUCAUAGAAACUGAGUUUUUUACAAUUGAAAUCCUUGCACUUGGGGAUUUGGCAUACUUUCAAAUAUCAUGUUUGAAAUCCUUGCACCAUUUUUGACCAUUUUCUUUUGAGUUUACCUUUUCUGGUGUCAGUAGACCAUUGCCUAUGUCAUUUUUCAAGUUUCUUUACGUUUGUGGAUUUUCGUUUUAGUUUCUUUUUUAAUAUGUAUGACAAAGUGGUUUAGAAAUGUAGAAGAUAGAUUAACUCGUGUUUCUAACAUGCAAUCCCUUCCACCUAACCACUUUAAUUACCACACCACCAGUAACACAACCAAUGGAAGAGACACAUGCUGAGUAUAGCCUUGCUCUAGGCCAAGACCAAAGGUUAGGCCAUGGAAGUGCUAAGAAUGAAGAUUCUGCAUACACAAUUUCAGACUUUGAGAGACUAUUUUCAAGCCACAAGGAUCAAUCCACCCUUUUGUAUUAUUUUACCAUAUAAUGUAGUUGGAAUACAAGUCAGACCCCAGAUGGUGCAAUUCUUACACCAAUAUUACGAGAUGGAGGGAGCCUAAUUGUAACACUGACCACUUAAAGCUAGAACUAUUUUCUUUCUCAUUGAAAGAAAAAGCUAAGCAUUAGGGAGACCUAGGAGUAUUAGUUCUUGGUAUGAGUUGCAAAUAGCUUUUCUAAACUGAUUCUUUCCUGCUCAAAAGGUCACAGUGCUAAAGAGGCAGAUUCUGAACUUUUGUUGUAAAGGAAAGAAAGUUUAUAUGAAUGUUGGGAUAGAUUCAAAGAGUUGUUGAUGAGAUGUCCUCACCACAGAUUUGAAAUAUCUUAGAUAUUAGUUUCUUCUUUUUAUGAGGGAACUUCUCUCCAGAUGAAGCGAACAAUAGAAAUUGUGGUGUAGGAACUUCAUGACUCAACAACCAAACCAGGAUUAAGAUUUUUGUAGUAUGUUGCUGAAAAAUCUAGAUCCUAGGACAUUCCAAUAUCCCAACUCCUUUCAGAUUCAGCACAGUAAGCCCCACCUCAAGUGGAGGAAUUUUAAAAUUCAAUACAGAAAAUAAUUUACAAGCGAAAAUGUUUGUGUUAACUAAGACACUUGAGGAGUUGAAAACAAAAAAAGGCAAAGGAAACUAGGACUAUCAAUGAGGUUUCUACCUCAUUUGAUAUGUGUGAAGGACCUCAAAAUAUAGAAAUACAACCUAAACCAGUGCACGUUGUAGGGCAGCUUAGAAGUCAAAAACUCAUCUAAUCUAGAUGUUUUUCUUGUUAAAAGUAUGUCUUUAGCUUCUGUUGCUAGGAUCUAGAGGCUUAGGAAGAAAAUAAUGCACCUAACCUAGUAUUGGGAUAGGGAAGAGAGAGAUCUAGUAUUCCUUAUGUACGUAAGGGCUCUCUUGUGCACCUUUCAGGUGUGUUGUACCAAAUUGUGCACCCACUUAGGCAACUUAAAUUGUGCACCUCUUAAGUCAUGUGUUGGAACAAAUUGCACACCCCUUCUCCAAAGCCACUAGAAUGCCCAAGCAACAUACCUCCUCAAGACUUGAAAUGUGUAACUCUUCCACUAAUAAUAAAGCGCACCCCUAGAGGUCAUUGAAACCCAUGCACUAGUCCUACGUUUGCAAAGGUUGAACACUAGAUAAUUCUUCCAAUGAUUGGUACACUCACCAAAGUAGUGCAUUCAUUCACACCUCAAGUCUUCAAUUAUACUACCAAAACUCACCCCAUGUUGAUUACAAAAAAAAAAAAAAAAGAGGUACAUGUACCAACCCUAAGGUAAUACAUCAAGGGUGAUGAUUAGUUAAUUGUACUUGCACAAACAAGUAUAGUGACAUUGGAAUAGGUGGAACAAGAGCUCAUUUUGCCCAUAAAAAGAGAACUAUGAAUAUACAAGUAGAUUUCUCUUACGAGUAGGAGUAACUUAAAGUGGUUUUAGCUUUUAGUUGGAAUUUUUCAUUUUUUCUUUUUUGGUAACCUACAUAUGGGAGGCCUCAACUUAGAUAACCUUUAGCACUCCAAGGGGUAAGAGGAGUUGAAGUCUCCCAUAUGUAGGGAAUCUCGGAUCACUUUGUUCCCUAUCUUAGGACUAGGUUAGGUGCAUGAUUUUCUUUCUAUUCCACUAGAUCCUAACAAUGGAAGCAAAAUACAUACUUUUUAACAAAAAAGAUAUAAAUUAAUGCAUUUGGGAAACUUUACCUUUGAUUUGGACAUUCCCAAAUUAAAUCCUUUUGGUAAAGAUGAAGUCUCUAAAGUCUCUAGAGAUCUUGUAUACCCACAUUAAUCUUCUAACCUUGAUCCUUGACAUACAAAUGAUGGGUUGUUUAGGAGGUUGGAAGCUAAGACUCUCUCUAUUUGGAUGGUGGAAGACUAAAAGUUAGAAACCCUAACCCCUAAGGAGGUAUUUAUAAGGUUCCCCACUAGGCUUAAAUGACUUAAGCCUAUUAAGGGCUUAAGUCAUUUAAUUUAACAUAAAAAAAGUCCUAAUUAAUUAAUUAAUCCAAUAGUAUUGUUCAACUAAUCAAUUAGCUCAAUCUAAAGAUGUUGUUCACCAACCCAUAUGCAACCUUGUGAAAUUACCAAAAUAUCCUUAUGCACAUAAAUGAAUAAAGAGCUAAUCCAAUCCUCAUAAAUCAUGUCAUUAAGGUACAUGAGCUCGAGUGGGGACCAUUAGGACUUAAAAGAUAGUAGUAACUCCCUAAGAAUCCAAUUCUAAAUUUUAUUUAAUAUCCCAUUACAAAAAAAUCAACUAUAAUCCAGUACUGUAUAUAAAUAACAAUGAAACACUAAGUACUCAUGUUCGUGUCCUACCAUCCAUUGCAUACAGUUUCCUCAUGAAUUGGUAUUUAUAGCCUAAUAAAGUGAAAACUAUCAACCUCUUAAGACUACCUCUAUCAUUCAAUUACAAAUCUUUUUAUUGUGUGAUCAAUUGACAUAUCCUAGCUCAUAAAAAGCUUAAGCUAAGUUCCACUUAAGGAACUACUAUGGUCAUAUAUAGUUUACCUGAACACACAUCCUUAUGAUCACUUAAAAUAACACAUUGUCUCAAAGUUCAUAAGAUAUAUAUCAUGGUGUCUAUCAAGAAAACCUAUUGCUACUGACUUCCAUCAAUAGUGACCCAAUCUAUAAGAAAUAUAUGAUCACUUUAAUAUAUCUUCUAUAAGUCAAAGCCAUUGCUAUUUUGGCAUAAGUUUAGUAUUCUCUCAAGGUUAAAAAAAUAACAUAAUAAAAUAGCUUGGUGAAGUUAUGACAACUUGAUAGCAUUAUGUCAUGACUCACCAUAGGUUCUAUCCAAUAUGUAACCAUACACACUAGUGCAAAACCUUAUCCUAAUGACUAAGACCAACUAUCCCUUCAAUUAGGAAGUAGUACACUACAAUCUCUAAUACGUUGUCUAAGUUUAUUAUGUGAUCAACUAACAUACUCUAACUCCAAGGAGCACAUGUCAAAUUCCACUAAAGCAAUUACUAUGGCCAUAAAUUUCAUGAUCACAUAUCCUUUGAAUCACUCAAGAUGACACAUUGUCUCAAUCCCAUGAGAUAUAAUGGUGUCUCUAUUGAGAAUACAUGUUGCCACCAAUCUCCUUCAAUAAUGACCCAAUCCAUGUAUAUAAUGACCACUUUAGGGUCUUACCCAUAGGUCAAAGCCUCUUGUUGAUUUGGCACAAACUCAAUAUCCUCUCAAGGUUAAAAGUCCAUAUAGUAUAGUAGCUUGGUGAAUCAUGAUAAUUGAUAGCCUUGUGUCAUAAUUCAUUAUAGAUCUUGUUCAAUAUGCAUCACAUACACUAGUGCACUCACCAUGAGAAACUCAUCCUUACGGCCAAGAUAAGUCAUCCCUUCAAUUAGGAGGUGGUACACUAUAGUCUCUAUUGGAUUGCCCAAAUCCAUGAACCAAUUGUGGACAACUUAUCUACUUAUAAGGAACCCAUGACUUGUAUCUUCUAUGCAACUCUUAAUGCACCCAAGUUAUGUACAAUGUAAGAGACAUGGGUUGAAUGCUCAAAUCAAUGUUAAUACACCAAAGCGAUAGCAAAUGGAUAAUUAAGUCUAACUUUGUUACAUCAUGGCUUGUUUUUAUGGGCUUAAUCCCAAUAGUUUUGACUUCUUAUUUACAGUAUUUAGUUUCUAUAAAAGAAAUAGGAAAUUUGCAAAUACAAAAUAUUUCUUAUUGUAGCGGUUAUAAACUAGAAAAAUUGUUCGUUUUACCUUUCAAUAGAAGUGUUUACUCUUCUUUUAUACCAUUUGAUUUAGUUCAUUUCCCAAUUUCUACAAAAGGAAAGUCUUGAUAUUAUGUUUCCUUCAUUGAUGAUUAUACUCGUUAUUAUUGUUUUUAUCUUAUGAAACAUUGUUCUUUUUUUUUUUUUAGUAUUCAUAAUGCCUUUUAAGACUUUGUAAAAACUCAACAUUUUAUUGUUAUCAAGUGCUUUGGGUGUGAUUUCAAUGGAAAGUACACUUCCAAUGUAUUUCAUGAAUUACUUGCUUCACAUGGAACUAUUCACCACACUUCUUAUCCUAGCACUAUAGAGUAGAAUGGUGUUGCUAAAAUGAAACAUAGACACAUUGUUGAAACUACUCAUUUGCUCUUAUUAUCUACAUGUGUUCUUACUAAACCUUUAGUUGCUCAUGAUUUGAAAAGUUGUAACGUUAUGCUCUUGAUUACUUUUCCUUAAGAGUCUUUGGUUGUACUUAAUUAUUUUCUCUUUAAUUAGUCCUCAUGUGGAGCAUACUAAGUUAUCUUCUCAUUAUGUCAUUUGUAUUCUUAUAGGGUAUAGAGCAUACUAAGUUAUCUUCUCAUUCUAUUAUUUGUACUCUUAAGUCAUAUCAUUGCUUUAGCUUUUAUUCAUAAUCUUUCUAAGCAUCUACCCUAUAAAGAAGUUUUUCUUAAUCAUCUUUGGCAAUUGGGUAUGACUAAGAAACUUUCUGUUUUACAUGAGAUUAACACUUAGGAUUUGGUACCUUUACCACUUGGUAAGGGUACAAUUUGUUUGUGUCAUGUCCAUAAAAUCAAAACUAAGUUUGUUGGUUCAAUUAAGUGGUACAAAGCCCGAUUAGUUGCUAAAGGGUUCUUUAAAUACUCAUAUUUUACUUUCCCUAUAUGUUGAUGACAUGAUUAUUACAAGUGAUGAUGUUUAUAGGAUUAUAAUUUUAAAAUUAUAUUUGGAUUUUGAUUGGAGCCAAAAUAUGUGCUCUAAUGACACAUAUUCAAUAUAAUUUGUGCACCAAAGGACACUCAAAUCACCCAACUUGACCUAAAUCAAUGGUAAGGUCUUAGCCAUGAGUUUAACUUAUAUUUUGGAUAUUUAUGUCAGAUUCAAGGAAAGAAAAUGGUGCAAGUUGAAUUACUUUAGAUUUUGAAAGACCAAGAAAGGGUUAAAUAAAAAGAUAAGUGAGUCAAAACUCAUGAACCAUGAGGAAAGUCAAGAAGAGGAUAUCGUGAGUUUGAAAGAUGAGAAAUGACCAUUAUGGAGGAAGAAAGAAGGUAAGAAAACAUGGGAAAUGAAGCAUGAAGCAAGAUUCAACUGCAUGGAAAUUUAGAACUCAAAAUCCGGUGGUAACAUAUACUCUAAAUUUAAGGACAAAUUUGGAGUAGUUACUGGAGUCCAUUUUAGACAUACUAUAUAUUUUUUAGAAUCUUGGGAAUUCAGGAGUCUAACGCUUCAAACAGUAUGCAAAUCAGAGUUGAAAUGAAGAAGUUAUGGUCAUUUGAAGACAAUUGCACAAAGUUGAAGAACCAUUUCGAAAUUCAACUUAUGAAUUCGAAAUGACCCCAAUUUCAAAUUCACCCACUGUCACUUUGAUAUUUCACCUCCUCAACUUAUUAUUUUUUUAAAUUAUUUUUAGGUAAUUAUUUUGUAAUAAGUGGCUAAUGAGAGUGUUUUACAUGUUAGGUUUUGAUGAUAUUAUAUAAACUCUCUUAGUUCUAGGGUUUAGAGAUCUUAGAUCUUUUUUCGGAGAGUUUGACAUUGGAGGUGGAAAAAAAUGAGAACUUUGGUUUAUUUUCUUUUCUUCUUUAUUAAAUAUAUUGUUUUUAGUUCUUUUGAUUCAAAUUAUGGAUUUUUAUCCUAUUAUGGAUUAUGAAUGUGACAUUACCCCCAAGAGAGGCUAAAAAGCCAACUUGGGCCUUGAAGCAUGACAACCUAAGGACUAGGAAAUCUAUAGGGACAAUGGGUAAAUUAUUAUAACAAUGAGAUUAGUUAUUGGUUGGGUGACAAUUUAUUAAUUUUUUAUCCUAUCCUUGCGAGUUAGUUUAAGAAAUGAUACAGUAGGUUAUUACCCGAUACUAGUGAUUCUUGGUAACUCUUGAUCAUUAGUUAUCCUCGUCUUCUUUAUCUUUAUUGCCCCAAAACAAAGUUAUAAGGACUAGAAAGUUUUAAAAAGUCAAAUCGAUAAUCGAUAAUCAAUCUCAUUCAUUUCAUAGUUUUAGGAAUCUGUUUUAAAAAGAAAAAAUUAGGCUUCAGAUGCAAUUUUGAGUUAUAGAAUUCAAGUUGAUCGCGAGCAACCAAAGAUCCCAAAACCUUAAGAUCAUAUUACUUAAAAGACCCAAGAUCCCAAAACCCUAAGAUCAAAUUACUUAAAAGACCCUUGUUUUCUCUAACUUCUAUACCCUAAGUUGGAUUGUGGAAAGCCCCAAACUUGAAUCAAUCGAAUUUAAAAUCAAUAUUUAUUUUGUUAUUAAUUUAAUUUCUUUUUACUUAGUUUCACAUUAUUCACAUAUCAUUUUCCACUUUAGGAUUCAAAUAAAAGUAAUUUAUUUACUCUAGUAUUGACAAAUCCCAUAAGCCAAUCCUUGAGGAUGAUACCCGAAAUACUACAAAAGUCAUAGCAGUUUUUUCUUUGAUCUUUAUGGCCAAAGCUACUACAUAUUAGGCUUACGUAUUUUGGUACAAUAGAGAAGUUCGAUCAGUUUCCUAUUUUGAAAAGAAGAAUUUGGGCUCUCUACCAAACUUUUUAGAUAUUGGUGUAGUUUUUUUCUCCGAAAGGUUAUCUUCUCUCACUCUCUAAGUACAUAGUUGAUAUUCUCAAUUACUCGCCUCAUUAAUACUAAGACUGUUGAUACUCUUCUUGAGGUUAAUGUUCAAUAUUCUUCUUUUGAUGGUAACCCUUUGUCAUACCCUACUUAUAUUGUACUAUUAUUAAUAGCUUAGUCUAUUUCACAAUUAUAUGUUCAGACAUUGGUUAUGUUGUUCACAUUAUUAAUUACUUUGUUAUUUCUCCUAUUAUAGUUCAUUGGGUUGUUGUUAAUAAAAUACAAAAGACAUAUAAAUAAAGUUAAAUGUUAUAUUUUUUUUCAUUUUAUAUAUAUCUUUAUAUUUAAAUAUUAUAAAUGGUCUAUUUAAUAAAAUUUAAAAUAUUAAUAUAUUUAUAUUUCUCUUCAUCAUUUAAUUUGAUAUGUCAAAUAUAAAAAUAAAAUAUUAUUAAAAAAAUUUAAUUAUAUAUAAUUUUAAUUUCUUAUAAUUAUUUAAAAUUUUAUAUAAUAUAUAAAUUAUUAUUUAUGAUGUCAUCGGGACGACCAAGGUCCAACAAUCCGACCGAGGUCCCGACCAUCGAUUCUGAACCAUGAACUAAUAACUUUUCUGAUUCAAUCAUCAAUCCAAUUCUCAAAACAUUGAUCAUAUGAAUUAAUAGUACAAAAAUUCAUGGUCCCACUAUUGAUUUUUUUAAAAAUAAAAUAAAAUUAACCAUGAAAUAUGGGCCCCAUGUUGUUCUUAAAUCUUAAUUAUCAAAUAAAAUGAUGAAAUAUUUUAAAAUUUAUAAUUAUUUAUAUAUUUUUUUAACUUAUUAUAAUAAUUUUUAAUUUUUAACCGUGAUUCAACAAGCAAUCAUUGAAUCAUGAAUCAAUAACUAUUUUGAUUCAAUAACCAAUCCAAUUUUGAAAGCAUUGGUAAAUAUAGGCAUACAACUAUUGGAAAUGACUCCCGACUUUCCAAGGAAGGCCUAAACUUCCCUUUUUUCUUGCUGAAUUCUAAAUUUAAUAGCAUUGCAAACGCUGCAGAUUAAAAACACAGGUCUAGUUUUUUUAUAGUUUCUAAAUUUUCAUCCUUUUAUCGUGUCUUUGGUACUUAGAGCAGAGACUGAAAGUGGAGGCCCAUACUGUUAAGUUGGUAAUCAAGGAUGAAAGAAUAGCUCAAGGUUCUAUUACUGUCUGGAAUUUCAAACUACAUAAAAUUGGGACGACAAAGAAAUUAAAGAAUUUAACAUCCUAACAUCCUACUUACACGAAGAACAAAACCUUUUUUUUUUUCGUCUUACAAUUAAAUGUUGAACUGGAAAGUUUAGAACUUGUGCUCAUGAGUUCUUAUCGCUUUUGGAAGUUAAAUGCCUUAAUGGCAUAGGCAAAGAUGAAUAAGAAAAGCACCACAAACCCAACAACCACAGCUGCAACCACUCCCAGGAAAUCAUGUUUGAAUCCAAAAUAAUCAUCCAAGAAUUGUUUCACCGUUUGAUUAUUCUCAAGUAGUGUGCUCUGUAUAUCUCCAAACUGUGAUGCAACCAAUCCAUACAAAGUCCAUGCAACUGGACAUAUCCAACAGUACCAUCUCCACCACACCGGAAUUCUCUGUAUUCAUCAAGAAAUGCAACAAUACGAGUCAUUUCUAUAUCCAUGUGGUAAGGAAAGUUGCAAUUUAAAGAAUCACAGGUUGAGGCCACUUACGUUUCGUGGGACUAUGAAACCUGAAAAGAGGUUCCAUAAUGUAUAAAAUGUUGCGGCAAUGAUGGAAGCAAUAUGUUGAUUUGGCGUGGCAGCCACAGCCAUCAUGCCAUAGAAGGUGAAGUACAACAAAGUGCAGAACAUGAAGAACAGAUACCAGAAGAAUUUAGUGGCUGUCCAUUCAAAUCCAAUCAUUCCAUAAACUAUAACACCAUACACCACAGCUUGUGCAAAGACAUAUGGAAUCUCAACAAGAGCCUGCAACAAGAGAAGAAAUUUGAUUAUUAAAAGGCAAAACGUAUUACAUAUAUGCAAAGUCCGUAGCAUCAGAAAACUAAUUACCUGUCCAAAGGCAUAUGGCAGGGCUGAAUACAUUCCAGCAGCUCUUUCUCUGUAAAAGACUGUUCGUUCAACUACAAUGACUGGCUGGACCGAUUGGGCGUUCUGAACCCCAAGAAAGAGAACAGCAGCAUACAUAGAACCCAUUGCAUUUAACAGAUCUUGUUGCCUUGUCCUGCCAUUUACCUCAUCAAGUAAAAAUUAAAGUUGAUAUAGAGAAACAUACUGAGUUCUCAAAUUUUUGAACCGACAUCAAAUUACCUUCUGGUGCCCAGAUCCCAGAAAAUUAACCCAAACAUCAAGGCUAUGAAAGUUGUGAAGAGAAAUCUCACUGCCGUGUAUGGUGGGUUCCGCCAGUAUGACCAACGUUGUUUCCAUAAGCAUGCCAAAAAUUGGGUGAAGAAGGGUUGGGAGUAUUGAGUAGCAAAAUAGAGGUCUUUUGUACCAGGGGCAGGUUGGCUCAGUUCUUUAAUUAAAUCUUUGUUUCUCCUGAAACAUAUGCCACUUUUUAGAACAGGUUUCAACAACAAAUUUAAGCUUUUCACGAGAAACAUUAGGAUGGAUGUAUAUGACUUUUCAAUCUUAUAAUGCAAUUAGAUAACCUAUGCUUGAAUCACCUGUAUAGGUCUGAAUUCUUGUAUAUUUCAGUGAAAUCGACCCCCAAAGUUCCUUCUUGUGCUCCGGUGGUAACUUCCAGCAUCCAGGUUGCAGGGUUAUAACCAUCUUUGAUUUUACUGACUCCUUCAAUUCCCUUUAUGAAAGCAAGUGAUAUGUAUUAGUAAGUGCUUAAUAUGAAUUAACUCAAACUGAAGUAUUCACUUCUUAUAGCUUCUACAUUAUCAUGGCAGCUUACCUCAAAAUAAUUUAUCAGAUGGGAAGAAUGUCUACCCAGUGGUCCCACAUAUAUCUCUUGCCCUCCACGCUUCAUCAGGAGCAACUGCAAAUCCAUUUUAAAUAUUUCAGUGCCUAUAUGCAAAGAGCACAGAAGAGAAACUAUAAUUCUAUCCCUUAAUAUUUCCUACCUCAUCAAAGGCCUCAAAUAUGUCAAUACUUGGCUGAUGGAUGGUGCACACAACUGUUCUUCCUGUGUCCACAGUGUUUCUGACUGUUCUCAUAACAAUUGCAGCAGCUCUUGCAUCUAGCCCUGAAGUUGGCUCAUCCAUGAAUAUUAUUGAGGGAUUUGCCACAAGCUCAACUGCAAUAGUCAGCCUCUUGCGCUGCUCAGUUGAGAGGCCAUUUACACCUGGCAACCCAACCAGUGCAUCCCUCAAUGGGGUCAGUUCCACAAGCUCCAUGACUUCCUCAAUGAACAUCUGUAACCAUUAGCAAUGAUUAUAAAUUGUUCAAAAAACGUUGCAAACCAUAGUAGAGAUGGUAAAAAAUUUGAGACUGCUUGUGACUCUUCUGUUAUCAGGCUGUGAAGAGGUUUCCCUAGUCUUACUAAAUGGAUCGGUUAAUAGGUGCAAAUGCUCAAUAACGCUCAUUAGCUUGCAUGAACUUCACCAGAUUGGAUUAAAAGUCAAUGAAAUUUGAACCAGCACUUUUUCCCAGGUGAAGGUCAAUCCAAACUUGAACUGACCUUACCUCAACCAAAUAUGAAAAGUCAAUUUUAGGGCUUUGCUUGUUUAGAGCACUAAAUUGAACAAGAAAAAUAUAGAAACAAUUAAGAAGACUCCUACCUUUCUGGUUUCAGAAUUCACAUCAGAAGGCAACCGCAGCCAAGCUGAGUAGAGCAAGGACUCAUGGACAGUAACAUGAGGAGAGUGGAUGUCAUUCUGCUCACAGUAUCCAGAAAUUCGAGCAAAAGUCUCUUGCUUCUUUGGGUAGCCAGAAAUAGAAAUGUUACCCUCAAUAUAUCCACCAGUUUUCCGACCAGCCAGUACAUCCAUGAGAGUGGUUUUACCAGCACCACUAACACCCAUCAGAGCUGUAAGAACACCAGGCCUGAAAGCACCACUCACCCCCUUCAGAAGCUCCAGUCUGUCUUCAAGGGCACCCUGACUUUUCAUUUCCUGCAAGUUCAUUUCAAACAACUCAGUUCUCAUUUCUGGUUUAUAGUACAUUAUGAAAAAACUUCAGUGCUGCUAAAACAUAUGUCAUCAUUUGAAUAAAUAUGAUGUUACCUCUGGCAUGUCAACUGAGUAUCUAAUAUCAUCAAAAGUGAUAGAAUGUGGUUGGAAUGGAAGAACCAUUCCUUUCUUCUUAUUAUGGUUACCCUCAGCAAUGGCUUCUACCAUAUGCUCUCCCCUCUCUGCAUGUCAAGUUUAAAUUCAGUGAGCCAUAUAAAACAUGUAGUUAAAUGACAAGAAUUGAGUCAUACAAAGGCAUGCAUGCAUGCACCAUGUAUGAGUUUCAUCACCUGUGGUUGCAGUUUUGGCAUUGUCAGACUCUUCUGUUAUAACAGCUUGAGGCUUCUCAAAUGCUGCGCAAUUUGCACAAUGUUAGUACACUAAUCUCAUAUUUUUAGGAGUUUCAAUGCAGAGAAGGUACAGAUACCCACGAUUUAAGUAAUUGAGGCAGAGAGUGUAAAAGAAGUUGAAAACAAAUAUGAAUCCAAGCAGUGCCCCAGCUCCUAUCCAGUACCAGUGUGCGUCUGUGAAGAACCCACGAGACUUCAAUACUGUGAUUCCAAGGGAUUCUGUUGAAUUGGUAACAUUCUGAAAAAUGGAAAUAAGUACAAUCAUCAGUUACUGACACACACAAAUAUUCACAUGGAACAUUCAAGAACUUACUUUGCUCCAACUCUUCCCAAGGAAUUCAUUUACCACUAUUGCAUUCUGUGCAUACAUCAGAGGGGACGACCAGUAACCCCAAAUCCACCAUUUCUUGACAUUAUCUGCAGCAUUGACCAAAUAAAAAAGGAAACAAAAAUUCAUUAUUAGGGGUUAUGCACAAGAAGGUUCCAUGCUUCCUAAAAGGAUAUUUCCUCAUCAUACCAUGUGACAGGAUAAAACCACCCAAUGCCAUGAGCAUAAGUACAGCAAAUGCCCCAAAUGUGCUUGCAACAAUCAUGUUUCUACCGGCUGCUGCUAUAAAUCGAAAUAAUCCAGAUGCCAUCUGAUUAACAAGCAAGAGGAGAAGAUACUGUCUAAACAACCUGCAAUAAGGAGAUUUGUUUAUUCAGCAUUAAUCAUUUUGGAACAGAGAAAACAUGUAAAAGAAAUCUGGAUAAGUUUCUGCAACUUCAUAACUUUUUAACUUUUACCUUUCCACAUUUGGAUCAAAUCCAAUGACAUAGUAAGUGAUGAACACCCAAACAGCAACUUCAACAAAUGUGAUGGGGAUCUUGAGCACCCAUGUGGGAAGAGCAUAUGCCCAUGCAGGAUAGAAGAGAAAGUCUCUUUGCUUGUAAAAGACAGGAAGUUUUGCAAUUGUCAUGGCAAGUUCUGCCAUUCCAUUAAACAUGAUCAUGACAACAGUGAAGAACAAGGCACCCGUGUAAAUGCUUCCAUCUUCUGUUGAAUUUUUGUUCAUCUCAGUUCUUAGGAAGAGUGUCAUUGCAAUCACUGCCACUACUGCAAGCUAAAAAUAGAAAUAAAAAUAAUAAAUUACGAUCAGAUAUACAAAAUUAAAAGCCAUAGUUAUAAUUAGCAAUAAUAAUAAUAAUACUCACUUGGGUGAGUUUGAAAAUAUAAACAAAUGAGUUCCUCUUCAUCAGUAAGUACUCUCUUGACAUGUUGGCAUCCAACAGUUCCUUCUUUCUAACACCAUACUUUUUGGUUGUCAAAGCAGCUGGGUGGCUUUUGGCCCUGUCAAAUGGUGAUGCAAGCUCAUCUGCUACUUUCCGUCCAAUGUGAAAGGACUGGAAUGCCUCAGCAAAUUCCUUGACUGUGACAAAGCUGUAAGGCACAUCUUUACGUGCCCAAUACUGGGCCUGAUCUUUUCUAGAUGUUACCUGCAAUGAAUUUUAAAGUUCAUGUUCUAGCUCUAUUUUUUUCUCAAAAAAAGAAAAAAAAGAAAAGAAAAAGACAGAAGAUAACAAAGCUAGAUUUGCACGCACUUCUUGCAGGAAGUCUGCCUCACCCUUCCUUUCAGGACAUUUGAAGCCUAUGGAUUCAAAAAAUUCAAGCACAUCUUCACGAGGACCUUGAUAAACAAUCUGACUAUCAGAAAGGAGAAUGAUGUCAUCAAAAAGAUUGUAAGUCUCAGGUGCUGGCUGGAGGAGAGAGAUGACAGCAGUCCCAUUGAGAAUGUGGAUGGUUUGCUUGAGAGAAUUGAUGAUUUGAAAAGUUGUUGAGCUGUCCAAGCCAGUAGAGAUCUCAUCCAUAAACAGUGCCUUUGAUGGUCCGACCAGCAUCUCACCUAUCAUUCAUACAUUUCACAUAAUUGAAUUAAAUUAAAUUAAUGAACAAAAAAUCUAAUUUGAUUUGUUUUUUCAUUUAGUUAGAAACCAAAUUAUCCCACCUGUUGUGACACGCUUCCUUUGUCCUCCAGAGAUACCCCUUAUCAUCUCAUCUCCUACCAUGGUAUCUGCACAGAUGUCUAGUCCCAAAAUCUGUAGAUUUAAAUGUAAAAAAAAAAACAAACAAAUUAUGAAUUAGAAUUGGGUUUUCUCAGAAAUCUAUAUGCCAUCAUUGAAAGUUUUAUGGUUCUAAUACCUUCAAUGUAUAAUCAGUGACUACAUUUUCCUUCUGACCUUCUGUUGCUGCUGCCUGAAAUAUUGGAAUCCAAUGAUGAAAAUGUCAACCACCAUGCAAGCAACUUCUGUACAUUAAGAAAUUUCAUAGAUAAAAGAUUCUAACAUAGCAUAAAAUUCACAAAUUAGAUUGACUCAAGCCAUUCAUUUGAGUACAAAAAGAAAGAAACAAACUCCAGAACAAACAGAACUCCGACAUUAAUACAAAGCCAUUUUGCCCAUCUAUGUCAGAAUUCAAAAUUUAAUUUCUGGAAAGAGCAGUAUCCAUGUUCACUAAAAGCAAAUAGCUCAAUUUCUGCAGAGCUGAUUAAAAUUUCACUAAAAGUAGAUUCUGUCUCACCUUCAUGAAGACAUCAAGAUCAGGAUCAGGCUUAAUAUUUGCUGCUUUCUCUCUUCUUGACAGCUCUGCUAACAUGUCUGCACAUGGCAAAAAUAAGAGUCAAUCUUCUAGGCUACGGAAAUGUCAUAAAAUUGCAUUCACAACCUGCAAAAAGCGGAGAAAAUAAAAGCAAGGGCAAUGGUUUAGACUAACCAUAUCGAUCUCCAACACCCUGGCAUCUUGCAGAGAAUGCCAAGGUUUCCCUUACAGUCAUUUCUCCUAUAUGGGUAUCAUGUUGGCUGAUAUAGGCUGCAGUUCUCUGGGGUACAAACUCAUUCAUGCCAUGGCCGUUGUAUGUCACCCUUCCCAUAACCUAAAGAAGGAAUUUCAGUUUUGAAAUUGGAUAUGAGAUUAAAGAAAUAAAAAAUCAAACAUUCCAUAAAGAAUGGAGGAGUAAUAAUCAUUUUCUUUCAACCUUUAGAUUGGGAUCAAGCUUGCCAGCCAAUGCCAAUAAGAGGGUGGUCUUUCCAGAACUUGGAGGACCUAAAAGCAAAGUCAAUCUGCAGAAGAAAAAUAUGCACAAAAAUCUUGAGUAUGGAUCUUCGGGACAUUCUAACUUUGAAGAACGAAAAAAUCAUUUGAGUUAUCAAUCCUUUUUUUACUAGAAACAAAUUCAUUCUCACCUGCGUGGUUUGAUGAUCCCACUAACAUCAUUGAGAAUAGUGAAUUUCCUCUUUUUACUUGGAAGAAUACGCACAGCGUUCAGGAUACCCUUUGGAAAAGAAGGGAAAAUUAGAUCUAAAAACAAACUUACUUAAAAGAAUACUGAGUACAUAGAUAAUGAUCAGCAUUUGCAUGUAGUUACCUCAAGUUUAUUAAAAAUGAAAUUAUGAAAUGAAGGCAAAGCUCUGCUUCCUACAAAAGCUUCUGCAUCGAUGGUAAGAUGCUCAAAUCUAACUUCAAUUUCGGGAACAUCAAUUCCAACUCUGAAAAAAUGGAAGAGUCGUGAAAACCCAUUAUCAAAAAUUCAAAGGAAGAUGUUGUUUGGCUGUGGAGAAAAUGUGGGAAACACUCAUGAGGCAUAUUUCAGGUCAAGUUUUUUUUUUUUUUUCCUCUUUAUGUCCUUCUGUUUUCAAUGUUCAAAAACAAAUGGCAAGGAAUGCAAGAAAGGAGGAGAAAUCUCACCUAUCGAUACGAUUCUUGAGCUUCAACAAGAACUUCUCAUUGUCCUCUUCGGCAACUUUUACCAACCGCUCCACUAAAUUCUUCUUUUCCUGAAACCCAAGGUUAUGGAUAUCAAUUUCACUGGCCUCACCCUCGGAUCCCAUCAGCAAACCUCUCCUCAACCGAUUGUAGGUGGGAAGUUUCUCGAGUGCGGCCCAUUUCAAAGCUUCCUCAUCAUCCUCAUCCCUCGAAGAUCGGGAGAAAACAUCCGCACCGGAGCUCCUCCAUAUCGAAGAACCGUUCCUCCUUAAACUACCACUGGCUCUAUAAGUGUCAGCAGUGGCCAUUGCAACCUGAAACGAAGAACCCUCCUGCAAGACCAAUCAAAACCCACAAAAACCCAGAAAUUUUUCCUCAAAAGUCUGAGAAAGAAGCUCAGAGUUUUGAACCCUGGAGCCCAAAGAAGCUAAAAAUCAGAUACGAGUCCCCUUCCCCCCUUUUCUCUGCAUAAAAGUCUCUACCCUUUGAAUUGGUAAGACUUGAUGCCUUCAGAAUGGAGGGUUUAUAUAGGUGAUGGGUUGAACAGGCCCUCAAGUUUUCGAACUUCUUGGUUUCCUAUGACUUUUCCUUAAAAAAAAUUAGCGUGGAAAUUGAAUAUAUAAGCUGCUGGGUAACGAUUCCAACGACUUUGACCCGUCAAAUUCUUAAAUCAAACACUUCUAGAGUUUCCCAACGGGAGCGCGAUUUGUUUAAAGCUUCCAACCCGCCAAAUGAACUAACUUUUUAAAACACUCAUCUUCUUAUCUCUUUCAGGAAAAUAAAUAAAUAAAUAAAAUUGUGGUCAUAUCAACAAUAAAAAAUAAAUUUAAAAUUUUUUAAAUUUAAAAUAUAAUUAAAAUUAAAAAUAUAAAAAAUAAAAUAUUGACCCUGAUUACAUUUUCAGCGCUUUUUCAUUAUCUAUCUUUUGUUUAUUUGUUUAUUAUCAUUAUUAUAUACUAAAAUUCCCGCAAAACAAAAUUGAAUAUAAAUAAACAUAAAUAAUAAUAAUAAUUGUUAUUAUUAUUGUAUACAAUAGUAAUAAUAACAAUAAUGAUAAAUGAAAAAAAAAUAAACAAAAGAUAGGUAUUGAGAAAGAGUUGAAAAUGCGUUAAGAGCUAACAUAUCAUUUUUAUAAUUUUAGGAUUAAAGUUUUUUUUUAACUUUUUAUUGCAUUUAUUUUUUAAAACUUUCAUUUUAUUGUUUAGGCCAACCAACAAAAUUUUUUUCAAUUUUUUAUUUUUAAUUUUUAAAAAAAGAGAUAAGAAGAUGAGAUGUUAAAAUCAAGAAUGUUUGAUUUAUAUAAUGCAAAAUAUAAAAUUAUUAUGGGAGGAUUUUUCCACAAUGACUUGCAUUCAAUAUUAUAUAAUUAAUAAAUUAAUAAAUAUAUUUACUAGUAAGAUGAUUUUAACAAAUUUAUAAAUAUAUUUAUUAGCAAGAUAAUUUUAUUUAUUAUUAUCAAAUUUUUAGGAGAGAUCAUUAAGAGGAUCUAGUUUUGCAUGAUUUUAAUAUUUGAUCCCUAGUUUUAUUACUAAAUAUGAGAUUAUGGUUCUAGGUAAAAAAAAAUUGCUAAUGUUAGAAAUUUGAAUAUAUAUAUAUAUAUAUAUAUAUAUAUAGGUUAUGUUUGGUUCCUAGAAAAUACUAAAGAAAGAAAAAAAAUGGAAAGAAAAAUAAUUUUUUCAUGUUUGGUUGUCCUAUGAAAAAUAUAAAAAAAAAUCAAAUAUAAUUAAAACUAAUUAAAAAAUUAUGUAUUUUUAAAUUAUUUAAUCUUUAUAUUAAUAAUUUAAAAUAAAUAAAAUGAGUUUGAAGUAACAAAAAAAUAAUUUAUCAACUUUUAAUAUAUUUUUUAUUUUUCUUCACUUUUUAUUUCCUUCUACUUUUCCUUUGUAUUUUCUUUUCCUUACAUUUUCCCUCAAAUUUUCUAGGAACCAAACAUAACCAUAGUAUUUCAACUCGGGGACCCCAACAACCAUAAACAAACCCUAAUUAGUCAACUAACCGAUUUGAUCAAUUUAUUAGUCACUAUGCAUUUAAUGCAUUGAUAGAUGAUCACUUAGACUUAGAUCCUUAAUCAGUUGAGCAAUGAAUUUGACGGAUACUCAACUAGUCAAAGCUUAAACUACUAGAAAAGAGAAAAAUAACAAAUGUCUCUUAAUUUAUCAAGUCUAACCUAUUUAGUCGGUUCCUCAACUCCUCAAUCGUAAAUGGCAUGGUUUAAGGUCUGAAACCUCCAAUAACUUACAUAAACCUUCUUAAAACUUUUCAGGAUAAAUUUAAAAGUAAUUUAGCUCAAGGUUUUAAUUGAAAAUAAGAAAUCGCCCAAUUCUUUGAGACAUAUGCAUAUAUAUAUAUAAAUUAUCUUAAUUUUACACAACAUUUUAGGUUGAUUUAAGUCUUCAAGGAUCCUAAGUCUUCCAUGAUUGCUUGAGCUUUCUUUAGAUUUUCAAUAGUAAACUUAAAAAACUUAAUUUGAUUUAAACUAUUAGUAAUUUUAACUUUAUUUUGUAAUUAUAAAAAACCUAUUAGGAGAAUCGUUGGGCUAAUAGUCUUGAUGUUUGAUCUUUAAGAUUAUUCAAUUCUAAAAAGAAAUGGGAGGGUCAAGGAUUUUUGUUGGUUGAAGGAGAGUGAGAGGGGCUAGCCAUGUCAAAUAGCACACUUUUGAUGCCUUUUAAUAAGAGUUAUUUGGUUAAAUGGGUCAAAAUAACCCCACUAUUUAUAAAUAUAACCCAUCUAUCAAAAAGUUAAAUAAAAAAAAAAACUGUUGAUUAAGACAAAAAUGCCCUUCCUUUUAUUUCCCUCCAACACUUACAACUUCUCAUUUUCUACUUCAUUUAACUUUCUAUAGAACGACUUCUCAUCUUUUCCUUCAGAAACCGUAAAAAAUUUCUCAUCAUUUUCUUCUACUUCAUUCUCUUCUUUUGGUGUACAAAAAGGAAAACUUAUCUUCUAUUCUGCUUCAUUUACAUAACAACUCCUCAUCUUUUAUUUUCUUCUUCUAUUUCAUUCUCUCCAUUUGGUGCAUAGAACAGAAAGCUCAUAUUUUCUUUAGAAGCCCUAGAAAAUUUCUCGUCUAUCAUAUCAUCUUUUGUUUCAUUCUCAAUCCUUAGAAAAAUUAUCUCAUCUCAUUUUAUCAUUUCAUCUAUCCUCUUAUCCUCUCAUUUUUUUGUCCAGUUAUCUCAUAUUGUAUCUUCAAGCACAAUAAAAAAAAAAUAGGUUCAUUGAAGAGUGAUAAAAGAAAAAGGUUAAAAAUGGUGAUAAAAAAAUCAAAAAUCCCAAUUGCGAAGAGAAAAAGCAAAAAAUUGUGACUAUGAACUUAACUGUGGUUAAGUUCUUUAUUAAUGCAACUCAACUAUUGUUAAGUUCAAGUGAAAAUUCCAACUGUGAACUUAACUGUGAUUGAGUUAUUCGUUAAUACAACUCAACCACUAUUAAGCUCAAGUGAAAAUUCUAACUAUGAACUUAACUGUGGUUAAGUUAUUUGUUAAUGCAACUCAACCACUAUUAAAUUUAAAUGAAAAUUCUGACUAUGAACUUAACUCUGGUUAAGUUAUUUGUUAAUGCAACUUAAUAAUAGUUAAGUUUAUAUUAAUGCAAUGACUGUCAACUUAACCAUAAUUAAACUUAACUAAUUAAUUUAUAUGAUAAAACUAAAACAUUAAUUUAAAAUUUCAAUCUAUGAUUCAAAAAAAUUGCUUUAAGCAUAUACAAAAAAAUAGGCUCACAAAUCCCUUCAUGACCCUAUACAAAAAAUUAAAUAAAUAAAAAUGUAGAUACAUAGUUAAAUCAUCCUCAAAAAAAAAAUUCUAUGGUAGCAAUAUUAAAGUGACUUAUGAACUGGUUGUAAGGAAAAUUCUUGGAUGUUGAUAUUCCUCUCAACAAUAUUGACACAACUAUAUUCAUCUCUAGGAUGUAAUGAGAUUGGUCGUUUGCAUGUUUUUUUAUCAUGCCCAUAAUCACCAAAUCUACCACAACAUCGUGUGUGUUUAACCUCUCCACUUGAACAAAUUCUCUCCUUUCUUGGUCUUCCUACUAGUCGUUGACUUUUUAGUGGUAGCACAACUCUACAAUGAAUGUCUUCCGGAAUACAAUACAUAACUCAAUUGGAUCUAGUUGAAGAAUGCGAUACACAACUCUCAUUAAUUCAUGAUAUGAUAUAUUCUUCUUCACCGUAAAGUCUUUACCUUCACUUCCUUUAAAGUGGUAUAUGUUCUCAUCUUAUACCUAAUUCCCUUUAUACAAAAGCAUUAUUCCUACAUCAUCAAUGACUGUAGAAAUAAAUAUUUCAAAUUAUCAUAUUAAGAAUGAAAUAGUACAAUAUAUGAUAUACUUUUAUUGAGUUUCAACUAUAGACUAUGUAAUGAAUCUUGAAACAUAUAUUUAUAUUUUUAUUAAAUAACCCACUACAUAAUAAUAUGUCAACAAUUCAAUCUCAGUUUUCAGUAAAGUUAUAUAAAAAUAAAUUUUUGCUUUGAAUAGCAACACAUAAACUCAACUUAUGUUAAGUUAAACCUAACAAAUAGUAAAAUUUGUUGUUCAAUGCAUCAAUGCAACACUUCCCAUAAAUCAAAUAUCCAAAGGAACAAUAUAUAACUACAAUGGGUAUUAAUCAUGAGCAAUACUAAAACCAUAAUAAAUUUUCAUGCAUGUGAUUUAUUGCUUACCAUCAUUUGACCUUGUCAUAUGGAUAAAUCUUUUCAACUUCUUUUGAAUGAACUUUUCACUUUUUCAUAAUUAAUAAUGGAGUCUCUAUUUUUUACCUACAAUGGUGAAGUGAUAUUUUGAAUUUUUAGAAAAUAGAAAGAAAUAAAAUGAUAAUCUAAAAAAGAAAUUGUUGGGUGCUUACAUUUUUUUUUUUUCAUUUUAUCGUGAUCAAGAAUGAAGAAUAAAUGAAACAAUGGUAAGGACUUAGGCUUGUUCUCUACAGGAAAACAAAAAGAAGCAACCAAUGAUUGAAUAAAAAAAUAAAAACCUAAUCUACUAUAAAAAUAAAAUGAAUUGAAAGUUAUAUUGGAGGGAAAAUGAGGGGUAUUUUUGUCUCAAUCAAGUCAACUUUUUUGCCUUUUUAGGGGUGGGUUAUAUUUGUAAAUAUGAGUGUUAUUUUGACUCAUAUAACCAAAUAACCCUUUUAAUAAGGGUGACCAUGGUUUGAUAACCCUUACUCCUUUCCUUUUGAUUUAUUUUCAUUUCAUGGCCACUUAUUAAGAUGAGUGUUCUUCAAUAGAUUACCGUAUGUUCUUCAAAAUACAUCAUUUCAGCCUGUCUAAGCUUUGAAGAUUUUGUAACUCCAACUUUGAAUCUCUUAGAAGCAUUAAAGAUUCUUAUGCAUCCCCAAAUGAAGAUAGUAGCGGCAAGGAAAGUUUCCUAGUCUAAAAUGAAAUCUAAAGAAGGGACUUUUCCCUUCAUCUUUGAGGUUUGGACAUGACAAAGGCAACAUUUUGCACCAACUUCCUCCUAAAAGAGGUCUGUCCCAGCAAGUUCCUUUUCUUAAGGUCCUAUUGCCUUUUCCUUCAGAAUGUGUUCAACUACCACCUCCAAUGAGGGUUUUUCCUUGUCCUCCCCAUGUCAAGAUAGAUGGAGGGCUUCACUAGAUGCCCCCCCCUCCCCUUCCCCCCAAAUUAGGAAGGUUGUUGCAAGGUUCUCUUAAACGCAUCCUUAAAAAAGUUAUGCACAAUUCUUCUACCAAAGCCAAGAGUCUGUUUGCUUGUGAGUUCACAACUAAAAUAGUAAUUACAUUCUUUUCAAGUCAUUCAGUUUCCUUACUUUGGAUGGUUGUAUGCUUAAUGCUUUCAUCGUUCAUUUGUAGGCUUGCAUGAUUGUAUUUGGGGUCGCAAACCAAGCUGGUCUAUUUCAAGAGAUGCCAUUCUACCAUAAGAAUGAGAUUAAGCACCUUCGUCUUUUGAUGAAUAAGGUGUCCCUUGCACGAGUUCAAGGGUGAAGUCCAUAUUCUUGUGUAUGAGAGAAUUGUCCAAGAUAUUUCAACUUUUGGGUGGAGAAAAUAGUAAAAGAAAGAGGUGGUAGCUGUCUAAACUAACCUUAAUUUCUGCCUUCCAAGCAGAGAAUGAAUCCCUCCAUUGCAAGGUUUCUCAACUUGAUAAAGAACAAAAAAGUUUGGAAGUAGGACAGAUUUGGAUUGAGAUUAGACAUAAAGAUUCAAAACAAGAAAAGUUUGAACAAGAAUCCAGGAUUAGAAAGGCCCUAAUAGGAGGCCAAAGAAAAUGAAAAGAUAAAAUGUAUAUAUAGAAGUUGACUACAAUUUUUAGAAUGACUUAGAAAAGGCUUUCAAUAAUAGCAUAGCAAGGUAACAUCCUAAAAGGCUACAUCCUUUCAAACCAGAUGAAAAUCGACUACAUCUUUUCAAACCAAAUGAAGAUCGAGUCUAUUUAAGAGUGAUUAUGAUUAAAAUGUCAUUAUUCAUAGCAUUUUUAUUACUAGCUUCCAUUAGAAACACUUUUAAAUCUUGGACAUGAGGCUACUAAUAUUCUAAUCGGUAAUCAAGGAUGAAAGAAUUUCAUAAACUUUUAUUAUUGUCUCGAAUUUCAAAUACAAGAAAAUAAAGAUUGUUUUAUUUAAUAUAAUAAGGUGGGGGUUUUUUUCUUUUUUCUUUUUUUACUUAAUUUUAAAUAGAACAUAAAACUAAAUAGUGCUUAGUAGUAUUAAGUUUUAGAUUGUUUAUUUUUAUAAUAUUUUAUUUCUAUUAAGUGUUAAAAAAUAUAGAAAAAAAUCAGCAUAUUACUUUUUCCAUUUAAAAAAAAAACUAAAUAUUUUAGUUUUUUUAUUCAACAAAAAAAUUAUAAUAAGUCAUGAAAAUGUAAAAUAUAUAUAUAACCUAAAGUCUGAAAACAAAUUGCUUUUAGCAAAAAGUUAAAAAAGUAAACACCCUCAAAAUGUUUUUAUGAACUUGCCCAUUCUAAAGAUAUGAGUUCCAAAACAUAAAAUACAUAGAAGAGUCGUUUCUUUUUAGGGAAAAUCAUCUAACCAUACACCAACUACAAAAAAAUAUGAGAUUUUGGAACUUUACUUUUUUCUUUUUAAUUUUAGUGUAAAAUGGGAAAAAAUAUUGUUUAUUCAUGCAUUCCAAUAGUGUUUUCAAAUUUGUUCCACAAUUACUCUCAAAAGUAAAGGACAAAGUACAUACCAAUUUAAUACCACUUGUUAACAAGUACAUGAGUCAUUUAUUUUUAUUAUUUUUCUCACAUCAAGAUAUCUCCCUUACUACUUGUCACGUUUUCACUUUUUUCUUUUUUUUUCUUUUUUCUUUUUUUUUCCUCUCUUGCCACCAUAAUCCAUUGUCACCUAUUAUAGUUUUUAUUAUUAUUUUUCUUUUUUUCCUUUAUAUUCUUUUUAAUAUGCUCGCGCAUUUUCUCAUAAAACUUCUUUAAUUUUAAUUUAUUUUUACUCUCUAAUUUGUCUAUAUUUAUUGAUUUUAAUUAUUUUUUUGACAUAUUAAACUUAAAAUGAUAACAUAUAAUAAAUAAUUAAUAUAACAAAUUAAAUAAAAACAAAAUCUAUAAUGGACAAAAAUGAAAAUAUCAUCCCACAAAUAAUAAUGAUUUUAAAUAUUAAUUAUAAUAAUACAUUUUAUAAAUUAAGGUUUAAAUUUAAAAUUUACAUUUUAUUAUUUAGAAGUUUAUGAUAUAAGAUUUUUUAUAUUAAUACUAAACAAAAGAUUUAUUUAUUUUGUAAAUUCUAUCACAUGUAAAAGUAAAAAUAUCAUUGUAAUGUGUUGGGCUUUGUGGAGCCUAGUUUUGUUUGAUCCGAUUUGACGACCCAACCCGAAUAAUAUUGCAUGGCUUUUUUAAUGGGAGAUUUAUUGAGGCCUGUUGGGCCCGUUUAGCCCAUUGUGGAACCACCUUUUGUAAUUAGGGUUUUUUAGUAUGGUAGGGUUGCCGUGCUAUAUAUAUAGAGAGAAUAUUGUAGCCGCCAGGUUGUACUCUGUAUUCUUUCCUGAUAAUAGUGAUAUCCCUGCAACUUCGUGGACGUAGGCAAAUUGCCGAACCACGUAAAUACUGUUUGUGUGUGAUUGUUUUUCUUUGGCGUGUGUUUUCUCUAAUUUUUUGUUUCUCACAGGUUGGGAAUUUUGUUUAAUUCCCUACAAUUGGUAUCAGAGCCUAGGGUUAGGUUUGAGUGGGAGCAAUGGCAGAGGAAGCAGGAAAGGAGUCUGGAAUAGAAAAGUUUGAUGGCACAGACUUUGCGUAUUGGAGGAUGCAGAUUGAAGAUUAUCUCUAUGGGAGGAAAUUGCAUCUGCCUCUUUUGGGGACAAAACCUGAGAGUAUGAAGGCUGAGGAAUGGGCGCUUCUUGACAGACAGGUUCUAGGAGUUAUUAGGUUAACUCUGUCUAGGUCUGUUGCACACAAUGUUGUAAAGGAGAAGACCACAGCAGAUCUGAUGAAGGCUUUGUCCGGUAUGUAUGAAAAGCCAUCCGCAAACAAUAAGGUGCAUCUGAUGAAGAAAUUGUUCAAUUUGAAGAUGGCAGAGAAUGCAUCAGUAGCACAACAUCUGAAUGAAUUUAAUACAAUCACAAAUCAAUUGUUGUCUGUAGAAAUUGAUUUUGAUGAUGAGAUUCGUGCUCUGAUCGUCUUGGCUUCUUUGCCAAACAGUUGGGAGGCAAUGAGGAUGGCAGUAAGCAAUUCUACGGGAAAGGAAAAGCUCAAGUACAAUGAUAUACGAGAUUUAAUUCUGACUGAGGAGAUUCGUCGAAGAGAUGCAGGUGAAACCUCAGGAUCUGGUUCUGCCCUAAACCUUGAGACAAGAGGUAGAGGUAAUAACAGAAAUUCAAAUCAAGGUAGAUCAAAUUCCAGAAAUUCUAAUCGGAACAGAAGCAAAUCUAGAUCAGGCCAAUAAGUACAAUGUUGGAAUUAUGGGAAAACAGGUCACUUUAAAAGGCAAUGCAAAAGCCCUAAGAAGAAGAAUGAAGAUGAUUCUGCUAAUGCUGUAACAGAAGAGGUACAUGAUGCAUUAAUUCUUGCAGUAGACAGUUCACUUGAUGAUUGGGUUUUGGAUUCAAGAGCUUCGUUUCAUACCACUCCACACCAAGAAAUCAUACAGAAUUAUGUUGCAGGUGAUUUUGGUAAGGUGUAUUUGGCUGAUGGUUCAGCCUUGGAUGUUGUGGGUCUGGGAGAUGUCCGGAUAUCGUUGCCCAAUGGGUCUGUUUGGUUACUGGAGAAGGUUCGACAUAUUCCUGACCUGAGGAGGAAUCUGAUUUCUGUUGGACAACUUGAUGAUGAAGGACAUGCAAUACUAUUUGUUGGUGGUACUUGGAAGGUUACAAAUGGAGCUAGGGUAUUGGCUCGUGGAAAGAAGACUGGCACUCUGUAUAUGACCUCAUGUCCAAGAGACACAAUUGCAGUUGCUGAUGCAAGUACUGAUACAAGCCUAUGACAUCGCAGACUUGGUCACAUGAGUGAGAAAGGGAUGAAGAUGUUGCUGUCAAAAGGAAAACUACCAGAAUUGAAGUCCAUUGAUUUUGACAUGUGUGAAAGUUGCAUCUUAGGAAAGCAAAAAAAGGUGAGCUUCUUGAAAACUGGCAGGACACCGAAGGCUGAAAAAUUGGAACUAGUACACACUGAUUUGUGGGAGCCUUCUCCGGUUGCAUCCCUAGGAGGUUCAAGGUACUACAUCACCUUUAUUGAUGACUCAAGUAGAAAGGUAUGGGUUUAUUUUCUGAAAAAUAAAUCUAAUGUAUUUGUAACUUUUAAGAAGUGGAAGGUCAUGGUUGAGACAGAAACAGGUUUGAAAGUAAAAUGUUUGAGGUCAGAUAAUGGAGGAGAGUACAUAGAUGGAGGAUUCAGUGAGUAUUGUGCUGCACAGGGAAUUAGGAUGGAGAAGACCAUUCCUGGGACACCAUAGCAGAAUGGUGUGGCUGAGCGCAUGAAUAGAACUCUCAAUGAGCGUGCUAGAAGUAUGAGGUUGCAUGCUAGACUACCAAAAACUUUUUGGGCUGAUGCUGUUAGCACUGCAGCUUACCUGAUAAACCGAGGACCAUCAGUUCCCAUGGAGUUCAGACUUCCUGAGGAGGUUUGGAGCAGUAAAGAGGUGAAGUUUUCACAUUUAAAAGUUUUUGGUUGUAUUUCUUAUGUUCAUAUUGAUUCUGAUGCUCGUAGUAAACUUGAUGCAAAGUCAAAAAUAUGUUUUUUCAUUGGCUAUGGUGAUGAGAAAUUUGGCUAUAGGUUUUGGGAUGAACAAAACAGGAAAAUCAUCAGAAAUAGAAAUGUGAUAUUUAAUGAACAGGUUAUGUACAAAGACAGGUCAUCUGUAGUGUCAGAUGUUACAGAGAUAGAUCAAAAGAAAUCUGAGUUUGUCAACUUAGAUGAAUUGACUGAAAGUACUGUCCAAAAAGGGGGUGAAGAAGAUAAGGAGAAUGUAAAUUCACAGGUAGAUCUGAGUACACCUGUAGUUGAAGUUCGCAGAUCUUCUAGGAACAUUAGACCUCCGCAGCGUUAUUCACCUGUUUUAAAUUAUCUCCUGUUGACUGAUGGUGGUGAGCCAGAGUGUUAUGAUGAAGCCUUGCAAGAUGAGAAUUCAAGCAAGUGGGAGUUAGCCAUGAAGGAUGAGAUGGAUUCCCUAUUGGGGAAUCAGACAUGGGAACUAACUGAAUUGCCAGUAGGAAAGAAGGCUUUGCACAACAAAUGGGUAUACAGAAUAAAGAAUGAGCAUGAUGGUAGCAAACGUUACAAGGCCAGAUUAGUUGUUAAAGGGUUCCAGCAGAAGGAGGGCAUUGACUACACAGAGAUAUUUUCUCCAGUUGUGAAGAUGUCAACAAUUAGACUUGUACUUGGAAUGGUGGCUGCAGAAAACUUACAUCUUGAGCAGUUAGAUGUGAAGACAACAUUCCUUCAUGGUGACUUGGAGGAAGACCUUUACAUGAUUCAACCAGAAGGGUUCAUUGUUCAGGGACAAGAGAAUCUAGUCUGCAAACUGAGAAAGAGCUUGUAUGGCCUUAAACAAGCUCCUAGACAGUGGUACAAGAAGUUUGACAAUUUUAUGCAUAGAAUUGGGUUCAAGAGAUGUGAAGCUGAUCACUGUUGCUAUUUUAAGUCCUUUGACAAUUCUUAUAUCAUAUUACUAUUGUAUGGCAAACCUGUAAGGCUCAUUUUUUAGUGUCCAAUACUGCUCCUGAUCUUUCCUAGAUGUUACUUGCAAUGAAUUCAGUUUUCAGAAAGACUAAUUGUGCAUCUUAAUAUGUAAAGCUUAUCUUCUAGCUCGGUUAUAUCUAAAAGAAGAAAAUACCAAAAGCUACAAAGCUAGAUUUGCACUCACUUCUUGGAGGAAGUCUGUCACACCCUUUCUUUGAGGACAUUUGAAGCCCAUUGACUAAAAAAAUUCAAGCACAUUUUCACGAGGUCCUUGAUAAACAAUCUGACUAUCAGAGAGGAGAAUGAUGUCAUCAAAAAGAUCAUAAGUCUCAAGUGGUGGCUGGAGGAGAGAGAUGACAGCAGUCCCAUUGAGAAUGUGGAUGGUUUGCCUGAGAGAAUUCACAAUUUGAUAAGUUGUUGAGCUGUCCAAGCCAGUAGAGAUCUCGUCCAUGAAUAGCGCCUUUGAUGGACCGACCAGCAUCUCACCUAUCAUUCAAACAUUUCUCAUAAUUCAAUUAAAUUAAAUCAAUGAACCAUACAUAUAAAUACAUAUGUAGUUUUUUUCUUCUUCUUUCGGUUAGAAACCAAAUUAUUCAACCUGUUGUGACACGCUUCCUUUGUCCUCCAGAGAUACCUCUUAUCAUUUCAUCUCCUACCAUGAUAUCAGCACAGAUAUCUAAUCCCAGAAUCUGUGGAUAGAAGCAGGUAUAAAGACAAAUAAACAAAGUAUGAGCUAGUAUUGGCUUUUCUUAGAAAUCCGCAUGUCAUCAUUGAAAGUCAUAUGGUUAUAGUACCUUCAUUAUAUGAUCAGUGACCACACUUUUCUUCUGGCCUUCAGUUGUUGCUGCUUGAAAUAUUAGAAACCAGUAAUGACAAUAUUAGAAACCAAUUCUGUUCAGUACAUUAAGAAAUUCCAUGGAUAAAAGAUUUUGCAGUAGAGCAAAAUUCAGGAAUAAGAUCGACUCAAGCCAUUCAAAAGAGUACAAAAAGAAGGGAACAAACUCCAUAAUAGACACAACAUCAAGAAUACAAAGCCAAUUUGCCUAUUUAUGUCAAGAUAUCAAAAUUUUCAUUCUAGGGAAUACAAACAUCCAUGUUCUCCACUAAGAGCAAAUAGAUCAAAUUCCGAAGAACUAGUUAAAAUUUUACUGAAAGUAGCUUCUGUCUCACCUUCAUGAAGACAUCGAUAUCAGGAUCAGGCUUAAUGUUUGCUGCUUUCUCUCUUCUUGCGAGCUCUGCUAACAUUUCUGCAGAUAGCCAAAAUAAGAGUCAAUCUCCUAGCCUAUACAAAUGAGAUAUAACUGCAUUGGCAACCUUCAAAAACAGAGAAAAUAAAAGGCAAAGGCAAUGGCUUCGACUAACCAAAUCAAUCUCCAACACCCUGACAUCUUGCAGAGAAGGCCAAGGUUUCUCGUAUAGUCAUUUCUCCAAGAUGGGUAUCAUGUUAACUGAUAUACGCAGCAGUUCUCUGUUGUACAAACUCAUUCAUGCCAUGACCAUUGUGUCACCCUUCCAGUAACCUAAAGAAGAAAUUCCAGUUUUCAAAUUAGACAUGAGAUAAAACAGCUAAAAUUUGAAUAGUCAUGAUUAUUUUUUUCAUUCAACCUUCAGACUAGGAUCAAGCUUUCCGGACAACGCCAAUAAGAAAGUGGUCUUUCCAGAACUUGGAGGACCCAAAAGUAACGUCAAUCUGCAGAAAAAAAAAUGCACAACAAUUGAAUAUAGAUCUUUGAGUAUAUUCUAAAUUCAAAGGAACUAUUCGUCUGUUUUAUUAAGUAAUCCAUUUUUACACUCGAAACAAAUUCAUACUCUCACCUGCCAGGUUUGAUGAUUCCGCUAACAUCUCGAAGAAUAGUGAAUUUUCUCUUUCUAGUUGGAAGAAUCCGAAGACCAUGCAAGAUAUUCUUUAAAACAGAAGGAAAAUUAUAAACUAUAAGUAUACGUAUCGAAAAGAGUAUUUAUUGCAUAGCUAAUGAUCUGCAUUUGCAUUGUAGUUACCUCAACUUGAUUAAAAAUGAAAUUAAAGAAUGAAGGAAAAGCUCUGCUGCCUACAUAAGCUUCUCCAUCAAUAGUAAGAUGCUCAUAUCUAACUUCAAUUUCGGGAAGUUCAAUCCCAACUCUGAAAAAGUGGAAGAGACAUGAAAACUCAUCAUUAAAAAGUUAAAGAAAGUUGUUUGGUUGGGGAGAAAAUGUAGGAAACACCUAUUGAUUACUACUCAAAAAGUGCUAUUUGAUAGCCUAUAAUUAAUCCUUUUUAACACUUUUGAGUAGUAGUUUAAGCCUUUUAACUCAAUUGGCAUGUUAAGGAUCCUUUAAAGCAAUUUUGAUCACUUUGUGUAAGUUUUGGUGUUUUUGUUAGUAUUUUGAUCACCAAAGCAAGUCAAGACUGAGGAGAGCUAUGAGGAAUCUUGGGCAAAGCUUAGAAUUCAAUUGCCAAGAGUGAAUCCGGAUUGCAAGGAGAAAAAGCAAAGAGAAUCUACCAUGAAGCCUAUUCUUGAUGACAGUCGUAGCAGCCACUUUUGGAGCACUUUCUGAAGUCCAAAUGAUGCAUGCUAUAUACCAUUUCAAAGCUCAGGAAGUCAACAAUCCAAUGCUUCAAACGGUGCACGAUUCGGAGUUGAAACGAAGAAGUUGCAGCCAUUGCAAGUCAAUCACUCUAAAGUGUUGCGGAAUCAGCCUUUUGUUGCGAGAAUUUCGCAGUACUUUUGUACAGAAAGGUGUUUCUCCUUCUGACAAUUCAGGAACCAUGCCGCGAGAAGGGAGCUGGGAACCUCAAGGUGGAAGCCAACUUCGCAGCCUAGUGAAGAUAGCUCGGUGUUGCGAAAUAAUUUCGCAGCCCUCUUGGGUGUCUGCGAAAUUUCGCAGACUUCAUUUUUCACCUGCGAAAUGGCUCCUGAAGCCUCCCGAAACUUGCUACCGACAUUGGGAGAUAUUUUCCAUUAGAUUUUUGUUGUCUAAAUCCCAAAAUACUCCUUGUAAACCACCAAUUACAUGAUUCCUUAGUUUUUAAGUUAGUAAAAAGACUAAAUAUCUUUGUAACAAUUAGUUUUAUAUUGUUUUGAUAUAUAUACCUCUCGGGAGCCUGUUCUCGGAGAGGAGUUCCUUCUGUAACCGUUUGGGUAAGCAAGUAAAGGUCUUUUCUUUCUACUGUCUUACCUUCUCACUUUGUAUUUUCAUUUUAUUUCUAAGUUAUGAAUUCUCUGAGGAGUUUUCCCCAGAGAAUGAGUAACUAAACCUCCAAUUCCUUGGAGCUAAGGUUGCCGGGGAAGGUUCCAAGUGCAAGAAUGCAAAGCUCUGUGGUUUUAGCUAGUAAUGAAGAGGAAGUGAAAUCCUUUAGUGAUUUCAAUGUUUUUAGUUAACUUAAAACACCUUAGAGUCACCUGGGCCAACACUUGGUAAGGCAAGUGAUUUCCAACCAUGGAAAUGCACUAGUUUACCCCUUGCGAGCCUCUGGGAGGUGACUUCAGGGUAGGAUUUUCUAGAAUAGCCAACACUUGGUAAGCUUUUGGACUCUUAGGAGACAUCCAUUAGUUACCUCUUGCGAGCUUUUGACGGGUAAUCCAAGGUUAAAGAUCACCUUGAAUGGUAAGUGCUCGUGAGAGGCAUGAACCAUUGCAAGUUGCAUCAGUGAGAGAAUUAAAGUGAAAUCUAAUUGAAGGAGUCUCUGUACAUCACCGGUUAGAGAAUUGACUCUAAGUUGAAUCUCUAAUGCGAGGAAAUGAACCAUUUGACCAGAGCCGUGUCUUUUGCAUGAGGAACCACCCCGGUGAACCUAAAUCUCCAAGGAAUGUUUUUCUUCCUAAAUUAUUCCAAACUUCUGUUAAGUUAGUUAGUUUAAGUCUCAACCUUUACCAAUCAAAGUUUGUGUUUUAUUUCUUAAGCUAACCGUGAAAUGAAACAAGACCAAUUCACUUGGAAUUGGUAUCCUUGAUUGCUUGUUAGUCAUUCCCAGUGAACGAUCCUAGAGCCACUAUACUAUAGUAGCUUUUUAUUUGCUACCCUAGUGUAUGGUGUUAUAGGUAUAAAUUUUGUUGAUCACUUCCUCAAUCAAGGAGCACCAGCUGAACACAAAUCAGCUGAGACACCAAUUGGGCAUGAAUCACCUAUCAGGCAAACUCACCCAUCCAUACGAUUCUUGAGCUUCAACAAGAACUUCUCAUUGUCCUCUUCAGCAAUUUUUAUCAACCGCUCCACUAAAUUCUUCUUGUCCUGAAGCCCAAGGCUAUGUAUAUCAACUUCAAUGGCCUCACCCUCUGAUCCCAGCAGCAAGCCUUUCCUCAACCGAUUGUAGGUGGGGAGUUUCUCGAGUGCGGCCCAUUUCAAAGCUUCCUCAUCAUCUUCACCCCUCGUAGAUUGGGAGAAAAUCUCGACGUCAGGGGUCCUCCAUCUCAUAGAACCAGCUCUACGAGUUUCAGGAGUCGACAUUGCAAACAGAAAGGAAGAACUCUCCUGCAAAACCAAUAAGAACCCGCCAAAACCCGAACUGUUGAAAUUAUAAUGCGAGGUAAAGUCAAACUAAAAGAAUUUUAGGAAUUUGAUAAAUAUUAAAAAUUAUUAUUUAUUUAGAUUUAUAUGUUAAUUAAGACUUUUGGUAUAAUAGCAAUUGGAGUCUAGAAUAUAAACUCCUUUUUCUCGCUCUUAGUACAAUGUUAUGUCUUGUUGUAUUGCUGCUACUGCAUUGUAAAAAUCAUAUAGAAUGGAAGGUUUAUAUAGUGAUUGGUAGGACAGAAAAUGAAGUGGUUCAAAAGAUUUGAAACUGGUUUAUUUUCUUGUGAUUCUUUAAGUUAUGUUUGGUUUCUAAAAAAGUACUAAGGAAAGAAAAAAAAUGUUAAAAAAAAAAAUGGUUUUCUCAUGUUUAGUUUCAUAAUGAAAAAAUACAAAAGAAAAUAAAAUAUAAUUAAAAUUUGUUAAAAUUUUAUAUAUUUUUAAAUUAUUUAAUCUUUAUAUAAUAGACGAAAAUAAGUAAAAUAACUUUGAAGAAAUAUAUUAAGGUUAUGUUUGGUUCUCGGAAAGUACCAAGGAAAGAAAAAAAAAUGUAACAGAAAAUGGUUUUCUCAUGUUUGGUUUCAAUAUAAUUUUUUAAAAAAAAUUAAAUAUAAUUAAAAUUAGUUAAAAAUUUAUAUAUUUUAAAAUUAUUUAAUUUUUAUAUAAUGAAUGAAAUGAAGUGAAAUGAGUUUGAUGAAACAUAUAAAAAUAAUUUAUUAAUUUAAAAUUUUUUUUUUUCAUUUUUUCUUUCCUUCUACUUUUCCUCUUUAUUUAUUUCUCUCACAUUUUCUCUCAAAUUUUAUGAAAACCAAACAAAGCCUAAAGUAAUUUAUUAAAUUUAAAUCUAUUUUAAUUUUCUUCAUAUUUUUCUUUCUUUCUACUUUUCCUCUUUAAUUUUUUUCCUUCACAUUUUUUUCUCAUAUUUUCCAGGAACCAAACAUAGCCUAGAAAAUUGGUGAGGGAAAUCGACUAUAAAAAAGUUUGCACAACGACUCCAUAAUAAUGUACACAUGCCACCAUUUUUUUUUCCCUUCAACUUCCUAUAUUAAGACUUUCACGGUUCAUAAUUUUUGGUUUCUUACACUUUCUUUAGCAAGUAAAUAGAAAUGUGAAUGAUCGAAUGUUUUGUUAGUUUUUAAAAUAAGAAGAAAUAUAAUACUUAAUUUUAUACAUGUUUUCCGGCAUGUUUGGUAUGUGAGAUAUGAUAGGAUAGAGUAUCUAUAUUCUAUAAUAUCAAAUUCCAUUAAAUGAAAAAUGCAUAUUUUAAAAUAUAAUUUUCAAUGAGAUAUGAUAUAUUUUUUAUAUUAAAUUCAAUCGAUAUGAUAUUGUAAGAUGACAUAUCCAAUGCAUUUCCUAAAAUAAAUUAUUUCCAUAUAUUUUUUAAGAUUAUUAAAUCCAAUGGAUAUAAUAUUAUAAGGUAACAUAUAUAAUGAGAUAGGUAAUGUAACAUUAUGCUUAUAUUUAAUUUGUAAAAUUAAUAAAAAAUAAAAUGGAAUAUAUAUUAUUUUAUAAUAUAUUUUGUAAAUGUUUUUUUAGUUCUUCUAUUUUAACCAUAAAUUUAACUUUAUAAUAAAAAAAUUAUUUUACUAAAUAAGUGAUAAAAUAAAAUAAAAAAUAAUAAAAGAAAAUUAAAUUUAUGAUACAUAAAAUAAUAUAUCUCACUACUUAUCCUAGAAGGAAUAUAAAAAAGCUAUAGAUAAUAUAUUUCACUACUUAUUCUACCAUGUGUUACAUCCAUCCAACCAAACCAUGACCUUACGGAUAUAAAAAAAUUUAACGUUUAAUAGCAUCCACAUUAAUGAAAACAAACAAUUUACUAAUAUAAACUAAACAAUCAAACACUCAAAUGAUAUUUCGCUCUAUUUAGACUAAUGAAAAAUAAACAAUUUAAAUAUUUAAUAACAUUCCACUUUAUUAAGCUUUAAGCUUAGAAUCUUAAAAAAAAAAAAAAAAAAAUACUUUAAAAAUAUUUUUUAGAGUUGUUUCAAAGGAAUGGGAUUAUUUGUUUUUUUUUUCUCAUUUAUGUCAUAAAGCAAAUUAUUUUAAAACUUAAAAUCAAAAUAUAAAAAUUUAUUUUUUAUAUUAAGAUAAAAUUGUCUUAUAAAAAGUAACAAGUUAAAAAACAAAUAAUUUUUAAAAUGACUUAAGUCUUAACACUAUUAAGUAUUAUUUAGAUGUAAGGUUUAUUUAAUUUUAUUUUUUUUUCAAAAAAGCACCACCUUUCAAAUAAGAUUUAAGCAGGUUUAACCUAUUCAAAAUUGCUUGAAAUUUAAGAGGUUAUUUGUUUUUUAAAGUUAAAUCUUAAAGCUAGUUGCUUUAAAAUUUAAGAUAAAAGUAAAUAAAAUAAAAUGAAAACUUUUGUUAUUAAGACAAAAUUUUCUUUUAAAAAUGAUAAACUAAAAAAAUAAUUUGAAAAAUGACUUCCAUCUUAAAGCAACUCUUUUUAUUAGGAUUGUAUCUCUAUCCUAAUUAAAAUUAACAAUCAACUUGAUUUUGAGUAAGAUUAUAUCAAUGUUAACCAACAUUAUUUUCUAAUAAAAGUAUUUGCGAAAACAUAAACACAUUUAUGCUUCAAUAAAUGGAAUACAUUUUUUUAGUAAUAUAACCAUAUUUUAAUUUUGAAAAAAAACAUAUUAGUCUAAUCAUCAAUAUUCAUAAUUGAUAAUAUCAUACAUUAAAAAUUAUUAAUGGUGAAUAACUGAUAUAUAUAUGGAUUAUUAAAGCAACUAUGACCAUACAACCUAUGGAACUUGGUGUAAACUUUUUUGUGGACCUGUAUUUUCUUUGCUUAUUAAAAAAUAAAUUAUUAAAGCAAUAAUGAGCAUAGAAAUUAAUUAAAACAAUAACUAUCACUCAAAUGAAGUAUUAGGCUCUAUUGAUAAUUGUUUUUAAAAACAAUUUUUAGUCUCCAGAAUAAAAAUUAAAAAUUAAAAAUUAAAAAAUAAAAAAACAAGAAAACAAGUUUGAUAAUAGAAAACAAAAACAUUGUAUUUUCAAUUCUUUAAUUGUUUUCACUUUUUUUAAAGGAUUAUUUUUAAAAAAGUCAUACAAAUACGAAGAAUGAUUAAAAAUAAAACACUGUAUAUAAAAAUUAUUUUUAAAAUAUAAGAAACAAGUUAAAAAUAUUUUAGAUUUUUAAAUAGGCUUUUGUUUUAUAAAAAAUCAAACAACAAUUUUCAAAAAUUAUUUUUAAAAAUUGUUUUCAAAAAAACACUUUUCAAAUAGAACCCUAUCCUACCAACUAUAUAUAUACACACACACAAUGCUAAUGAUAUUUAAAAGAAAAACAGUCACAUGAAAAAGGUAAUAAUAUUAGAGACUACAGAAGAACUUACUAUCAGAAAAACAUUGUCAAUAAUACAUGGGAUGAGAAUGAUUUCAUACAGCUACUGAGAUUGUCCUCAAAGUUGUUCUUAAAAAACAAAAAUACUAUAAAUGGUUGGAUCCAACCUUUCAAGGAAACCAAAGCCCUGUUCUUUUUUUCUUUUUUUGAUAAAGAGAUUUUCAUUUUUUUCCUUCUAAAAGGAACAUUCUAUAUAUAGAAUCUAAAGGUAUCAAACUGUGCCUCCAAGUAGUUUGACUGUAAAGUACAAUUCAAUCCAAUGUGUUGAUUGUUCUUUUGGUUUGCUAAUUGAUCAGGCAAUCAAUCUUUCCUCAUGUGGUUUCCAUAUUAUCAUUUUUUCAUCUUUUUCCACAUCAUUUUUAUCCUUUUCCAUAAAUAAAAAAAAUAUUUAGAUAAAUUAUUUCAUUAGCAAUUUGUUGAAGACUUGAAAAUAAAUUAAAUAAGAGAAAUAUUCACAAAUUUUUUACUUAAUUAUUCAUGAUGACAUUAAUAAUGAGAGUAACGUAUAACCAAAUAAGACUAAGAUAGGAAAAAAUGAGACAAAAGAAUUUGUCUCUAAAAGGUAUGAAAAAAUGAGAAUCAAAUAUGAAUUAAGGAGAUAUAGGUAUAAACUUAAUAAGAAAAAUGUUAAUUAUGCUUAAAUCUAUGAAUUUAAGAAAAUCUAAAAUUUUGGCCAUAAUUAUUCAUGAUCACAUCAAAUUUAUAUAUAGGAAUGGUUGAAAAUAAUGAGAGCAAUGCAUAACCAAAUGGUACUAAGAUGGGAAAUAAUGAGACCAAAGAAUUUGUCUUUAAAAGGUAUGAAAAAAUGAGAUUCAAAUACCAAUUAACUAGAUAUAGGUAUAAACUUAAUAGAAGAAAUAUUAAAUACGCUUAAGGUUAUGUUUGGUUUCAAGAAAAUAUUAAGAAAAUAAAAAAAAUAAAGGAAAAUGAUUUUCUCAUAUUUGAUUGUCUUAUGAAAAAUAUAAAAGAAGGUCAAGUAUAAUUAAAAUUAAUUAGAAACUUACGUAUUUUUAAAUUAUUUAAUCUUUAUAUCAAUUAAUUAAAUUAAACAAAAUGAGUUUGAAGUAAUAAAUAAAAAUAAUUUAUCAAAUUUUAAUCUAUUUUUUAUUUUUCUUUACAUUUUCCCACAAAUUUUCGUGGAACCAAACAUAGCAUAAAUGUAUGAAUUUAGGAAAAUCUAAAAUUUUGGCCAUAAUUUUUCAUAAUUACAUCAAAUAUAUAUAGGAAUGGUUGAAAAUAAUGAGAGCAAUGUGUAACCAAAUGAUAUUAAGAAAAUAAUGAAACCAAAGAAUUUGUCUCUAAAAGGUACGGAAAAUGAGAGUCAAAUAUGAAUUAAUGAGAUACAAGUAUAAAUUUAAUAAGAGAAAUACUAAUAAUGCUUAAAUAUGUGAAUUUAAGAAAUUCUAAAAUUUUGACCAUAAUUAUUCUCACAUCAAAUAUAUAUAUAUAUAUAUAUAUAUAUGAAUGGUUGUAAAUAAUGAAAUCAAUGUGUAACCAAAUGGGACUAAGAAAAAUAAUGAAACCAAAAAAUUUGUCUCUAAACAGUACCAAGAAAUGAGAAUCAAAUAUGAAUUAAUCAAAUAUAGGUAAAUUUAGUUAGAGAAAUAUUAACAAUGCUUAAAGAUAUGAAUUUAAAAAAAUCUAAAAUUUUAACCAUAAUUAUUCAUGAUUACAUUAAAUAUAUAUAGGAAGGGUUCAAAAUAAUGAGAGCAAUGUAUAAGCAAACGGGACUAAGAAAAUAAUGAAACCAAAAAAUUUGUCUCUAAAAGGUAUGAAAAAAUGAGAGUAAAAUAUGAAUUAAUGAAAUAUAGGGAUAAAUUUAACAAGAGAAAUAUUAAUAAUGCUUAAAUAUAUGAAUUUAAGAAAAUCUAAAAUUUUUAUAAUAAUUAUUCAUAAUCACAUCAAAUAUAUAUAGUGAUGGGUGAAAAUAAUGAGAUCAAUGUAUAACUAAUAGAGACUAAGAUAGAAAAUAAUAAAACUAAAAAAAUUCUCUAAAAUGUAUGAAAAAAUGAGAGUUAAAUAUGAAUUAACAUAUAUAUAAAUUUAAUUAGAAAAAUAUUGACAAUCUUAAGUAUAUGAAUUUAAGAAAAUCUAAAAUUUUGGCCAUAAUUAUUCAUGAUCACAUCAAAAAUAUAUAGGAACAAUUGAAAAUAAUGAAAGGUAUAAUCAAAUGAGACUAAGAUAGAAAAUAAUGAAACCAAAGAAUUUGUCUUUAAAAGUUACAAAAGAAAUUAAAAAAAAAAAAUCAGAGUCAAAUGUGAAUUAAUGAGAUGUUGGUAUAAAUUUAAUAAGAGAAAUAUUAAUAAUGCUUAAGCAUAUGAAUUUAAGAAAAUCUAAAAUUUUGGUCAUAAUUAUUCAUUAUCACAUCAAAAUAGGACGCUUGAAAAUAAUGAGAGCAAGGUAUAAUAAUACGAGACUAUGAUUAUCAAACUACUUCAAAAUCAAAAUCCUUAAUAGAAUCAAAUCAUCAAGAUGAUGUUAAUUAGUCUUUUUCAAAACAUUGAAGAAAAUCUAAGCCAAAGUUCCAAUGACCAAGAAAUAUGCAUAAAAGAUAGUUGCCCGCCAAAGACCUUAAAUGUAAUCACUAAGGAAUAAGAAUUAAUUUUAGAAUUAUUUAUUAAGGUUCAAGAUUCUUCAAUAAAAACAUAAUUAUGUGAAAUUUGUAAGAAAUCGAUUUCUAAACUAGAAAUGAAAAAAAAAAACUAUAAAACCUUAUAACUUCUAUGAAAUCUUGACAAGAUUUAACUAUAAUUCCCUAAAAAAGUGAUUAUUAAAGAUCUUCAAAAGGAAAUAAGAUGAUGUUAGAAGUUAGAGAAUUAAGACAAUACACCAACAUAUGUUUAACAAACCUUCAAGAACAAAUUAAUUAGAUAGUAAGUAAUAAGAAUUAAUAUAUCCUAAAAUCCUUAUAAGUUAAUGAAGAUUUAUCACACUUAUAUCUCAAUGUUAUAAAUAGGGUCAUCUUUAAAAAAUGCAGUGUUUCCCUAACAAUUGUGAUUAACAAUGAGUUCAUCGCUAAGAUUAAUUGUUGUCUUAAUAGAUUCAAGAGUAGCUUCUUUAUGGCAUGCUAAUAGGUCAAACUUAAGAUUAGCUACAAAUUGUCUAAGGCUCAUGUCAAUAAUCAAGGGAUGCACACAACAUUUAAUUUGGUAUAAGAUUUAAGAGAAGAAAUAUUCUUGGAAUACCCUAUUUAGUUGUCUACCCUAUCACUAGAGUAGAUGGUCAAGGUAUAAGACUAAACUCUUAAAUCAAGAGACUCCUUUUGAAUUUGCAUAUCCUCUAAAAAGAAACCUAAAUAAAUUAAGAUCUUUGAUUAUUUCUAUAAAAAAAAUACAUUUUUUUUAGUUCAAGAAGUUAGAUCUAAGAGAAUUGAAGAACAAUUGGAAGUUAAAAAGACUCAAGAUGCUAUCCAAUAAUUCAAAGAAAAGUUGGUUAGAGAAGCCCAUCCUAAAUUCCCUAAUGUAUUUUGGCAUAGGGAUGAACAUGUUAUAGAACUACCUUACAACCUAGAAUUUAGGGAAAAUAAUAUUCCCACUAAGGCAAGACCAAUUCAAAUUAUUCAAAAACCAUUGAGAUAUUAUGAAAAGGAAAUUUAAGAACUCUUUGAUAAAAAAUUAAUAAAGAAUCUAAAUCUCCUUGAAGUUGUGUAUGCGCAAAUUUCAUGAAGUCUUGCAAAACAACCAAAAACUAUAGGAAAAAUAUAUGUGAUCAAAACUUUAUAUUAAAAUUAAUUGAUUGUGCGGUAUAGACUCAAAUAUAAUAUUCUUUACAAAAGAAUAUUUUCCAUUUGAUUCAUUCACUUUGAUUACAAUCCCAAAGAUGAUGACAAGAGUCUUUUCUUGAUUUUAGAAAAUCAAUCCAAGGCCUAGAGUGGUUUUUUCUUGAAUGAACUUAUUAAAUGGUGAAAAACACGUAUAUGCUUUUAUUGUAUAAAAGUAUAAAACACUUUCACAUUUAAUUUUAAAAUAAUUAUAUAAUGUAAUUAAAAAUAAUAAUACAAAUUAAUUAAUAUAAUAAUUUCAAAAUAAUAAAAUACUAAAGACAUGCAAAUAAAAUUAAAUAUUAUAAUUUUAUUUUCAUUUUAUAUAUAUCCUUAUAUUUAAAUAUUAUAAAUGGUCUAUUUAAUCGAAUUUAAAAUAUUAAUAUAUUUAUAUUUCUCUUCAUCAUUUAAUUUGAUAUGUCAAAUAUAAAAAUGAAAUAUUAUUAAAAAUUUUAAUUAUAUAUAAUUUUAAUUUCUUAUAAUUAUUCAAAAUUUUAUAUAAUAUAUAAAUUAUUAUUUAUGAUGUCACCAAGUCGACCAAGGUCCGACCAGUGAACCAUGAAUUGGUAACUUUUUCGGUUCAAUCAUCAAUCCAAUUCUGAAAACAUUGAUCAUAUGACUUGAGAGUACAAAUAUUCAUGGCCCCACAAUUGAUUUUUUUUAUUAUUAUUUUAACCAUGAAAUGUGGGCCCCCAUGUUGUUCUUAAAUCUUAAAUAUCAAAUAAAAUGAUGAAAUAUUUUUAAAAUUUUAAUUAUUUAUAUAUAUUUUUUCACUUAUUAUAAUAAAUUUUAAUUUUCAACCGCAAUUCAACAACUGGUUCAACCAUUGAAUUAUGAAUCAAUAACUAUUUCGAUUCAACAACCAAUCCAAUUUUGAAAGCAUUGGUAAAUAUAGGCAUAAAACUAUUGGAAAUAACUCCCGACUUUCCAAGGAAGGCCUAAACUUCCCUUCUUGCUUCCUGAAUUCUAAAUUUAAUAGCAUUGUAAACGCUGCAGAUUAAAAACACAGGUCUAGUUUUUUAUAGUUUCUAAAUUUUCAUCCUAUUAUCAUGUCUUUAUGUCUUUGGUACUUAGAGCAGAGAUUGAAAGUGGAGGCCCAUACUGUUAAGUUGGUAACCAAGGAUGAAAGAAUAGCUCAAGGUUCUAUUACUGUCUGGAAUUUCAAAUUACAUAAAAUUGGGACGACAAAGAAAUUAAAGAAUUUAAUAUCCUAACAUCCUACGUACACAAAGAACAAAACCUUUUUUUCAUCUUACAAUCAAAUGUUGAACUGAAAGGUUACAUACAUAAAAUAACCAACCAUCCUUGAAGAACUUGUGCUCGGAAUGACUUCUUAUCGCCUUUGGAAGUUAAAUGCCUUAAUGGCGUAGGCAAAGAUGAAUAAGAACAGCACCACAAACCCAACAACCACAGCUGCAACCACUCCCAGGAAAUCAUGUUUGAAUCCAAAAUAAUCAUCCAAGAAUUGUUCCACCGUUUGAUUUUUGUCAAGUAGUGUGUCCUGUAUAUCUCCAAACUGUGAUGUAACCAAUCCAUACAAAGUCCAUGCAACUGGACAUAUCCAAUAGUACCAUCUCCACCACACCGGAAUUCUCUGUAUUCAUCAAGGAAGAAAUGCAACAAUAUGAGUCAUUUCUAUAUCCAUGUGGCAAGGAAAGUUGCAAUUUAAAGAAUCACAGGUUGAGAGCACUUACGUUUCGUGGGACUAUGAAACCUGAAAAGAGGUUCCAUAAUCCAUAAAAUGCCGCAGCAACGAUGGAAGCAAUAUGUUGAUUUGGCGUGGCAGCCACAGCCAUCAUGCCAUAGAAGGUGAAGUACAACAAAGUGAAGAACAUGAAGAACAGAUACCAGAAGAAUUUAGCGGCAGUCCAUUCAAAUCCAAUCAUUGCAUAAACUAUAACACCAUACACAACAGCUUGUGCAAAGACAUAUGGGAUCUCAACUAGAGCCUGCAACAAGAGAAGAAAUUUGAUUAUUAAAAUGCAAAACAUAUUAUACAUAUACAAAGUCUAUAGUGUAAGAAAACUAGUUACCUGUCCAAAGGCAUAUGGCAGGGCUGAAUACAUUCCUGCAGCUCUUUCUCUGUAAAAGACUGUUCGUUCAACUACAACAACUGGCUGGACCGAUUGGGCGUUCUGAACCCCAAGGAAGAGAACAGCAGCAUACAUAGAACCCAUUGCGUUUAACAGAUCUUGUUGCCUUGUCCUGCAAUUUACCACGUCAAGUAUAAAUUAAAGUUGAUAUAGAGAAACAUACUGAGUUCUCAAAUUUUUUAACCGACAUCAAAUUACCUUUCGGUGCCCAGAUCCCAGAACAUUGUCCCAAACAUCAAGGCUAUGAAAGUUGUGAAGAGAAAUCUCACUGCCGUGUAUGGUGGGUUGCGCCAGUAUGACCAACGUUGUUUCCAUAAGCAUGCCAAAAAUUGGGUGAAGAAGGGUUGGGAGUAUUGAGUAGCGAAAUAGAGGUCUUUUGUACCAGGGGCAGGUUGGCUCAGUUCUUUAAUUAAAUCUUUGUUUCUCCUGAAACAUAUGCCACUUGUUAGAACAGGUUUCAACUACAAAUUUAAGCUUUUCAUGAGAAACAUUAGGAUGGAUGUAUAUGACUUUUCAAUCUUAUAAUGCAAUUAGAUAACAUAUGGUUGAAUCACCUGUAUAGGUCUGAAUUCUUGUAUAUUUCAGUGAAAUCGACCCCCAAAGUUCCUUCUUGUGCUCCGGUGGUAACUUCCAGCAUCCAGGUUGCAGGGUUAUAACCAUCUUUGAUUUUACUGACUCCUUCAAUUCCCUUUAUGAAAGCAAGUGAUAUGUAUUAGUAAGUGCUUAAUAUGAAUUAACUCAAACUGAAGUAUUUACUUCUUAUAGCUUUUACUUUAUCAUGGCUGCUUACCUCAAAAUAAUUUAUUAGAUGGGAAGAAUGUCUACCCAGUGGUCCCACAUAUAUCUCUUGCCCUCCACGCUUCAUCAGGAGCAACUGCAAAUCCAUUUUAAAUAUUUCAGUACUUGUAUGCGAAGAGCAUAGAAGAGAAACUAUAAAUUCUUUCUAUCCCUUAACAUUUCCUACCUCAUCAAAGGCUUCAAAUAUGUCAAUACUUGGCUGAUGGAUGGUGCACACAACUGUCCUUCCUGUGUCCACAGUGUUUCUGACUGUUCUCAUAACAAUUGCAGCAGCUCUUGCAUCUAGCCCUGAAGUUGGCUCAUCCAUGAAUAUUAUUGAGGGAUUUGCCACAAGCUCAACUGCAAUAGUCAGCCUCUUGCGCUGCUCGGUUGAGAGACCAUUUACACCUGGCAACCCAACCAGUGCAUCCCUCAAUGGGGUCAGUUCCACAAGCUCCAUGACUUCCUCAAUGAACAUCUGUAACCAUUAGCAAUGAUUAUGAAUUGUUUAAAAAACGUUGCAAACCAUAGUAGAGAUGGUAAAAAAUUUGACACUGCUUGUGACUCCUGUUAGCAGGUUGUGAAGAGGUUUCCCUAGUCUUACUAAAUGGAUCGGUUAAUAGAUGCAAAUGCUCAAAAACACUCAUUAGCUUGCAUGAACUUCACCCAAUUGGAUUAAAAGUCAAUGAAACUUGAACCAGCACUUUUUCCCAGGUGAAGGUCAAUCCAAACUUGAACCUGACCUUACCUCAACCAAGUAUGAAAAGUCAAUUCUAGGGCUUUGCUUGUUUAGAGCACUAAAUUGAACAAGAAAAAUAUGGAAACAAUUAAGAAGACUCCUACCUUUCUGGUUUCAGAAUUCACAUCAGAAGGCAACCGCAGCCAAGCUGAGUAGAGCAAGGACUCAUGGACAGUAACAUGAGGAGAGUGGAUGUCAUUCUGCUCACAGUAUCCAGAAAUUCGAGCAAAAGUCUCUUGCUUCUUUGGGUAGCCAGAAAUAGUGAUGUUACCCUCAAUAUAUCCACCGGUUUUCCGACCAGCCAGUACAUCCAUGAGAGUGGUUUUACCAGCACCACUAACACCCAUCAGAGCUGUAAGAACACCAGGCCUGAAAGCACCACUCACCCCUUUCAGAAGCUCCAGUCUGUCUUCAAGGGCACCCUGACUUUUCAUUUCCUGCAAGUUCAUUUCAAACAACUCAGUUCUCAUUUCUGGUUUAUAGUACAUUAUGAAAAAACUUCAGUGCUGCUAAAACAUAUGUCAUCAUUUGAAUAAAUAUGACUUUACCUCUGGCAUGUCAACUGAGUAUCUAAUAUCAUCAAAAGUGAUUGAAUGUGGUUGGAAUGGAAGAACCAUUCCUUUCUUCUUAUUAUGAUUAGCCUCAGCAAUGGCUUCUACCAUUUGCUCUCCCCGCUCUGCAUGUCAAGUUUAAAUUCAGUGAGCCAUAUAAAACAUGUAGUUAAAUGACAAGAAUUGAGUCAUACAAAGGCAUGCAUGCAUGCACCAUGUAUGAGUUUCAUCACCUGUGGUUGCAGUUUUGGCAUUGUCAGACUCUUCUGUUAUAACAGCUUGAGGCUUCUCAAAUACUGAGCAAUUUGCACAAUGUUAGUACACUAAGCUCAUAUUUUUAGGAGUUUCAAUGCAGAGAAGGUACAGAUACCCACGAUUUAGGUAAUUAAGGCAGAGAGUGUAAAAGAUGUUGAAAACAAAUAUGAAUCCAAGCAGUGCCCCAGCUCCUAUCCAGUACCAGUGUGCGUCUGUGAAGAACCCACGAGACUUCAAUACUGUGACUCCAAGGGAUUCUGUUGAAUCGGUGACAUUCUGAAAAAUGGAAAUAAGUACAAUCAUCAGUUACUGACACACAUAAAUAAACACAAAUAUUCACAUGGAACAUUCGAGAACUUACUUUGCUCCAACUCUUCCCAAGGAAUUCAUUUACCACUAUUGCAUUCUGUGCAUACAUCAGAGGGGAAGACCAGUAACCCCAAAUCCACCAUUUCUUGACAUUAUCUGCAGCAUUGACCAAAUAAAAAAGGAAACAAAAAUUCAUUAUCAGGGGUUAUGCACAAGAAGGUUCUACAUUUCCUAAAAAAAUAUUUCCUCAUCAUACCAUAUGACAGGAUAAAACCACCCAAUGCCAAGAGCAUAAGUAAAGCAAAUGCCCCAAAUGUGUUUGCAACAAUCAUGUUUCUACCGGCUGCUGCUAUAAAUCGAAAUAAUCCAGAUGCCAUCUGAUUAACAAGCAAGAGGAGAAGAUACUGUCUAAACAACCUGCAAUAAGGAGAUUUGUUUAUUCAGCAUUGAUCAUUUUGGAACAGAGAAAACAUGUAAAAGAAAUCUGGAUAAGUUUCUGCAACUUCAUAACUUUUUAACUUUACCUUUCCACAUUUGGAUCAAAUCCAAUGACAUAGUAAGUGAUGAACACCCAAACACCAACUUCAACAAAUGUGAUGGGGAUCCUGAGCACCCAUGUGGGAAGAGCAUAUGCCCAUGCAGGAUAGAAGAGAAGGUCUCUUUGCUUGUAAAAGACAGGAAGUUUUGCAAUUGCCAUGGCAAGUUCUGCCAUUCCAUUAAACAUGAUCAUGACAACAGUGAAGAACAAAGCACCCGUGUAAAUGUUUCCAUCAUCUGUUGAAUUUUUGUGCAUCUCAGUUCUUAGGAAGAGUGUCAUUGCAAUCACUGCCAUUACUGCAAGCUAAAAAUAGAAAUAAAAAUAAUAAAUUACAAUCACAUAUACAAAAUUAAAAGCCAUAGUUAUAAGUAGCAAUAAUAAUAAUAAUACUCACUUGGGUGAGUUUGAAAAUAUAAACAAAUGAGUUCCUCUUCAUCAGCAAGUACUCUCUUGACAUGUUGGCAUCCAACAGUUCCUUCUUUCUAACACCAUACUUUUUGGUCGUCAAAGCAGCUGGGUGGCUUUUGGCCCUAUCAAAUGGCGAUGCAAGCUCAUCUGCUACUUUCCGUCCAAUGUGAAAUGACUGGAAUGCCUCAGCAAAUUCUUUGACUGUGACAAAACUGUAAGGCACAUCUUUACGUGCCCAAUACUGGGCCUGAUCUUUUCUAGAUGUUACCUGCAAUGAAUUUUAAAGUUCAUGUUAUAGCUCUGUUUUUUUCUAAAAAUAAAAAAAGGGAAAAAGAUAGAAGAUACCAAAAGCUACAAAGCUAAAUUUGCACUCACUUCUUGCAGGAAGUCUGCCACACCCUUCCUUGCAGGACAUUUGAAGCCCAUGGAUUCAAAAAAUUCAACCACAUCUUCACGAGGACCCUGAUAAACAAUCUGACUAUCAGAUAGGAGAAUGAUGUCAUCAAAAAGAUUGUAAGUCUCAGGUGCUGGCUGGAGGAGAGAGAUGACAGCAGUCCCAUUGAGAAUAUGGAUGGUUUGCUUGAGAGAAUUGAUGAUUUGAUAAGUUGUUGAGCUGUCCAAGCCAGUAGAGAUCUCAUCCAUGAACAGUGCCUUUGAUGGUCCGACCAGCAUCUCACCUAUUAUUCAUACAUUUCACAUAAUUGAAUUAAAUUAAAUUAAUGAACAAAAAAUCUAAUUUGAUUUGUUCUUUCAUUUAGUUAGAAACCAAAUUAUCCCACCUGUUGUGACACGCUUCCUUUGUCCUCCAGAGAUACCCCUUAUCAUCUCAUCUCCUACCAUGGUAUCUGCACAGAUGUCUAGUCCCAGAAUCUGUAGAUUUAAAAGUAAAGAAAAACAAACAAAUCAUGAAUUAGAAUUGGGUUUUCUCAGAAAUCUAUAUGCCAUCAUUGAACGUUUUAUGGUUCUAAUACCUUCAAUGUAUAAUCAGUGACAACAUUUUCCUUCUGACCUUCUGUUGCUGCUGCCUGAAAUAUUGGAAUCCAAUGAUGAAAAUGUCAACCACCAUGGAAGCAACUUCAGUACAUUAAGAAAUUUCAUAGAUAAAAGAUUUUGACAUAGCAUAAAAUUCACAAAUUAGAUUGACUCAAGCCAUUCAUUUGAGUACAAAAAGAAAGAAACAAACUCCAGAACAGACAGAACACCGACAAUACAAAGCCAUUUUGCCCAUCUAUGUCAGAAUUCAAAAUUUAAUUUCUGGAAAAGAGCAGUAUUCAUGUUCACUAAAAGCAAAUAGCUCAAUUUCUGCAGAGCUGAUUAAAAUUUCACUAAAAGUAGAUUCUGUCUCACCUUCAUGAAGACAUCAAGAUCAGGAUCAGGCUUAAUAUUUGCUGCUUUCUCUCUUCUUGACAGCUCUGCUAACAUGUCUGCACAUGGCAAAAAUAAGAGUCAAUCUUCUAGGCUACGGAAAUGUCAUAAAAUUGCAUUCACAACCUGCAAAAAGCAGAGAAAAUAAAAGCAAAGGCAAUGGUUUAGACUAACCAUAUCGAUCUCCAACACCCUGGCAUCUUGCAGAGAAUGCCAAGGUUUCCCUUACAGUCAUUUCUCCUAUAUGGGUAUCAUGUUGGCUGAUAUAGGCUGCAGUUCUCUGGGGUACAAACUCAUUCAUGCCAUGGCCGUUGUAUGUCACCCUUCCCAUAACCUAAAGAAGGAAUUUCAGUUUUGAAAUUGGAUAUGAGAUUAAAGAAAUAAAAAAUUAAACAUUCCAUAAAGAAUGGAGGAGUAAUAAUCAUUUUCUCUCAACCUUUAGAUUGGGAUCAAGCUUGCCAGCCAAUGCCAAUAAGAGGGUGGUCUUUCCAGAACUUGGAGGACCUAAAAGCAAAGUCAAUCUGCAGAAGAAAAAUAUGCACAAAAAUCUUGAGUAUGGAUCUUCGGGACAUUCUAACUUUGAAGAACGAAAAAAUCAUUUGAGUUAUCGAUCCAUUUUUUACUAGAAACAAAUUCAUUCUCACCUGCGUGGUUUGAUGGUUCCACUAACAUCAUUGAGAAUAGUGAAUUUCCUCUUUUUACUUGGAAGAAUGCGCACAGCGUUCAGGAUACCCUUUGGAAAAGAAGGGAAAAUUAGAUCUAAAAACAAACUUACUUAAAAGAAUACUGAGUACAUAAGUAAUGAUCAGCAUUUGCAUGUAGUUACCUCAAGUUUACUAAAAAUGAAAUUAUGGAAUGAAGGCAAAGCUCUGCUUCCUACAAAAGCUUCUGCAUCGAUGGUAAGAUGCUCAAAUCUAACUUCAAUUUCGGGAACAUCUAUUCCAACUCUGAAAAAAAUGGAAGAAUCAUAAAAACCCAUUAUCAAAAAUUCAAAGGAAGAUGUUGCUUGGCUGUGGAGAAAAUGUGGGAAACACUCAUGAGGCAUAUUUCAGGUCAAGUUUUCAUUUUUUUUCCUCUUUAUGUUCUUCUGUUUUCAAUGUUCAAAAACAAAUGGCAAGGAAUGCAAGAAAGGAGAAGAAAUCUCACCUAUCGAUACGAUUCUUGAGCUUCAACAAGAACUUCUCAUUGUCCUCUUCAGCGACUUUUACCAACCGCUCCACUAAAUUCUUCUUCUCCUGAAACCCAAGGUUAUGGAUAUCAAUUUCACUGGCCUCGCCCUCGGAUCCCAUCAGCAAACCUCUCCUCAACCGAUUGUAGGUGGGAAGUUUCUCGAGUGCGGCCCAUUUCAAAGCUUCCUCAUCAUCCUCAUCCCUCGAAGAUCGGGAGAAAAUAUCCGCACCGGAGCUCCUCCAUAUCGAAGAACCGUUCCUCCUUAAACUACCACUGGCUCUAUAAAUGUCAGCAGUGGCCAUUGCAACCUGAAACGAAGAACCCUCCUGCAAGACCAACCAAAACCCACAAAAACCCAGAAAUCUUUCCUCAAAAGUCUGAGAAAGAAGCUCAGAGUUUUGAACCCUGGAGCCCAAAGAAGCUAAAAAUCAGAUACGCGUCCCCUUCCUCCCUUUUCUCUGCAUACCUUUGAACUGCUAAUACUUGAUGCCUUCAGAAUGGAGGGUUUAUAUAGGUGAUGGGUUGAACAGACCCUCAAGUUUUCUAACUUCUUGGUUUCCUAUGACUUUUCCUUAAAAAAAAUUAGCGGGGAAAUUGAAUAUAUAAGCUGCUGGGUAACGAUUCCAACGACUUUGACCCGUCAAAUUCUUAAAUAAAACACUUCUAGAGUUUCCCAAUGGGAACGCGAUCUGUUUAAAGCUUCCCACCGGCCAAAUGAACAAACUUUUUCCUUCCAACUGUUGGGUCCAGGAAGGUUCCUAGUGGACCCAAAUCCUCCAAAACUAUAUAUAUAUAUUUGGCAUUUUUUUUAACGGAUUAAAUACAUUUUUCCCGGCUUUUGCACAUAUGUCUUCUGACGACUUUACGGAAAAUCCUUGGAGAAUUGUCCUUCUAGACGUUCUAAAACGGUAAUGUUUUGGUCAAACGGAAAGUCAACCAUGGAAAAUAAAGGUUUAACAGAUAGAUAACAAUGAUGUUUUUUUUUGUGCGCAUACCCUCUGACCUCACGAACACGCACGUUUCUAGAUUUCCUUGACCUUGUGAACACGCACGUUUCUAGAUUUCCUUUACCUUAUGAAUACGCACGUUUCAAUCUAUAGUAAUGAGUACGAGUAUAGAUUACUUUAAGUGGAAAAAUUUUCUAAAUGCUCAAGAGUUUGAUAAUAAUUUUAUAUUUCACAUUAUAUAAAUCAAACUUCCCUUUUAAAACACUCAUCUUCUUAUCUCUUUCAAAAAAAAAAAAUUGAGUUGAUAUCAACAAUCAAAAAUAAAUUUAAAAAUUUUUAAAUUAAAAAUAUAAUUAAAAUUUAAAAUAUAUAAAAAAAAAUAUUCACCCCAACUACAUUUUCAACGCUUUCUUAUUAUAUAUAUUUAUAAAUCCCAAAGAUUAUCUCAAUUUUAUUUUUAUAUUUUGACCUCAAUUUUGUUAAUAAAUUUUAAAUCUUAAUAACAUGUGUUUUUUUGGCCCACUCACCCUUUAAUUUUAAUUUUUAUUAUUUUAUAUUUUUUUAUUUUAUUAUUAUUAUUACUUACUACUACUACUAUUAUUAUUAUUAUUAUUAUUAUUAUUAUUAUUAUUAUUAUGUUUUAUUUUAUUUUUUUAUUUUUUUCUUUCUUUUCUCUCUCCUCUCUCUUCUCUCUUCCUACUCUCCAACUACCCCACCCACUGUCUCUCUCUCUCCUCCCAUACCCCUCAUCCCACAACCAUACCCCGAUUACCCCCCUCCUCCUCCUCCCAUUCAUUCUUCUACUAUGGCUGGCCUCCCAUUCCCCUUUCUUUUUUUUUUUUCUUUUUUUUCUUUCUUCUGCUUCUCACCCUAGGACACACGCACAGCCGGCCCAUUUUUCCCCCAUUCUCACCGGAUUCCAGAUAUUUUUCCUCUUCUCGGCUGACUCCCACAGUAGUCAACAACCCUAUCUCCCCACUCCGUUUCUCAGCUCUUUCCCCAUUUUUCCUUCACUCCACAGACGACCAUAGCUGGCUCCCCAGUUUUCUUGAUUUUUUUUAUUUUUAUUUAUUUUUAUUUUUAUUUUGGCUACCCAAACACCACAUCUCGUCGACCCCGAUUCUCUUCUUCCUAUUUUUUCUCUCAUUUUCUCCAUUUUUUUCUCAUCUCUCUCCUUACUCACUCUCACAUGAUUGGAGCCCCCCAUUUUCUUCUUCCCCAUUUUUCAUUUUUGUUCUCUAUCCAAACACCCACUUGCAGAGACACAGGCUGACCCAUUUCUUCUCUUCCAUUUUUAUUUUUAUUUUUUAGUAUCUCCCUUUUUUUUAUUAUUAUUAUUAUUAUUAUUAUUAUUAUUAUUAUUAUUUGUUUUUGUCUUUCAAAAACACCAUCAACCCUCAUUGCGCCGGUCGGCGACCCCCUCUCAUUUCCUCUCAUUCCGUCACUUUCCUAUCCCACUCACUUUCCAUUACUAUUAUUAUUGUUAUUAUUUUUUAUUUGAUUUUAUAAAUAAAAUUGAAUAAUGAUAAAUAAAAUUGAAUAUAAUAAUAAUUGUUAUUAUUAUUGUAUAUAAUAAUAGUAAUAACAAUGAUAAAUAAAAAAUAAAUAAAUAAACAAAAGAUAAAUAUUGAGAAAGAGUUGAAAAUGCAUUAAGAGUUAACAUAUAUAUCAUUUCUAGGAUUAAAGUUUUUUUUUUUUUUUUUACUUUUUAUUGUAUUUUUUAUUUUUAAAAUCUUUUAUUUUAUUGUUUAGGCCAACCAACAAAAUUUUUAUUCAAUUUUUUUUAAAAGAGAUAAGAAGAUGGGAUGUUUUAAUCAAGAAUACUUGAUUUAUAUAAUGCAAAAUAUAAAAUUAUUAUGGGAGGAUUUUUCCACAUUGACUUGCAAUCAAUAUUAUAUAAUUAAUAAAUUAAUAAAUAUAUUUGUUAGUAAGAUAAUUUUAAUAAAUUUAUAAAUAUAUUUAUUAGCAAGAUAAUUUUAAUAAAUUAAUAUGAGAAAUCAAUUUUAUGAUAAUUUUAUUUAUUAUUGUCAAAUUUUUAGUAUCUAAAUUUUUAGGAGAGAUCAUUAAGAGGAUCUAGUUUUGCAUGAUUUUAAUAUUUGAUCCCUAGUUUUAUUACUAAAUAUGAGAUUAUGGUUCUAGGAAAAAAAAAAUUCUAAUGUUAGAAAUUUGAAAAUAUAUAUAUAAUUACUAGUCAUUAUGCAUUUAAUGCAUUGACAGAUGAUCACUUAGGCUUACAUCCUUAAUCAGUUGAGCAAUCAAUUUGACGGAAACUCAACUAGUCAAAGCUUUAACUACUAGAAAAGAGAAAAAUAACAAAUGUGUCUUGAUUUAUCAAGUCUAACCUAUUCAACAGAUUCCUCAACUCCUCAAUCGUAAAUGGCAUGGUUUAAGGUCUAAAACCUCCAAUAACUUACGUUAACCUUCUUAAAACUUUUCAAGAUAAAUUUAAAAGUAAUUUAGUUCAAGGUUUUAAUUGAAAAUAAAAAAUCGUCCAAUUCUUUGAUAUAUGUAUAAAUGAUCUUAAUUUUACACAACAUUUUAGGUUAAUUUAAGUCUUCAAGGAUCCUAAGUCUUCCAUGAUUGCUUGAGCUUUCUUUGGAUUUUCAAUAGUAAACUUAAAACUUAAUUUGAUUUAAACUAUUAGUAAUUUUAACUUUAUUUUGUAAUUAUAAUUAAAAAAACCUAUUAGGAGAAUCCUUGGGCUAAUAGUCUUGAUGUUUGAUCUUUAAGAUUAUUCAAUUCCAAAAAGAAAUGGGAGGAUCAAGGAUUUUUGUUGGUUGAAGGAGAGUGAGAGGGGCUAGCCAUGUCAAACAACACACUUUUGAUGCCUUUUGAUAAGGGUUAUAAUUGGUUAAAUUGGUCAAAAUAACCUCAAUAUUUGCAAAUUUAACCCACCUAUCAAAAAGUUAAAAAAUAAAAAUAAAUAAAUUGUUGAUUGAGACAAAAAUGCCCUUCCUUUUAUUUCCCUCCAACACUUACAACUUCUCAUCUUCUACUUCAUUUAACCUUCUACAAAAAAAACUCAUCAUCUUUUUCUUCAAAAACCAUAAAAAAAUUCUCAUCAUUUUCUUCUACUUCAUUAUCUUCUUUUGGUGUAUAGAAAGGAAAGCUUAUCUUCUAUUCUGCUUCAUUUAUAGAACAACUUCUCAUCUUUUAUCUUCUUAUUUAUUUCAUUCUCUCCAUUUGGUGCAUAGAACGGAAAGCUCAUCUUUCCUUUAGAAGCCCUAGAAAAUUUCUCGUCUAUCAUCUCAUUCUCUAUUUCAUUCCCAAUCCUUAGAAAAAUUAUCUCAUCUCAUUUUAUCCUCUAGUCUAUCCUCUUAUCCUCUCAUCUUUUUGUCAAGGUAUCUCAUAUUGUAUCUUCAAGCACGAUAAAAAAAUAAGUUCAUUGAAGAGUGAUAAGAGAAAAAGAUUAAAAAUGGUGGUGAAAAAUCAAAAAUCACAAUUGCGAAUAGAAAAAGCAAAAAUUGUGACUAUGAACUUAACUGUGGUUAAGUACUUUAUUAAUGCAACUCAACUAUUGUUAAGUUCAAGUGAAAAUUCCGACUAUGAACUUAACCGUGGUUGAGUUAUUUGUUAAUGCAACUCAACCACUAUUAAGCUCAGGUGAAAAUUCUAACUGUGAACUUAACUGUGGUUAAGUUAUUUGUUAAUGUAACUCAACCAUUGUUAAAUUCAAGUGAAAAUUCUGAUUGUGAACUUAACUUUGGUUAAGUUAUUUGUUAAUGCAACUUAAUAAUAAUUAAAUUUAUAUUAAUGCAAUGACCGUUAACUUAACCAUAAUUAAACUUAAUCAAUUAAUUUAUAUGAUAAAACUAAAACAUUAAUUUAAAAUUUCAAUCUAUAAUUCAAAAAAAUUGCUUUAAGCAUAUACAAAAAAAUAAGCUCACAAAUCCCUUCAUGACCCUAUAUAGAAAAAUAAAUAAAUAAAAAUGUAGAUACAUAGUUAAAUCAUCCUUAAAAAACAAAUUCUAUUGUAGCAUUAUUAAAGUGACUGAUGAAUUGGUUGUAAGGGAAAUUCAUGGAUGUUGAUAUUGCUCUCAACAAUAUUGACACAACUAUAUUCAUCUCUAGGAUGUAAUAGGAUUGAUCGUUCGCAUGUUUUUCGAUUAUGCUCAUAAUCACCACAUCUACCACAACAUCAUGUGUGCUUAACCUCUCCACUUGAAUGAAUUCUCUCCUUUCUUGGUCUUCCUACUGGUCGUCAACUUUUUAAAGGUAGCACAACUCUACAAUGAAUGUCUUCCUGAAUGCAAUACACAACUCUCAUUAAUUCAUGAUAUGAUAUAUUCUUCUUCACCAUAAGGUCUUUACCUUCAUUUCCUUUAAAGUGGUAUAUGUUCUCAUCUGAUACCUAAUUCCCUUUAUACAAAAGCAUUAUUCAUACCUCAUCAAUGACUGCAAAAAUAAAUAUUUCAAAUUAUCAUAUUAAGAAUGAAAUAGUACAACAUAUGAAAUACUUUUAUUAAGUUUCAAUUAUAGACUAUGUAAUGAAUCUUAAAACAUAUAUUUAUAUUUUUAUUAGAUAACCCACUACAUAAUAAUAUGUCAACAAUUCAAUCUUAGUUUUCAAUAUAGUUAUAUAAAAAUAGACUUUUGCUUUGAAUAGCAACACAUAAACUCAACUUAUGUUAAGUUAAAUCUAAAAAAUAGUAAAAUUUGUUGUUCAAUGCAGCAAUGCAACACUUCCCAUAAAUCAAAUAUCCAAAGGAACAAUAUAUAACUACAAUAGGUAUUAAUCAUAUGAGCAAUACUAAAACCAUAAUAAUUUUUCAUGCAUGUGAUUUAUUGCUUACCAUCAUUUGACCUUGUCAUAUGGAUAAAUCUUUUUAACUUCUUUUGAAUGAACUUUUCACUUUUUCAUAACUAAUAAUGGAGUCUCUAUUUUCUACCUACAAUGGUGAAGUGAGGUUUUGAAUUUUUAGAAAACAGAAAGAAAUAAAAUGAUAAUCUAAAAAAGAAAUUGUUGGUUGCUUACAUUUUUUUUUUUCAUUUUAUCGUGAUCAAGAAUGAAGAAUAAAUGAAACAAUGGUAAGAACUUAGGCUUGUUCGCUACAGGAAAACAAAGAGAAGGAGCAACCAAUGAUUGAAUAAAAAAAUAAAAACCUAAUCUACUAUAAAAAUAGAACAAAAGGGAAAGUUAUAUUGGAGGGAAAAAUGAGGGGUAUUUUUGUUUCAAUUAGGUCAACUUUUUUGCCUUUUAAGGGGUGGGUUAUAUUUGCAAAUAUGGGUGUUAUUUUGACUCGUAUAACCAAAUAAACCUUUUAAAAAGGGUGACCAUGGUAUGAUGACCCUUUCUCCUUUCCUUUUGGUUUAUUUUCAUUUCAUGGCCACUUAUUAAGAUGAGUGUUAUUCAAUAGAUCACCGUAUGUUCUUCCAAAUAAAUCAUUCCGACCUGUCUAAGCUUUGAAGAUUUUGUAACUCCAACUUGGAAUCUCCUAGAAGCAUUAAAGAUUCUUAUGCUUCCCCAAAGGAAGAUAAUAGCUACAAGGGAAGUUUCCUAGUCUAAAAUGAAAUAUAAGAAGGGACCUGUCACUUCAUCUUUGAGGUUUGGACAUGAUGGAGGCAACAUUUUGUUUGGUUGGGGAGAAAAUGUAGGAAACACCUAUCAGGCAAACUCACCUAUCCAUACGAUUCUUGAGCUUUAACAAGAACUUCUCAUUGUUCUCUUCAACAAUUUUUAUCAACCGCUCCACUAAAUUCUUCUUGUCCUGAAGCCAAAGGUUGUGUAUAUCAACUUCAAAGCCCUCACCCUCUGAUCCCAGCAACAAACCUUUCCUCAACCGAUUGUAGGUGGGGAGUUUCUCGAGUGCAGCCCAUUUCAAAGCAUCCUCGUCAUCCUCACCCCUCGUAGAUUGGGAGAAAAUCUCGACAUUAGGGGUCCUCCAUCUCAUAGAACCAGCUCUACGAGUUUUAGGAGUCGACAUUGCAAGUAGAAAGGAAGAACUCUCUUGCAAAACCAACAAGAACUUGGCAAAACCCGAACGGUUGAAAUUAUAAUCCGAGCUAAAGUCAAACUAAAAGAAUUUUAGGAAUUUGAUAAAUAUUAAAAUUGUUAUUUAUUUAGAUUUUUAUGUUAAUUAAGACUUUUGGUAUAAUAGCAAUUGGAGUCUUGGUACAUUGGUUUAUUAUAAGUUAUCAUGUUGAAAAGAAAAAAUGCAAUAAAGUAUUAUUUUAGCAAAAAUAUUAUUAAUACUCAAUUGUGUGGGUUCCAACUGAAACCUUUCCAAAGAAUAUAAACUCCUUUUUCUCUCUCUUAGUACAAUGUUAUGUCUUGUUGUAUUGCUACUACUGCAUUGUAAAAAUCAUAUAGAAUGGAAGGUUUAUGUAGUUAUUGGUAGGACAGAAAAUGAAGCGGUUCAAAAGAUUUGAAACUAGUUUAUUUUCUUGUGAUUCUUUAAGCUAUGUUUGGUUUAUGGAAAGUAGUAAGGAAAGAAAAAAAAGUGUUAAGAAAAAUGGUUUUUUUAUGUUUAGUUUCAUAAUGAAAAAUAAAAAAGAAAAUAAAAUAUAAUUAAAAUUUGUUAAAAAUUUAUAUAUUUUAAAAUUAUUUAAUCUUUGUAUAAUAGUCGAAAAUAAGUAAAAUAACUUUGAAGAAAUAUAUUGAAGUAAUUUAUUAAAUUUAAAUUUAUUUAAAUUUUCUUCAUUUUUUUUUCUUUCUACUUUUCCUCUUUAUUUUUUUUCCUUCACAUUUUUUCUCAUAUUUUUUGGGAACCAAACAUAGCCUAGAAAAUUAGUGAGGGAAAUCGACUAUAAAAAAGUUUGUGCAAUGACUCCAUAAUAUUGUACGCAUGCCACCAUUUUUUUUUUCCUUUCAACUUCCUAUAUUAAGACUUUCACGGUUCAUAAUUUUUGGUUUCUUACACUUUCUUUAGCAAGUAAACAAAAAUGUGAAUUAUUGAAUGUUUUGUUAGUUUUUAAAAUAAGAAAUAUAAUACUCAAUUUUAUACAUGUUUUCAGGCAUGUUUGGUAUGUAAGUUAUGAUAGGAUAGAGUAUCUAUAUUCUAUAAUAUCAAAUAUGCAUUAAAUGAAAAAUGCAUAUUUUAAACUAUAAUUUCAAUGAGAUAUGAUAUAUUUUUUAUAUUAAAUCCAAUAUGAUAUUGUAAGAUGACAUAUCCAAUGCAUUUCCUAAAAUAAAUGAUUUCCAUAUAUUUUUUAAGAUUAUUAAAUCCAAUGGAUAUAAUAUUCUAAGGUAACAUAUCUAAUGAGAUAGGUAAUGUAACAUUAUGCUUAUAUUUAAUUUGUAAAAUGAAUAAAAAAUAAAAUGGAUUAUAUAUUAUUUUAUAACAUAUCUUCUAUUUUAACCAUAAAUUUAACUUUGCAAUAAAAAAAAAUAUUUUACUAAAUAAGUGAUAAAAAAUAAAAAAAUAAUAAAAGAAAAAUAAAUUUAUGAUACAUAGAAUAAUAUAUCUCACUACUUAUCCGAUGUAGAAGGAAUAUAAAAAAGAUAUAGAUAAUAUAUAUCACUACUUAUUCUACCAUAUGUUCCAUCCACCCAACCAAACCAUGACCUUACGAUAUAAAAAAAUUAAAGUUUAAUAGCAUCCACAUUAAUAAAAACAAACAAUUUACGAAUAUAAACCAAACAAUCAAACACUCAAAUGAUAUUUCGCUCUAUUUAGACUAAUGAAAAAUAAACAAUUUAAAUAUUAAAAAACAUUCCACUUUAUUAAGCUUUAAGGUUAGAAUCUUAAAAAAAAGUUGCUUUAAGAAUAUUUUUUAGAGUUAUUUCAAAGGAAUGGAAUUAUUUGUUUUUUUUUUUUUUUCAUUUAUGUCGUAAAGCAAAUUAUUUUAAAAUUUAAAAUCAAAAUAUAAAAAUUUUAUUUUUUAUAUUAAGAUAAAAUUGUCUUAUAAAAAGUAACAAGUUAAAAAACAAAUAAUUUUUAUAAUGACUUAAGUCUUAACACUAUUAAGCAUUAUUUAGAUAUAAGGUUUAUUUAAUUUUUUUUUUUAUAAAAAAAUACCAUCUUUCACAUAAGAUUUAAGUAGGUUUAACCUAUUCGAAAUUGCUUGAAAUCUAAGAGGUUAUUUGUUUUUUAAACUUAAAUCUUAAAGCUAGUUGCUUUAAAAUUUAAGAUAAAACUAAAUAAAAUAAAAUAAAAUAAAAACUUUUGUUAUUAAGACAAAAUUUUCUUUUAAAAAUGAUAAACUAAAAAGAUAAUUUGAAAAAUGACUUCCAUCUUAAAGCAACUCUUUUUAUUAGGAUUCCAUGUCUAUCCUAAUUAAAAUUAAUAAUCAACUUGAUUUUGAGUAAGUUUAUAUUAUUGUUAACCGACAUUAUUUUUCAAUAAAAGCAUUUGCGAAAACAUAAACACAUUUAUGCUUCAAUAAAUGGAAUACAUUUUUUAGUAAUAUAACCAUACUUUAUUUAAAAAAAAAAACAUAUUAGUCUAAUAAUCGAUAUUCAUAAUUGAUAAUAUCAUAUAUUAAAAAUUAUGAACGGUGAAUAACUAAUAUAUAUGGAUUAUUAAAGUAACGAUGAGCAUACAACCUAUGUAACUUGGUGAAAACUUUUUUGUCCAUCUGUUUUUGCUUUGCUUAUUAAAAAAUAAAUUAUUAAAGCAAUAAUGAGCAUAAAAAUUAAUUAAAACAAUAACUAUCACUCAAAUGAAGUAUUAUAGGCUCUAUUGAUAAUUGUUUUUAAAAACAAUUUUUAUUCUCCAGAAUAAAAAAACAAUGAAACAAGUUUGAUAAUAGAAAACAAAAAACAUUUUAUUGUUUUUUUUUAUAAAAAAAAGACAUUGUUUUUUCAAUCCUUUAAUUGUUUUCACUUUUUUUAAGGAUUACUAAAAAAAAUUAACCAAAUGAUUAAAAAUAAAACACUACAUGUAAAAAUUAUUUUAAACCAUAUUUAAAAAUAUAGAAAAUAGGUUAAAAAUAUUUUAGAUUUUUAAAUAGACUUUUGUUUUAUAAAAAAUCAAAUAACAAUUUUCAAAAAUUAUUUUUAAAAAUUGUUUUCAAAAAAACAUUUUUCAUAUAGAACCCUAUCCUACCAACUAUAUAUAUAUAUAUAUAUAUAUAUAUUCACACAAUGCUAAUGCUAUGAAAAGGUAAUGAUAAUAGAGAGUAGAGAAGAACUUACUAAAUUGAAGAUCGAACAAGUCUUAGAAAAACAUUGUCAGUAAGACAUGGGAUGAGAACGAUUUCAUAUAGCUACUGAGAUUGUCCUCAAAGUUACAGCUAGUAAAAUUGUCCUCAAAGUUGUUCUUCAAAAACAAAAAUACUAUAAAUGGUUGGAUCCAACCUUUCAAGGAAACCAAAGCCUUUUUUUUUGAUAAAGAGAUUUUUUUUUUCCCUUCUAAAAUGAACAUUCUAUAUAUAGAAUCUGAAGGUAUUAAACUGUGCCUCCAAGUAGUUUGACUGUAAAGUAAAAUUCAAUCCUAUGUGUUGAUUGUUCUUGUGGUUUGCUAAUUGGUCAGGCAAUCGAUCUUUCCUCAAGUGGUUUCCAUAUUAUCAUUUUUCAUCUUUUUCCUCAUCAUUUUUAUCCUUUUCCAUAAGUAAAAAAAUAUUUAAAUAAAUUAUUUCAUUAGCAAUUUGUUGAAUACUUGAAAAUAAAUUAAAUAAGAGAAGUAUUCACAUAUUUUUUACUUAAUUAGUCAUGAUGACAUUAAUAAUGAGAGUAAGGUAUAACCAAAUAAGACUAAGAUAGGAAAAAAAUGAGACCAAAAAAUUUGUCUCUAAAAGGUAUGAAAAAUUGAGAAUCAAAUAUGAAUUCAGGAGAUAUAGGUAUAAAUUUAACAAUAAAAAUGUUAAUUAUGCUUAAAUGUAUGAAUUUAAGAAAAUCUUAAAUUUUGCUCAUAAUUAUUCAUGAUCACGUCAAAUUUAUAUAUAGGAAUGGUUGANNNNNNNNNNNNNNNNNNNNNNNNNNNNNNNNNNNNNNNNNNNNNNNNNNNNNNNNNNNNNNNNNNNNNNNNNNNNNNNNNNNNNNNNNNNNNNNNNNNNAGCAAUGCAUAACCAAAUGGUACUAAGAUAGGAAAUAAUGAGACCAAAGAACUUGUCUUUAAAAGGUAUGAAAAAAUAAGAUUCAAAUACCAAUUAACUAGAUAUAGGUAUAAAUUUAAUAGGAGAAAUAUUAAAUACGCUUAAGGUUAUGUUUGGUUCCAGGAAACUAUUAAGAAAAGAAAAAAAAAUAUAAAGGAAAAUUAUUUUCUGUUUGAUUGUUUUAUGAAAAAUAUAAAAGAAAAUCAAAUAUAAUUAAAAUAAACAGAAUGAGUUUAAAGUUAUAAAUAAAAAUAAUUUAUCGACUUUUAAUUCUUUCGUAUUUUCCCACAAAUUUUCAUGGAACCAAACAUAGCAUAAAUGUAUGAAUUUAGGAAAAUAAAAAAUUUUGGCCAUAAUUUUUCAUCAUUUCAUCAAAUAUAUAUAGGAAUGGUUGAAAAUAAUGAGAGCAAUGUAUAACCAAAUGAUAUUAAGAAAAUAAUGAAAUCAAAUAAUUUGUCACUAAAAGGUACUGAAAAUGAGAGUCAAAUAUGAAUUUAUGAAAUACAAGUAUAAAUUUAAUAAGAGAAAUCCUAGUAAUGCUUAAAUAUGUGAAUUUUAGAAAUUCUAAAAUUUUGACCAUAAUUAUUCUCACAUCAAAUAUAUAUAUAUAUAGGAAUUGUUGAAAAUAAUGAAACCAAAAAAUUUGUCUCUAAAAAGUACCAAGAAAUGAGAAUCAAAUAUGAAUUAAUCAAAUAUAAGUAAAUUUAGUUAGAGAAAUAUUAACAAUGCUUAAAGAUAUGAAUUUAAGAAAAUCUAAAAUUUUAACCAUAAUUAUUCAUGAUUACAUUAAAUAUAUAUAGGAAGGGUCGAAAAUAAUGAGAGCAAUGUAUAAGCAACUGGGACUAAGAAAAUAAUGAAACAAAAAAAUUUGUCUCUAAAAGGUAUGAAAAAAUGAGAGUAAAAUUAUGAAUUAAUGAGAUAUAGGGAUGAAUUUAACAAGAGAAAUAUUAAUAAUGCUUAAAUAUAUGAAUUUAAGAAAAUCUAAAAUUUUGGUCAUAAUUAUUCAUAAUCACAUCAAAUAUAUAUAGUGAUGGGUGAAAAUAAUGAGAUCAAUGUAUAACCAAAUGAGACUAAGAUAGAAAAUAAUAAAACUAAAAAAAUUCUCUAAAAUGUAUGAAAAAAAUGAGGUUAAAUAUGAAUUAACAUAUGUAAAAAUUUAAUUAGAAAAAUAUUGACAAUCUUAAGUAUGUGAAUUUAAGAAAAUCUAAAAUUUUGACCACAAUUAUUCAUGAUCACAUCAAAUAUAUAUAGGAACGGUUGAAAAUAAUGAAAGGUAUAAUCAAAUGAGACUAAGAUAGAAAAUAAUGAAACCAAAGAAUUUGUCUUUAAAAGUUACAAAAAUAAAAAAAAAUGAGAGUCAAAUGUGAAUUAAUGAGAUGUUGGUAUAAAUUUAAUCAGAGAAAUAUUAAUAAUGCUUAAGCAUAUGAAUUUAAGAAAAUCUAAAAUUUUGGUCAUAAUUAUUCAUUAUCACAUCAAAAUAGGACGCUUGAAAAUAAUGAGAGCAAGGUAUAAUCAUACGAGACUAUGAUUAUCAAACUACUUCAAAAUCAAAAUCCUUAAUAGAAUCAAAUCAUCAAGAUGAUGUUAGUCUUUUUCAAAACAUUGAAGAAAAUCUAAGCCAAAGUUCCAAUGACCAAGAAAUAUGCAUAAAAGAUAGUUGCCGACCAAAGACCUUAAAAGUAAUCACUAAGGAAUAAGAAUUGAUUUUAGAAUUACUUAUUAAGGUUAAAGAUUCUUCAAUAAGAACAUAAUUAUGUGAAAUUUGUAAGAAAUCGAUUUCUAAACUAGAAAUGAAAAAAAAACUAUAAAACCUUAUAACUUCGAUGAAAUAUUGACAAGAUUUAACUAUAAUUCCCUAAAAAAGUGAUUAUUAAAGAUCUUCAAUAGGAAAUAAGAUGAUGUUAGAAGUUAGAGAAUUAAGACAAUGCACCAACAUAUGUUUAACAAACCUUCAAGAACAAAUUAAUUAGAUAGUAAGUAACAAGAAUUAAUUUAUCCUAAAAUCCUUAUAAGUUAAUGAAGAUUUAUCACACUUAUAUCUCAAUGUUAUAAAUAGGGUCAUCUUUAAAAAAAUGCAAUGUUUCCCUAACAAUUGUGAUUAACAAUGAGUUCAUCGCUAAGAUUAAUUGUUGUCUUAAUAGAUUCAAGAGUAGCUUCUUUAUGACAUGCUAUUAGGUCAAACUUAAGAUUAGCUACAAAUUGUCUAAGGCUCAUAUCAAUAAUCAAGGGAUAUGCACACAACAUUUAAUUUGGUAUAAGAUUUAAGAGAGAAAUAUCCUUGGAAUACCCUUUUUAAUUGUCUACCCUAUCACUAGAGUAGAUGGUAAAGGUAUAAGACUAAACUCUUAAAUCAAGAGACUCUUUUUGAAUUUGCAUAUCCUCUAAAAAGAAACCUAAAUAAAUUAAGAUCCUUGAUUAUUUCUAAAAAAAUAUAGGCUAAGGAUAAUCAUAUCAAUUUUUUAGUUCAAGAAGUUAGAUAUAAGAGAAUUGAAGAACAAUUGGAAGUUAAAAAGACUCAAGAUGCUAUCCAAUAAUUCAAAGAAAAGUUGGUUAGAGAAGUCCAUCCUAAAUUCCCUAAUGUAUUUUGGCAUAGGAAUGAACAUGUAAUAGAACUACCUUACAACCUAGAAUUUAGGGAAAAUGAUAUUCCCACUAAGGCAAGACCAAUUCAAAUGAUUCAAAAACCAUUGAGAUAUUAUGAAAAGGAAAUUUAAGAACUCUUUGAUAAAAAAUUAAUAAAGAAUCCAAAUCUCCUUGAAGUUGUGUAUGCGCAAAUUUCGUGAAGUCUUGCAAAACAACCAAAAACUAUAGGAAAAAUCUAUGUGAUCAAAACUUUAUAUUGAAAUUAAUUGAUUGUGCGGUAUAGACUCAAAUAUAAUAUUCUUUACAAAAAAAUAUUUUCCCUUUGAUUCAUUCACUUUGAUUACAAUCCCAAAGAUGAUGACAAGAGUCUUUUCUUGAUUAUUUUAGAAAAUCAAUCCAAGGCUUAGAGUGGUUUUUUCUUGAAUGAACUUGUUAAAUGGUGAAAAACACGUUUAUGCAUUUUCUCAUACUUGCAGGGAGAUUUUAUAAUAAUAAUAAAAAAAUUCUUUGUAAAGCUUUUUUUCCUAUGUGAAGUCCUUUUGCCAAUCUCUCUUUUCCUUGAAAGAAGUCACCUUUAUUUAUAGGUGAAGAUAGGAAAUUAAAUUUUGAAUUUCAAGAUUUGAUUACUUCAUUCAAGGAAUUUGGUUCCUUGAUUAUUUUCAUAACUUUUCUCCUUCCUCACUAAAGUUUUGUCAACAAGAUAAUAUCUAUUAUUUGGUUGGAGAUUUUUGUUCCCCUUUUUUUAGGAAACUUGUUAAAAAGAGAAUAUCUAUUUCUACUUCUCUUCGAUUAGAAGACUUAAUUUCAUAGUCUUCCAAAUUUUACUACGUGUUACCUUCAAAGUUGCAUGCCACAUGUCUAAUGACUUGUCAAGCCUAAAUUUUGUUGAAAUAUGAAGUUACAAUUUUGAAGUCCGAUUUAAUGGUAAUUUAAUCCACUAAAAAUUUGGAUAGCUACAAAUUUCUCUAUUGUUUAUGUUAAAAAACAAACAAAAUUUGAAAGAGGAACACCUAGGCUUGUGAAUAAUUACAAACCCCUUAAUGAAGCCUUAAGAUGGAUUAGGUAUCAUAUUCCAAAUAAGAGAGACCUUCUUCAAAGAUUAGUUAAUUAGUCUAGGAUAUUCUUUAAGUUUGACGUGAAAUCAAGCUUUUUUGGCAAAUCCAGAUCAUAGAAAAAAAACAUGUAUAAAACAACUUUUACAAUACCAUUUGGACAUUAUGAAUGGAAUUUAGUAUCAUUUGGUAUUAAAAAUGUCCUCUCAUAAUUUCAAAACAUUAUGAGGCAACUGUCCUAAUGAUGAACUCAUUGUUAAUUACAAUUGUUAGGAAAAUAUUUCAUUUUUGAAAGAUGAUCCUAUUUAUAACAUUGAGAUACGAGUCUGAUAAACCUUCAUUGACUUUUGAGGAUUCUAAGAUAUCUUGAUUUUUAUUACUUAAGAUCUUAUUAAUUUGUUCUUGAAGGUCACUUAAACUUAUAUUGGUGUAUUGUCUUAAUUCUUGAACCUCUAUGUGUGCGUGCGUGCGUGUUCUCAUAACAAUUGCAGCAGCUCUUGCAUCUAGCCCUGAAGUUGGCUCAUCCAUGAAUAUUAUUGAGGGAUUUGCCACAAGCUCAACUGCAAUGGUCAGCCUCUUGCGCUGCUCAGUUGAGAGACCAUUUACACCUGGCAACCCAACUAGUGUGUCCCUCAAUGGGGUCAGUUCAACGAGCUCCAUGACUUCCUCAAUGAACAUCUGUAACCAUUAGCAAGGAUUAGAAAUUGUUUGAACCGGCACUUUUCCCCAGAGUGAAGCUCAACCAAUUUUGGGAUGAUGCACACUAAGCAAGGCUUCCAAAAUUCUGAACAAUCAAAGCAAGUGAUUCUACAAUUCAAAGCAUAACUGCUUCAUUUGGAUAUGAUCAUCAGGAUACCACUGUAUGAGCACCAAACUUUCUUUCAUUGAAUGAGUUGAAUACUAGGAAAACUGAACUACUUCUCUUCAUGGGUCCAACAUAUCAGUAGAAAUGGGAUCUGAAAGCGCAGACAUGGAACCGCUGGAAAUAACUCUGAACCUUCUGAAGAAGGCCACAACUUCCCUUUUUGAUAACUCAAGUCUAAAUUUAAGAGCAUUGCAAACCCUGCCCCUGGUACACACUUUGUUGGCUUUGAAACCAAACUAUUUUCAUGUUGAUACCGUGUCUUUAUGAUUUCGGCUACUUAAAGCAGCUACCAAAAGUGGAGCACCAUACUGGUAAGUUGGUAAUCAAGAUGAAAGGAUUGCAUAAGGCUAUAUUAUUGUCUUGAAUUUCAAAUUUUAAAUUACAAAAAAAAUUAGGAGAAAACAAAAUACAAUAAAAUUGGGAGAAAACAAAAUACAAGAAUUUAACAAGAUAAAUACUACCCGCUAUGACACUCUCUAACAGCCUAGACAUAGACCAAAACUUUUAUUCAUCUGUGAAGAACUUGUGCUGUUAUCGCCUUUGGAAGUUAAAUGCCUUAAUGGCAAAGGCAAAUAUAAAUAAGAAAAGCACCGUAAACCCAACAAUCACAACUGCAACCACUCCAAGGAAAUCAUGUUUGAAUCCAAGGUAGUCAUCCAAGUAUUGUUUCACUGUUACAUUUGAGUCAAGUAGUGUGUCCUCGAUAUCUCCAAACUGUGAUGUAACCAAUCCAUACAAACUCCAUGCAACUGGACAGGCCCAAUAGUACCAUCUCCACCACACAGGAAUCCUCUGUAUUCAUCAUGUAAGAAAUGCAACAAAAUGAGAUCGUUUCUGUAUCCAUGUGCUAAAGAAAGUGGCAAUUUAAAGAAUUAUGGGUUGAGAGCACUUACAUUUCGUGGGACUAUAAAACCUGAGAAGAGGUUCCAUAAUGUAUAAAAUGCUAAGGCAACGAUGGCAGCAAUAUGUUGAUUUGGUGUGGCAGCCACAGCCAUCAUGCCAUAAAAGGUGAAGUACAGUAAGGUGAAGAACAUGAAGAACAGAUACCAGAAGAACUUAGCAGCUGUCCAUUCAAAUCCAAUCAUUGCAUAAACUAUAACACCAUACGCCACAGCUUGUGAAAAGACAUAAGGUAUCUCAACUAAAGCCUGAAAGAAGAGAUGAAAUUUGAUUAAUAAAACCCAUAAAGUAUUAGAGAUAUACGAAGUCUAUAGCAUAAGAAAACUAAUUACCUGUGCAAAGGCAUAUGGCAUGGCUGAAUACAUUCCUGCAGCUCUUUCUCUGUAAAAGACUGUCCGUUCAACUGCCACGACUGGUUGCACCGAUUGGCCAUUCUGAAACCCAAGGAAGAGAACAGCGGCAUACAUAGAGCCCAUUGCAUUAGAUAUAUCUUGUUGUCUUGUCCUGCAUUUGCCAAUGUGAAGUAAAAAUUAAAGUUGAUAUGGAGAAGCAUACUGAGUUCUCAAAAUUCUGAACUGACUUCAAACUACCUUUUGGUGCCGAGAUCCCAGAACAUUGUCCCAAACAUCAAGGCUACGAAAGUUGUGAAGAAAAAUCUCACUGCCGUGUAUGGUGGAUUUCGCCAGUAUGACAAACGUUGUUUCCAUAAGCAUGCCAUACACUGGGUGAAGAAGGACUGGGAGUAUUGAGUAGGGAAAUAGAGGUCCUUAGAACCAGGGGUAGGUUGGCUCAAUUCUUUAAUUAAAUCUUUGUUUCUCCUGAAACAUAUGCCACAUCUUAGAAAAGGCUUCAACAACAAAUUCAAGCUUGCAUGAUGAACUUUGAAAUGGCUGUAUAUGACAUUUCAAUAUCAUAAAGCAUUCAGAUAUCCUAUAGUUGAAUCACCUGUAUAUGUCUGACUUUUCGUAUAUUUCGGUGAAAUCCACCCCCAAAAUUAAUUCUUGUGCAGAAGCGGUAACUUCCAACAUCCAAGUUGCAGGGUUAUAACCAUCUUUGAUUUUACUUACUCCUUCAAUUCCCUUAAUGAAAGCAAGUCACAUGUAUUAGUAAGCACUUUAUAUGAAUUAACUUAAACUAAAGUAUUUGCUGCUUAUAGCUUUUAAUUUAUCAUGGAAGUUUACCUCAAAAUACUUUAUCAGAUGGGAAGAAUGUCUACCCAGUGGUCCCAUAUAUAUCUCUUGCCCUCCACGCUUCAACAGGAGCAACUGCAAACCCAUUUUGAAUAUGUCAGUACUUAUAUGCAGGAGAGCAUAGAAGAGAAUAAAUCCUUUCUAUCCAUUAACAUUUCCCACCUCAUCAAAGGCAUCAAAGAUGUCAAUACUUGGCUGAUGGAUGGUGCACACAACUGUUCUUCCUGUGUCCACUGUGUUCCUGACUGUUCUCAUAACAAUUGCAGCAGCUCUUGCAUCUAGCCCUGAAGUUGGCUCAUCCAUGAAUAUUAUUGAGGGAUUUGCCACAAGCUCAACUGCAAUGGUCAGCCUCUUGCGCUGCUCGAUUGAGAGACCAUUUACACCUGGCAACCCAACUAGUGCACCCCUCAAUGGGGUCAGUUCCACGAGGUCCAUGACUUCCUCAAUGAACAUCUAUAACCAUUACCAAAGAUUAGAAAUUGUUUGAACCAGCACUUUUCCUCAAGAGUAUAGGUCAAGCCAAACUUGAACCUGACCAUAGCUCAACCAAGUUUGAAAAAUCAAUUCUAGGGCUUUGCUUGUUCAGAGCACUAAAUUCAAUAAGAAAAAUGUGGAAACAACACAGAAAACUCUCACCUUUCUUGUUUCAGCAUCCACAUUAGGAGGCAAUCGCAGCCAAGCUGAGUAGAGCAAGGACUCAUGGACAGUAACAUGAGGAGAGUGGAUGUCAUUCUGCUCACAGUAUCCAGAAAUGCGAGCAAAAGUCUCUUGCUUCUUUGGGUAGCCAGAAAUGCUGAUGCUACCCUCAAUAUAUCCACCAGUUUUCCGACCAGCCAAUACAUCCAUGAGAGUGCUUUUACCAGCACCACUAACACCCAUCAAAGCUGUAAGAACACCAGGCCUGAAAGCACCACUCACCCCCUUCAGAAGCUCCAAUCUGUCUUCAGGGACACCCUGACUUUUCAUUUCCUGCAAAUUCAAUUCAAACAACUUAGUUCUCAUUUUUGGUUUAUUAGUGCUGAUAAAACAUGUACAUUAUUUGCAUUAAUAUGAAGUUACCUCUGGCAUGUCAACUGAGUAUCUAAUAUCAUCAAAGGUGAUAGAAAGUGGUUGGAAUGGAAGAACCAUUCCUUUUUUGUUGUUACGUCUCGCCUCAGCAAUGGCUUCUGCCCUCACAGAAGAGGAUACGGAUGAGAUACUUCGCCCAAUUUCCUCUCCACUCUCUGCAUGUUAAGUUUAAAUUUAGAGAGCAAUAUAGAACAUGGGGUUAAAUGACAAGAACACAGGCACACAAAGGCAUGCAAGCACCAUGUAUGAGUUUCAUCACCUGUGGAUGCGGUUUGGUCAAUCGAGCCUUUUCUAUGGGACGAUAACUCAAUCUUUCCUUCAGUUUUGGCAUUGUCGGACUCUACUGUUAUAACAGCUCGAGGCUUCUCAAAUGCUGCACAAUUUGCAAAAAUCUUAAUACACUAACCUCCAAUAAUUUAGGAGUUUCAAUGCAGAGACGGUAAAGAUACUCACGAUUUAGGUAAGUCAGAGCCACAGUGUAACAGAAGUUGAAGACAAAUAUGAAUCCAAGCAGUGCCCCAGCUCCUAUCCAGUACCAGUGUGCCUCCGUGAAGAACCCACGAGCCUUCAAUACUGCUACUCCAAGGGAUUCUGUUGAAUUGGUAGAAGCAUUCUGAAAAAUGGAAAUACAUUCAAUCAUCAGUGACUGACACACAUAAAUAAACACAAAUACUCACAUGCAAAAUCCAAGAACUUACUUUGCUCCAACUCUUCCCAAGGAAUUCAUUUACCACUAUUGCGUUCUGUGCAUACAUCAUAGGGGAAGACCAGUAACCCCAAAUCCACCAUUUCUUGACACUUUCUGCAGCAUUGACCAAAUACAAAAAGAAAACAAAAAUCCAUUAUUAGUGUUUAUCAACAAGAAGGUUCUACAUUUCCUGAAAAUUUCUUUCCUCCUUAUACCUCGUGACAGGACAAAACCACCCAAUGCAAAGGGCAGAACUAAUGCAAAUGACCCAAAUGUGUUUGCAACAAUCAUGCUUCUACAAGCUGCUGCUAUAAAUCGAAAUAAUGAAGAUGCCGUCUGAUUAAGAAGCAAGAGGAGAAGAUACUGUCUAAACAAUCUGCAAUAAGAAGAUUUGUUUAUUGAGCAUAGAUCAUUUUGGAACAGAGAAAACAGGUGAAACAAAUCUGGACAAGUUUCUGCAACUUCAUAAGUUUUUAACUUUUACCUUCCCACAUUUGGAUCAAAUCCAAUGACAUAAUAAGUGAUGAAUACCCAAAGACCAACUUCAACAAAUGUGAUGGGGAUCUUGAGGAACCAUGAGGGAAGAGCAUAUGCCCAUGCAGGAUAGAAGAGCAGGCCUCUUUGCUUGUAAAAGACAGGAAGUUUUAGAAUGGUCAUGGCAAGUUCUGACAUUCCAUUAAACAUGACCUUCAUGACAGUGAAGAACAAAGCACCAGUGUAAAUGAUUCCAUCUUCUGUUGUGUUUUUGGGCAUCUCAGUUCUUAGGAAGAUUGUCAUUGCAAUCAUUGCGACUAUUGUGAGCUAAAAGCAGAAAUAAAAAUAAUAAAUUACGAUCAAAUGUACAAAAUUAAAAGCCAUUGUUAUAAGUAACAACAAUAAUAAUACUCACUUGGGUGAGCUUGAAAAUAUAGACAAAUGAAUUCCUCUUCAUCAGCAAGUACUCUCUUGAGAUGCAAGCAUCCAACAGUUCCUUCUUUCCAACACCAUAUUUUUCAGUUUUCAAAGCAGCCGGGUGGCUUUUGGUCUUGUCGAAUGGAGUUGCAAGCUCAUCUCCUAGUUUCCGUCCAAAGUGAAAUGACUGGAAUGCCUCAGCNNNNNNNNNNNNNNNNNNNNNNNNNNNNNNNNNNNNNNNNNNNNNNNNNNNNNNNNNNNNNNNNNNNNNNNNNNNNNNNNNNNNNNNNNNNNNNNNNNNNAUCUUUAUGUGCCCAAUACUGCUNNGAUCUUCCUAGAUGUUACUGCAAUCAAUUUUAAAAUUCGUGUUCUAGCUUGGUUUUUUCUAAAGAAGGGAAAAAAUGAGAAGAUGCCAAAAGGUACAAAGCUAUUAGCACUCACUUCUUGUAGGAAGUCUGCCACACCCUUCCUUUCAGGACAUCUGAACCCCAUGGAUUCAAAAAAGUUAAGAACGUCUUCACGAGGACCCUGAUAAAUGAUCCGGCUAUCAGAGAGAAGAAUGAUGUCAUCAAAAAGAUCGUAAGUCUCAGGUGCUGGCUGGAGGAGAGAGAUGAGAGCAGUCCCAUUGAGAAUGUGGACGGUUUGCCUGAGAGAAUUUACGAUUUGAUAAGUUGUUGAGCUAUCCAAGCCAGUAGAGAUCUCAUCCAUGAACAGUGCCUUUGAUGGUCCAACCAGCAUCUCACCUAUCAUUCAUAUAUUUUCAAAUAAUUGAACUAUAUUAGAUUAAUGAACAAAAAAUAUCUUCUUCUUCUUCUUUUUUCCUUUUUCAUGUUAGAACACAAAUUAUCCUACCAGUUGUGACACGCUUCCUUUGUCCUCCAGAGAUACCCCUCACCAUUUCAUCUCCUACCAUGGUGUCUGCACAGAUUUCUAGUCCCAGAAUCUGUAAAUUUAAGUGUAAAUGAAAAUAAACAAAUUAUGAGUUAGAACUGGGUUUUCUCAGAAAUCUGUAUUCCAUCAUUGAAAGUUUUAUGGUUAUGAUACCUUUAGUGUAUAAUCAGUGAUCACAUUCUCCUUCUGGCCUUCAGCUGCCGCUGCCUGAAAUGUUAGAAACCAAUAAUGAAAAUCUCAACAACCAUUAAAGUUAGUUUGGUACAUCAAGAUAUUCCAUGGAUAAGAUCGACAGAACAUCAAGAAAACAAAGUCAAUUUGCAUAUCUAUGUGAGAGAUCAAAAUUUUCAUUCUAGAGAAGACAAGUGUCCAUGUUCUCCACGAAAAACAAAUAGCUGAUCAAUUUCACAAAGUAGCUUCUGUCUCACCUUCAUGAAGACAUCGAUAUCAGGAUCGGGCUUUAUAUUUGCUGCUUUCUCUCUUCUUGAGAGCUCUACUAACAUGUCUGCAGAUAGCCAAAAUAAGAGUCAAUCUCCUGGCCUAGGCAAAUGUCAUACAACUACAUCCACAACCUUCAAAAACAAAGAAAAUAAAAGUGAAGGCAAUGGUUUAGACUAACCAUAUCGAUCUCCAACACCCUGGCAUCUUGCAGAGAAGGCCAAGGUUUCCCGUACAGUCAUUUCUCCUAUAUGGGUAUCAAGUUGGCUUAUGUAGGCGGCAGUUCUCUGGGGUACAAACUCAUUCAUGCCAUGACCGUUGUAUGUCACCCUUCCCGUAACCUAAACAAGAAAUUUCAGUUUUCAAAUUGGAUAUGAGAUUAAAGUGCUAAAAAUUGCAUCAAAGAAGAAAAGCAAUAAGAGUUUUUUUUUUUUUUUUUUCCAUUCAACCUUUAGACUGGAAUCAAGCUUUCCGGACAAAGCCAAUAAGAGAGUGGUCUUUCCAGAACUUGGAGGACCCAAAAGCAACGUCAUUCUGCAGAAAAAAAAUUAUGCACAAAAAAUUGAGUAUUGAUCUUCAGGGCAUUCUAAAUUUGAGAAAGGAAAAAAUCAUUUGAUUUAUCAAUCAAUUUUUUACUAGAAAUAAAUUCAAAUUCUCACCUUCCGGGUUUGAUGAUUCCGCUAACAUCAUGAAGAAUGGUGAAUUUCUUCUUUCUACUUGGAAGAAUUCGAAGAGUGUUCAAGAUAUCCUUUAAAACAGAAAGAAAAAUUAUAAUCUAAAAACAAACUUUCCCAAGAGAGUACUUAUUGAUUAGCUAAUGAUCUGCAUUUUCAUUUUAGUUACCUCAAUUUGAUUAAAAACAGAAUUAAUGAAUGAAGGCAAAGCUCUGCUUCCUACAUGAGCUUCUGCAUCAAUGGUAAGAUGCUCAAAUCUAACUUCAAUUUCGGGAAGAUCAAUCCCAACUCUGAAAAAUGGAAGAGCCACGAAAACUCGUUAUUAAAAAGUCAAAGGAAGAUGUUGUUUGGUUGCAAAGAAAAUAUAGGAAACACUAUCAGGCAUACUUAAGAUGAAUUCUUUCUUUUCCACUGUUUUCAAUGUUCAAAAAGAGGCAAGGAGCGCAAGAAAAGAAGAGAAAUCGCACCUAUCCAUACGAUUCUUGAGCUUCAACAAGAACUUCUCAUUGUCCUCUUCAGCGAUUUUCACCAACCGCUCGACUAAAUUCUUCCUUUCCUGAGGCCCAAGGUUGUGUAUAUCAACUUCACUGGCCUCACCCUCUGAUCCGAUCAGCAAACCUUUCCUCAGCCGAUUGUAGGUGGGAAGUUUCUCGAGGGCAGCCCAUUUCAAAGCUUCCUCAUCAUCCUCAUCCCUUGAAGAACGGGAGAAAACCUCCGCACCAGAGUUCCUCCAUAUGGAAGAACUGUUCUUCUUGAAACUACCACUGGCUCUACGACCACUGGCUGUAUAAAUUUCAGCUGUUUCCAUUGCAACACGAAACGAGGAACCCCCCUGCAAAACUAACCAGAACCCACCAAAACCCAGAAAUUUUUCCAAAAAAUCAGGAGAAGCCCAAGUUUUGAUCUCUGGAGCUGAAAAAAACUCAGAGAUGGGUGUCCUCCCCUCUUUUCUCUAUGCACUUUGUAGUGCUAAAACCUUGUUCUAUGUUAGAAAACCAUGAGGAAUGGAAGGUUUAUAUACUGGUUCGAAGGACAGAAUCAGAGGCGGCCUAAAAGUUUCAAAUUCUUAUUUUAACAUUUUCACAAUUCUCCACUAUCUUGUUUGUCAAGUAAAUGGAAAAGUGAAUUAUUAAAUGUUGUCCUAACCGCAAACUAACUAACUUUCCCGGGCCAAACUAACUAAAUUCCAAAUGUAAAACAUUUAUGGCAUCUUGUUUAUACUCUUGUUUAAUGAUAUGAUACUUUCGGUUUAGUUUGCCUGAAUUAAAAAUGUAAGUUAAUUUUUAACAUUUCAUUUAUAACCUAAUUUAAUGUUGAUAUAUUGAAUUUGGAUUACUUCUUUUAAUCUCAGAAUUUAUUAAGAUUAGAUCGGAGUUGAGUUAAUAGGCCUCGAGUUAAUUUAAAUUAUAUUCAAGGAAAGAGUUAAGUAAACUUUAAUAAGUGAAUGAUGAAAUUUUUUAUUUCUAAAUUAUAUGUAAUAUAAUCAAAUAUAUGUCUCGUUAUUACGAGUUUACAAGUAACCCAAUAGGCAUAAGAAUUAUUGAAGGUUGGCCCAACAGCCCCUUUUGACCCUUCAAAUGACUGCCCUUGUCAUUUUCAGCUUUACUCACCCUUGUCAACCAGCAAGCAACUCACUAGGAAUAGGAAUUAUCAAAUUAAGUAACUUUGCCACAAGCAGCCCCAACCCCACCCCCAAACCCCCAAACCCCCACCCCCCACCCCCCACCCACCACCCAACAUAUUUUUUUGGCAAUUUUUGUUAAAUCUAAUUUAAUAUUUUGAUAUUUGGAUUACCUAAAUUAGAAAUGUAAGUUAAUUUUUAGAAAUUUGUUUGUAGUCUAAUUUAAUGUUGAUUAAACUCGAGUAAGUUUAAAUUAGGAUUAAAUCUAUUUAAGGAUGGUGUUAAACAAAUGAGGAAACCUAAACCUUAAUUAAGUGGGUUAUUAGAAAAAAUAUUAUGGUAUUAAUUAUUUCAUGAAUUUGUAUAUCUUAAAAUUAGUUAAUAAUACCCCUCAUUAUUAUUCAAUAAAAGUGGCCAAUUCUAUGGUAAAGAAUAAAAAUAUUAAAAACAUUAGUAAAAGAUGUUUUAGACUUUACUAAAAAAAUAAGUUAAAAGACUUUUUCAAAAGAAUUUUAAAAAGUAUUUAAACUCCCCGCUAAGAUAUUUUAAUAAAUCAUUUUUUUUUUUACCAAGUCAAUGGAAAUUUGAAUUAUUAAAUGUUAUCUAACUACUAGAUAAAUUAAUAAGUUGUUUGACAAUUAUUUUUUGAGAACUAUUUUUUUAUUUUAUCUUUAAGUUGUUUUCACUUAUUUUUUAAAAUUUGUUUUAAAAAAUAACUAUACAGAAAAAUGAUUAAAAAUAAAGUACUAAAUAUAAAAAAAAUCAUUUUUAAAAAAUAUUAAAAACCAUUUAAAAUAUUUUAAAUUCUCAAAUAAACUUUUGUUUUAUAAAACAUUAAAAAAUAAUUUUUAAAAACUGUUCUUAAAAACUAUUUUUCAAAAUUAUUUUUUAAAACAAUUACAAAAUGGAUCCUAACUUUAUUUGCCUGAGUGCAAAUCUACCUAAAUUGUAAAUGUAAAAUACUUUUUUGGCAAUUUAUUUAUAAUUUAAUUUUAAGAUUCCAUACUUUGGGUUUUGAAUUACCACUUUUAAUCUCCCAACUUUUUAGAGUAGGAUUGGAUUAGCUGAAUUUGACUCUGCUUAGAGUUAGGUCCCGGGUGGUUUUCGACUGGCUCAUACUCUCCUAAAUUAUAAAUGUAAGUACAUUUUUUGGUACAUUUCCUUUUCUUUUUUUUUUUUUUAAAAACAAAAUAUCUUAUAUGAAAAAAAAAAAAAGGAAUUCUUGUAUAAAAGCUAGUUAUAUACCUUGUAUAAAAAUUUAAGUAAUUUUACUUCCACAAAUUUUCUAGGUUUUGAAAAGAAUUUUUAGAAAUACAAGGUAAAUUUUACCUUUUUAUAUAAAAGUUCUUAUAUUUUAUAUAGAAAUUCUUAUUUUUAAAAAUAAAAAAUGUACCUAAUCACCACCUAAAUUAUUUUUCACCAUUUUUUUAUACUAUAAUCUAAUGUUUAUGAUCGAAAUCUAGUGUUUGUAGUUAAGUUUGUAUUGAAGUUUAGUCAACAUAUUCAUGGAUGAAGCUAAACUAAUGACAGAAACUUUAUUUAAGUGAGCAAUUAGAACAAUUAUGAGGGUAAUAAAUAAUUGAUAAAUUUUCAAAAUUUAAAAUUUGUUAACAAUUCCCCUCAUUAUUAUAAAAAAUAUAUAUACAAUUAUAGAGGUUAAUUAUAAAAAAGAAAGAAAAUAUAUGAUAUAUCAAACUGAAUAAAAAUAAUAUCAAACAUAUUGGUAAAAAUAUUUUUGUUUUUCAAAAAAAAAACAUCCAAAAAAUUAAAAGGUUUUUUUUCAAAAGAAUUAAAAAAUAGUUAAAAUUUUCAAUAAGAAAUUUCUAAUAAUUUUGUUUUAACAAAAAUAGAAAAUCAACAAUUCCACUUAUAAAUUUCUUCUAUUUUUCAAAUAGCUAAAGAUAAAUUGAGUGAGGAAACUAUUUUUUUUAUGAAGUAUAUAUAAUAUAGUAAAAAUAUCAUAUUAAGUUAUAUAAUUUUUAUAAUUAAAGUUAAAUUCAAAUUCUCAUAAUAUAGUCAUUAUAUGAGAUUUGAUAUGAUGAUAUUUAUAAAAUCGAUGAGAUUGAUAUUCAAAUAUUUCUUUUUAAAACAUACUGAUUUAACUCUACAAGUGGUACCACCACCCAUAUAAAUUAAUAUUAAUUACAAACUUCCAUAAUACAAAUCAUUGCAUAGGAUUAGAUUUAUUAAAAAUUAAAUAACAUAUAAAUUUAUAUAGCUUUGUAGUAAAUUCUAAAUUAGUGAUUAUUUCAUUAAAUCUAAAAAAUAAAAGUAAAAUGACCAAAUCAAUCUGCAAAAAAUUCACCACUCAAAAUAAUUUAAUAAAAUGUCAAAUACUAAUAGAAUUUUUUGAGGGAUGAGGUUUAGAAAAAUCAAAUUUAGCUUUUUCUAUUUGAAAAAACCUCAUUUUCAAGGGAAGACAUUAUUAAAUCCUCCUUGAUGAUGGUAAAGUUAGGGAAAGAAAAAGAAACAACAAAUCUUAAUAUGAUGUUUCAGGGAACCCUAUCUUCAAUGAAUCAAACUAGUUUUAUGGGGCCUAAUUGACUGGAAGUUCUUAUUUUCAUUUGUCCAAAUAAAGAAAUAUUCAGAAACUGAAAAUCUUCUUUCCUAUCACAGUUCUGAACAAUCAAAGCAACUAUUAAUAAAAAAAAAACACUCAGAAUAUGACAGAUUUUGAACUAAAUAUCAUCUCGAUUCACCUACUCAAGAAAUUUGAUGAGUUUUUGAGCUUGGAAGAGUCAGGUCAAAUCCACAUGUCUGCAAAUUUGGAAGGCAGUGAUUCUACAAUUCAAAGCAUAACUGCUUCAUUUGGAUAUGAUCAUCAGGAUACCACUGUAUGAGCACCAAACUAUUUACAUUGAAUGAGUUGAAUACUAGGAAAACUGAACUACUUCUCUUCAUGGGUCAAGCAUAUCAGUAGAAAUGGGAUCUGAAAGCGCAGGCAUGGAACUACCUCUGAACUUUCUGAAGAAGGCCAAAACUUUUCUUUUUGUUAGCUCAAGUCUAAAUUUAAGAGCAUUUUAAACCCUGCCCCGUCAUACACACUUGUUGGUUUUGAAACCAUACCAUUUUCAUGCUGAUACCUGUCUUUAUGGUUUCAGCUGCUUAAAGCAGAGACUGAAAGUGGAGCACCAUACCGGUAAGUCGGUCAUCAAGAUCAAAGGAUUGCUGGUCACACUAGACAGGCGAAGCAGGUUGAGAAAUGCAUAGUUGUCGAAGGACAAAUUGCAUCCAGGUAAUUUCAGCGACAGUAAUAGGAAGACCAUGAUAUUCGGACUCAGCACUACUUCGUGAGAUAACUCUUUGUUUGGUAGACGACCAUGACACCAGAUUGGAGCCAAGGAAGAUGUAAUAGCUGCUAGCGCUUCCACGAUCGUUUGGGAAUUAUGCCCAAUCCGCAUCUGUGUGGGAUUGGAUGUCCAGAGAGGACGAGGGAUGCAGUAUCAGUCCGUGGGGGGUGGUGCCUUUAAGGUACCUGAGGAUCCUUUUUACACCAAGCCAGUGCAUGGUGGUGGGACGAGCCAUGAACUGACAUGCUUUAUUGGCUGCAAAUAAGAGAUGAGGCCUGGUGUUGGAAAUGUAUUGGAGGGCUCCCACUAUGCUGCGGUACAAUAAGACAUUCGAAAUGGUUCUCCAUCAGACUCAGAUAGGGUUGUGCCAGUGGCUCCAGGUGUGGUAGUAGGCUUGGAAUCCAACAUAGUCGUUCAAGUGAGAAGAUCACAGAUGUACUUAUGCUGAUUGAGAUGUUGUAAUGCAUUGGCAUGAGUGACCUCUACACCCAGAAAGUAGUUAAUAUGACCAAGGUCUCUAAGGGCAAAUGUUGUUUUGAGAUAUUGCAAAAAUGAGAACACCUGAGGAGGAUUGCUGCCUGUAAUUAAUAUACCGUCAACAUAGAUUAAAAGGAGUAUGGUAGCAAUUGAUGUAUGAAGGAAGAACAGAGAAUUAUCAGCCUAUGAACAAGUGAAGCCCCAGCUGAGAAGUGCUGUUCGAAGUCUGAGAAACAAGGCAUGAGGGGCCUGCUUGAGGCCAUAUAAAGCUUUGUUCAAGCGACAAACAUGAGAUGGAUAUUGCGGAUCUACAAAAUCUGGAGGCUGCUGCAUGAACACUUGCUCACGGAGGUCGCCAUUGAGGAAGGCAUUUUAAUUUGGACAUCCAGUUGUCUAAUUGGCCAACCAGAGGAGAGAGCUAUGGUGAGGACUAUGCGAAUGGUGGAUGCCUUGACUAUUGGACUGAAUGUUUCGAAGUAAUCUAGCCCAUGUGUUUUGCAACACGGCGAGCUUUGUAGCGAUCAAUGGUCCCAUCUGGUUUAUAUUUGGGUUUAUAGACCCAUUUGCAACCAAUGAUAUGUCCAUGUUGAGGAGCUGGAGCAAGAGUCCAGGUGUUGUUGCGGAUGAGGGCAUUGUAUUCAGAUGUCAUAGCUUCUUUCCGGUUGGAAUUUUUGAGUGCUUGGUGAUACGUUCGAGGUUCAAUGAUUUUCGGUGCAAAGAACAAUAUGGGUUUGAGGUUACCAAUUUUUUAUCGAGUGAGCAUGAGGUGGGUGUUAGCUGGUUUGGUGAAGAGAGUCUUGGACUGUAAUGCUAAAAGUGAAGAGUUAGUAAAUGGUGCCUGAAUAAUGGAGGGAAUAAAGUGGUUAAAGAAGGAAGGACUGGUUAUAGCUAGUUGGGGAAUGGGUCGUUCACGGGACUGGGUGGUGGUGGAUGAGAAAAGGGUUGGGAAAUGAUGAAGAGGGCUGGAAUAAGGAAUAGCUGAGUGAGGGCUUGAGGACAGGAUGGGAGAGGGCUCGAAGAGUGGUUAUAUUUGAAAUGAGAAGAUGGUUUCAUUGAAAACUACAUGACGGGUGAUGUAGAGGCGACUGGAUAAGAGGUCCAUGCAUAUGUAGCCUUUCUAAAAUGAGCUAUAACCCAGAAAUACACAUUGGACUAAUCGAUAUUGGAGCUUAUGGUUAUUGUAUGGUCGAAUGUAUAGGUAGCAAAGACACCCCAAAUACUUUAGACAUUGUAUAAUCUGGAGGAUGGCCAAAUAGAACUUGGAAAGGGGAGUUAAGAUUUAGGAUUUUGGUAGGUAGUCUGUUAAUAAUAAAUGUUGCAGUUUGGAAGGCAUACAACCAGAACUUCAAGGGUAAAGAGGCUGUGGCUAAGAGGGUUAGCCCGUUUCAACAAUGUGGUGUAUUUUACAUGCAGACCUGCCAUUUUACUCCGGAGUGUGGGGACAUAAACAUCGGUUUAUAAUUCCUUGUUGAGUAAGGAAGGGAGCGAAGGCCCUAAACUCUCCUCCAUUGUCCUAUUGGAGGCAUUUGAUUGUGGAACCAAACUGUUUCUCUACUAGAAUUUUAAACUUCAUGAAUGUAGGUAAGCUUGAUCCUUAGUGUGUAAGGGAUACGGCCUGGAAAAUCUUGAACAAUCAUCAACAAAUAACAAGAAAUAUCGAGCACCAAUAGAGGCUGGAAUGGGUGACGGUCCCCAAAGAUUAGUGUGUAUAAGAUCAAGGAUAUUAGAAGCUUUAAUUGGACUCAGAAAGUGAAAAUGGUAAUUUGUGGCUUUUUCCAUAUUGACAAGCAGUACAUAUAGUAGAAUUAUUGGUUUCAAGAGUUUGAGAAUGUUUGCAACAGGAUGUCCCAGCCUAGCAUGCCAGAGAGUAAACUGCUCAGUUCUUGUGGUAGACGCAGGAGUGUGAGACGCAGUUGUGAGGAAGGUUGAGGAUGACCUUGGUGUUAUGAAGUUCAUACGGAACUUAUAGAUACCAUUUUCAAGAUUGUCGUGGAGUAGAGUUUUCUUCAUGAGGUGGUUCUUCACAAGAAAGGGACGAGGAUAAAAGUCAAAGAAAGAAUUAUUGUCAUGGCAGAAUUUUGAGACGCUCAUAAGAUUUUGGCAAGUUUGGGAACAUGAAAUACUUUGUUUAACUGAAAAGUCUUAAAUGAAGUAGGUAGGAAUUUAGAACCAAUAAGAAGAUAGGAAGCCUCUUACCAUUGCCAAUGAUGACUAUAACUAGAAAUGGGAUCUGUAAGUGCAGGCAUAGAACCUCUGAACAUUCUGAAGAAGGCCAAAACUUUUCUUUUUGUUAGCUCAAGUCUAAAUUUAAUGACAUUUCUCUCAUACACACUUGCUGGUUUUGAAACCAUACUAUUUUCAUGCUGAUACCUGUCUUUAUGAUUUCAGCUGCUUAAAGCAGAGACUGAAAGUGGAGCACCAUACCGGUAAGUUGGUCAUCAAGAUGAAAGGAUCGCAUAAGGUUAUAUUAUUCUCUUGAAUUUAAAAUUUCAAAUCACAUACAAAUGGGAGAAAACAAAAUACAAGAAUUUGACAACAUAAAUAUUACCUCCUCAUAGCAGGGCUAUCGAUACUCUCUAACAGCCUAUACAUAGAACAAAACCAUUUUUUCAUCUUUGAAGAACUUGAGCUUUUAUCGCCUUUGGAAGUUAAAUGCCUUAAUGGAAAAGGCGAAGAUAAAUAAGAAAAGCACCGCAAACCCAACAAUCACAGCUGCAACCACUCCCAGGAAAUCAUGUUCGAACCCAAAAUAGUCAUCCAAGUAUUGUUUCACUGUUACAUUUGUGCCAAGUAGUCUGUCUUCGAUAUCUCCAAACUGUGCUGUAAUCAAUCCAUACAAAGUCCAUGCAACUGGACAUGCCCAAUAAUACCAUCUCCACCACACAGGAAUCCUCUGCAUUCAUCAUGGAAGAAAUGCAACAAAAUGAGACAGUUUCAUAUCCAUGUGCUAAACAAAGUUCCAAUUUAAAGAAUUAUGGGUUUAGAGCACUAACAGUUCCUGGGACGAUAAAACCGGAGAAGAGGUUCCAUAAUGCAUAAAAUGCUACAGCAAUGAUGGCAGCAAUAUGCUGAUUUGGUGUGGCAGCCACAGCCAUCAUGCCAAACAAGGUGAAGUAUAAUAGGCUGAAGAACGUAAAAAAAAAAUAUACCAGAAGAACUUAGCAGUUGUCCAUUCAAAUCCAAUCAUUGCAUAAACUAUAGCACCAUAAACCACAGCUUGCGAAAAGACAUAUGGUAUCUCAACUAAAGCCUGAAACAAGAGAUGAAUUUUGAUUAAUAAAACGCAUAAAGCAUUAGAUAUAUACAAAGUCUAUAGCAUAAGAAAACUUGUUACCUGCGCAAAGGCAUAUGGCAUGGCUGAAUACAUUCCUGCAGCUCUUUCUCUGUAAAAGACUGUCCGUUCAACUACCACGACUGGCUGCACCGAUUGGCCUAUCUGUAACCCAAGGAAGAUAACAGCAGCAUACAUAGAGCCCAUUGCAUUAGAUAGAUCUUGUUGCCUUGUCCUGCAUUUUCCCAUGUGAAGUAAAAAUUGAAGUUGAUAUGGAGAAGCAUACUGAGUUGUCAAAAUUCUUAACUUAAAUCAAAUUACCUUUGGGUGCCGAGAUCCCAGAACAUUGUCCCAAACAUCAAGGCUAUGAAAGUUGUGAAGAAAAAUCUCACUGCCGUGUAUGGUGGAUUGCGCCAGUAUGACCAACGUUGUUUCCAUAAGCAUGCCAUACAUUGGGUGAAGGACUGGGAGUAUUGAGUAGGGAAAUAGAGGUCCUUAGAACCAGGGGUAGGUUGGCUCAAUUCUUUAAUUAAAUCUUUGUUUCUCCUGAAACAUAUGCCACAUCUUAGAAAAAGCCUCAACAACAAAUUCAAGCUUGCAUGAUGAACAUUGAGAUGGCUGUAUAUGACAUUUCAAUAUCAUAAAGCAUUCAGAUAUCCUAUAUUUGAAUCACCUGUAUAUGUCUGAGUUUUUGUAUAUUUCAGUGAAAUCCACUCCCAAAAUUAAUUCUUGUGUAGAAGUGGUAACUUCCAACAUCCAGGUUGCAGGGUUAUAACCAUCUUUGAUUUUACUUACUCCUUCAAUUCCCUAAAUGAAACCAAAUUAAUCCUUCAUAAUGUACCAAAUUUUAUAAAGGAAGUACUAAAUUUUGUCAAGGACGUACCAAAUUUUUUAAAGGAUGUACCAAUGUUGCCAAAGUCCGUUAUGAGGUGGGGAACGACCUUCAAUAACUUCCUGAAGGUCUCCAAAUGAAGAAAUGGACUAUGGAAAUGGAGAUAAGUGUUCCAUUAGCUCAAGGAUUGGAUGUAUUAAAUUUUCUCAAUGAUGUACCUAGGGUUCCAAAGUCCAUUUCGGAGUAGGGAACGAUUUCCAAUCACUUCCCAAAGAUCCCUAAAGGAAUAAACAGACCAUGAGUAAUAAGAUAGAGAUUUCAAUAGCUCAAGUAUGUACCAAAUAUUUUUAAGAAUAUACAAAAUUUUAUAAAGGAUGUACCAAGAGUGCCAAAAUUUGUUUCGAUGUGGGGAAUGACCUUCAAUCACUACCUAAGGGUCCUCAAAGGAUAAUAUGGACCAUGGGAAGAUAGAUAAGGGCUUGAUAGCCUGAGGAUUGGAUGUACCAAAAUUUCUUAACGAUGUACCAAAUUUCCUUAAGGAUGUACCUAGGGUUCCAAAGUUCGUUUCUAAGCAGGGAACGACCUCUAAUUACUUCCUAAAGAUCCCUAAAGAAAUAAACAAACCAUGGGUAAUAAUAUAGAGGUCCUGGUAGCUCAUGGAUUGGAUGUACAAAAUUGUUUUAAGGAUGUGCCAAAUUUUAUAAAAUAUGUACCAAAUUUUAUAAAUGAUGUACCAAAUUGUCUUUAGGAUGUACCUUGGGUUCCAAUAUCAGUUUUAGAGUGGGGAAUAACCUCUAAUUCCUUCUCAAGGGUCCCCAAAUGAAUAUAUGAACCAUGAAAAUGAAAAUAGCGGUUUUAGUUCCUCUAAGAAUUGAUAUACCUAGGAUCCCAAAGUUCUUUUUGGGGUGGGCAAAAACCUCCAAUUACUUAUCAAGGGUCUUAAAAGAAUAUAUACACCUUGAUAAGUAUGAUAGUGUUUUCGGUUUUCCUAAGCAUUAAUUUACCUAUAUUUUUUAAGGAUGUACCUAUUUUUAUUAAAUUAAUAUAAAAGGCUAAAUUCAAUUUUUUAUGAAAAAUAUAUUUUCUUUUAUAUUUUAUUUUAAUUAAAAAUUAAAGAUUUUAACCAAAAAAAAAAAAUUAGAUCCAUAAUCAAUUUAAAAUCAUAAGAAAAAUGAUAUAAGCACCGUCACUUAUUGUGAUUUUGAUAUGAUAAAUUUAAAAUGAAAAUUAAAAGAAAAAUAAUGUAAAUAAUAAAAUAGUAUUACAAUGAUAUUUUUACUUUUACAUGUGAUAGAAUUUACAAAAUAAAUAAAUCUUUUGUUUAGUUUUAAUAUAAAAAAUCUUAUAUCUAAAUAAUAAAAUGGAAUUUUUAAAUUUAAACCUUAAUUUAUAAAAUGUAUUAUUAUAAUUAAUAUUUAAAAUCAUUGUUAUUUGUGGGAUAAUAUUUUCAUUUUUGUACAUUAUAUAUUUUGUUUUUAUUUAAUUUUUUAUAUUAAUUAUUUAUUAUACAUUAUCAUUUUAAGUUUAAUAUGUCAAAAAAAUAAUUAAAAUCAAUAAAUAUAGACAAAUUAGAGAGUAAAAAUAAAUUUAAAUUAAAUUAAAAAAUGCACGAGCAUAUUAAAAAGAAUAUAAAGGAAAAAAAGAAAAAUAAUAAUAAAAACUAUAAUAGGUGAUAAUGGAUUAUGGUGGCAGGAGAGGAAAAAAAAAAGUGGAAAUGUGACGAGUGGUAAGGGAGAUAUAUUGAUGUGAGAAAAAUAAUAAAAAUAAAUUACACAUGUACUUGUUAACAAGUUGUAUUAAAUUGAUGUAUACUUUGUCCUUUACUUUUAAGGGUAAUUAUGGAACAAAUUUGAAAGCACUAUUGGAGUGCAUGAAUAAACAAUAUUUUUUCUCAUUUUACACCAAAAUUAAAAAGAAAAAAAGUAAAGCUCCAAAAUCUCAUAUUUUUUGUAAUUGGUAUAUGGUUAGAUGAUUUUCCCUUUUUUUUAAGCUUGGGAUCAAAUGUGGAACCGAAGGUUGGACCCAUACACAUUAAGCAACCAUCUUUGAAAAACUUGUCCUCUGCACAUCUUAUCAUGUUUGGAAGUUAAAUGCAUUAACGGAAAAAGCAUAGUUCAAAGUCGCAAUAUCGGUUAUUGACUCGGAAAGUCAUGAGGCAUAUCAGUAUCGAUGUCUCGCUUCGAUAUCAGGUGAUACGUAAAAUAAGAUAAUUAAAAUUUUCAAAAAAUUAUAAAAUUAUUAUAUAAAUUAAAAAAUAAUAUAUAUAUCUAUAUAUAUAUAUAUAUAUAUAUAUAUAUAUAUAUAAUUAAUUAAAUAAACUAAAAAUUUUAAUAAAACAAAUUUUUUUCACAUUUAGCUCAAAGUUAUUUGUGAUAAUAUUAAAAUUUGAGGAUUUAAUUCUCACUUUGCCAUAUAAACACUUUAAUUUAUCAUUAAAUCUCAUAUAUACCUUUCAUAUCAUUUUACUUUAGCAAAUCGGGUACUCAAUUCUCUUAAUAUGUUAUUAUUAAAUCAUAUUAAAGUGUUUAUAUGAAAGGUAUUUUCCAUGUAAAUUGGGACUCAAUUCUCCAUGUAAAUCCGUAUAAAAGAUAGUUUUUUACUUUACUAAUUUGAGCUCCCAAUCUCCCACUCUCGCCACCGUUGCUGUCAAGACCCAUAACAGACCUCCCAAUCUCCCACCCUCACACGCCACCAUGCCGUCAAGACCCACAAUAAACGAUACCACCUGCAAUUGUAAAUUUGCAACCAUGUAAGACCUAACAUGGGAAGGGGAGCAAUCUGAUUGUGAGGGGGUUGUCUUGUCGACGUCGCCGAUGAAAGAUUCAGUCCACUUAACGAGUCACCACCGUCGACACCAAAGCUCCACCCUCUGGUGAUGCUCGAUUUUGAGGAAAAUCAGGUAAGUAAAUCCUAAAUCAUGUCCUCAUCCUUCGGUGGUUUCUCCACUUAUUUCCGAACAAAUCACGGUUUGGGUUUUUUUCUUCGUCUUCUUUGAUCUUCUCAUUAAUGGUUUAAAAUUUCAGAAUAGGUGUUUUCUUUUGAAAGGGCAAUGUUUGAUUAUUAUUUUUUUUAAUUUUAUGAAAAUUUUGAAAAUUCUUUGUAACCUCACCGAGUCAACCAAGUUAACUUGGAAACUCAGACAAGUCAAUCGAGUCUAACCGAUUCCCAGCCGAGUUCAUGCAUUAUACUGUAUCUGGUAUCAGUCUCGUCGCGGCAAGUAUCGAGGCAGAUACGACUUGGCUGAGUCAUACCGGACUCAGCUGAUACUUUGAACCCUGGGCAAAAGUGAAGACAACGAAGAAGAGCAAGGUAAAGCUAGUUAACAACCACAACUGCAAUCACUCCCUGGAAAUCAUGCUUAAAUCCAUAAAAAUAAUCCAAGUAUUGUACCACGGUUACAUUUCUAUCUGUUAGCAUCUCCUCUACAUCACCAAACUGUGAUGUAAUCAUUCCAUACAAGGUCCAUGCAACUGGAAAUAUCCAAUAGUACCAUCUCCACCACACAGGAAUCCUCUGGAAUCUAUCAGGGAAGAAAUGCAACACAAUGAAUCAUUUCUAUAUCCUUAUGAUAAUGUAAUUUGGAUUUGAGAAACAAUUAUAUAUGGGUUGAGAGUGCUUACGGUUCGUGGGACUGUAAAGCCUGAAAAGAGUUUCCACAAUCCAUAAAAUGCAGCACCAGUGACGGUAGCAACGUGUUGAUUCGGUGUAGCAUCCACAGCCAUCAUGCCAUAGAAGGUGAAGUACAACAAGGUGAAGAACAUGAAGAAGAGAUGUCAGAGGAACUUAGUGGCCAUCCAUUCAUAUCCGAUCAUUAAAUAAACUAUAAGACCAUAUACAACAGUUGUACAAAGAUAUAUGGGAUCUCAACAUAAGUCUGCAACAAGAGAUGAAAUUUUAGUAGGAAAUGACAUAAAAGUAAUACAGAUCUGCAAUGUCUAUAGCAUAAGAAGACUAGUUACCUGUGCGAAGGCAUAUGCCAUGGCUGAAUACAUUCCUGCAUCUCUUUCUCUAUAAAAGACUGUUCUUUCAACUACGACUGGCUUCACGGAAUGCGGAAUUUUGAAUCCCAAGGAAGAUAACAGCAGAAAACAUAGCACCUAUUGCAUUAUCCAAAUCUAUUGACCUUUUUCUGCAUUUUACAAUGAAGGUAUAAGUUAAAGUUGAUUUAGAGAAACGUAUGAAUUGGACUGACUUCCACUUACCUUCUAGUGCCGAGAUCCCAGAACAUUGUCCCAAGCAUCAAGGCUAUGCCAACUGUGAAAAGAAAUCUCACUGCAGUGUAUGGUGUGUUGCGCCAGUAUGACAACCGUUGUUUCCAUAAGUUUGCCAUGCGUUGGGUGAAGAAGGGUUGGCAGUAUUGAGUAGGGAAAUAGUGCUCCUUUGAACCGGGGGCAGGUUGGCUCAGUUUUUCAAUUAAAUCUUUGUUUCUCCUGAAACAUAUGCCACAUGUAAGAAAUGGCUUAAACAACAAAUUUAAGCUUUCAUGAGAAACCUAUAGUUGAAUCACCUGAAUAGGUCGGAAUUUUUGUAUAUUUCCUUGAAAUCAACCCCCAAAAAUACUUCUUGUGCUGUAGUGGUAACUUCCAACAUCCAAGUUGCAGGGUUAUAACUUUCUUUGAUUUUUACUGACUCCUUCAAUUCCCUUCACAAAAGGAAGUCAUAUGCAUCAGUAAGCACUUGAUAUGAAUUAACUCAAACUAAAGCAUCACUGCCAAUUAUUUUUGCUAUAUGCCAUGGCAACUUAACUCAAAAUACUUUAUCAAUUGGGAAGAAUGUCUACCCAGUGGUCCCACUUAUAUCUCUUGUCCUCCGUGCUUCAUCAGGAGCAACUGCACACCCAUUUUAAAUAAUUCAGUACUUAUCUGCCAAGGAUUAACAAGAGAAACCAUAAAUUAUUUCUGUCCACGAAAAAUUCCUACCUCAUCGAAGGCUUCAAAUAUGUCAAUACUUAGUUGAUGGAUGGUGCACACAACUGUUUUUCCUGUGUCCACUGUGUUCCUAACUGUUCUCAUAAUAAUUGCAGCAGCUCUUGCGUCUAGCCCUGAAGUUGCCUCAUCCAUGAAUAUUAUUGAAGGAUUUGCCACAACUCAACAGCAAUAGUUAGCCUCUUAUGCUGCUCAGUUGAGAGACCAUUCACACCUGGCAACCCAACCAGUGCUCCCUUCAAUGGGGUCAGUUCCAUGAGCUCCAUGACUUCGUCAAUGAACAUCUGUGACCACUAGCAAGGAUUAGAAAUUGUUUAAAAAACAAUGCAAAAUAAAAAAAAUAAAAAAGAAAAAAGAAAAAAUUCACACUGCUUGUGAUUCUUUUCUAAUAGCAGGUUGUGAACUUUGUCUUGUCUUGUUAAACCAAUCAGUUAAUUGAUGGAAAUGGCUCUUUUAUGCUUAAUAACACUUGCUUGCAUGAACUUCACCCAAUUGGAUUCUAGGACAAUGAAAUUUCGACCAACAUUUUUCCUUAGGUGAAGGUCAAGCCAAACUUGAACCUGAUCUUAGCCCAACCAAGUCAAGUUUGAAAAAUCAAUUCUAAAUAGGCUUAGCUUGUUGAGAGCGAUAAAUUGAAUAAGAAAAAUGUGGAAACAAGGAAACUCACCUUUCUGGCAGCAGAAUCCACAUCAGAAGGUAACCGCAGCCAAGCUGAGUAGACCAAGGACUCAUAGACAGUAACAUGAGGAGAGUGGAUAUCAUUCUGCGCACAGUAUCUAGAAAUUCGAGCAAAAGUUUCUUUCUUCUUUAGGUAGCCAGAAAUGGUGAUGUUACCCUCAAUAUAUCCACCAGUUUUCCGACCAGCCAGUACAUCCAUGAGAGUGAUUUUACCAGCACCGCUAACACCCAUCAGAGCUGUAAGAACACCAGGCCUGAAAGCACCACUCACCCCCUUCAAAAGCUCCAAUCUGUCUUCAAGGACACCCUAAUUCUUCAUUUCCUGCAAGUUCAAUUCAAACCACUUAGUACUCAUCUGCAGUUAAAACGUGUAUAUUGUUUGCAUAAAUUUGACAUUACCUGUGGCAUGUCAACUGAGUAUCUAAUAUUAUCAAAGGUGAUUGAAUGUGGUUGGAAUGGAAGAAGCGUUCCUUUUUUCUUGUUCUGGUUAGCCUCAACAACAGCUCUAGACCUCACAGCUGCAGAUGAGAUAACUUGCCCUCUUUCCUCUAGUCUCUCUGCAUGUUGAGCUCAAAUCUAAUUAGCCAUACAAGUUAAAAUGACAACAUAGGCACACAAAGGCAUGCAUACACCAUGUAUGAGUUUCCACCUAUGGAUGCAGUUUGGUCAAUAGAGUCAGUCUUGUCAUUAAUUCUCUUACUCUUCUAUUAUAAAAGCUUGAGGCUUAUCAUAUGUUGCAAGAUUUGUACAAAUUUUAAUAAACUAGAUCCAAUUCUUAUGAGUUCAAAGCAGAGAAGAUAAAGAUGCUCACGAUCUAGGUAAGUGAGAGCCAUAGUAUAACAGAUGUUGAAGUCAAUCAGGAAUCCAAUCUGUGCCCCAACUCCUAGCUAGUACCAGUAUGACUCUGUGAAGAAACCGUGAGACUUUAAUAUUGCGACUCAUAGGGAUACUUUUGAAUUUGUAGAUACAUUCUGAAAAAAAAAAAAAUUGUUCAAUCAUCAGCCAACUUUUGCAGACUGACAUAAGUAAACACAAAUAUUCACAUGGAAAAUUCAAGAACUUACAUGUCUCCAACUCUUCGCGAGGAAUUCAUUUACCAUUAUUGAGGUCUGUGCAUACAUCAGAGGGGAAGACCAGACACCCCAUUUCCACCAUUUCUUGAUAUUUUCUGCAGUACUCACCAAACACAAAAAGGAAACAAAAAAAUCAUUGUUAGGGUUUAUGCAGAAGAAGGUUCGACUUUUCCCAAAAAAAAAAAAAAAAAACUUGCCUCAUUAUACCUCGAGAUAGGACAAAACCACCCAAUGCGAAAAGUAGAAGUGUUGCAAAUGACCCGAAUGUGUUUGCAACAAUCAUGUUUCGACCGGUUGAUGCUAUAAGUCGGAAUAAUGCAGAUGCCAUCUGAUUAACAAUCAAAAGAAGAAGAAGAUACUGUCUAAACAACCUGCAAUGAGAAGAUUUGUUUUAUAGAGAAAACAUGUGAAACAAAUUUCGACAAGUUUCUACAAAUUCCUAACUUGUAACUUUUACCUUUCCACACAUGGAUCCAAUCCGAAGACAUAAUAAGCAGAGAACACCCAAACACUAACUUCACAAAAUGUGAUUAGGAUCUUGAGAAUGAUUGUGGGAAGAGCAUAUGUCCAUGAAGGAAAGAAGAAUAGGUCUCUUUGCUUGUAAAAGACAGGAAGUCUAACAAUGGUCAUGGCAAUUUCUGAUAUUCCAUUAAACAAGAUCAUGAUCACAGUGAAAAACAAAUAACCAAUGUAUAUGAUUCUGUUGAAUGACAUGUCCUAGGAGUCGUUGACAUGGAGCUGAGUAGAUUGAAGUGGAAGUAGUCAAAUAAGUUAGUCAUGUGGAAGAUUUACCUAUUCCUUAGGAAGUAUUUGUUGGUUUGUUUCUAUUUUUUAGGAAGUAUCUAUAAGUAGCAAGUUUGUUGCUAUUUUUUAUGUUUUUCUUUUUUAAGCUAGCUGUAUAAAUAAGUGUUUUAAAGCUUAAUAAAAAAUUACUUCAGAUUCCUCAACGUUCUAUUGCUUCCUGAGAGUUUCUACACUUUGUUUCUAUCAAAACCCACAAAUUGUAUCAGAGCCAGGUUCUUGAGUAACCUGUGAGCCGAUGCACCACCAUCUACCCUAUUUACAGAAAGUAUCCAGAAUGACCUCAGAAGCUUCAUUGAAUGCACUAGCACCUCUAGUGUUUGAUGGAAUAAAUUAUCAAGUGUGGGUUGUUCGUAUGGAAGCCUACCUUGAUGCUAGUGAUCUGUGGGAAGCUGUUAGUGAGGAAUAUGAAGUUCCUCCCCUAUCCGACAAUCCAACUAUGGCUCAAAUAAAACUACACAAUGAGAGGAGGCAAAGGAAAUCAAAGGCAAAAGCUAGUCUAUUUACAGUUGUCUCAUCUACAAUUUUCACCAGAAUCAUGACACUGAAGACAACAAAUGAAAUAUGGAACUUCCUGAAUAAGGAAUAUGAAGGAAAUGAACGAGUCAAAGGUAUGCAAGUGCUGAACUUGAUUAGAGAAUUUGAGAUGCAAAUGAUGAAAGAAUCAGAAACAAUCAUGGAUUACUCAGACAGACUUCUUAGUAUUGUUAACAAAGUAAGACUUCUUGGUACUAACUUUUCUGAUUUUAGAAUAGUUUAGAAAAUUUUUAUAACAGUUCCUGAAAAGUUUGAGACUACAAUAUCAUCUCUAGAAAACUCAAAAAAUGUGUCAAGUAUCACCUUGGCAUAGCUGUUGAAUGCAUUACAGACUCAAGAACAAAGGAGGUUAAUUAUGAGACAAGAAGGAUCUGUGGAGGGUGCAUUUCAGGCCAUAUCUCAGUACAAGAAAGAGAUGCAAAGCAACAAUAACAGAAGCAACAACACUCAAAAGUUUCCACCAUGUCCUUACUGUAAAAAAUCCAAUCAUCCACAAAAAAGGUGUUGGUGGAGGCCGGAUGUAAAAUGUCACAAGUGUGGUCAGCUAGGGCAUGUGGAAAGGAUAUGCAAAUCUCAACAGCAGCAAGGAAAAGUUAAGGCUGUUGUGGAAGAACUUCAAGAUGAGCAACUGUUUGUGGUAUCAUGCUUUGCCACUAGCAGCUCCCUAGAAACUUGGCUUAUAGACAGUGGUUGUACAAACCAUAUGACUUGUGAUCAAGGGCUCUUUAAGGAACUUGACAAGACUGUUACUUCCAAAGUUAGAAUUGGAAAUGGAGUAUAUUUUGCAGUAAAAGGAAAAGGAACAGUGGCAAUUGAAGGCCACACAAGUUUGAAAUUAAUCUCUAAUGUCUUAUAUGUUCCUGAGAUUAAUCAAAAUCUGUUGAGUGUUGGUCAACUACUGGAAAAAAACUAUAAGGUAUUUUUUGAGGACGGUCAUUGCAUGAUUGCUGAUGCACAAGGCAAAGAGGUAUUUAUAGUCCAAAUGAAAGACAAAAACUUUUUCUUGGAUUUGAUGCAAGAAGAACAGGUUGCAAUUCACAAAGAAGAAAACAAUACAAUGCUUUAGUAUAGGCUUUUGGGGCACUUUCAUCAUACCGCCCUUCUCUUUAUGAAGAAGAACGAUCUUGGAGAAGGCUUGCCUGAAUUAGAGGUGAAGCCUCCUACUUGUGUGGCCUGUUGGUAUGGGAAACAAACAAGACUUCCUUUCCCACAAAACAAGGCCUGGAGUGCUACUCAGAAGUUGUAAUUAGUACACACUGAUGUGGGAGGACCUCAGAGAACACCAUCACUGAAUGGUAGUAAGUUCUAUAUUGCUUUCAUUGAUGAUCACACAAGAAUGUGCUAGAUUUAUUUCAUGAAAUUUAAAUCUGAAGUUGCUAACAUCUUUUGGAAGUUUAAAGCUUAGGCUGAAAAUCAAAGUAAAUGUAAAAUGCAAGUGAUCAGGUCUGAUAAUGGAACUGAAUACACCUCGGAGAAAUUUAACAAAUUUUGUGAGGAUGCAGGCAUUGAGCACCAGCUUACAACACCUUAUACCCCUCAACAAAAUGGAGUUGUUGAGAGGAAAAAUAUAACACUUAUGGAAAUGACAAGGCGUUUGCUACAUGACAAAGGGCUACCAAAAAAAUUCUAGGCUGAGGUUACACAUACAUUAGUCUUUCUGCUGAAUAGACUGCCAACAAAAGACUCCAUUUGAAGCAUGGUAUGGCUAUAAACCAAGGCUGCAAAAUUUAAAACAUUUGGUUGUCUUUGUUUCUCUUUUAUUCCACAUGUUAAGAGAGACAAAUUGGAUAAGAAAGCAAAAGCUGGGAUCUUUAUAGGCUAUAGCUCAAUAUCAAAGUCCUAUAGAAUCUACCUUCCAGAAAACAACAAAGUAAUAGUUAGCAGAGAUGUCAAAUUCUUCAAAUCAGAAAGUUGGAGUUGGGAGAAUGAUAAGAAGCUUGUGUUUAAAGAGAAUCUUGAGUUCUAAAAUGACCUUAAGUUUCAAGAGAAGAAUGAAAAUAUUGAUGAUGAACCUAUCAAGGGAACCAGAUCACUCUCUAACAUCUAUCAUGGGUGCAAUGUUGCUAUAAUGGAGCCUACAAGGUAUGAAGAAGCUGCAGUUGAUAAAAAAUGGAUGGAUGCAAUGAAGGAUGAGCUUAUAAUGAUUGAAAAAAACCAAACUUGGGAGCUAGUGGACAAACCAACACACAAAAUGGCAAUUGGAGUCAAGUGAGUUUAUAGAACCAAACUCAAUUCUGAUGGUUCUAUAAACAAACACAAGGCAAGACUAGUUGUCAAAGGAUAUGCUCAGAUGUUUGGGGUGGAUUUCUCUAAGACUUUUACCCCAGUUGCUAGAUUGGACACUAUAAGAAUGUUGUUGGCUCUUGCUGCUCAAAAGGGUUGGAAUAUACAUCAGAUGGAUGUCAAAUUAGCCUUCUUGAAUGGAUACUUGGAGGAAGAAAUUUUUGUGGAGCAGCCUGAAGGUUUUAUUGUUCAAAGAAUGGAGGAGAAAGUAUAUUUGUUGAAAAAGGCCUUGUAUGGUUUAAAACAGGCACCAAGGGCCUGGUACAGCAGGAUUGAUUCACCUUUGUUAGGCUUAGGCUUUACAAAAAGCCUAAGUGAAUUUACUCUAUACUUCAGGAAGGUUUGUGAUGAAACACUUGUGGUAUCUUUAUACGUUGAUGAUCUACUUAUGACAGGAAGCAGUAUGGAGCAAACUGACAAUUUCAAAAAGAAAAUGAAGGAUGUUUUUGAGAUGACUGAUCUUGGGAGGAUGACAUUCUUUCUUGGCAUGGAGAUACAACAAAAGCAGAAUGAGAUGUUCAUAUGUCAACAGAAAUAUGCCAAAGAAAUCCUGAAAAAGUUCAAGAUGGAAUAGUGCAAUCCAAGUGCAACUCCAAUGAAUCAAAAUGAGAAGUUUUGCAAAGAAGAUGGAGCUGCAAAAGUUGAUGAAAGGCUUUACAGGACCAUUAUCGGGUACUUGAUGUACCUAAAGACAACUAGACCAGAUAUUAUGAAUGCUGUAAGUUUACGCUCAAGGUACAUGCAUUGUGAUAGUGAAAUUCACUUCCAAACAGCAAAAAUAAUUGUUAGAUAUGUCAAGGGUACAAUUGACUAUGGUCUGAGGUUUUGUCAAGUUAAAAACUUUACUCUCCAUGGUUAUUCAGAUAGUGAUUAGGCAGGUUGUGUUGAUGACAUGAGAAGUACUUUAGGUUAUUGUUUCAGCAUUGGUUCUACUAUUUUUUUCAUGGUGUUCCAAAAAGCAAGAAGUCAUAGCUCAAUCCACAGUAGAAGCAAAAUAUGUAGUUGUUGCUAUUGUUGUGAAUCAAGCUCUCUAGAUCAGGAAAUUGAUGGCUGACUUGUUUAUGGAGCAAAAGAAAAACACACAAAUACUCGUAGACAACCAAGCUGCAAUUUCAAUUGCAAAUAAUCCGGUGUUCCAUGGCAAAACAAAACAUUUCAAGCUGAAACUUUAUUUCCUAAGAGAGGUACAGAAGGAGGGAGAAAUACAGUUGGUCUACUGCAAAACAGAGAGUCAAAAUGCUGAUAUCUUAACCAAGCCACUUCCCAAAGCUAGAUAUGAGUUCUUGAGGCAAAGGCUUGGAGUCUACAGUUCCAGAGACAAGGAGGAGUGUUGAAUGACAUGUCCUAGGAGCUACUGACAUGGAGCUGAGUACAUGGAAGUGGAAGUAGUCAAAUAAGUUAGUCAUGUGGAAUAUUUACCUAUUCCUUAGGAAGUAUUUGUUGGUUUGUUUCUAUUCUUUAGGAAGUAUCUAUAGGUAGCAGGUUUGUUGCUAUUUUUUUUAUGUUUUUUUGUUUUAAGCUAGCUGUAUAAAUAAGUGUUUUGAAGCUUAAUAAAAAAUUACUUCAGAUUCCUCAAUGUUUUGUUGCUUCCUGAGAGUUUCUACACUUUGUUUCUAUCAAAACCCAUAGAUUCCAUCUUCCAUUGAACAUUUGUGCAUAUGAGUUCUUAGGAAAAGUGUCAUUGCAAUGAGUGCCAUUAUUAUGAGCUAAAAACAUAAAAGAAUAAAUAAAUUAGGAUCGCAUAUUCAAAAUUAUAAGCCAUCAUCGUAAGUAACAAUAAUAAUAACACUCACUUGGAUGAGCUUUAAAAUAUAGACAAAUGAGUUCCUCUUCAUCAGCAAGUGCUCUCUUGAGAGGUAAGCAACCAACAAUUCUUUCUUGCUAAUUCCAUACUUUUUGGUUGUCAAAGCAGUUGGAUGGCUUUUGGCCUUGUUAAUUGGAGUUGCAAGCUCUUUUGCUAGUUGCUCUCCAACAUGAAAUGACUGGAAUGCCUCAACAAAUUCCUUCGCUAUGGCAAACCUGUAAGGCUCAUUUUUUAGUGUCCAAUACUGCUCAUGAUCUUUCCUAGAUGUUACCUGCAAUGAAUUCAGUUUUCAAAAAGACUAAUUGUGCAUCUUAAUAUGUAAAUCUUAUCUUCUAGCUUGAUUUUAUCUAAAAGAAGAAAAUACCAAAAACUACAAAGCUAGAUUUGCACUCACUUCUUGGAGGAAGUCUGUCACGCCCUUUCUUUGAGGACAUUUGAAGCCCAUUGACUAAAAAAAUUCAAGCACAUUUUCACGAGGUCCUUGAUAAACAAUAUGACUAUCAAAGAGGAGAAUGAUGUCAUAAAAAAAAUCACAAGUCUCAAGUGGUGGUUGGAAGAGAGAAAUGACAGCAAUCCCAUUAAGAAUGUGGAUGGUUUGCCUGAGAGAAUUCACAAUUUGACAAGUUGUUGAGUUGUCCAAGCCAGUAGAGAUCUCGUCCAUGAAUAGCGCCUUUGAUGGACCGACCAGCAUCUCACCUAUCAUUCAAACAUUUCUCAUAAUUAAAUUAAAUUAAAUCAAUGAACCAUACAUAUAAAUACAUAUGUAGUUUUUUUCUUAUUCUUUCGGUUAAAAACCAAAUUAUUCAACCUGUUGUCACACGCUUCCUUUGUCCUCCAAAGAUACCUCUUAUCAUUUCAUCUCCUACCAUGAUAUCAGCACAGAUAUCUAAUCCCAGAAUCUGUGGAUAGAAGCAGGCAUAAAGACAAAUAAACAAAGUAUGAGCUAGUAUUGGCUUUUCUCAUAAAUCCGUAUGUCAUCAUUGAAAGUCAUAUGGUUAUAGUACCUUCAUUAUAUGAUCAGUGACCACACUUUUCUUUUGGCCUUCAGUUGCUACUGCCUGAAAUAUUAGAAACUAGUAAUGACAAUAUUAGAAACCAAUUCUGUUCAGUACAUUAAGAAAUUCCGUGGAUAAAAGAUUUUGCAAUAGAGCAAAAUUCAGGAAUAAGAUCGACUCAAGCCAUUCAAAAGAGUACAAAAAGAAGGGAACAAACUCCAGAAUAGACACAACAUCAAGAAUACAAAGCUAAUUUGCCUAUUUAUGUCAAGAGAUCAAAAUUUUCAUUCUAGGGAAUACAAACAUCCAUGUUCUCCACUAAAAGCAAAUAGAUCAAAUUUAGAAGAACUGGUACAAAUUUUAUUGAAAGUAGCUUCUGUCUCACCUUCAUGAAGACAUUGAUAUCAGGAUCAAGCUUAAUGUUUGAUGUUUUCUCUCUUCUUGCGAGCUCUGCUAACAUUUUUGCAGAUAGCCAAAAUAAGAGUCAAUCUCCUAGCCUAUACAAAUGAGAUAUAACUGCAUUGGCAAUCUUCAAAAAUAGAGAAAAUAAAAGGCAAAGGCAAUGGCUUCGACUAACUAAAUCGAUCUCUAACACCCUGGCAUCUUGUAGAGAAGGCCAAGGUUUCUUGUACAGUCAUUUCUCCAAGAUGGGUAUCAUGUUGACUGAUAUACGCAGCAGUUCUCUAUUGUACAAACUCAUUCAUGCCAUGACCAUUGUAUGUCACUCUUCUAGUAACCUAAAGAAGAAAUUCCAGUUUUCAAAUUAGACAUAAGAUAAAACAGCUAAAAUUUGAAUAGUCAUGAUUAUUUUUUUCAUUCAACCUUCAGAUUGGGAUCAACAGUUUGGCGACCCGACCCAAAUAAUAUUGCAUGAUUUUUUAAUGGAAGAUUUACUGAGGCUUGUUGGGCCCGUUUAGCCCAUUGUGGAACCACAUUUUGUAAUUAGAGUUUUUUAGUGUGGUGUGGUUGUCGUGUUAUAUAUAGAGAGAAAAUAUUGUAGCUGCAGUAGUUGUACUCUGUAUUUUUCCCUGAUAAUAGUGAUAUCCCUGCAACUCCGUGGACGUAAGCAAAUUGUCGAACCACGUAAAUACUGUCCUAUGCAUGUGAUUGUUUUUUUUUCUUUGGCGUGUGUUUUUUCUAUUUUUUGUUUCUCACGGGUUAGGAAUUCGCCUUAAUUCCCUACAACUGGUAUCAGAGCCUAGGGUUAGGUUUGAGUGGGAGCAAUGACAGAGGAAGCAGGAAAGGCAUUUGGAAUAGAAAAGUUUGAUGGCAUAGACUUUGCGUAUUGGAGGAUGCAGAUUGAAGAUUAACUCUAUGGGAAGAAAUUGCAUUUGCCUAUUUUGGGGACAAAACCUGAGAGUAUGAAGGUUAGGGAAUGGGUGCUUCUUAACAGAUAGAUUCUAGGAGUUAUUAGGUUAACUCUGUCUAGGUCUAUUGCACACAAUGUUGUAAAGGAAAAUACCACAGCAGAUCUGAUGAAGACUUUGUCUGGUAUGUAUGAAAAGUCAUCCGCAAACAAUAAGGUGUAUCUGAUGAAGAAAUUGUUCAAUUUGAAGAUGGCAGAGAAUGCAUCAGUAGCAUAACAUCUGAAUGAAUUUAAUACAGUCACAAAUCAAUUGUUGUCUGUAGAAAUUGAUUUUGAUGAUGAGAUUCGUGCUCUGAUCGUCUUGACUUUUUUUCCAAACAGUUGGGAAGCAAUGAGGAUGGCAGUAAGCAAUUCUACAGGAAAGGAAAAGCUCAAGUACAAUGAUAUACAAGAUUUAAUUCUGGCUAAGGAGAUUCGCCGAAGAGAUGCAGGCGAAACCUCAGGAUCUAGUUCUGCCCUAAACCUUGAGACAAGAGGCAAAGGUAAUGACAGAAAUUCAAAUCGGGGUAGAUCAAAAUCCAUAAUUCUAAUCGGAACAGAAGCAAAUCUAGAUCAAGCGAACAAGUAUAAUGCUGGAACUGUGGGAAAAUAGGUCACUUUAGAAGGCAAUGCAAAAGUCCUAAGAAGAAGAAUGAAGAUGAUUCUGCUAAUGCUAUAACAGAAGAGGUACAGGAUGCAUUACUUCUUGCAGUAGACAGUCCACUUGAUGAUUGCGUUUUGGAUUCAGGAAUUUCGUUUCAUACCACUCCACACCGAGAAAUCAUACAGAAUUAUGUUGCAGGUGAUUUUAGUAAGGUGUAUUUGGCUAAUGGUUCAGCCUUGGAUGUUGUGGGUCUGGGAGACAUCCAAAUAUCAUUGCCCAAUGGGUCUGUUUGGUUAUUGGAGAAGGUUCGACAUAUUCCUGACCUGGGGAAGAAUCUGAUUUCUGUUGGACAACUUGAUGAUGAAGGACAUGCAAUACUAUUUGUUGGUGGUACUUGGAAGAUUACAAAGGAAGCUAGGGUAUUAGCUCGUGGAAAGAAGACUGGUACUCUAUAUAUGACCUCAUGUCCAAGAGACACAAUUGCAGUUGCUAAUGCAAGUAUUGAUACAAGUCUAUAGCACCGUAGACUUGGUCACAUAAGUGAGAAAGGGAUGAAGAUGCUAUUGUCAAAAGGAAAACUACCAGAAUUGAAGUCCAUCGAUUUUGACAUGUGUGGAAGUUGCAUCUUAGGAAAGCAAAAAAAUGUGAGCUUCUUGAAAACUGGCAGGACAGUGAAGGCUGAAAAAUUGGAACUAGUACACACUGAUUUGUGGGGGCCUUCUCCGGUUGCAUCCCUUGGAAGUUCAUAUUUAAAAGUUUUUUGUUGUGUUUCUUAUGUUCAUAUUGAUUCUGAUGCUCGUAGUAAACUUAAUGCAAAGUCAAAAAUAUGUUUUUUCAUUAGCUAUGGUGAUGUGGUUAUAGGUUUUGGGAUGAACAAAACAGGAAAAUCAUCAGAAGUAGAAAUGUGAUAUUUAAUGAACAGGUUAUGUAUAAGGACAGGUCAACUAUAGUGUCAGAUAUUACAGAGAUAGAUCAAAAGAAAUCUGAGUUUGUCAACUUAGAUGAAUUGACUGAAAGUACUGUCCAAAAAGGGGGUGAAGAAAAUAAGGAGAAUGUAAAUUCACAGGUAGAUCUGAGUACACCGGCCUAUAACUGAAGUUCGUAGAUCUUCUAGGAACAUUAGACUUCCAGAGCGUUAUUCACAUGUUUUAAAUUAUCUCAUGUUGACUAAUGGUGGUGAGUCAAAGUGUUAUGAUGAAGCCUUGCAAGAUGAGAAUUCAAGCAAGUGGAAGUUAGCCAUGAAAGAUAAGAUGGAUUCCUUGUUGGGGAAUCAGACAUGGGAACUGAUUGAAUUGCCAGUAGGAAAUAAGGUUUUGCACAACAAGUGGGUAUAUAGAAUAAAGAAUGAGCAUGAUGGUAGCAAACGUUAUAAGGCUAGAUUAGUUGUUAAAGGGUUCUAACAGAAGGAAGACAUUGACUACACAGAGAUAUUUUCUCUAGUUGUGAAGAUGUCAACAAUCAGACUUGUACUGGGAAUGGUGGCUGAAGAAAACUUGAGCAAUUAGAUGUGAGGACAACAUUCCUUCAUGGUGACUUGGAGGAAGACCUUUACAUGAUUCAGUCAGAAAGAUUCAUUGUUCAGGGACAAGAGAAUCUAGUCUACAAACUAAGAAAGAGCUUGUAUGGCCUUAAACAAGCUCUUAGACAAUGGUAUAAGAAGUUUGACAGUUUUAUGCAUAGAAUUGGGUUCAAGAGAUGUGAAGCUAAUCACUGUUGCUAUGUUAAGUUUUUUGACAAUUCUUACCUCAUAUUACUGUUGUAUGUGGAUGAUAUGCUUAUUGUAGGGUCUAGCAUUGAGGAUAUUAAUAAUCUGAAGAAGCAAUUGUCCAAACAGUUUGCAAUGAAGGAUUUGGGAGCUGCAAAGCAAAUCCUUGGUAUGAGAAUCAUUAGAGACAAGACUAAUGGUAUAUUGAAGCUUUCACAGUCAGAGUAUGUGAAGAAAGUUCUCAGCAGGUUCAACAUGAAUGAAGCUAAACCAGUGAGCACACCCUUGGGAAGUCAUUUCAAACUAAGCAAAGAACAAUCACCGAAGACAGAAAAAUAAAUGGACCAUAUGAGCAAGGUGCCCUAUGCCUCAGCUAUUGGCAACUGAUGUAUGCUAUGGUGUGUACAAGGUCAGACAUUGCACAUGCAAUGGGAGUUGUGAGCAGAUUCAUGAGUAGGCCUGAAAAGUAGCAUUGGGAGGCAGUCAAGUGGAUUCUAAGAUAUUUGAAGGGUUCAUUAGAUACAUGUCUUUGCUUCACAGGUGCAAGUUUGAAACUAUAGGGUUAUGUAGAUGCUGAUUUUGCUGGUGAUAUUGAUAGUAGAAAGAGUACUACUGGGUUUGUUUUUACUCUAGGUGGUAUAGUUAUAUCAUGGGUUUCAAAUCUACAGAAGAUUGUUACUUUGUCUACUACAGAAGUUGAGUAUGUUGCAACAACUAAAGCUGGAAAUGAGAUGAUUUGGCUACAUGGUUUCUUAAAUGAAUUGGGUAAGAAGCAGAAAAUGGGCAUUCUACACAGUGACAGUCAGAGUGCAAUUUUUCUUGCCAAAAAUUUGGCUUUUCAUUUAAAGUCGAAGCAUAUACAAACAAAAUAUCACUUUAUCCGUUACCUUGUUGAAGAUAAUCUGGUAACUCUUGAGAAGAUUUGUAGAUCUAAGAACCCGACAGACAUGUUGACUAAGGGUAUCACUAUUGAGAAGUUGAAGCUGUGCGCAGCUUCAAUUGGUCUUCUAGCUUGAGGACAUGAGGAUGAGUUGUAGGGAUGAAGGAUUAUUUCUUGGAGGAUAGCGGUUUGAUGUUGGUGAUUGAACUAGUCUCCAAGUGGGAGAUUUGUCGGGUUUUGUGGAGUCUAGUUUUGUUUGAUCCGGUUUGGUGACCCGACCUAAAUAAUAUUGUAUGGCUUUUUAAUGGGAGAUUUACUGAGGCUUGUUGGGCCCGUUUAGCCUAUUAUGGAACCACCUUUUGUAAUUAUGGUUUUUUAGUGUGGUGUGGUUGCCGUGUUAUUGAUUACUACCAAAAAGUGCUAUUUUGUAGACCUAAUUAUAAUGGUUUUAAGCACCUUUGAGUAGUAAUCAUAUUCAUUUAACCCAAUUAAUUCAUUAAGGUCCUUAGUAAUUGGUUUUAACCAUUUUGUGGGCAAGUUUACAUAUUUUUAUCAGCUUAUGAAUCAAUUCAAGCAUGCCAAAUGAUGGAGGAGCUACUUGGACAAGUUAUGGCAGUUAUAUAUAGAGAGAAAAUAUUGUAGCUGUCGUGGUUGUAUACUAUAUUCUUCCCUGAUAAUAAUGAUAUCCCUGCAACUCUAUGGACGUAGGCAAAUUGUCGAACCACGUAAAUACUGUCUUGUGCGUGUGAUUUUUUUUUUCUUUGGCAUGUGUUUUCUCUAUUUUUUGUUUCUCACAAGUUGGGAAUUCGGCUUAAUUCCCUACAAAGCUUUCCGGACAACGCCAAUUCAGAACUUGGAGGACCCAAAAGUAACGUCAAUCUGUAGAAAAAAAAAAUGCACAACAAUUGAAUAUAGAUCUUUGAGUAUAUUCUAAAUUCAAAGGAACUAUUCGUUUGUUUUAUUAAGUAAUCCAUUUUUACACUCGAAACGAAUUCAUACUCUCACCUACUAGGUUUGAUGAUUCCGCUAACAUCUCAAAGAAUAGUGAAUUUUCUCUUUCUAGUUCAAAGAAUCUGAAGACUAUGCAAGAUAUUCUUUAAAACAGAAGGAAAAUUAUAAUCUAUAAGUAUACAUAUCGAAAAGAGUAUUUAUUGCAUAGAUAAUGAUCUACAUUUGCAUUGUAGUUACCUCAACUUGAUUAAAAAUGAAAUUAAAGAAUGAAGGCAAAGCUCUGCUUCCUACAUAAGCUUCUCCAUCAAUAGUAAGAUGCUCAUAUCUAACUUCAUUUUGGGAAGUUCAAUCCCAACUCUGAAAAAAUGGAAGAGACAUGAAAACUCAUCAUUAAAAAGUUAAAGAAAGUUGUUUGGUUGGGGAGAAAAUGUAGGAAACAACUAUCAGGCAAACUCACCUAUCCAUACGAUUCUUGAGCUUCAACAAGAACUUCUCAUUGUACUCUUCAGCAAUUUUUAUCAACUGUUCCACUAAAUUCUUCUUGUCCUGAAGCCCAAGGUUGUGUAUAUCAACUUCAAUGGCCUCACCCUCUGAUCCCAGCAACAAACCUUUCCUCAACCGAUUGUAGGUGGGGGGUUUCUCAAGUGCGGCCCAUUUCAAAGCUUCCUCGUCAUCCUCACCCCUCGUAGAUUGGGAGAAAAUCUCGACGUCAGGGGUCCUCCAUCUCAUAGAACCAGCUCUACGAGUUUCAGGAGUCGACAUUGCAAACAAAAAGGAAGAACUCUCCUGCAAAACCAACAAGAACCCGCCAAAACCCGAACUGUUGAAAUUAUAAUCCAAGCUAAAGUCAAACUAAAAGAAUUUUAGGAAUUUGAUCAAUAUUAAAAAUUAUUAUUUAUUUAGAUUUAUAUGUUAAUUAAGACUUUUGGUAUAAUAGCAAUUGGAGUCUAGAAUAUAAACUCAUUUUUCUCUCUCUUAGUACAAUGUUAUGUCUUGUUGUAUUGCUGCUACUGCAUUGUAAAAAUCAUAUAGAAUGGAAGGUUUAUAUAGUGAUUGGUAGGACAGAAAAUGAAGCGUCAAAAGAUUUGAAACUGGUUUAUUUUCUUGUGAUUCUUUAAGUUAUGUUUGGUUUCUAAAAAAGUACUAAGAAAAGAAAAAAAAAUGAUUUUCUCAUGUUUAGUUUCAUAAUGAAAAAUACAAAAGAAAAUAAAAUAUAAUUAAAAUUUGUUAAAAUUUUAUAUAUUUUUAAAUUAUUUAAUCUUUAUAUAAUAGACGAAAAUAAGUAAAAUAACUUUGAAGAAAUAUAUUAAGGUUAUGUUUGGUUCCCGGAAAGUACCAAGGAAAGAAAAAAAAAUGUAAAGGAAAAUGGUUUUCUCAUGUUUGAUUUCAAUAUAAUUUUUUUUUAAAAAAAAUUAAAUAUAAUUAAAAUUAGUUAGAAAUUUAUACAUUUUAAAAUUAUUUAAUUUUUAUAUAAUGGAUGAAAUGAAGUGAAAUGAGUUUGAUGAAACAUAUAUAAAUAAUUUAUUAAUUUUAAAUUUAUUUUUUAUUUUCCUUUAUUUUUUCUUUCCUUCCACUUUUCCUUUUUAUUUUCUUUCCCUCACAUUUUCUCUUUAAUUUUCCGAGAACCAAACAUAGUCUAAAGUAAUUUAUUAAAUUUAAAUCUAUAUUAAUUUUUUUAUAUUUUUCUUUCUUUCUACUUUUCCUCUUUAUUUUCUUUCCUUCAUAUUUUUUCUCAUAUUUUUCGGGAACCAAACAUAGCCUAGAAAAUUGGUGAGGGAAAUCGACUAUAAAAGAGUCUGCACAACGACUUCAUAAUAAUGUACACAUGCCACCAUCUUUUUUUUUCCCUUCAACUUCCUAUAUUAAGACUUUCACAGUUGAUAAUUUUUGGUUUCUUACACUUUCUUUAGCAAGUAAAUAGAAAUGUGAAUUAUUGAAUGUUUUGUUAGUUUUUAAAAUAAGAAGAAAUAUAAUACUUAAUUUUAUACAUGUUUUCAAGCAUGUUUGGUAUGUGAGAUAUGAUAGGAUAGAGUAUUUAUAUUCUAUAAUAUCAAAUUCCAUUAAAUGAAAAAUGCAUAUUUUAAAAUAUAAUUUUUCAAUUAAAUAUGUUAUUUUUUUAUAUUAAAUCCAAUCGAUAUGAUAUUGUGAGAUGACAUAUCCAAUGCAUUUCCUAAAAUAAAUUAUUUCCAUAUAUUUUUAAGAUUAUCAAGUCUAAUGGAUAUAAUAUUCCAAGGUAACAUAUUUAAUGAGAUAGGUAAUGUAACGUUAUGCUUAUAUUUAAUUUGUAAAAUUAAUAAGAAAUAAAAUAGAAUAUAUAUUUUUUUAUAAUAUAUUUUGUAAAUUUUUUUUGGUUCUUCUAUUUUAACCAUAAAUUUAACUUCACAAUAAAAAAAUUAUUUUACUAAAUAAGUGAUAAAAAAUAAAAAAUAAUAAAAGAAAAAUAAAUUUAUAAUACAUAGGAUAAUAUAUCUCACUACUUAUCCUAUAAGGAAUAUAAAAAAGAUAUAGAUAAUAUAUCUCACUACUUAUUCUACCAUGUAUUACAUCCACCCAACCAAACCAUGACCUUACGGAUAUAAAAAAAAUUAAUGUUUAAUAACAUCCACAUUAAUGAAAACAAACAAUUUACUUAUAUAAACUAAACAAUCAAACACUCAAAUGAUAUUUCGCUCUAUUUAGACUAAUGAAAAAUAAACAAUUUAAAUAUUUAAUAACAUUCCACUUUAUUAAGCUUUAAGCUUAGAAUCUUAAAAAAUAAAAAUAAAAAUAAAAAAAAAAUAAAAAUUUACUUUAAGAAUUUUUUUUAGAGUUGUUUCAAAGUAAUGGGAUUAUUUGUUUUUUCUUUUUCAUUUAUGUCAUAAAGCAAAUUAUUUUAAAAUUUAAAAUCAAAAUAUAAAAAUUUAUUUUUUAUAUUAAGAUAAAAUUGUCUUAUAAAAAGUAACAAGUUAAAAAACAAAUAAUUUUAAAAAUGACUUAAGUCUUAACACUAUUAAGUAUUAUUUAGAUGCAAGGUUUAUUUAAUUUUAUUUUUUUUCAAAAAAAGCACCACCUUUCAAAUAAGAUUUAAGCAGGUUUAACCUCUUUGAAAUUGCUUGAAAUCUAGGAGGUUAUUUGUUUUUUAAACUUAAAUCUUAAAGCUAGUUGCUUUAAAAUUUAAGAUAAAAGUAAAUAAAAUAAAAUGAAAACUUUUGUUAUUAAGACAAAAUUUUCUUUUAAAAAUGAUAAACUAAAAAAAUAAUUUGAAAAAUGACUUCCAUCUUAAAGCAACUCUUUUUAUUAGGAUUGCCUCUCUAUCCUAAUUAAAAUUAAUAAUCAACUUGAUUUUGAGUAAGAGAAUAUCAAUGUUAACCAACAUUAUUUUCUAAUAAAAGUAUUUGUGAAAACGUAAACAUAUUUAUGCUUCAAUAAAUGGAAUACAUUUUUUAGUAAUAUAACCGUAUUUUAAUUUUGAAUAAAAAAAACAUAUUAGUCUAAUAAUCGAUAUUCAUAAUUGAUAAUAUCAUACAUUAAAAAUUAUUAAUGGCGAAUAACUAAUAUAUAUGGAUUAUUAAAGCAACUAUGAGCAUACAACCUAUGGAACUUGGUGUAAACUUUUUUGUGGAUCUGUUUUUUCUUUGCUAAUUAAAAAAUAAAUUAGUAAAGCAAUAACGAGCAUAGAAAUUAAUUAAAACAAUAACUAUCACUCAAAUGAAGUAUUAGGUUCUAUUGAUAAUUGUUUUUAAAAACAAUUUUUAGUCUCCAGAAUAAAAAUAAAAAAAACAAAAAAAAAACAAGAAAACAAGUUUGAUAAUAGAAAACAAAAAGCAUUUUAUUGUUUUGUUUUUUUUUUUAAGAAAAACAUUGUAUUUUCAAUCCUUUAAUUGUUUUCGCUUUUUUUUAAAGGAUUACUUUUUAAAAAUAAUCAUACAAAUAUGAAGAAUGAUUAAAAAUAAAACACUACAUAUAAAAAUUAUUUUUAAAACAUAUUUAAAAAUAUAAAAAACAUGUUAAUAAUAUUUUAGGUUUUUAAAUAGACUUUUGUUUUAUAAAAAAUCAAACAACAAUUUUCAAAAAUUAUUUUUAAAAAUUAUUUUCAAAAAAACACUUUUCAAAUACCCUAUCCUACCAACUAUAUAUAUAGACACACACAAUGCUAAUGAUUUUUAAAAGAAAAACAGUCACAUGAAAAAGGUAAUGAUAUUAGAGAGUAUAGAAGAACUUACUAAAUUGAAGAUCGAACAAGUCUUAGAAAAACAUUGUCAAUAAUACAUGGGAUGAUCAGAACGAUUUCAUAUAGCUACUGAGAUUGUCCUCAAAGUUGUUCUUAAAAAACAAAAAUACUAUAAAUGGUUGGAUCCAACCUUUCAAGGAAACCAAAGCCCUUUUCUUUUUUCUUUUUUUGAUAAAGAGAUUUUCAUUUUUUUCCUUCUAAAAGGAACAUUCUAUAUAUAGAAUCUAAAGGUAUCAAACUGUGCCUCCAAGUAGUUUGACUGUAAAGUACAAUUCAAUCCUACGUGUUGAUUGUUCUUUUGGUUUGCUAAUUGGUCAGGCAAUCGAUCUUUCCUCACGUGGUUUCCAUAUUAUCAUUUUUUCAUCUUUUUCCUCAUCAUUUUUAUCCUUUUCCAUAAAUAUAUAUAUAUAUAUAUAUAUAUAUAUAUAUAUAUAUAUAUAUAUAUAUUUAAAUUAUUUCAUUAGCAAUUUGUUGAAGACUUGAAAAUAAAUUAAAUAAGAGAAAUAUUCACAAAUUUUUUACUUAAUUAUUCAUGAUGACAUUAAUUAUGAGAGUAAGGUAUAACCAAAUAAGACUAAGAUGGUGUUUGUUUUUUUACUUAAUUCUAAAUAGAGUCUUAAUACUUAAUAGUGUUAAAUAUUAGGUUGUUUGUUUUUGUAGUAUUUUAUUUCUAUUAAGUAUUAAAAAGUAAAAAAAAUCAAUAUAUUAUUUUCUCUAUUUAGAAAAAGUUACAUAUUUUGGUUUUUUCUAUUUAGUAAAAAGUUUAUAAUAAGUCAUGAAAAAGUAGAAAAACAAACAACCUAAAUUUUAAAACUAAAUUGUUUUCAGCAAAAAGCUAAAAAAACAAACACCACCUAAGAUAGGAAAAAAUGAGACCAAAGAAUUUGUCUCUAAAAGGUAUGAAAAAAUGAGAAUCAAAUAUGAAUGAAGGAGAUAUAGGUAUAAACUUAAUAAGAAAAAUGUUAAUUAUGCUUAAAUCUAUGAAUUUAAGAAAAUCUAAAAUUUCGAUCAUAAUUAUUCAUGAUCACAUCAAAUUUAUAUAUAGGAAUGGUUGAAAAUAAUGAGAGCAAUGCAUAACCAAAUGGUACUAAGAUGGGAAAUAAUGAGACCAAAGAAUUUGUCUUUAAAAGGUAUGAAAAAAUGAGAUUCAAAUACCGAUUAACUAGAUAUAGGUAUAAAUUUAAUAGGAGAAAUAUUAAAUACGCUUAAGGUUAUGUUUGGUUCCAAGAAAAUAUUAAAAAAAUAAAAAAAAAAUAUAAAGGAAAAUGAUUUUCUCAUAUUUGAUUGUCUUAUGAAAAAUAUAAAAGAAAGUCAAGUAUAAUUAAAACUAAUUAGAAACUUACGUAUCUUUUAAUUAUUUAAUCUUUAUAUCGAUUAAUUAAAAUAAACAAAAUGAGUUUGAAGUAAUAAAUAAAAAUAAUUUAUCGAUUUUUAAUCUAUUUUUUAUUUUCCUUUCAUUUUCCCACAAAUUUUUGUGGAACCAAACAUUUGAAGUAAUAAAUGUAUGAAUUUAGGAAAAUCUAAAAUUUGGCCAUAAUUUUUCAUGAUUACAUCAAAUAUAUAUAGGAAUGGUUGAAAAUAAUGAGAGCAAUGUAUAACCAAAUGAUGUUAAGAAAAUAAUGAAAUCAAAUAAUUUGUCUCUAAAAGGUAUGGAAAAUGAGAGUCAAAUAUGAAUUAAUGAGAUACAAGUAUAAAUUUAAUAAGAGAAAUACUAAUAAUGCUUAAAUAUGUGAAUUUAAGAAAUUCUAAAAUUUUGACCAUAAUUUUUCUCAAAUCAAAUAUAUAUAUAGGAAUGUGUGGACCCCGCAUUUCGGCUCAUGCGUUUCCCACUCGAUGGCGAGCUCGAUUUUAAUUUGAAAUUUUGAUUUUAUUUAUUGUUUGAAAAUGACUUGGAGUCGCCACUUAUUUUUGUUUUAUUUUAAAGGGUAAACAAAAUAAGAAAGAAAAACCCUAAGUGUGACUCCUUGUUUUGGAAAAUGUGGUCUAUGAAAAACCGGAUCGAGUUCGGGGGUCAGGUUACUUAUCGAGAAGGUACGGUAGAGACCGUAGCACCCCUCUAAGUCCCUAAAAACAGGUCUCUACUAAUAAAAUAAAGCAAUCAUGGCAAUUGAUGAGUAAAUCAAUAAAUACCUAGGAUGGCCAUGCUCAUGUGAAAAUCAAAACACUCAAUAAGAACGAUCGAAGUGGGAGUGGAGCAUACCUUGGCACCAAACGAUCAGCGUCCAUCAAGAAAGGGGGUUAGCGCACAGUUAAGAAAUAAUAUCAUGCAUGUCAUAGAGCAGAAUAACUCAAUCAUGUACUACCAUCAAAUCAACUAAUUAAACAAUCAAUCAUAAAAACGUGUAUGUGGGGCCCCCACCAAAGCCCGAUUUAUAUUGCAUGAAUUAAUCCCAUAAAUUCCAUUAUUCGGAAUUACGGAAAAUUCAUUCUUGCUUAUUAAAGUCCAUAGGAGCAGAAGAUUGUUUGAAAGCCAUAGCGAAAUUAAAACUAUUCGGGAGAAAAUUAGAUUUUUGAAAUUUAAUUGAAAAAUUGGAAUCUCGAAGAUCACUAGAAAAUUGGAGUUUUAGAGUUUAUUUGGAGAUUAGACUUUUAGAGAUUGAAUGUGAGAAUGAGAAUUUUUAGAAACUGAAUUUGAAAGAGGUUGGAAUUUUGAAAACGAUUUGAAGGUUCGGGAUUUUAAAGAAAAAUUAAGUUGCGAAAAUUGAGACUUUGGGAGUUGAAUUUUGAAAGAUAUCAGAAUCGUAAGUUAUUUGAGAAAUAGAAAUUAUGAAAGUUGAUGAGUAAAAAUUGGAAAUCUUAGAAAUCAUUCGAAGGCGGAAUUUAUAGAAAUAAUGAAUAAGAUGAUAAUGAUAAUGAUAAUGAUAAUAAUAAGUAGUGGGAUAAAUACGGGAAUUGGAGCAUGGAAAACUGAAAAUUAAGUUCGGAGAUUGGACAAUUGGAGUUUCAAAUAGCUAAAUUUAGAAAUUGGAAUUUUGAAGAAUUGAAUUUUAAUGAUUGAGAUUUUUAAGAGAAAUAAAUAGGUAAAUAUGGAAUAAUGUUAUUAAUUAAUCAAAACGAUAUUUGGACAGAUGAAUAGUGAAUAGUGGGAUUUUUAAAUUUAAGUUUGAAAGUCGGAUCUCUGAAUAAUUGGACUCUAAUUAUUGGAAUUUUUAGAAGAAAGAAAUAAGUAAACGUGGAAUUUAUAACAAUGAUAACAAAGAUGAUAUUUGAAUGAAUAAAAGUGAAUGGUGGAAUUUUUGAGUCUCAAGGUUAAAUUUGGAAGUCCGGUUUUUGAAGAAUUGAAUUUUAAUGAUUGAAAUAAAUAAGUAAAUAAGUAUGGAGUAAUGAUACUAAUUAGCAAAAAUAAUGUUUAAACGAGUAAAAAAAUAAUAGUAGAAUUUUUCUAAUCAAGAAUUUGAAUUAGGGCGUUGGAUUUUUAAAGGAUAUGACUUUGAAUAAAUAGGUAGGAUUAUAAUACUAAUUAAUGAGAAUAAUAUUUAGGCGAAUAAAGAUGGAUAGUAGAAUUUUUUUUUUAGAUUGGAGUUUUAAUUAAGGCAUGGGGUUUUCGGAAGAUUGGACUUUAAAUAGACAUGAAAUAAAUGAUUCUAAUUGAUGAAGAUAAAAUUUAGACGAAUUGUAGAAUUUUUAGGAUUGAAAGAUUGAAUUAAGACAAGAGAUUUUUUGAAGAACUAGGUUUUAAAUAAAUAGAUGAAUAUGGGAUAAUAAUCCUGUUUGAUGAAAAUAAGAUUUAAACGAUAGGAUAAUAAUUCCAAUUGAUGAACAUGAGAGACAGAUAUUUGAAGAAUUAAAUUAAGGCAUGGGAUUUUCUUAAAAGAUUCAGAUUUUAAAUAGCUAGAUAAAUAUGAGAUAAAUAAUUCUAAUGGAUGAAAAUGAGAUUUGAACUAAUUAUUGAAUUUUUAGGAUUGAAAAAUUAAAUUUAAAUAUGGAAUGUUUGAAGGAUUAGACUUUAAGUAACUAGGUAAGUAUGGGAUUAUAAUUCCGAUUGAUGGAAACAAGGUCUAAACGAGCUUUUGAAAAAUUAAAUUGAGACAUGGGGUUUUUGAAGGAUUAGAAUUUUGACUUUAAUAAACGAGAUUUAUAAAAUAUGAUAAAUAGAUAUACACAAAAAAAUAAUAAUAAUAAUAAAUAGUUAUAAUGUUUAAGCUAGCCAAAUUGAAUAAUAUAAGCUUCAAGAUAAAACUAUAAUUAACAAUAAUAAUUUGACUUUCAAUUUUCUUUAAGAUGAGUUAACCAAAUGUAUAAAAAUAAGAUGACAAAUAAAAGGGGAUGAUUUGAUUAAUCAAUUAUGGAUAUUAGAGGUUUUGUUUUGUUUUCUUUUUAAAAUGAUUAUUUAGGAAUUGGGCAACCUGAUGGGCUAACUUGAAGUGGGCAUGGGCCACUUUAAUAAGGGGAAUUGGCAUGAGGCCUUCAUCAAUGUAAAUGGGCCUGGGCUCCAACUUAAGCCCAAGUCCAAUGCUAGCAUGGGCGGCUUCAGAGACUCAUCUCCCUCACCAACUUGUCCCGCCUGGCUGCAACCCCUUCAACAUCUCCCCGCGGCGGCGGCGGCUGACUCCAUCACGCCUGGAUGAAGCUGGCAGUCGGCGCGCGCCGCUUUCUCGGCGCGUCCACGUGCUCUACCGGCUGAGAUCGAGCUUCCUUUCUUCACGGUGGUCAUGUGCAUGUCGCCGACGCAAGCAGACGACAGCUGGUUGAGCUCUCUCUGGAUCGCUCUCCCUCCGGCAGCGACGUCGCCCGAGUCAGGUACGACGCAGGCGAGAUCGAAGGCGCGUCCUGCGCGCGCCUCGUGCCUUCUCGUGUCUACAUCGAGCAGCUCUCCAUGCUACCCCGUCGGAUUCGGGCUGCCUUGACCGCCGUGGGAGCAGUGGCUGCGGCGACGAUGCUUGGGAUUAGCACCGAUCCAGAGCUCCUCUUUAGGGGCUCAUCGGUUAUGAAAGGUGGCAGCCAUGCAUGGCUAUGCAUAGCCAUGCGAGGGGAGAGGAAUGGGUGCAGGGACGUGGAUGGGAACUAGGAUAGCUGUGGUGGGUAUUGGUAUGGGUUCAACGCAGCCAUGCAAGGGUGGAGAGAAACUGGAAGUUCUCAAUGCCAUUGAUCAAACAUCAAACCCAAGUGAGGAUCCAAUCUCUUGCAAGGGAAAAAUCAACAAAAUUGCAGGAAGCAAAAAAAAAAAAAACAGAGCAAGCAUUUUCAGGGUCUUGGAUACCCACAGCAAAUCACAAAAUAACCUUCAUAGAUUAACAGAAGACCUUACCUGAAUAUUCCACCACGUCACCUUCCUCUCUCUCGUCUGAAUCCCCCUGCGCCCCCUCUUCUUUUCUCCAAGCUUCAAAAUGUCCCCCCCCAUCACCCCCCGGAACCCCCCUUUUCUUUUUCUUCUCUUUUUCCUCUGUUUGUGUCUUCCUCAGCAAGUCAUCCUGCCUGCUGCUACCCAUCCCAUCUGGUGGCUACCCCUCAUCCCCUCUAGCUGCCCCAGAGCAGCCCGCUUGAGAGGCGGUCAGAAAAACAAUAAUAAUAAUAAUAAUAAUAAUAAGCUAAAGCUCCUGGGGGGGUGGUUUUCUACAGAAUGGUUGAAAAUAAUGAAAUCAAUGUGUAACCAAAUGGGACUAAGAAAAAUAAUGAAACCAAAAAAUUUGUCUCUAAACAGUACCAAGAAAUGAGAAUCAAAUAUGAAUUAAUCAAAUAUAGGUAAAUUUAGUUAGAGAAAUAUUAACAAUGCUUAAAGAUAUGAAUUUAAAAAAAUCUAAAAUUUUAACCAUAAUUAUCCAUGAUUACAAUAAAUAUAUAUAGGAAGGGUUGAAAAUAAUGAGAGCAAUGUAUAAGCAAACAAGACUAAGAAAAUAAUGAAACCAAAAAAUUUGUCUCUAAAAGGUAUGAAAAAAUCACAGUAAAAUAUGAAUUAAUGAGAUAUAGGGAUAAAUUUAACAACAGAAAUAUUAAUAAUGCUUAAAUAUAUGAAUUUAAGAAAAUCUAAAAUUUUGGUCAUAAUUAUUCAUAAUCACAUCAAAUAUAUAUAGUGAUGGGUGAAAAUAAUGAGAUCAAUGUAUAACUAAACUAGACUAAGAUAGAAAAUAAUAAAACUAAAAAAAUUCUCUAAAAUGUAUGAAAAAAUGAGAGUUAAAUAUGAAUUAACAUAUAUAUAUAUAUAUAUAUAUAUAUAUAUAUUUAAUUAGAAAAAUAUUGACAAUCUUAAGUAUAUGAAUUUAAGAAAAUCUAAAAUUUUGGCCAUAAUUAUUCAUGAUCACAUCAAAAAUAUAUAGGAACAAUUGAAAAUAAUGAAAGGUAUAAUCAAAUGAGACUAAAAUAGAAAAUAAUGAAACCAAAGAAUUUGUCUUUAAAAGUUACAAAAAAAUAAAAAUAAAAAAUGAGAGUAAAAUGUGAAUGAAUGAGAUGUUGGUAUAAAUUUAAUCAGAGAAAUAUUAAUAAUGCUUAAGCAUAUGAAUUUAAGAAAAUCUAAAAUUUUGGUCAUAAUUAUUCAUUAUCACAUCAAAAUAGGACGCUUGAAAAUAAUGAGAGCAAGGUAUAAUCAUACGAGACUAUGAUUAUCAAACUACUUCAAAAUCAAAAUCCUUAAUAGAAUCAAAUCAUCAAGAUGAUGUUAGUCUUUUUCAAAACAUUGAAGAAAAUCUAAGCCAAAGUUCCAAUCACCAAGAAAUAUGCAUAAAAGAUAUUUGCCGGCCAAAGACCUUAAAUGUAAUCACUAUGGAAUAAGAAUUAAUUUUAGAAUUAUUUAUUAAGGUUAAAGAUUCUUCAAUAAAAACAUAAUUAUGUGAAAUUUGUAAGAAAUCGAUUUCUAAACUAGAAAUGAAAAAAAAAAAACUAUAAAACCUUAUAACUUCUAUGAAAUCUUGACAAGAUUUAACUAUAAUUCCCUAAGAAAGUGAUUAUUAAAGAUCUUCAAUAGGAAACAAGAUGAUGUUAGAAGUUAGAGAAUUAAGACAAUACACCAACAUAUGUUUAACAAACCUUCAAGAACAAAUUAAUUAGAUAGUAAGUAAUAAGAAUCGAUCUUUAAAAAAUGCAAUGUUUCCCUAAUAAUUGUGAUUAACAAUGAGUUCAUCGCUAAGAUUAAUUGUUGUCUUAAUAGAUUCAAGAGUAGCUUCUUUAUGGCAUGCUAAUAGGUCAAACUUAAGAUUAGGUACAAUUUGUCUAAGGCUUAUAUCAAUAAUCAAGGGAUAUGCACACAACAUUUAAUUUGGUAUAAGAUUUAAGAGAAGAAAUAUUCUUGAAAUACCCUUUUUAAUUGUCUGGCCUAUCACUAGAGUAGAUGGUCAAGGUAUAAGACUAAAUUCUUAAAUCAAGAGACUCUUUUUGAAUUUGCAUAUCCUUGAAAAAGAAACCUAAAUAAAUUAAGAUCCUUGAUUAUUUCUAAAAAAAUACAGGCUAAGGAUAAUCAUAUCAAUUUUUUAGUUCAAGAAGUUAGAUCUAAGAGAAUUGAAGAACAAUUAGAAGUUAAAAAGACUCAAGAUGUUAUCCAAUAAUUCAAAGAAAAGUUGGUUAGAGAAGCCUGUCCUAAAUUCCCUAAUGUAUUUUGGCAUAGGAAUGAACAUGUUAUGGAACUACCUUACAACCUAGAAUUUAGGGAAAAUGAUAUUCCCACUAAGGCAAGACCAAUUCAAAUGAUUCAAAAACCAUUGAGAUAUUAUGAAAAGGAAAUUUAAGAACUCUUUAAAAAAUUAAUAAAAAAUCCAAAUCUCCUUUAAGUUGUGUAUGCACAAAUUUCUUGAAGUCUUGCAAAACAACCAAAAACUAUAGGAAAAAUAUAUGUGAUCAAAACUUUAUAUUAAAAUUAAUUGAUUGUGCGGUAUAGACUCAAAUAUAAUAUUCUUUACAAAAGAAAAUUUUCCCUUUAUUCAUUCACUUUGAUUACAAUCCCAAAGAUGAUGACAAGAGUCUUUUCUUGAAUUUUGAAAAUCAAUCCAAUGCCUAGAGUGAUUUUCUCAAAUGAACUUGUUAAAUGAUGAAAAACACGUAUAUACUUUUAUUGUAUAAAAGUAUAAAACACUUUCACAUUUAUUUUUAUAAUAAUUAUAUAAUGUAAUUAAAAAUAAUAAUGCAAAUUAAUUAAUAUAAUAAUUUCAAAAUAAUAAAAUACAAAAGACAUGCAAAUAAAAUUAAAUAUUAUAAUUUUUUUUUCAUUUUAUAUAUAUCCUUAUAUUUAAAUAUUAUAAAUGGUCUAUUUAAUAAAAUUUAAAAUAUUAAUAUAUUUAUAUUUCUCUUCAUCAUUUAAUUUGAUAUGUCAAAUAUAAAAAUGAAAUUAUUAAAAUUUUUAAUUAUAUAUAAUUUUAAUUUCUUAUAAUUAUUUAAAAUUUUAUAAUAUAUAAAUUAUUAUUUAUGAUGUCGAUCGAGGUCCGACCAAUGAACCAUGAACAAGUAACUUUUCUAGUUCAAUCACCAAUCCAAUUAAACAUUGAUCAUAUGACUUGUAAUACAAAAAUUCAUGGCCCCACAAUUGAUUUUUUAUUUAUUAUUUUAACCAUGAAAUGUGGGCCCCCAUGUUGUUCUUAAAUCUUAAAUAUCAAAUAAAAUGAUGAAAUAUUUUUAAAAUUUUAAUUAUUUAUAUAUAUUUUUUCACUUAUUAUAAUAAUUUUUAAUUUUCAAACCGGUUCAAUCGAGUCAACAACCAAUCCAAUUUUGAAAGCAUUGGUAAAUAUAGGCAUAAAACUAUUGGAAAUAACUCCCGCCUUUCCAAGGAAGGCCUAAACUUCCCUUCUUGCUUGCUGAAUUCUAAAUUUAAUAGCAUUGCAAACGCUGCAGAUUAAAAACACAGGUCUAGUUUUUUAUAGUUUCUAUAUUUUCAUCCUAUUAUUUAUGUCUUUGGUACUUAGAGCAGAGAUUGAAAGUGGAGGCCCAUACUGUUAAGUUGGUAACCAAGGAUGAAAGAAUAGCUCAAGGUUCUAUUACUGUCUGGAAUUUCAAAUUACAUAAAAUUGGGACGACAAAGAAAUUAAAGAAUUUAAUAUCCUAACAUCCUACGUACACAAAGAACAAAACCUUUUUUUUCAUCUUACAAUCAAAUGUUGAACUGAAAGGUUACAUACAUAAAAUAACCAACCAUCCUUGAAGAACUUGUGCUCCGAAUGACUUCUUAUCGCCUUUGGAAGUUAAAUGCCUUAAUGGCGUAGGCAAAGAUGAAUAAGAACAGCACCACAAACCCAACAACCACAGCUGCAACCACUCCCAGGAAAUCAUGUUUGAACCCAAAAUAAUCAUCCAAGAAUUGUUUCACCGUUUGAUUUUUGUCAAGUAGUGUGUCCUGUAUAUCUCCAAACUGUGAUGUAACCAAUCCAUACAAAGUCCAUGCAACUGGACAUAUCCAAUAGUACCAUCUCCACCACACCGGAAUUCUCUGUAUUCAUCAAGGAAGAAAUGCAACAAUAUGAGUCAUUUCUAUAUCCAUGUGGUAAGGAAAGUUGCAAUUUAAAGAAUCACAGGUUGAGAGCACUUACGUUUCGUGGGACUAUAAAACCUGAAAAGAGGUUCCAUAAUGUAUAAAAUGUUGCGGCAACAAUGGAAGCAAUAUUUUGAUUUGGUGUGGCAGCCACAGCCAUCAUGCCAUAGAAGGUGAAGUACAAUAACGUGAAGAACAUGAAGAACAGAUACCAGAAGAACUUAGCGGCAGUCCAUUCAAAUCCAAUCAUUGCAUAAACUAUAACACCAUACACAACAGCUUGUGCAAAUACAUAUGGAAUCUCAACUAGAGCCUGCAACAAGAGAAGAAAUUUGAUUAAAAUGCAAAACAUAUUAUACAUAUACAAAGUCUAUAGUGUAAGAAAACUAGUUACUUGUCCAAAGGCAUAUGGCAGGGCUGAAUACAUUCCUGCAGCUCUUUCUCUGUAAAAGACUGUUCGUUCAACUACAACGACUGGCUGGACCGAUUGGGCGUUCUGAACCCCAAGGAAGAGAACAGCAGCAUACAUAGAACCCAUUGCGUUUAACAGAUCUUGUUGCCUUGUCCUGCAAUUUACCACGUCAAGUAUAAAUUAAAGUUGAUAUAGAGAAACAUACUGAGUUCUCAAAUUUUUGAACCGACAUCAAAUUACCUUUCGGUGCCCAGAUCCCAGAACAUUGUCCCAAACAUCAAGGCUAUGAAAGUUGUGAAGAGAAAUCUCACUGCCGUGUAUGGUGGGUUGCGCCAGUAUGACCAACGUUGUUUCCAUAAGCAUGCCAAAAAUUGGGUGAAGAAGGGUUGGGAGUAUUGAGUAGCGAAAUAGAGGUCUUUUGUACCAGGGGCAGGUUGGCUCAGUUCUUUAAUUAAAUCUUUGUUUCUCCUGAAACAUAUGCCACUUGUUAGAACAGGUUUCAACUACAAAUUUAAGCUUUUCAUGAGAAACAUUAGGAUGGAUGUAUAUGACUUUUCAAUCUUAUUAUGCAAUUAGAUAACAUAUGGUUGAAUCACCUGUAUAGGUCUGAAUUCUUGUAUAUUUCAGUGAAAUCUACCCCCAAAGUUCCUUCUUGUGCUCCGGUGGUAACUUCCAGCAUCCAGGUUGCAGGGUUAUAACCAUCUUUGAUUUUACUGACUCCUUCAAUUCCCUUUAUGAAAGCAAGUGAUAUGUAUUAGUAAGUGCUUGAUAUGAAUUAACUCAAACUGAAGUAUUCACUUCUUAUAGCUUCUACUUUAUCAUGGCAGCUUACCUCAAAAUAAUUUAUCAGAUGGGAAGAAUGUCUACCCAGUGUUCCCACAUAUAUCUCUUGCCCUCCACGCUUCAUCAGGAGCAACUGCAAAUCCAUCUUAAAUAUUUCAGUGCCUAUAUGCAAAGAGAACAGAAGAGAAACUAUAAUUCUAUCCCUUAACAUUUCCUACCUCAUCGAAGGCCUCAAAUAUGUCAAUACUUGGCUGAUGGAUGGUGCACACAACUGUUCUUCCUGUGUCCACUGUGUUUCUGACUGUUCUCAUAACAAUUGCAGCAGCUCUUGCAUCUAGCCCUGAAGUUGGCUCAUCCAUGAAUAUUAUUGAGGGAUUUGCCACAAGCUCAACUGCAAUAGUCAGCCUCUUGCGCUGCUCGGUUGAGAGACCAUUUACACCUGGCAACCCAACCAGUGCAUCCCUCAAUGGGGUCAGUUCCACAAGCUCCAUGACUUCCUCAAUGAACAUCUGUAACCAUUAGCAAUGAUUAUGAAUUGUUUAAAAAACGUUGCAAACCAUAGUAGAGAUGGUAAAAAAUUUGACACUGCUUGUGACUCUUCUGUUAGCAGGUUGUGAAGAGGUUUCCCUAGUCUUACUAAAUGGAUCGGUUAGUAGAUGCAAAUGCUCAAUAACACUCAUUAGCUUGCAUGAACUUCACCCAAUUGGAUUAAAAGUCAGUGAAACUUGAACCAGCACUUUUUCCCAGGUGAAGGUCAAUCCAAACUUGAACCUGACCUUACCUCAACCAAGUAUAAAAAGUCAAUUCUAGGGCUUUGCUUGUUUAGAGCACUAAAUUGAACAAGAAAAAUAUGGAAACAAUUAAGAAGACUCCUACCUUUCUGGUUUCAGAAUUCACAUCAGAAGGCAACCGCAGCCAAGCUGAGUAGAGCAAGGACUCAUGGACAGUAACAUGAGGAGAGUGGAUGUCAUUCUGCUCACAGUAUCCAGAAAUUCGAGCAAAAGUCUCUUGCUUCUUUGGGUAGCCAGAAAUAGUGAUGUUACCCUCAAUAUAUCCACCGGUUUUCCGACCAGCCAGUACAUCCAUGAGAGUGGUUUUACCAGCACCGCUAACACCCAUCAGAGCUGUAAGAACACCAGGCCUGAAAGCACCACUCACCCCUUUCAGAAGCUCCAGUCUGUCUUCAAGGGCACCUUGACUUUUCAUUUCCUGCAAGUUCAUUUCAAACAACUCAGUUCUCAUUUCUGGUUUAUAGUACAUUAUGAAAAAACUUCAGUGCUGCUAAAACAUAUGUCAUCAUUUGAAUAAAUAUGACUUUACCUCUGGCAUGUCAACUGAGUAUCUAAUAUCAUCAAAAGUGAUUGAAUGUGGUUGGAAUGGAAGAACCAUUCCUUUCUUCUUAUUAUGAUUAGCCUCAGCAAUGGCUUCUACCAUUUGCUCUCCCCGCUCUGCAUGUCAAGUUUAAAUUCAGUGAGCCAUAUAAAACAUGUAGUUAAAUGACAAGAAUUGAGUCAUACAAAGGCAUGCAUGCAUGCACCAUGUAUGAGUUUCAUCACCUGUGGUUGCAGUUUUGGCAUUGUCAGACUCUUCUAUUAUAACAGCUUGAGGCUUCUCAAAUGCUGCACAAUUUGCACAAUGUUAGUACACUAAGCUCAUAUUUUUAGGAGUUUCAAUGCAGAGAAGGUACAGAUACCCACGAUUUAGGUAAUUAAGGCAGAGGGUGUAAAAGAUGUUGAAAACAAAUAUGAAUCCAAGCAGUGCCCCAGCUCCUAUCCAGUACCAGUGUGCGUCUGUGAAGAACCCACGAGACUUCAAUACUGUGACUCCAAGGGAUUCUGUUGAAUCGGUGACAUUCUGAAAUAUGGAAAUAAGUACAAUCAUCAGUUACUGACACACAUAAAUAAACACAAAUAUUCACAUGGAACAUUCGAGAACUUACUUUGCUCCAACUCUUCCCAAGGAAUUCAUUUACCACUAUUGCAUUCUGUGCAUACAUCAGAGGGGAAGACCAGUAACCCCAAAUCCACCAUUUCUUGACAUUAUCUGCACCAUUGACCAAAUAAAAAAGGAAACAAAAAUUCAUUAUCAGGGGUUAUGCACAAGAAGGUUCUAUGUUUCCUAAAAAAAUAUUUCCUCAUCAUACCAUAUGACAGGAUAAAACCACCCAAUGCCAAGAGCAUAAGUAAAGCAAAUGCCCCAAAUGUGUUUGCAACAAUCAUGUUUCUACCGGCUGCUGCUAUAAAUCGAAAUAAUCCAGAUGCCAUCUGAUUAACAAGCAAGAGGAGAAGAUACUGUCUAAACAACCUGCAAUAAGGAGAUUUGUUUAUUCAGCAUUAAUCAUUUUGGAACAGAGAAAACAUGUAAAAGAAAUCUGGAUAAGUUUCUGCAACUUCAUAACUUUUUAACUUUUACCUUUCCACAUUUGGAUCAAAUCCAAUGACGUAGUAAGUGAUGAACACCCAAACACCAACUUCAACAAAUGUGAUGGGGAUCUUGAGCACCCAUGUGGGAAGAGCAUAUGCCCAUGCAGGAUAGAAGAGAAGGUCUCUUUGCUUGUAAAAGACAGGAAGUUUUGCAAUUGCCAUGGCAAGUUCUGCCAUUCCAUUAAACAUGAUCAUGACAACAGUGAAGAACAAAGCACCCGUGUAAAUGUUUCCAUCAUCUGUUGAAUUUUUGUGCAUCUCAGUUCUUAGGAAGAGUGUCAUUGCAAUCACUGCCAUUACUGCAAGCUAAAAAUAGAAAUAAAAAUAAUAAAUUACAAUCACAUAUACAAAAUUAAAAGCCAUAGUUAUAAGUAGCAAUAAUAAUNNNNNNNNNNNNNNNNNNNNNNNNNNNNNNNNNNNNNNNNNNNNNNNNNNNNNNNNNNNNNNNNNNNNNNNNNNNNNNNNNNNNNNNNNNNNNNNNNNNNCAGAUAGGAGAAUGAUGUCAUCAAAAAGAUUGUAAGUCUCAGGUGCUGGCUGGAGGAGAGAGAUGACAGCAGUCCCAUUGAGAAUAUGGAUGGUUUGCUUGAGAGAAUUGAUGAUUUGAUAAGUUGUUGAGCUGUCCAAGCCAGUAGAGAUCUCAUCCAUGAACAGUGCCUUUGAUGGUCCGACCAGCAUCUCACCUAUUAUUCAUACAUUUCACAUAAUUGAAUUAAAUUAAAUUAAUGAACAAAAAAUCUAAUUUGAUUUGUUCUUUCAUUUAGUUAGAAACCAAAUUAUUCCACCUGUUGUGACACGCUUCCUUUGUCCUCCAGAGAUACCCCUUAUCAUCUCAUCUCCUACCAUGGUAUCUGCACAGAUGUCUAGUCCCAGAAUCUGUAGAUUUAAAAGUAAAGAAAAACAAACAAAUCAUGAAUUAGAAUUGGGUUUUCUCAGAAAUCUAUAUGCCAUCAUUGAAAGUUUUAUGGUUCUAAUACCUUCAAUGUAUAAUCAGUGACAACAUUUUCCUUCUGACCUUCUGUUGCUGCUGCCUGAAAUAUUGGAAUCCAAUGAUGAAAAUGUCAACCACCAUGGAAGCAACUUCAGUACAUUAAGAAAUUUCAUAGAUAAAAGAUUCCGACGUAGCAUAAAAUUCACAAAUUAGAUUGACUCAAGCCAUUCAUUUGAGUACAAAAAGAAAGAAACAAACUCCAGAACAGACAGAACACCGACAAUACAAAGCCAUUUUGCCCAUCUAUGUCAGAAUUCAAAAUUUAAUUUCUGGAAAAGAGCAGUAUCCAUGUUCACUAAAAGCAAAUAGCUCAAUUUCUGCAGAGCUGAUUAAAAUUUCACAAAAAGUAGAUUCUGUCUCACCUUCAUGAAGACAUCAAGAUCAGGAUCAGGCUUAAUAUUUGCUGCUUUCUCUCUUCUUGACAGCUCUGCUAACAUGUCUGCAGAUGGCAAAAAUAAGAGUCAAUCUUCUAGGCUACGGAAAUGUCAUAAAAUUGCAUUCACAACCUGCAAAAAGCAGAGAAAAUAAAAGCAAAGGCAAUGGUUUAGACUAACCAUAUCGAUCUCCAACACCCUGGCAUCUUGCAGAGAAUGCCAAGGUUUCCCUUACAGUCAUUUCUCCUAUAUGGGUAUCAUGUUGGCUGAUAUAGGCUGCAGUUCUCUGGGGUACAAACUCAUUCAUGCCAUGGCCGUUGUAUGUCACCCUUCCCAUAACCUAAAGAAGGAAUUUCAGUUUUGAAAUUGGAUAUGAGAUUAAAGAAAUAAAAAAUCAAACAUUCCAUAAAGAAUGGAGGAGUAAUAAUCAUUUUCUUUCAACCUUUAGAUUGGGAUCAAGCUUUCCAGCCAAUGCCAAUAAGAGGGUGGUCUUUCCAGAACUUGGAGGACCUAAAAGCAAAGUCAAUCUGCAGAAGAAAAAUAUGCACAAAAAUCUUGAGUAUGGAUCCUCGGGACAUUCUAAAUUUGAAGAACGAAAAAAUCAUUUGAGUUAUCAAUCCAUUUUUUACUAGAAACAAAUUCAUUCUCACCUGCGUGGUUUGAUGAUUCCACUAACAUCAUUGAGAAUAGUGAAUUUCCUCUUUUUACUUGGAAGAAUGCGCACAGCGUUCAGGAUACCCUUUGGAAAAGAAGGGAAAAUUAGAUCUAAAAACAAACUUACUUAAAAGAAUACUGAGUACAGAAGUAAUGAUCAGCAUUUGCAUGAAGUUACCUCAAGUUUACUAAAAAUGAAAUUAUGGAAUGAAGGCAAAGCUCUGCUUCCUACAAAAGCUUCUGCAUCGAUGGUAAGAUGCUCAAAUCUAACUUCAAUUUCGGGAACAUCAAUUCCAACUCUGAAAAAAUGGAAGAAUCAUGAAAACCCAUUAUCAAAAAAUUCAAAGGAAGAUGUUGCUUGGCUGUGGAGAAAAUGUGGGAAACACUCAUGAGGCAUAUUUCAGGUCAAGUUUUCAUUUUUUUUUCCUCUUUAUGUUCUUCUGUUUUCAAUGUUCAAAAACAAAUGGCAAGGAAUGCAAGAAAGGAGGAGAAAUCUCACCUAUCGAUACGAUUCUUGAGCUUCAACAAGAACUUCUCAUUGUCCUCUUCAGCGACUUUUACCAACCGCUCCACUAAAUUCUUCUUGUCCUGAAACCCAAGGUUAUGGAUAUCAAUUUCACUGGCCUCACCCUCGGAUCCCAUCAGCAAACCUCUCCUCAACCGAUUGUAGGUGGGAAGUUUCUCGAGUGCGGCCCAUUUCAAAGCUUCCUCAUCAUCCUCAUCCCUCGAAGAUCGGGAGAAAACAUCCGCACCGGAGCUCCUCCAUAUCGAAGAACCGUUCCUCCUUAAACUACCACUGGCUCUAUAAAUGUCAGCAGUGGCCAUUACAACCUGAAACGAAGAACCCUCCUGCAAGACCAAUCAAAACCCACAAAAACCCAGAAAUCUUUCCUCAAAAGUCUGAGAAAGAAGCUCGGAGUUUUGAACCCUGGAGCCCAAAGAAGCUAAAAAUCAGAUACGCGUCCCCUUCCUCCCUUUUCUCUGCAUAAAAGUCUCUACCUUUGAACUGCUAAUACUUGAUGCCUUCAGAAUGCAGGGUUUAUAUAGGUGAUGGGUUGAACAGACCCUCAAGUUUUCUAACUUCUUGGUUUCCUAUGACUUUUCCUUAAAAAAAAAUUAGCGGGGAAAUUGAAUAUAUAAGCGGCUGGGUAACGACUCCACCGAGUUUGACCCGUCAAAUUCUUAAAUAAAACACUUCUAGAGUUUCCCAACGGGAACGCGAUCUGUUUAAAGCUUCCCACCUGCCAAAUGAACAAACUUUUUCCUUCCAACUGUUGGGUCCAGGAAGGUUCCUGGUGGACCCAAAUCCUCCAAAACUAUAAAUAUAUUUGGCAUUUUUUUUAACGGAUUAAAUACAUUUUUCCCGGCUUUUGCACAUAUGUCUUCUGACGACUUUACCGAAAAUCCUUGGAGGAUUGUCCUUCUAGACGUUCUAAAACGGAAAUGUUUUGGUCAAACGGAAAGUCAACCAUGGAAAAUAAAGGUUUAACAGAUAGAUAACAAUGAUGUUUUUUUUGUGCGCACACUCUCUGACCUCACGGACACGCACGUUUCUCUAGAUUUCCUUGACCUCCUGAACACGCACGUUUCAAUCUAGACUCCCUCGACCUCGCGUAUACGCACGGCUGUGUCCUUUUGAUUUUUAUAUAUAUAAAAAAAAUAGCAAAAAAAAAUGAUAAUAAUCAUAAUAUAAAAACAACAACAAAAACGAAAACCAUGUCUACUUUUCUUCUUAUUUUAUUUUAAAAAAAAAUAAAAGUUUCAUUUUCUUUAUUUUUUCCUUUCUAAUUUUUUUAAAAAUAAAAAUAAAAAUCCCCAAUUUUUUUAGUCUUCUUCCUAUCUUCUCUUUCUUUUCUUACUGACUUUAAUUUCCAAACUUCGAAUCUUACCUGUUCUUUUUUUCAUUUUUUUCUACAACCAUAAUUCCAUAUUUAGUGGUAAUGAUAGUGAAAAAUAAAAUUAUACUAAUCUAUCCAUUUUUAUUAAUAUGAUACUAAAAUUUUGAUAAUAUUAAAUAAAAUUAUCAUAAAAUUAAUUUUCAUACUAAUUUUUUAAAAUUAUCUUAUAAAUAAAUAUAGUAAUGAAUACGAGUAUAGAUUACUUUAAGUGGAAAAAAUUUCUAAAUGCUCAAAAGUUUGAUAAUAAUUUUAUAUUUCACAUUGGAUAAAUCAAACUUCCCUUUUAAAACACUCAUCUUCUUAUCUCUUUCAAAAAAAAAUUGAGUUGAUAUCAACAAUCAAAAAUAAAUUUAAAAUUUUUUAAAUUAAAAAUAUAAUUAAGUUUUAAAAUAUAUAAAAAAAAUAUUGACCCAAACUACAUUUUCAACGCUUUCUCAAUAUAUAUUUGUAAACCUCAAAAUUUGUCUCAAUUUCAUUUUUUACAUUAAUUUUGAGUUCAAUUUUAUUAAUAAAUUUUAAAUCCCGAUCACAUAUGUUUUUUGGUCCAUUCACCCUUUAAUCUUAAUUUUUAUUAUUUUAUAUUUUAUUAUUAUUAUUAUUAUUAUUAUUAUUAUUAUUAUUAUUAUUAUGUUUUUUUUCUUUCUUUUUUUCUUUUUCUUUUUUGUUUUUCUUUUUUCUCUUUCUUUUCUCUCUCCUCUCUCCUCUCUCUUUCUACUCUCCAAUUACCCCACCCACUCCCUCUCUCUUGUUGGGCUUUGUGGAGCCUAGUUUUGUUUGAUCCGGUUUGACGACCCGACCCGAAUAAUAUUGCAUGGCUUUUUUAAUGGGAGAUUUAUUGAGGCCUGUUGGGCCCGUUUAGCCCAUUGUGGAAUCACCUUUUUAAUUAGGGUUUUUUAGUAUGGUAGGGUUGUCGUGCUAUAUAUAUAUAGAGAAUAUUGUAGUCGCUACGUUGUACUCUGUAUUCUUCCCUGAUAAUAGUGAUAUCCCUACAACUCCGUGGACGUAGGCAAAUUGCCAAACCACGUAAAUAUUGUCUUGUGUGUGUGAUUGUUUUUUCUUUGGCGUGUGUUUUCUCUAAUUUUUGUUUCUCACGGGUUGGGAAUUCGGUUUAAUUCCCUACAACUGGUAUUAGAGCCUAGGGUUAGGUUUGAGUGGGAGCAAUGGCAGAGGAAGCAGGAAAGGCGUCUAGAAUAGAAAAGUUUGAUGGCACAGACUUUGCGUAUUGGAGGAUGCAGAUUGAAGAUUAUCUCUAUAGGAGGAAAUUGCAUAUGCCUCUUUUGGGGACAAAACCUAAGAGUAUGAAGGCUGAGGAAUGGGCGCUUCUUGACAGACAGGUUCUAGGAGUUAUUAGGUUAACUCUGUCUAGGUCUGUUGCACACAAUGUUGUAAAGAAGAAGACCACAGCAUAUCUGAUGAAGGUUUUGUCCGGUAUGUAUGAAAAGCCGUCCGCAAACAAUAAGGUGCAUCUGAUGAAGAAAUUGUUCAAUUUCAAGAUGGCAGAGAAUGCAUCAGUAGCACAACAUCUGAAUGAAUUUAAUACAAUCACAAAUCAAUUGUCGUCUGUAGAAAUUGAUUUUGAUGAUGAGAUUCGUGCUCUGAUCGUUUUGGCUUCUUUGCCAAACAGUUGGGAGACAAUGAGGAUGGCAGUAAGCAAUUCUACAAGAAAGGAAAAGCUCAAGUACAAUGAUAUAUGAGAUUUAAUUCUGGCUGAGGAGAUUCGCCGAAGAGAUGCAGGUGAAACCUCAGGAUCUGGUUCUACCCUAAACCUUGAGACAAAAGGUAGAGGUAAUAACAGAAAUUCAAAUCAGGGUAGAUCAAAUUCCAGAAAUUCUAAUCGGAACAUAAGCAAAUCUAGAUUAGGCCAACAAGUACAAUGCUGGAAUUGUGGGAAAACAGGUCAAUUAAAAGGCAACACAAAAGCCCUAAGAAGAAGAAUGAAGAUGAUUCUGCUAAUGCUGUAAUAGAAGAGGUACAGGAUGCAUUACUUCUUGCAGUAGACAGUCCACUUGAUGAUUGGGUUUUGGAUUCAGGAGCUUCGUUUCAUACCACUCCAUACCGAGAAAUCAUACAGAAUUAUGUUGCAGGUGAUUUUGGUAAGGUGUAUUUGGCUGAUGGUUCAGCCUUGGAUGUUGUGGGUCUGGGAGAUGUCCGGAUAUCUUUGCCCAAUGGGUCUGUUUGGUUACUGGAGAAGGUUCGACAUAUUCCUGACCUGAGGAGGAAUCUGAUUUCUGUUGGACAACUUGAUGAUGAAGGACAUGCAAUACUAUUUGUUGGUGGUACUUGGAAGGUUACAAAGGGAGCUAGGGUAUUGGCUCGUGGAAAGAAGACUGACACUCUGUAUAUGACCUCAUGUCCAAGAGACACAAUUGCAGUUGCUGAUGCAAGUACUAAUACAAGCCUAUGGCACCGCAGACUUGGUCACAUGAGUGAGAAAGGGAUGAAGAUGUUGCUGUCAAAAGGAAAACUACCAGAAUUGAAGUCCAUUGAUUUUGACAUGUGUGAAAGUUACAUCUUAGGAAAGCAAAAAAAGGUGAGCUUCUUGAAAACUGGCAGGACACCGAAGGCUGAAAAAUUGGAACUAGUACACACUGAUUUGUGGGGGCCUUCUCCGGUUGCAUCCCUAAGAGGUUCAAGGUACUACAUCACCUUUAUUGAUGACUCAAGUUAAAAGGUAUGGGUUUAUUUUCUGAAAAAUAAAUCUGAUGUAUUUGCAACUUUUAAGAAGUGGAAGGCCAUGGUUGAGACAGAAAUAGGUUUGAAAGUAAAAUGUUUGAGGUCAGAUAAUGGAGGAGAAUACAUAGAUGGAGGAUUCAGUGAGUAUUGUGCUGCACAGGGAAUUAGGAUGGAGAAGACCAUUCCUAGGACACCACAGCAGAAUGGUGUGGCUGAGCGCAUGAACAGAACUCUCAAUGAGUGUGCUAGAAGUAUGAGGUUGCAUGCUGGACUACCAAAAACUUUUUGGGCUGAUGCUGUUAGCACUGCAGCUUACCUGAUAAACCGAGGACCAUCAGUUCCCAUGGAGUUCAGACUUCCUGAGAGGUUUGGAGUGGUAAAGAGUGAAGUUUUCACAUUUAAAGUUUUGGUUGUAUUUCUAUGUUCAUAUUGAUCUGAUGCUCGUAGUAAACUUGAUGCAAGUCAAAAANNNNNNNNNNNNNNNNNNNNNNNNNNNNNNNNNNNNNNNNNNNNNNNNNNNNNNNNNNNNNNNNNNNNNNNNNNNNNNNNNNNNNNNNNNNNNNNNNNNNAAAACUUUUGGGCUGAUGCUGUAGCACUGCAGCUUACUGAUAAACCGAGGACCAUCAGUCCCAUGGAGUCAGACUUCUGAGGAGGUUUGGAGUGGUAAAGAGGUGAAGUUUUCACAUUUAAAAGUUUUUGGUUGUAUUUCUUAUGUUCAUAUUGAUUCUGAUGCUCGUAGUAAACUUGAUGCAAAGUCAAAAAUAUGUUUUUUCAUUGGCUAUGGUGAUGAGAAAUUUGGCUAUAGGUUUUGGGAUGAACAAAACAGGAAAAUCAUCAGAAGUAGAAAUGUGAUAUUUAAUGAACAGGUUAUGUACAAAGACAGGUCAUCUGUAGUGUCAGAUGUUACAGAGAUAGAUCAAAAGAAAUUUGAGUUUGUCAACUUAGAUGAAUUGACUGAAAGUACUGUCCAAAAAGGGGGUGAAGAAGAUAAAGAGAAUGUAAAUUCACAAGUAGAUCUGAGUACACCUGUAGUUGAAGUUCGCAGAUCUUCUAGGAACAUUAGACCUCCGCAGUGUUAUUCACCUGUUUUAAACUAUCUCCUGUUGACUGAUGGUGGUGAGGCAGAGUGUUAUGAUGAAGCCUUGCAAGAUGAGAAUUCAAGUAAGUGGGAGUUAGCCAUGAAGGAUGAGAUGGAUUCCCUGUUGGGGAAUCAGACAUGGGAACUGACUGAAUUGCCAGUAGGAAAGAAGGCUUUGCACAACAAAUGGGUAUACAGAAUAAAGAAUGAGCAUGAUGGUAGCAAACGUUACAAGGCCAGAUUAGUUGUUAAAGGGUUCCAGCAGAAGGAGGGCAUUGACUACACAGAGAUAUUUUCUCUAGUUGUGAAGAUGUCAACAAUGAGACUUGUACUUGGAAUGGUGGCUGAAGAAAACUUACAUCUUGAGCAAUUAGAUGUGAAGACAGCAUUCCUUCAUGGUGACUUGGAGGAAGACCUUUACAUGAUUCAACCAGAAGGGUUCAUUGUUCAGGGACAAGAGAAUCUAGUCUGCAAACUGAGAAAGAGCUUGUAUGGCCUUAAACAAGCUCCUAGACAGUGGUACAAGAAGUUUGACAAUUUUAUGCAUAGAAUUGGGUUCAAGAGAUGUGAAGCUGAUCACUGUUGCUAUUUUAAGUCCUUUGACAAUUCUUAUAUCAUAUUACUAUUGUAUGUGGAUGAUAUGCUUAUUGCAGGGUCUGACACUGAGAAGAUUAAUAAUCUGAAGAAGCGAUUAUCCAAACAGUUUGCAAUGAAGGAUUUGGGAGCUGCAAAGCAAAUCUUGGUAUGAGAAUCAUUAGAGACAAGGCUAAUGGUACAUUGAAGCUUUCACAGUCAGAGUAUGUGAAGAAAGUUCUCAGCAGGUUCAACAUGAAUGAAGCUAAACCAGUGAGCACACCCUUGGGUAGUCAUUUCAAACUAAGCAAAGAACAGUCACCAAAGACAAAAGAAGAAAGGGACCAUAUGAGCAAGGUGCCCUAUGCCUCAACUAUUGGCAACUUGAUGUAUGCUAUGGUGUGUACAAGGCCAGACAUUGCACAUGCAAUGGGAGUUGUGAGCAGAUUCAUGAGUAGGCCUGGAAAGCAGCAUUGGGAGGCAGUCAAGUGGAUUUUAAGAUAUCUGAAGGGUUCAUUAGAUACAUGUAUUUGCUUCACAGGUGCAAGUUUGAAACUGCAGGGUUAUGUAGAUGCUGAUUUUGCUGGUGAUAUUGAUAGUAGAAAGAGUACUACUAGGUUUGUUUUUACUCUAGGUGGUACAGCUAUAUCAUGGACUUCAAAUCUACAGAAGAUUGUUACUUUGUCUACUACAGAAGCUGAGUAUGUUGUAGCAACUGAAGCUGGAAAGGAGAUGAUUUGGCUACAUGGUUUCUUAGAUGAAUUGGGUAAGAAGCAGGAGAUGGGCAUUCUACACAGUGACAGUCAGAGUGCAAUUUUUCUUGCCAAAAAUUCAGCUUUUCAUUCAAAGUCGAAACAUAUACAAACAAAAUACCACUUUAUCCGUUAUCUUGUUGAGGAUAAACUGGUAAUACUUGAGAAGAUUUGUGGAUCUAAGAACCCUGUAGACAUGUUGACUAAGGGUGUCACUAUUAAGAAGUUGAAGCUGUGUGCAGCUUCAAUUGGUCUUCUAGCUUGAGGACAGGAGGAUGAGUUGUAGGGAUGAGGGAUCGUUUCUUGGAGGAUAGCGGUUUGAUGUUGGUGAUUGGACUAGUCUCCAAGUGGGAGAUUUGUUGGGCUUUGUGGAGCCUAGUUUUGUUUGAUCCGGUUUGACGACCCGACCCGAAUAAUAUUGCAUGGCUUUUUUAAUGGGAGAUUUAUUGAGUCCUGUUGGACCCGUUUAGCCCAUUGUGGAACCACCUUUUUAAUUAGGGUUUUUUAGUAUGGUAGGGUUGCCAUGCUAUAUAUAUAUAUAGAGAAUAUUGUAGUCGCUACGUUGUACUCUGUAUUCUUCCCUGAUAAUAGUGAUAUCCCUACAACUCCGUAGACGUAGGCAAAUUGUCGAACCACGUAAAUAUUGUCUUGUGUGUGAUUGUUUUUUCUUUGGCGUGUGUUUUCUCUAAUUUUUGUUUCUCACGGGUUGGGAAUUCGGUUUAAUUCCCUACAUCUCUCUCUCCUCCCAUACCUCUCAUGCCAUUAUCAUUCCCUAUUCCCUUAUUGUUUUUUUAUUUUAUUUUUUUCCCCUUCAUUCUCAUCGGUCCCCCAUUCCCCUUUCUUUUUUUUUUCUUUUUUUUUUCUGCUUCUCUCCCUGGGACACACACGUGCCCAUUUUUUGCCUUAUUCUCACUAGAUUUUUUCCGCUUCUCCGCAGACUCCCACAGUGGCCGACGGUCCCAUCUCCCCCACUCCGUUUCUCAGCUUUUUCCUCAUUCACUCCAAAGACGACCACAAUCGACUCACCCAGUUUUCUUGAUCUUUUUUAUUUUUAUUUUUAUUUAUUUUAUUUUGGCUACCCAAACACCACAUCCCGGGACUCUGGAUUCUCUUCUUCCUAUUUUUCCUCCCCCAUUUUCUCCAUUUUUUUCUCUUCUCUUUCCUCUUACUCACUCCCACAUGACUAGAGGCCCCCCAUUUUCUUCUUUCCUAUUUUUCAUUUUUGUUCUCUAUCCAAACACCCACUUGUAGAGACGACCGACCCAUUUCUUCUCUUCCAUUUUUUUUAUUUAUUAUCUUCCUUAUUAUUAUUAGUAUUAGUAUUAUUUUUGUCUUUCAAAAACACCAUCAACCCUCAUUGUCGUAGGCGAGCUCCUAUCAGUCGCCGUCGGCGAGCCACUGUCGAUCGGCGAACCCCUCUUAUUUCCUCUCAUUCCCUCAUUUUCCCAUCCCACUCACUUUCCAUUAUUAUUAUUAUUAAUAUUAUUAUUAUUAUUAUUAUUGUUGUUAUUGUUAUUGUUAUUGUUAUUGUUAUUCUUGAUUUGAUUUUAAUAGUAAUUGUUGUUUAUGAAAUUUGGAUUAUUGAAUGAAUAUGAAAUUUGAGCUUUAUUAAUUAGUAUAAAAUUUGGGCCAAUUUAUUAUUGGUGGAUUAAUUUGAAAUUUGUUAAUUUGGGUUUGUGGUUAUAUUGCAUUUGAUUAUUAAUUUGGGAUAUUUAGAUUAUAUAAAUUGCAUAUUGUUUAUUUGGAUUUGGGCCUAUUGUUAAUUGGUUAUUUGUUUGGGCUAAUUGGAUUGAGCUUGAGAUAUUAUUUUCUUUGGUCAUGUACAUUAUUAAUUUGUUUGUUAAUUGAAAUGAAUUUUGAGCCCACAAUGUGGGUGGGAUUUGUUGGGUGACUUGAAUAUUUGAUAUGAGCUUGGAUAAUUUGAAUUGUUUAAUUUGGACAUGAAACAAUCGUGGUGUAUAUUAGGCUUGAAUUAUGAGAUAUUAAAUUUAGGCUUAGUAGAAUUUAUUUUAAUUUAUCCAAUUUUAAGUUUGGUUAAUCGUACUUGUAUUUUUGGUUAUUAAUUUGGAUGUUUUGGGCUAAGACCUAUAAUAAUUUAGACUCAUUUUAAUUGUGAAAUUUAUAAAACUAAUUUGAAUUUUGAAUUUGGGUUUAAAUAUUUGUUUGGGAUUUUGUACAUCUCUAGAUAUUUACAUUGGGUAUUUUUUGUUUUUGCAUGGGUCCAUUCCCCAAUUCUAUUGGCUAAAUACGAAUUUAUGAUGCAUGUAGCAUGGAAUUUCAUAGAAAAAUUUGUUGUGAGUUUAUUUUGGUACAUAUUUUAUUUCUCACUUUUAUUUGAUUUUAUUUUUAUUAGUUCUUGUAAAUAUUCGUUUGUAUAUACCUAUUAAGUGUGUAUAGAAUUGAAUAUCGAACAAACUAGAAAUUUCGUUUAAAUGAGAGGAAGAAUUCAAUAAAUAUGUUUUAAUAAAACAAUAAUUUUAAAAUAUUUUUUUUAAUAAUAUUUUUUAGUUAUAAAAAAUCAUAAAAAUGCAUUUAGAAAAAUCCAAAAGAAUUGUUUUUCGUAGGAUUUGAAAAAUUGUUUUUAAUAAAAAUUGUCCAAAAAUUUCUUUGUUUAAUAAAAAUUAUCCAAAUUUUUUUUUGUAAAUAAAAUUGUCCCAAAAAUUAAUUCUUAAUAAAAUUGUCCAAAAAAAAUGUUUCUUUUAAAUGAAUUCUUUUUUUUUCUUAAUUAGAUUAGAAAUAGAGGAUUUAAAUUUUUUUUUCUUUUUAAUUAAAAUUUCUUUUGCAAAUAAAUUUAUGUCUUUUUAAAUAAUUUGUAUAAAUCACUUUUUUUUUUAAAUGAAAAUGAAUCAAAAUACUUUUGUAAAUAAAAUUAUAAAAAUUCAUUAUUUUCUAGUAAAAGUAAGUAAAAAUAAUUUUUGUGCCCAAAUUGAAAUUUUUGUCAUAAAUUCUUUUGAUAUAAUAUAUGUAAAUAACCUUUUUUUUAAAUAAAUAAAUUGAAAUCAUUAAUUCAAAAUCAUUUUUAAUAAAAUUCUUUGAAGUUUCUUGAAAACUAAUUUUUUUAAUAUCUUUUUUAUUUUAUUUUAUUUAGUUCAAUAAAUCAUUUUGCAUAAUCCUCUUAUAAUUUAUUUUGUGUAUUCUUAUAAUUAGAUUUUCAUCAUUAUUUUUGCAUAUAUUGAUUUUCAUCAUGACUUAUACAUUGAUUAUUUUUCUUGGUAUCCAUAAUUAAUUAAUUAAUUGUCAUAAUUCCUUUAAUUCGUUUAAUAGAGGUCGUGCAUGUACGGGCUUAGAAGGGUGCUACAGCUCACCACCGUACCUUCCCAAUAAGUAACCUGAUCCCCCGACCCAAACUCGGUUUUCCACAGACCUGUUUCAGGAGUCACACUAAGAGUUUUUCUUUCUUAUUUUGUUUUUUUCUUAAAAAAAAAUUAAAAUAAGUAGUCAUUCCAAGUCUUUUUCUAAAAAUCAAAUUUUCACCAAAUAAAUAAAUAAAAACAAGUUUCAUCAUCGAGUGGGAAAGCAUCGUGCAAAAAUGUAGGGUCCACAAUAUCUUUUGUUUAUUUAUUUAUUAUCAUUAUUAUAUACUAAAAUUCCUGCAAAACAAAAUUGAAUAUAAAUAAACAUAAAUAAUAAUAAUAAUAAUAAUAACAAUAAUAAUAAUUUUCAUUAUUAUUGUAUAUAAUAGUAGUAAUAACAAUAAUGAUAAAUAAUAAAUAAACAAAAGAUAGAUAUUGAGAAAGAGUUGAAAAUGCAUUAAGAGUUAAUAUAUAUGUCAUUUUUAUAUUUUUAGGAUUAAAGUUUUUUUUUUUACUUUUUAUUGUAUUUUUUAUUUUUAAAAUCUUUUAUUUUAUUAUUUAGGCCAACCAACAAAAUUUUUAUUCAAUUUUUUUAAAAGAGAUAAAAAGAUGGGAUGUUUUAAUCAAGAAUGUUUGAUUUAUAUAAUGCAAAAUAUAAAAUUAUUAUGUGAGGAUUUUUCCAUAGUGACUUGCACUCAAUAUUAUAUAAUUAAUAAAUUAAUAAAUAUAUUUAUUAGUAAGAUAAUUUUAAUAAAUUUAUAAAUAUAUUUAUUAGCAAUAUAAUUUUAAUAAAUUAAUAUGAGAAAUCAAUUUUAUGAUAAUUUUAUUUAUUAUUGUCAAAUUUUUAGGAGAGAUCAUUAAGAGGAUCUAGUUUUGCAUGAUUUUAAUAUUUGAUCCCUAGUUUUAUUACUAAAUAUGAGAUUAUGGUUCUAGGAAAAAAAAAUUUGCUAAUGUUAGAAAUUUGAAAAUAUAUAUAUAUAUAUAUAUAUAUAUAUAUAUAUAUUUAAUCAGUUACUAGUCAUUAUGCAUUUAAUGCAUUGACAGAUGAUCACUUAGGCUUACAUCCUUAAUUAGUUGAGCAAUCAAUUUGACGGAUACUCGACUAGUCAAAGCUUUAACUACUAGAAAAAAGAAAAAUAACAAAUGUCUCUUAAUUUAUCAACUCUAAUCUAUUCAACCGAUUCCUCAACUCCUCAAUUGUAAAUGACAUGGUUUAAGGUUUGAAACCUCCAAUAAUUUACGUUAACCUCUUAAAACUUUUCAGAAUAAAUUUAGAAGUAAUUUAGCUCAAGGUUUUAAUGGAAAAUAAAAAAUCCUCCACUUCUUUGAUAUAUAUAUGAUCUUAAUUUUACACAACAUUUUAGGUUAAUUUAAGUUUUCAAGGAUCCUAAGUCUUCCAUAUUACUUGAGCUUUCUUUGGAUUUUCAAUAGCAAACUUAAAAAACUUAAUUUGAUUUAAACUAUUAGUAAUUUUAACUUUAUUUUGUAAUUAUAAAAAAACCUAUUAGGAGAAUCCUUGGGCUAAUAGUCAAAUAAUUUACAUUUUUUUUAUUUCAUAACAAUACUAUUAUUACAUAAUAGAACAUUGUAGACCCCCUCCCAGGGAGGAGGAGUUUUUGGCCAUUUUUAUUUUGCUAUCAUGAUUACUUUUCUAACCACCCGGGAAACGAGCUGUUUUGGGCGGCCAUGGGAUGGGAUGAGGCGAGUUGCUGGUGGCGGCGAGAGACAGCUUGGAGGAGAAGCUGCCAGCAGAAAAAAAAUAUAUAUGUAUUUCUUUGGGGAGCAGCAGCGGGGAGAGAAAAAAUCAGGAACAGCUGGGGCUGGGUGAAAGAGAGGAAAACGGGUAGCAGUUGGGAGGAUUCUUGGAAGAGAAAAAAAUCUGGAGAGCAGAACAGAGGAACGGGAAGAGAGAGAGAGAGGAGCUGGGAAAGAGGGUUUGAAAAAGGAUUUUCAGCAAAAGGGAUUUUCGAGAUUUUCCAGGUGCGAAUCAGAUAGCAUAUUUAACUAAUUCGUGAGUUGCAUUAACUGAGUUAUAGUUCAUUUCGUUUUCUUCAUUUUGGUGUUGGAAUUAUUUUUGUCUCUGUUUUAUUUGAGUUUGAUGCCCGAAAUCAUGCUUUUCGCUUCUGUUAAUUCCAUCCACCUUGGCCACGGAUGUCGCCUGAAAAUGGGUCUCUCCAUCCAUAACCAGUCAUGCCCAGAAAUUUGAGCGCUAUUUCAAAAAAACCAGAAAAUGGGUUUCUCUACUGUGAAGGUCUCUAGCAAAGGCUGAAGCAAAAACAAAUAAAUAAAUAAAUUAAAAAAACAAAAGUCAACAAAGUAGUACACAACCCAUUAUAAAAUAUUGAAGCCUGCAGACAAUGGACCCAUUUUCUUUUUUUAUUAGGGAGAAUUGUGUUUUGGGCCCAGUUGGGCCCAAAAAUUAACAUUUGGUCCUCCAAUCACCCAUAUUUAAGUCCAAGGAUAUGAGAUAGUAAUUGACAAAAAUACCCACUUGACUCAUUUUUAUCUUUAUUCUACUACUUGUCACUCUUCUUUCUUAUUUAACCAUUUUUGGAUUUUUCAUUUUUUUUAAAACUCUUUUAUAAAUAAUUGAAAAUUUACAUUAUUUUUUAUUUUUAAAUUAUAAAUAAAAAAAAUUAUAUUAAUGAUUCAAAGACUAUUUUAGAAAAUACUUUUUAAAAAAAUAUUAAUUUAAAUAAAUAAAAAUUAUCUUUUUGUAUUUAUUUUUAUCGUUUACAUUUUAGAAGUAAAUAAUUUAAUGAUUAAAAUACCAUUUAAAAUAAAUAUAUUCACUAUUUUAUUUUUUUAUAAUAAAAAGUAUUUUAAGGUUUUUUUUUACUAUUAUGAAAUAAAAAGUUCAAUUUUUUUUGUUUAAUCUUCUUCCUUCCUUAUUUUAACAACUUUUUGAACAUGACUUUUAGUAAUAAGUUAUAUGAAAUGCUACAAAUUUGUUUAUUAAGGAUUUUUUUUAAUGAUUUGAAUUAAUUGAAAUUUUAUUAAAAUAAGAAAAAUAAAAAUAAAGAAAGGGGAUGGAUUGAGAGUUUUUAUUUUAAGUACUCGAUUAAAAUGAGGAUGGAUGGAGAGUUUUUAUUUUUAGUACUCAAUUAAAAUGUUUUCAUAUGACCUAAUUUUAUAAGUGGAUUAUAUCAAUACAUAGUAGAGAUUGAUUUUUUUAUAUAUAUAAAAGGGUUGAAAGGUAUAUUUACUUGUUUUAGAUGAAAACAAGUAACUAAAAAUUAUAUAGAUUAUAUUUGAGUUUGGUUUUAAAAUAUUUUUCCAGUUUUUAUUUUCUAUAUUGCCUCUUUUUGAAAAUACGUUUAAGUUAUGACAAAUAUGAAAUUUAUGUCAUUGUACAAGGGUAUUAUACUAAUUGUACAAGGGAAAUGUGCUAAGUGUACAAGAGUGUACGAGGCUCCUAAUAGGUUUUGUACGAUUUUUAAACAACUUGAAUUUGAUAUUAAGACGAUUAUUGAUAGUUUUUUUUUUCUUUUUUUUAUCAAACUAUUUCAUUAAGACAUUCUCUACAAAAAUUAACACAUAAGAAAUAAAAUUUUGAGUUAUUGAGUUAUUGUACAAGGUAUUACACUAAUUGUACAAGACAAAUUUACUGAUUGUACAAGGGUGUACAAGACUACUUUUUGUUAAGGAUUUCAAGUGAUUUUGAAAAAAUUUCCUAUUUUUUUCCACUCAAAGAUUUUUCCCCCACUCAAAUUCUCUCACUCAAGAAUUGUUUCGAAUUUUAUUUUUAAAUUUCAUCAUCAAAAAUUUGUAAUUGCAUAUUUUGUUUUUGUAGUUUUAGCAAUGUUAUUUCUUUUCACUAUAUAUAUUUUUUUUUGUGAAAUUUUAUCCAAAUGAAUCUAUAUUUAAAAUUAUAAUCAUAUUUAUCAAAAAAUUUACUAAGAUUAUCUUUAAUUCUUUUAAUAUAUUUAUACUCAUUUAUUUAAAAAAUGAAAAACUAAUUUUUUUUUUUUUUUUUUUUUUUUUGUAAACAUGUUCUAUUACCUUUCAAGUAAAAAAUUAGAUAAGUUUCAAAGUCAAUAAAUAAAAAAAUUAAAUACCACUUUCAAUAAUUUUUAGAUAAAAUUUUAUAUAAUAUAUUUUAUUUGAAACUUAAUUUUUAAAGUUUAACUAAAAAAUUGUAUUGACAAUUUUCUUGUUGUGGGUCAAAAUACUUUGCAUUAGUCUAUCUAGAUAAGAAAAAUUUUAAAAUAAAAACAUUAAAAAUUAAAAAGCUAAAAAGAUAUAUAUAUAUAUAUAUAUAUAUAUAUAUAAUAAAGUGAAGUGAUAGUUAAUUUUAAAAUUUUUUAAAAUAUGGUUAAUGUAGAAAAUAUAAAAAAAUAAUUAAAAAUAAGAUAAAAAUAUAGAUGAAAGGGUACUAUAAAUUUAAAAUAAAAAAUUAAAAUUAAACGAAAAGAUAAAUAUAAAAGGAUAAAAAAUAUUUGGAUGAAAAAUCCCAAAAUUUUUAUCAUUGCUUUUAAUAAGAGCAAAAAGAUUCAAUAUCUUUAAAAAUGAAAAAUAAAAAAAUAUUAUUAUUUUUUAUUUGACAUAAAAUAGAAAUAUAUAUUGGAAUAAAAAGGAAAAAAAAAGUUAGAAAUGAGUAAUAUUUAAUAGGGAAUAGAAAAGGAAAAAAAAUUAAAAAUUAAAAUUAAAAUUCACACUCACUUGUAAGCAUAUAAGGGAUUAGGGUAUUUUAGGAAUUAAUGAAAGACAAUAUCCUUCAUUUUAAUUUUCAUACUUUGUUUGGAUCUUGGGCUUAAAUAUGGGUGGUUGGAGAACCAAAUGUUAAUUUUUGGGCCCAGCUGGGCCCAAAACACAAUUCUCCCUUUUUAUUAAAUGCUCUCAUCUCUUUCUUAAUUUCCACUUCACGUUUUCAAAUAAAAUUUUUAAAACUUAGGUUUUUAAAUCUAAUUUCCAAAAUCUCAAUUCUCAACUAAUUUUUCAAAAAUCCCAAAUUGUUUUUAAAUAAGUUUUAAAACUCCGAUUUCCAAAUUUAAUUUCCGAAACUUUAAUUCUCAAAAUCUAAUUUUCAAAAAUCCAAUUUUUCGGAAUUCCAAUUUUCACAUUAUUUAAUUAAUCAUUAUUACUUUCAUUAUUAUUAUAUCCAUUUAUUUGUUGAUUCAUUCAUUUUUAAAAGAAUUCCAUUUUUAAAUAAUCCCUCAAAAUUCCAUUUUUCACAUUUCUUUAUCUAAUCAUUAUUAUUUUCGCUAUUGUUAUUAUUUUAUUCAUCUUAAUUAUUUAUUUUUGAAAAUUCCAACUUUAAAUAAAUUCCAAUUUUUAAAUAAAUCCAAUUUGUGAACUUAAAUUCUAAAAUUCCAAUUCUUAAAUUUAAUUCCUAAUACUCCAAUUUUCAAACAAAUUUCAAAAAUCUAGUCUUCACUCGAAUAGUUUUAAUUCCAUUCCGGUUUUCAAAUAAUCUCAUGUUUCUCAACUUUAAUAAGCAAGAAUGAAUUUUCCGUAAUUCCGAAUAAUGGAAUUUAUGAUAUUAAUUCAUGCAAUAUAAAUCGGGCUUUGGUGGGGGCCCCACAUACACAUUUUUAUGAUUGAUUGAUUAAUUAGUUGAUUUGAUGGUAGUACAUGAUUGAGUUAUUCUGCUCUAUGACAUGCAUGAUAUUAUUUCUUAACUGUGCGCUAACCCCCUUUCUUGAUGGCGCGUUGAUCGUUUGGUGCCAAGGUAUGCUCCGCUCCCACUUCAAUCGUUCUUAUUGAGUGUUUUGAUUUUCACAUGAGCAUGGUCAUCUUAGGUAUUCAUGGAUUUACUCAUCAAUUGCCAUGAUUGCUUCAUUUUAUUAGUAGAGACCCGUUUUUAGGGACUUAGAGGGAUGCUACAGUCUCUACCGUACCUUCCCGAUAAGUAACCUGACCCCCGAACCCGAUCCGGUUUUUCACAGACCGCCUUUUUUUAAAACAAGGAGUCACACUUAGGGUUUUUCUUUCUUAUUUUGUUUACACUUUUAAAAAAUAAAACAAAAAUAAGUGGCGACUCCAAGUCAGUUUUUUUAAUGAAUUAAAUCAUUUUUCAAAUAUAAAAAGCGAGUUUCGCCAUCGAGUGGGAAACGCAUGAGCCGAAAUACAGGGUCCACAAACAUUUAAAUUUAAAUAAAUCUACAUUCUAGUAUUUAAUUUUAUGUAUCCUUAAUUUUUAUUAUUAUUUAUAUAAAUAAAAUAUUAUAGUAUAAAUAUUAAGUGUCAACAAAUAUAUAUUACAUUAUUUCAUAGUAUAAAUCAUCUACUUAUUUAUUAAUAUUCUUUAUUAAUAUCACAAUUUAAUAACGUUAUUUGGUGACAAAAUUACUCAAUUUGUCAGGAAAUAAUAUAAUUACCAACGAAACCAUUUUGUAAGCAAAAAUAGAUAAAAAGUUGUAACUUUUAGUAAGGAAAUUAUUUUCAUCACAAAAAAUUAUAAUUAGUGAUAAAUAUUUUCAUAGGAAAAUAGUUUAUUUUCGUCACAAAAGUGUUUGCGCCCAAAUUUUCCCGCCACAUCUUUAAACUACAAUAAUUUCAAAUUCAUUAGGAAAAGUUUGUAGAAAAUUGGCAUUAUUGACAACAUUUAAAAUUUCAUCGAUAAAAGUUACUUUUAGUGACAAAAGUAGACUUCGCCCCUAAAUUUUUGUCACGAAAAAUACAUUUUCUUAUAGUGAAUGCAUGAAAAAAUGAGAGUUAAAUAUGAAUUAACAUACAUAUAAAUUUAUUAGAAAAAUAUUGACAAUCUUAAGUAUAUAAAUUUAAGAAAAUCUAAAAUUUUGGUCAUAAUUAUUCAUGAUCACAUCAAAUAUAUAUAGGAACGGUUGAAAAUAAUGAAAGGUAUAAUCAAAUGAGACUACGAUAGAAAAUAAUGAAACCAAAGAAUUUGUCUUUAAAAGUUACAAAAAAAAAAAAAAAUGAGAGUCAAAUGUUAAUUAAUGAGAUGUUGGUAUAAAUUUAAUAAGAGAAAUAUUAAUAAUGCUUAAGCAUAUGAAUUUAAGAAAAUCUAAAAUUUUGGUCAUAAUUAUUCAUUAUCACAUCAAAAUAGGAUGCUUGAAAAUAAUGAGAGCAAGGUAUAAUCAUACAAGACUAUGAUUAUCAAACUACUUCAAAAUCAAAAUCCUUAAUAGAAUCAAAUCAUCAAGAUGAUGUUAGACUUUUUCAAAACAUUGAAGAAAAUCUAAGCCAAAGUUCCAAUCACCAAGAAAUAUGCAUAAAAGAUAGUUGCCGGCCAAAGACCUUAAAUGUAAUCACUAAGGAAUAAGAAUUGAUUUUAGAAUUAUUUAUUAAGGUUAAAGAUUCUUCAAUAAAAACAUAAUUAUGUGAAAUUUGUAAGAAAUCUAUUUCUAAACUAGAAAUGAAAAAAAAAACUAUAAAACCUUACAACAUCGAUGAAAUCUUGACAAGAUUUAACUAUAAUUCCCUAAAAAAGUGAUUAUUAAAGAUCUUCAAUAGGAAAUAUGAUGAUGUUAGAAGUUAGAGAAUUAAGACAAUAAACCAACAUAUGUUUAACAAACCUUCAAGAACAAAUUAAUUAGAUAGUAAGUAAUAAGAAUUAAUAUAUCCUAAAAUCCUUAUAAGUUAAUGAAGAUUUAUCACACUUAUAUCUCAAUGUUAUAAAUAAGGUCAUCUUUAAAAAAUGCAAUGUUUCCCUAACAAUUGUGAUUAACAAUGAGUUCAUCGCUAAGAUUACUUGCUGUCUUAAUAGAUUCAGGAGUAGCUUCUUUAUGGCAUGCUAAUAGGUCAAACUUAAGAUUAGCUACAAAUUGUCUAAGGCUCAUAUCAAUAAUCAAGGGGUGCACACAACAUCUAAUUUGGUAUAAGAUUUAAGAGAAGAAAUAUUCUUGGAAUGCCCUUUUUAAUUGUCUACCCUAUCACUAGAGUAGAUGGUCAAGGUAUAAGACUAAACUCUUAAAUCAAGAGACUCUUAUUGAAUUUGCAUAUCCUCUAAAAAGAAACCUAAAUAAAUUAAGAUCCUUGAUUAUUUCUAACAAAAAUACAGGCUAAGGAUAAUCAUAUCAUUUUUUUAGUUCAAGAAGUUAGAUCUAAGAGAAUUGAAGAACAAUUGGAAGUUAAAAAGACUCAAGAUGCUAUCCAAUAAUUCAAAGAAAAGUUGGUUAGAGAAGCCCAUCCUAAAUUCCCUAAUGUAUUUUGGCAUAGGGAUGAACAUGUUAUAGAACUACCUUACAACCUAGAAUUUAGGGAAAAUGAUAUUCCCACUAAGGCAAGACCAAUUCAAAUGAUUCAAAAACCAUUGAGAUAUUAUGAAAAGGAAAUUUAAGAACUCUUUGAUAAAAAAUUAAUAAAGAAUCUAAAUCUCCUUGAAGUUGUGUAUGCGCAAAUUUCGUGAAGUCUUGCAAAACAACCAAAAACUAUAGGAAAAAUAUAUGUGAUAAAAACUUUAUAUUAAAAUUAAUUGAUUGUGCGGUACUAACUCAAAUAUAAUAUUCUUUACAAAAGAAUAUUUUCCCUUUGAUUCAUUCACUUUUAUUACAAUCCUAAAGAUGAUGACAAGAGUCUUUUCUUGAUUUUUGAAAAUCAAUCCAAGGCCUAGAGUGGUUUUUUCUCGAAUGAACUUGUUAAAUGGUGAAAAACACAUAUGCAGUACUUUUGCAUUUUCUCAUACUUGCAGGGAGAUUUUAUAAAAUCUUUUUUUUUCUCUGUAAAGCUUUUUUUCCUAUGUGAAGUCCUUUUGCCAAUCUCUCUUUUCCUUGAAAGAAGUCACCUUUAUUUAUAUGUGAAAAUAGGAAAUUAAAUUUUGAAUUUCAAGAUUUGAUUACUUCAUUCAAGGAAUUUGGUUCCUUGAUUGUUCUCAUAACUUUUCUCCUUCCUCGCUAAAGUUUUGUCAACAAGAUAAUAUCUAUUAUUUGGUUGGAGAUUUUUGCUCCCUUUUUUUAGGAAAUUUGUUAAAAAGAGAAUAUCUAUUUCAACUUCUCUUCGAUUAGAAGACUUAAUUUCAUAGUCUUCCAAAUUUUACUACGUGUUACCUUCUGAGUUGCAUGCCACAUGUCUCAUGACUUGUCAAGCCUAAAUUUUGUUGAAAUAUGAAGUUACAAUUUUGAAGUCCUAUUUAAUGGUAAUUUAAUCCACUAAAAAUUUGGAUAGCUACAAAUUUCUCUAUUGUUUAUGUUAAAAAAACAAACAAAAUUUGAAAGAGGAACACCUAGGCUUGUGAUUAGUUACAAACCCCUUAAUGAAGCCUUAAGAUGGAUUAGGUAUCAUAUUCCAAAUAAGAUAGACCUUCUUCAGAGAUUAGCUAAGUGUAGGAUAUUCUCUAAGUUUGACGUGAAAUCAAGCUUUUUUGGCAAAUCCAGAUCAUAGAAAAAAAAACCAUGUAUAAACCAACUUUUACAAUACCAUUUGGACAUUAUGAAUGGAAUUUAGUAUCGUUUGGUCUUUAAAAUGUCCUCUCAUAAUUUCAAAACAUUAUGAGGCAACUGUCCUAAUGAUGAACUCAUUGUUAAUUACAAUUGUUAGGAAAAUAUUUCAUUUUUGAAAGAUAACCCUAUUUAUAACAUUGAGAUACGAGUCUGAUGAACCUUCAUUGACUUUUGAGGAUUCUAAGAUAUCUUGAUUUUUAUUACUUAAGAUCUUAUGAAUUUUUUCUUGAAGGUCACUUAAACUUGUGUUGGUGUAUUGUCUUAAUUCUUGAACCUCUAUGCGUGCGUGCAUGCGUCGGUGGGUGCGUGCGUGUUCUCAUAACAAUUGCAGCAGCUCUUGCAUCUAGCCCUGAAGUUGGCUCAUCCAUGAAUAUUAUUGAGGGAUUUGCGACAAGCUCAACUGCAAUGGUCAGCCUCUUGCGCUGCUCGGUUGAGAGACUAUUUACACCUGGCAACCCAACUAGUGCAUCCCUCAAUGGGGUCAGUUCCACGAGCUCCAUGACUUCCUCAAUGAACAUCUGUAACCAUUAGCAAGGAUUAGAAAUUGUUUGAACCAGCACUUUUCCCCAGAGUGAAGCUCAACCAAUUUUGAAAAAUCUGGAAACAACUCAGGAAAGUCUCACCAUUUUGGUUUUAGCAUCCACAUCAGGAGACAACCGCAACCAACCUGAGUAGAGCAAGGACUCAUGGAUAGUAACAUAAGGAGAGUGGAUGUCAUUCUGCUCACAGUAUCCAGAAAUUUGAGCAAAAGUCUCUUGCUUCUUUGGGUAGCCAGAAAUGCUGAUGUUUCCCUCAAUAUAUCCACCAGUUUUCCGACCAGCCAAUACAUCCAUGAGAGUGGUUUUACCAGCGCCACUAACACUCAUCAGAGCUGUUAGAACACCAGGCCUGGAAGCACCACUCACCCCCUUUAGAAGCUCCAAUUUGUCUUCAAGGACACCUUGACUUUUCAUUUCCUACAAAUUCAAUUCAAACAACUUGGUUCUCAUUUUUGGUUUAUUAGUUCAGUAACAAAACUUCAGUGGAGCUAGUGUUAGAAAUUUACAUGCUAUAUUCGAUUCCAAUAUGCUUGCAACAUGAAUCAAAACCGAAAAGACUAAGAAUAGUCUACUUACCUCCAGCCAUUGUAGUUGGUUUCAAAAACCCAGAUUUCCAAACUCUAAUCUCUCCUUUUUUUAGAUGGUGUUUUUCUGAAGAUAAUAGCAGAGUGAGUUCGGGACCAUUUUCUGAAAAAAUUUAUAACAGUGGCUUCCAUCAAACCACGUUGCCUCUUGCCACCAUGUUGAGCAGUUGGUGGAACGUGUUCCUUAAUCGUAGCGGAAGUGAGAUGGUGGAAGACUUGGUCAAAGUGUUGGACCAUAUCAUGAAGUGAGAACGUGUGAACUCACACGUGUAUUCAACUUACAUUCUCCCACUUGGUCCACACCUUUAACCUAAUGUCCUAAUUUAGUCCAUCAAUUGUCCCAUUAAGUAACAAAUACAUGAAUCAUGGUGAUAAGUCCUCUAUUUAACGAGUGUUACCUUCCAUGUAUUACAAUGUACUCAUUUCUUAACAUUAUACUUUAUGUGGCAAUAUUACUUAAUGAAUAAACCCUAUGUUCAUUCUUGGUCCAAUGAAGUUGAAUUUUCUCAAAAUUAAAUAAAAAGUGCGCAUCAAUAUGAGAAAACAUCAUAAUAAGAGUUUGUACAAUAGAAACUACAUAAGGGAACUAAGUCCCAUGUUCACUACAUGAUCCUUGAAUUUCAAUGGUGGCAUGCCCUUAGUCAAAGGAUCAGCGAUCAUCAAUUCAGUGCUAAUGUGCUCAAUAACCACUUUCUUUUCUUUAACACAUUCUCUUAUGGCUAGAUACUUAAUGUCGAUAUGUUUGCUUCGACUUCCACUUUUAUUGUUCUUCGCCAUAAAGACUGCAGCUGAAUUGUCGCAAUAUAUACUCAAUGGCCUAGAUAUUGAAUCCAUAACUCUAAGCCCGGAAAUGAAACUCUUAAGCCAUACACCAUGUGAAGUAGCCUCAAAACAAGAUAUGAACUCAGCUUCCAUAGUAGAAGUAGCAGUCAUGGUCUGCUUAACGCUCCUCCAAGAUAUAGCUCCACCGGCCAAUAUAAAAAUGUAUCCAGAUGUUGAUUUACGUGAAUCAACACAGCCAGCAAAGUCUGAAUCUGAGUAGCCAACUACCUCUAAAUUGCUUGUUCGUCUGUACAUAAGCUUGUAAUCUUUGGUUCCUUGAAGAUAUCUCAUCACUUUCUUUGCAGCUUUCCAGUGGUCUAUACCUGGGUUACUCUGAUAUCGUCCUAACAUUCCAACAGCAAAUGCAAUGUCAGGCCUUGUGCAGACCUGAGCAUACAUCAAACUUCCGACUGCAGGUGCAUAUGGAAUGUUCUUCAUUUGUUCCCUCUCAAGAUCGUUUUUCGGGCAUUGGUCCAGAUUGAACCUAUCACCCUUCACUAUAGGAGAAAUACUAGGUGAACAAUUCUUCAUCCGAAAUCUCUCUAAAACUUUAUUGAUAUAGGUUUCUUGAGACACACCUAAGAUACCUUUAAAUCUGUCUCUAUGGAUCUUAAUGCCAAUGACAUAAGAUGCCUCGCCCAUAUCCUUCAUGUCGAAAUUUUUAGAGAGGAAUUGUUUUACCUCAUGAAGUAAACCCUUAUCAUUGGUUGCAAGUAAGAUGUCAUCCACGUAUAAAACAAGAAAACAAACUUUACUCCCACUGACCUUAAGGUAUAUGCAUUGAUCCAUAACAUUUUCAACAAAACCGAAUGAAGAAAUUAUGUUAUGGAAUUUUAAAUACCAUUGGCGGGAUGCUUGCUUCAAACCGUAUAUGGAUUUCUUAAGCUUACAAACCAAUUGCUCACCAUCACUAGAGGGGAAUCCUUCAGGUUGUUUCAUGUAAACCUCCUCCUCUAGCUCCCCAUUAAGAAAUGCUGUUUUCACAUCCAUUUGUUGCAAUUCUAAAUCAAAGUGGGCUACUAAUGCCAAUAUAAUGCGCAAGGAAUCUUUCUUAGAUACAGGAGAAAAGGUUUCCGUGUAAUCGAUUCCUUCUUUCUGAGUGAACCCCUUUGCAACAAGUCUGGCCUUGUAUCUCUCAAUGUUGCCUAAUGAGUCUUUCUUUGUCUUAAAAACCCAUUUACAACCAAUGGUUUUUGCACCAUUAGGCAACUCAACAAGGUCCCAAACAUCGUUGCACUUCAUGGAACUCAUCUCAUCCUUCAUGGCAUUGUACCACAAUUCUGAUUCUUUACAACUCAUGGCUUGUGAAAAAGAUUCGGGAUCAUUUUCGGCUCCUAUAUUGUAGUCACAUUCCUGUAGAUACACUACAUAAUCAUUAGGAAUUGCUGACCUCUUAGUUCGAGUAGACCUUCUUAAGGUUGCACCAAUAUCUUCUAAGGAAGUAUGAGGUUCAACUUGUUGUCCAGAAGUAUCAGGAAUCUCCUGAUCAACUUGAUCUACUGGAAUGUUGUCAACAGCUUGUGGAACUUCAACAACUGGUUGAACUUCAGUGAUUGUUCGUUCUACACCCGAUUGUACUUGAGGGGUGUUAUGAACAAUAAACAAUCUAUCACUUGAAGUGGAAGGUUGAGACUCUGUAUGAUCAAUAUCAGAAACUAUGUUUCUAAAUUGAUCGCUCCCACUGACCAAGUCAUAUUCAAGAAAUUUAGCAUUUCUCGAUUCCACAAUCCUAGUGCUGUGAGAUGGACAGUAAAAUCUGUACCCCUUAGACUUUUCAGCAUAUCCAAUGAAAUACCCACUAAUAGUCCUUGGGUCCAGUUUCUUCUCUUGUGGAUUAUAAAUUCUCACUUCAGACGAGCAUCCCCAAACGCGCAUAUGUCGCAAACUCGGUUUCCAACCUUUCAAUAACUCAAAUGGCGUCUUUGGGACAGCCUUGGUUGGAACUCGGUUUAAUAUAUACACAGCUNNNNNNNNNNNNNNNNNNNNNNNNNNNNNNNNNNNNNNNNNNNNNNNNNNNNNNNNNNNNNNNNNNNNNNNNNNNNNNNNNNNNNNNNNNNNNNNNNNNNNNNNNNNNNNNNNNNNNNNNNNNNNNNNNNNNNNNNNNNNNNNNNNNNNNNNNNNNNNNNNNNNNNNNNNNNNNNNNNNNNNNNNNNNNNNNNNNNNNNNNNNNNNNNNNNNNNNNNNNNNNNNNNNNNNNNNNNNNNNNNNNNNNNNNNNNNNNNNNNNNNNNNNNNNNNNNNNNNNNNNNNNNNNNNNNNNNNNNNNNNNNNNNNNNNNNNNNNNNNNNNNNNNNNNNNNNNNNNNNNNNNNNNNNNNNNNNNNNNNNNNNNNNNNNNNNNNNNNNNNNNNNNNNNNNNNNNNNNNNNNNNNNNNNNNNNNNNNNNNNNNNNNNNNNNNNNNNNNNNNNNNNNNNNNNNNNNNNNNNNNNNNNNNNNNNNNNNNNNNNNNNNNNNNNNNNNNNNNNNNNNNNNNNNNNNNNNNNNNNNNNNNNNNNNNNNNNNNNNNNNNNNNNNNNNNNNNNNNNNNNNNNNNNNNNNNNNNNNNNNNNNNNNNNNNNNNNNNNNNNNNNNNNNNNNNNNNNNNNNNNNNNNNNNNNNNNNNNNNNNNNNNNNNNNNNNNNNNNNNNNNNNNNNNNNNNNNNNNNNNNNNNNNNNNNNNNNNNNNNNNNNNNNNNNNNNNNNNNNNNNNNNNNNNNNNNNNNNNNNNNNNNNNNNNNNNNNNNNNNNNNNNNNNNNNNNNNNNNNNNNNNNNNNNNNNNNNNNNNNNNNNNNNNNNNNNNNNNNNNNNNNNNNNNNNNNNNNNNNNNNNNNNNNNNNNNNNNNNNNNNNNNNNNNNNNNNNNNNNNNNNNNNNNNNNNNNNNNNNNNNNNNNNNNNNNNNNNNNNNNNNNNNNNNNNNNNNNNNNNNNNNNNNNNNNNNNNNNNNNNNNNNNNNNNNNNNNNNNNNNNNNNNNNNNNNNNNNNNNNNNNNNNNNNNNNNNNNNNNNNNNNNNNNNNNNNNNNNNNNNNNNNNNNNNNNNNNNNNNNNNNNNNNNNNNNNNNNNNNNNNNNNNNNNNNNNNNNNNNNNNNNNNNNNNNNNNNNNNNNNNNNNNNNNNNNNNNNNNNNNNNNNNNNNNNNNNNNNNNNNNNNNNNNNNNNNNNNNNNNNNNNNNNNNNNNNNNNNNNNNNNNNNNNNNNNNNNNNNNNNNNNNNNNNNNNNNNNNNNNNNNNNNNNNNNNNNNNNNNNNNNNNNNNNNNNNNNNNNNNNNNNNNNNNNNNNNNNNNNNNNNNNNNNNNNNNNNNNNNNNNNNNNNNNNNNNNNNNNNNNNNNNNNNNNNNNNNNNNNNNNNNNNNNNNNNNNNNNNNNNNNNNNNNNNNNNNNNNNNNNNNNNNNNNNNNNNNNNNNNNNNNNNNNNNNNNNNNNNNNNNNNNNNNNNNNNNNNNNNNNNNNNNNNNNNNNNNNNNNNNNNNNNNNNNNNNNNNNNNNNNNNNNNNNNNNNNNNNNNNNNNNNNNNNNNNNNNNNNNNNNNNNNNNNNNNNNNNNNNNNNNNNNNNNNNNNNNNNNNNNNNNNNNNNNNNNNNNNNNNNNNNNNNNNNNNNNNNNNNNNNNNNNNNNNNNNNNNNNNNNNNNNNNNNNNNNNNNNNNNNNNNNNNNNNNNNNNNNNNNNNNNNNNNNNNNNNNNNNNNNNNNNNNNNNNNNNNNNNNNNNNNNNNNNNNNNNNNNNNNNNNNNNNNNNNNNNNNNNNNNNNNNNNNNNNNNNNNNNNNNNNNNNNNNNNNNNNNNNNNNNNNNNNNNNNNNNNNNNNNNNNNNNNNNNNNNNNNNNNNNNNNNNNNNNNNNNNNNNNNNNNNNNNNNNNNNNNNNNNNNNNNNNNNNNNNNNNNNNNNNNNNNNNNNNNNNNNNNNNNNNNNNNNNNNNNNNNNNNNNNNNNNNNNNNNNNNNNNNNNNNNNNNNNNNNNNNNNNNNNNNNNNNNNNNNNNNNNNNNNNNNNNNNNNNNNNNNNNNNNNNNNNNNNNNNNNNNNNNNNNNNNNNNNNNNNNNNNNNNNNNNNNNNNNNNNNNNNNNNNNNNNNNNNNNNNNNNNNNNNNNNNNNNNNNNNNNNNNNNNNNNNNNNNNNNNNNNNNNNNNNNNNNNNNNNNNNNNNNNNNNNNNNNNNNNNNNNNNNNNNNNNNNNNNNNNNNNNNNNNNNNNNNNNNNNNNNNNNNNNNNNNNNNNNNNNNNNNNNNNNNNNNNNNNNNNNNNNNNNNNNNNNNNNNNNNNNNNNNNNNNNNNNNNNNNNNNNNNNNNNNNNNNNNNNNNNNNNNNNNNNNNNNNNNNNNNNNNNNNNNNNNNNNNNNNNNNNNNNNNNNNNNNNNNNNNNNNNNNNNNNNNNNNNNNNNNNNNNNNNNNNNNNNNNNNNNNNNNNNNNNNNNNNNNNNNNNNNNNNNNNNNNNNNNNNNNNNNNNNNNNNNNNNNNNNNNNNNNNNNNNNNNNNNNNNNNNNNNNNNNNNNNNNNNNNNNNNNNNNNNNNNNNNNNNNNNNNNNNNNNNNNNNNNNNNNNNNNNNNNNNNNNNNNNNNNNNNNNNNNNNNNNNNNNNNNNNNNNNNNNNNNNNNNNNNNNNNNNNNNNNNNNNNNNNNNNNNNNNNNNNNNNNNNNNNNNNNNNNNNNNNNNNNNNNNNNNNNNNNNNNNNNNNNNNNNNNNNNNNNNNNNNNNNNNNNNNNNNNNNNNNNNNNNNNNNNNNNNNNNNNNNNNNNNNNNNNNNNNNNNNNNNNNNNNNNNNNNNNNNNNNNNNNNNNNNNNNNNNNNNNNNNNNNNNNNNNNNNNNNNNNNNNNNNNNNNNNNNNNNNNNNNNNNNNNNNNNNNNNNNNNNNNNNNNNNNNNNNNNNNNNNNNNNNNNNNNNNNNNNNNNNNNNNNNNNNNNNNNNNNNNNNNNNNNNNNNNNNNNNNNNNNNNNNNNNNNNNNNNNNNNNNNNNNNNNNNNNNNNNNNNNNNNNNNNNNNNNNNNNNNNNNNNNNNNNNNNNNNNNNNNNNNNNNNNNNNNNNNNNNNNNNNNNNNNNNNNNNNNNNNNNNNNNNNNNNNNNNNNNNNNNNNNNNNNNNNNNNNNNNNNNNNNNNNNNNNNNNNNNNNNNNNNNNNNNNNNNNNNNNNNNNNNNNNNNNNNNNNNNNNNNNNNNNNNNNNNNNNNNNNNNNNNNNNNNNNNNNNNNNNNNNNNNNNNNNNNNNNNNNNNNNNNNNNNNNNNNNNNNNNNNNNNNNNNNNNNNNNNNNNNNNNNNNNNNNNNNNNNNNNNNNNNNNNNNNNNNNNNNNNNNNNNNNNNNNNNNNNNNNNNNNNNNNNNNNNNNNNNNNNNNNNNNNNNNNNNNNNNNNNNNNNNNNNNNNNNNNNNNNNNNNNNNNNNNNNNNNNNNNNNNNNNNNNNNNNNNNNNNNNNNNNNNNNNNNNNNNNNNNNNNNNNNNNNNNNNNNNNNNNNNNNNNNNNNNNNNNNNNNNNNNNNNNNNNNNNNNNNNNNNNNNNNNNNNNNNNNNNNNNNNNNNNNNNNNNNNNNNNNNNNNNNNNNNNNNNNNNNNNNNNNNNNNNNNNNNNNNNNNNNNNNNNNNNNNNNNNNNNNNNNNNNNNNNNNNNNNNNNNNNNNNNNNNNNNNNNNNNNNNNNNNNNNNNNNNNNNNNNNNNNNNNNNNNNNNNNNNNNNNNNNNNNNNNNNNNNNNNNNNNNNNNNNNNNNNNNNNNNNNNNNNNNNNNNNNNNNNNNNNNNNNNNNNNNNNNNNNNNNNNNNNNNNNNNNNNNNNNNNNNNNNNNNNNNNNNNNNNNNNNNNNNNNNNNNNNNNNNNNNNNNNNNNNNNNNNNNNNNNNNNNNNNNNNNNNNNNNNNNNNNNNNNNNNNNNNNNNNNNNNNNNNNNNNNNNNNNNNNNNNNNNNNNNNNNNNNNNNNNNNNNNNNNNNNNNNNNNNNNNNNNNNNNNNNNNNNNNNNNNNNNNNNNNNNNNNNNNNNNNNNNNNNNNNNNNNNNNNNNNNNNNNNNNNNNNNNNNNNNNNNNNNNNNNNNNNNNNNNNNNNNNNNNNNNNNNNNNNNNNNNNNNNNNNNNNNNNNNNNNNNNNNNNNNNNNNNNNNNNNNNNNNNNNNNNNNNNNNNNNNNNNNNNNNNNNNNNNNNNNNNNNNNNNNNNNNNNNNNNNNNNNNNNNNNNNNNNNNNNNNNNNNNNNNNNNNNNNNNNNNNNNNNNNNNNNNNNNNNNNNNNNNNNNNNNNNNNNNNNNNNNNNNNNNNNNNNNNNNNNNNNNNNNNNNNNNNNNNNNNNNNNNNNNNNNNNNNNNNNNNNNNNNNNNNNNNNNNNNNNNNNNNNNNNNNNNNNNNNNNNNNNNNNNNNNNNNNNNNNNNNNNNNNNNNNNNNNNNNNNNNNNNNNNNNNNNNNNNNNNNNNNNNNNNNNNNNNNNNNNNNNNNNNNNNNNNNNNNNNNNNNNNNNNNNNNNNNNNNNNNNNNNNNNNNNNNNNNNNNNNNNNNNNNNNNNNNNNNNNNNNNNNNNNNNNNNNNNNNNNNNNNNNNNNNNNNNNNNNNNNNNNNNNNNNNNNNNNNNNNNNNNNNNNNNNNNNNNNNNNNNNNNNNNNNNNNNNNNNNNNNNNNNNNNNNNNNNNNNNNNNNNNNNNNNNNNNNNNNNNNNNNNNNNNNNNNNNNNNNNNNNNNNNNNNNNNNNNNNNNNNNNNNNNNNNNNNNNNNNNNNNNNNNNNNNNNNNNNNNNNNNNNNNNNNNNNNNNNNNNNNNNNNNNNNNNNNNNNNNNNNNNNNNNNNNNNNNNNNNNNNNNNNNNNNNNNNNNNNNNNNNNNNNNNNNNNNNNNNNNNNNNNNNNNNNNNNNNNNNNNNNNNNNNNNNNNNNNNNNNNNNNNNNNNNNNNNNNNNNNNNNNNNNNNNNNNNNNNNNNNNNNNNNNNNNNNNNNNNNNNNNNNNNNNNNNNNNNNNNNNNNNNNNNNNNNNNNNNNNNNNNNNNNNNNNNNNNNNNNNNNNNNNNNNNNNNNNNNNNNNNNNNNNNNNNNNNNNNNNNNNNNNNNNNNNNNNNNNNNNNNNNNNNNNNNNNNNNNNNNNNNNNNNNNNNNNNNNNNNNNNNNNNNNNNNNNNNNNNNNNNNNNNNNNNNNNNNNNNNNNNNNNNNNNNNNNNNNNNNNNNNNNNNNNNNNNNNNNNNNNNNNNNNNNNNNNNNNNNNNNNNNNNNNNNNNNNNNNNNNNNNNNNNNNNNNNNNNNNNNNNNNNNNNNNNNNNNNNNNNNNNNNNNNNNNNNNNNNNNNNNNNNNNNNNNNNNNNNNNNNNNNNNNNNNNNNNNNNNNNNNNNNNNNNNNNNNNNNNNNNNNNNNNNNNNNNNNNNNNNNNNNNNNNNNNNNNNNNNNNNNNNNNNNNNNNNNNNNNNNNNNNNNNNNNNNNNNNNNNNNNNNNNNNNNNNNNNNNNNNNNNNNNNNNNNNNNNNNNNNNNNNNNNNNNNNNNNNNNNNNNNNNNNNNNNNNNNNNNNNNNNNNNNNNNNNNNNNNNNNNNNNNNNNNNNNNNNNNNNNNNNNNNNNNNNNNNNNNNNNNNNNNNNNNNNNNNNNNNNNNNNNNNNNNNNNNNNNNNNNNNNNNNNNNNNNNNNNNNNNNNNNNNNNNNNNNNNNNNNNNNNNNNNNNNNNNNNNNNNNNNNNNNNNNNNNNNNNNNNNNNNNNNNNNNNNNNNNNNNNNNNNNNNNNNNNNNNNNNNNNNNNNNNNNNNNNNNNNNNNNNNNNNNNNNNNNNNNNNNNNNNNNNNNNNNNNNNNNNNNNNNNNNNNNNNNNNNNNNNNNNNNNNNNNNNNNNNNNNNNNNNNNNNNNNNNNNNNNNNNNNNNNNNNNNNNNNNNNNNNNNNNNNNNNNNNNNNNNNNNNNNNNNNNNNNNNNNNNNNNNNNNNNNNNNNNNNNNNNNNNNNNNNNNNNNNNNNNNNNNNNNNNNNNNNNNNNNNNNNNNNNNNNNNNNNNNNNNNNNNNNNNNNNNNNNNNNNNNNNNNNNNNNNNNNNNNNNNNNNNNNNNNNNNNNNNNNNNNNNNNNNNNNNNNNNNNNNNNNNNNNNNNNNNNNNNNNNNNNNNNNNNNNNNNNNNNNNNNNNNNNNNNNNNNNNNNNNNNNNNNNNNNNNNNNNNNNNNNNNNNNNNNNNNNNNNNNNNNNNNNNNNNNNNNNNNNNNNNNNNNNNNNNNNNNNNNNNNNNNNNNNNNNNNNNNNNNNNNNNNNNNNNNNNNNNNNNNNNNNNNNNNNNNNNNNNNNNNNNNNNNNNNNNNNNNNNNNNNNNNNNNNNNNNNNNNNNNNNNNNNNNNNNNNNNNNNNNNNNNNNNNNNNNNNNNNNNNNNNNNNNNNNNNNNNNNNNNNNNNNNNNNNNNNNNNNNNNNNNNNNNNNNNNNNNNNNNNNNNNNNNNNNNNNNNNNNNNNNNNNNNNNNNNNNNNNNNNNNNNNNNNNNNNNNNNNNNNNNNNNNNNNNNNNNNNNNNNNNNNNNNNNNNNNNNNNNNNNNNNNNNNNNNNNNNNNNNNNNNNNNNNNNNNNNNNNNNNNNNNNNNNNNNNNNNNNNNNNNNNNNNNNNNNNNNNNNNNNNNNNNNNNNNNNNNNNNNNNNNNNNNNNNNNNNNNNNNNNNNNNNNNNNNNNNNNNNNNNNNNNNNNNNNNNNNNNNNNNNNNNNNNNNNNNNNNNNNNNNNNNNNNNNNNNNNNNNNNNNNNNNNNNNNNNNNNNNNNNNNNNNNNNNNNNNNNNNNNNNNNNNNNNNNNNNNNNNNNNNNNNNNNNNNNNNNNNNNNNNNNNNNNNNNNNNNNNNNNNNNNNNNNNNNNNNNNNNNNNNNNNNNNNNNNNNNNNNNNNNNNNNNNNNNNNNNNNNNNNNNNNNNNNNNNNNNNNNNNNNNNNNNNNNNNNNNNNNNNNNNNNNNNNNNNNNNNNNNNNNNNNNNNNNNNNNNNNNNNNNNNNNNNNNNNNNNNNNNNNNNNNNNNNNNNNNNNNNNNNNNNNNNNNNNNNNNNNNNNNNNNNNNNNNNNNNNNNNNNNNNNNNNNNNNNNNNNNNNNNNNNNNNNNNNNNNNNNNNNNNNNNNNNNNNNNNNNNNNNNNNNNNNNNNNNNNNNNNNNNNNNNNNNNNNNNNNNNNNNNNNNNNNNNNNNNNNNNNNNNNNNNNNNNNNNNNNNNNNNNNNNNNNNNNNNNNNNNNNNNNNNNNNNNNNNNNNNNNNNNNNNNNNNNNNNNNNNNNNNNNNNNNNNNNNNNNNNNNNNNNNNNNNNNNNNNNNNNNNNNNNNNNNNNNNNNNNNNNNNNNNNNNNNNNNNNNNNNNNNNNNNNNNAGGUCCAUACUGAAGUGGAAGAGUGUUAAGGAUAAAGUGCACCAAGAAAGAUUCAGACAUUUCUACCUCGAGUUUCUUCAAUUGAGCCACAAUGUCCCUCAUCUCCAUGAUAUGUUCACGCACACCUCUUAUACCGGUGAGCUUCAGGGAUGUGAACUUCAUAAUUAGGGUGCUUGCCAAGGCUUUAUCUGAAGUGACGAAUUGCUCGUCAAUAGCCUUUAACAAUUCACGGACAUUCUCAUGUUGCUCGAUUGAACCACGUAUACCAGCACUGAUUUUUGUCUUAAUGUACAUCACGCUAAGGCGAUUAGAUUUCUCCCAGCGUUCGUACAAUAAAAUUUGUUCAGGUGUGCUGGUAUCAGUGAUCUUAUGCGGUUCAUCUUUCCUUAUAGCAUAAUCUAUGUCCAUGCACCCUAAUUGAAGAAGACUUCUCUCCUUCCAUAUCUUAAAAUUAUCUCCUCUAAGUUCGGGAACCUCACAACGAAUAUCAGAUAUGCUAGGUAAAACUGCACAAAAGGAUUACAAGCUUAUUAAAAAUUUGAGGCUUUAAUAUAAAUUCAUGCUUUACCAAUGUAGAACAUGCUUAAAAUUGAAUCUAAUUUUAUUAAAAAUUGCCUGUGGGCUAAAUCUUUAAUUCAAUAAGAUUCAUUAUCUUUAUAAUAGACUUUAUCAAACUAUUUUAUUAAAUCAUGAAAUUUAUUCUAAAUAUAGUUUGAUAUUUUCUGUCUAUAAUCUUUAUGAUAAACUUAUUAAAUUAAUUCUUCCUAACUCCUGUGGGUAAAUUAGAAAAAAUUAAUUUUAAUAUUUUAUCCUAAUUAAUUAUAUAAAUAUAAUGAAAACCCUGUGGGGUAAAACAUCAUAUUUAUAUAGUUAAUUACAAUUAAUAUCCAUAAUGCGAUCCUUAUUAAUAUAUAAUUUUUUUAUAUAAUUAAGGAUGCUGUGGCUAUUCCUUAAUUAUUUAAAAAAUCAUAUGGAUUCACUAGACAUUAAAAUCAUAUGAUAUAAUUUUAAUAUAUCUAACUAAAUUUUAGGCAACAAUUGCAUGCAUACUAUAUGAUAUAAUCUUAAUAUAUCUAACUAAAUUUAGUCAACAAUGUCAACAAUUGCAUGCAUACUAUAUGAUAUAAUCUUAAUAUAUCUAACUAAAUUUUAGGCAACAUUUUUACAUAUACAAACAUAUAAAGCAGUAUAUAAUUAUUUAUUUUGCAUGUAUAAAAUUUACAUGAUAAUUUUAAAGGUAUGAAUGAGUGCCUAAAUACAAAUAAAACACAAUUAAUUCCAUGCCCAAUAUAGUUAAAAUAAAAAAUUCAAAUCGGGCCAAAAAGAGCAUAAACUGGCCCAAUUUUUACAUUUAUACAUGGCCUAACAUUUAAUGUCUUUUAUCUUUGCAAAAUGGGCCACUGUCCAUGCUUUGAAUCCAAUGGGCCCAAUAGCCAGUUAUUUAAAAGCCCAUAACCUUAGUGGAGCCCCAUCUUAUUUUAUGAUUUCUCACUAUUUUAAUAUCACCUGCAACCCAAAACCCAAGAUCCUAUUUUUCUGCCACUUAGUGGACUGCUUCAAUACCGGCAGCGACGUUCUCGCCGCCACCCACGUGGACUGCACCCUUGCUGGAUGCAGUCCAAGCCAUGAAGCCGUCUGCAGUGCUUCAACACGGCAUGUGAACGACGACUUGCAGCCCAAAAAAAUGGCGUUUCCAAUGGCGCCUGAACGGCGCUGAGAUGGUGGCUAAGGUGCGCCUUAAAUGGAGCCUGAACGACGCCUAGUAACAGCGCUUGAACGGCGCUGGUUGUAGCCCCAAAAAAUGGCACUUCAACGCGCCUGAAUGGCGCCUGAAAAUUGGUGCUACAAUGGCGCAUGUUGCAGUCCAGAAAAUUGCAUUUCAACGCGCCUGAAAAUUGGCGCUGGUAUGGCGCUGCAAUGGGGCUGGUUGCAGCCCCAAAAAUGGCAGCUGAACAGCGCCAGGUAUGGGGCCUAAAGCGCAUCUAAAAUGGCACCUGAAACGGAGUCACUGGUGCGCCUGAAAAUGACGCCUUAAUAGCGCUGCUGGAGCGCCAGAAAAUGGCAUCUUUUGAACGCCUGUAAUGGCCUUUUUUAUAAAUGAAUGAUGCCAACUAUAUAUAUAUGGAUCUCCAACAACAAUAGUUUAAAUAAUUAUCAAGAGAUCAUAAAACAAGAAUUUUUUCACUCAGAAAUCAUACAAAGCAGAGGCAAGAUUUAUGGCUCUGAUACCAAAUGUUAGAAAUUUACAUGCUAUAUUCGAUUCCACUAUGCUUGCAACAUGAAUCAAAACCGAAAAGACUAAGAAUAGUCUACUUACCUCCAGCCAUUGUAGUUGGUUUCAAAAACCCAGAUUUCCAAACUCUGAUCUCUCCUUUUUUUAGAUGGUGUUUUUCUGAAGAUAAUAGCAGAGUGAGUUCGGGACAAUUUUCUGAAAAAAUUUAUAACAGUGGCUUCCAUCAAACCACGUUGCCUCUUGCCACCAUGUUGAGCAGUUGGUGGAACGUGCUCCUUAAUCGUAGCGGAAGUGAGAUGGUGGAAGACUUGGUCAAAGUAUUGGACCAUAUCAUGAAGUGAGAACGUGUGAACUCACACGUGUAUUCAACUUACAGCUAGAACAUGCAAAUUAUUUGCACAAAUAUGAAGUUACCUCUGGCAUGUCAACUGAGUAUCUAAUAUCAUCAAAGGUGAUAGAAUGUGAUUGGAAUGGAAGAACCAUCCAUCCCUUUUUUUCUUGUUAUGGUUAACCUCAACAAUCGCUUUUGCCAUCACAGAUGAGGAUGCGGACGAGAUACUUCUCCCAAUUUCCUCUCCACUCUCUGCAAGUUAAGUUUAAAUUUAGAGAGCCAUAUAAUACAUGCAGUUAACUGACAACAAUGCGUAUGUGUGCGUGCAUGCGUAUGUGCGUGUGUGUACUUUAAUUUGGCAUCUAUCGGUGAAUCAAAUGUCAAAUUUUCAUCCAUUUAUUGAAAACUGAUUUUGUUUUGAGGUUAGUAGGGUGCAUAACACCUUCCCACUAGACCACUAGUCACAUGCUAUUUUCUUUCUUAUUUUGUUUCUAAACUAAGUGAUAAAUCCAAACUAAAAUAAAAACGAGUUUUUAAAAAUCAAACAUUCAUUUUUCCAUGGAGUCAGAGUCUCUCCAAGGGAUGUAUCAUCACCUCUUUUUUGAGAACUGCAGGCCCACACGGGUCGUGUUUACCAUCCCUCACUAGUAUUCCCUAUCCCCCCGGUAACAUCAGUUAUCCCUUUCUGGAGCUAAGUAUCCCCCAGCGCAAUGUGGUAUCUACAACAACUGUCAUUAUAUCCCUUAAUUUCUGUGAAAGGCAUUGAUGAAAAUAUCGGUAAUCACGAAUAUAUUGGUAUUUCAAUUUUACAGAUAUAUCGGAAAUAUAUAGACAGAUAUUUUGGGAAAAAAAUUUAGGUAGUCUAAAGUUGAUCAAAACUUAUGAAAAUAUUGAGAAAAAUUCUAAAAAUGAUAUAAUAAACCAUAAUAUACAUUUUAAAGUUAUUUAAAAAUAAAUAAAUAAUAUAUGCAUAUAACAUAAUUAAUUAUAUUUGAUAAUAAUAUUGUAUGCAUCCAUAAAAAAAAAUAUGAAUUUUAUAAAUUUAUUAAAUUACAUCAAAUGUUAUUUGACAAUAAUAUUAUGAUAUUUGAUUAUAAUAUAUCUCACUUUAAAAUUAUAAUUUAUUUAAUUUCAAUUAUAUUAAAUAAUAUAAAAUAAAUGAUGAUAUAUGUAUAAUUAUUUUUAAUAUUUAUAUUUUUAUAUUUAAUUAAUAUAUAAAUUAUAUAAAAAAAGGAUUAAGAAAAUUAUAAUGAUAGACUUCAUAUUUUUAGUGAUUAAUUAAAUGAAAUUUUAAAAUAAAAUAAUUAGAACUAAUUUGUUUAUGGAAAUAAUUUUUUAUAGUUUUAUUAUAUAUUUGUCUGGUGCAUAGUAUUUAACAAAUGGGUAGUUAGCCCGGUGGUCAUGCAAGGAAAGACUUGGUUUGUUUUUGGGUUAGGCGGUUGAGUCCGCGCCCACAUGCACAAUUGCACAAUUUUGAAGCUUUGACAGCACAUUGACCAGACCGAAAAAUCGCUUCACUGGAUUUUCGCUUGCUUAUUUCGUGUCGCCAGUUGCCGACAGAAGAAAUUUUGGGGAAAUUUCGACGAAAUUUUUCGAAAUUUUCAUCAAUGGUGAAGAGGCAGUUGGGCAUAUUGCCCAACAUAGCCAUGGUAAGGCUUAUUAUGAGCAUUUUGCAGUUUGGUUUCUGUGUACAAACAGCUCUUCUAAUGCAGAGAAGACCGUGUUCCGAAGCUAGAAGGAACUUUGUAAUUAUAAACUUGUAUGAAAGAACUGCACUCUUCAUGUGCAAGUACAAACCCUUCCUCUUUUAGCCCUCAACUAGCAACUUUGGGAGCUCCUAGAGAAGAACACACUACUAUAAUUCAUUUUACUUAUAUAGAGUUCAGAGUGUGCACUUAAUUCAUAACAAGACAAUUAAAGGAAAGAUAUGGAAAGUAAUGACUAAUGAUAAAUAGACAUGUACAUAAUUCUCAUCACUGUAUCUUACUGCCUAUGGAGGUUUAUGGAAAGGAAUAUUGAUUUUGAUUUGAAUGUCAUUUUUUGUACAUUUAAAAAAAAAAAAAAUUGAAGUCGGAGUCACUAGAGUCUAGUGAUGGAAAAUAUGAUACAGAUUAGUGAUUGCAGUGGACAUGAUGCCAAAAUGAUAGCAGUCACCUUCUCAAUUUAGUAUUUCUAUUUUGUAGCAUUUGCAGUCUUUUCCAUUGGAAUUUCUUUUUCCUUUACUUUUAUCAGGAUACUAUAAAACUCUACCUCUGACUUGGUCCCCGUGUUUGGCAUUGUACUAUUAAAACACACACUGCAUUCAAAUCCAUUCAAAUUGCAGGCUUUGUAUGAAGAGACUUGGCUUUGUUCAUGGAGAUUACUUGAGUUCAAUGCUGAGUUUGAGCAGCAAACCUGGCUCCCUUGAGUCCUAGAGUUCUCAAUGUGACUUUUACAGAGUCAGAUGAUCCCCUGCAUGUCUUUCACCCUUGUUUAGAUGACGAGAAAAUUAGAAGAAAAGGUUUUACAAACUCACCACUAAGCAAGGAUUCGUGCAGAAUUUGUUAUGGGAUGAUGCACACUAAGCAAGGCUUCCAAAAUUCUGAACAAUCAAAGCAAGUGAAAAACAUUCAGAAUAUGACAGAUUUUGAAAUUAUUAUCGCCUAGAUUCAACUACUCAAGAAAUUUGAUGAGUUUUUGAGCUUGGAAGAGUCGUAAAUUUGGAAGGCAGUGAUUCUACAAUUCAAAGUAUAACUGCUUCAUCUGGAUAUGAUCAUCAGGACACCACUGUAUGAGCACCAAACAUUCUUUCAUUGAAUGAGUUGAAUACUAGGAAAACUGAACUACUUCUCUUCAUGGGUCAAGCAUAUAACUAGAAAUGGGAUCUGUAAGUGCAGUCAUGGAACUGCUGGAGAUACCUCUGAACUUUCUGAAGAAGGCCAAAACUUUUCUUUUUGCUAGCUCAAGUCUAAAUUUAAUAGUAUUUCAAACCCUGCCCCACAUACACACUUGUUGGUCUUGAAACCAUACUAUUUUCAUGCUGAUACCUGUCUUUAUGAUUUCAGCAGCUUAAAGCAGAGACUGAAACUGGAGCACCAUACCGGUAAGUUGGUCAUCAACAUGAAAGGAUUGCAUAAGGUUAUAUUAUUGUCUUGAAUUUCAAAUUUCAAAAUACAAAAAAAUAGGAGAAAACAAAAUACAAUAAAAUUGGGAGAAAACAAAAUACAAGAAUUUAACAAGAUAAAUACUACCCUCUAUGAUGCUCUCUAACAGCAUAUAGACAUAGACCAAAACUUUUUUUCAUCUGUGAAGAACUUGUGCUGUUAUCGCCUUUGGAAGUUAAAUGCCUUAAUGGCAAAGGCAAAGAUAAAUAAGAAAAGCACCGUAAACCCAACAAUCACAACUGCAACCACUCCGAGGAAAUCAUGUUUGAAUCCAAAAUAGUCAUCCAAGUAUUGUUUCACUGUUACAUUUGAGUCAAGUAGUGUGUCCUCGAUAUCUCCAAACUGUGAUGUAACCAAUCCAUACAAACUCCAUGCAACUGGACAUGCCCAAUAGUACCAUCUCCACCACACAGGAAUCCUCUGUAUUCAUCAUGGAAGAAAUGCAACAAAAUGAGACCGUUUCUGUAUCCAUGUGCUAAAGAAAGUUGCAAUUUAAAGAAUUAUGGGUUGAGAGCACUUACAUUUCGUGGGACUAUAAAACCUGAGAAGAGGUUCCAUAAUGUAUAAAAUGAUGAGGCAACGAUGGCAGCAAUAUGUUGAUUUGGUGUGGCAGCCACAGCCAUCAUGCCAUAAAAGGUGAAGUAUAAUAAGCUGAAGAACAUGAAGAACAGAUACCAGAAGAACUUAGCAGCUGUCCAUUCAAAUCCAAUCAUUGCAUAAACUAUAACACCAUACACCACAGCUUGUGAAAAGACAUAAGGUAUCUCAACUAAAGCCUGAAAGAAGAGAUGAAAUUUGAUUAAUAAAACCCAUAAAGUAUUAGAGAUAUACGAAGUCUAUAGCAUAAGAAAACUAAUUACCUGUGCAAAGGCAUAUGGCAUGGCUGAAUACAUUCCUGCAGCUCUUUCUCUGUAAAAGACUGUCCGUUCAACUGCCACGACUGGUUGCACCGAUUGGCCAUUCUGAAACCCAAGGAAGAGAACAGCGGCAUACAUAGAGCCCAUUGCAUUAGAUAUAUCUUGUUGUCUUGUCCUGCAUUUGCCAAUGUGAAGUAAAAAAUUAAAGUUGAUAUGGAGAAGCAUACUGAGUUCUCAAAAUUCUGAACUGACUUCAAACUACCUUUUGGUGCCGAGAUCCCAGAACAUUGUCCCAAACAUCAAGGCUACGAAAGUUGUGAAGAAAAAUCUCACUGCCGUGUAUGGUGGAUUUCGCCAGUAUGACAAACGUUGUUUCCAUAAGCAUGCCAUACACUGGGUGAAGAAGGACUGGGAGUAUUGAGUAGGGAAAUAGAGGUCCUUAGAACCAGGGGUAGGUUGGCUCAAUUCUUUAAUUAAAUCUUUGUUUCUCCUGAAACAUAUGCCACAUCUUAGAAAAGGCUUCAACAACAAAUUCAAGCUUGCAUGAUGAACUUUGAGAUGGCUGUAUAUGACAUUUCAAUAUCAUAAAGCAUUCAGAUAUCCUAUAGUUGAAUCACCUGUAUAGGUCUGACUUUUCGUAUAUUUCGGUGAAAUCCACCCCCAAAAUUAAUUCUUGUGCAGAAGCGGUAACUUCCAACAUCCAAGUUGCAGGGUUAUAACCAUCUUUGAUUUUACUUACUCCUUCAAUUCCCUUAAUGAAAGCAAGUCACAUGUAUUAGUAAGCACUUUAUAUGAAUUAACUUAAACUAAAGUAUUUGCUGCUUAUAGCUUUUAAUUUAUCAUGGAAGUUUACCUCAAAAUACUUUAUCAGAUGGGAAGAAUGUCUACCCAGUGGUCCCAUAUAUAUCUCUUGCCCUCCACGCUUCAACAGGAGCAACUGCAAACCCAUUUUGAAUAUGUCAGUACUUAUAUGCAGGAGAGCAUAGAAGAGAAUAAAUCCUUUCUAUCCAUUAACAUUUCCAACCUCAUCAAAGGCAUCAAAGAUGUCAAUACUUGGCUGAUGGAUGGUGCACACAACUGUUCUUCCUGUGUCCACUGUGUUCCUGACUGUUCUCAUAACAAUUGCAGCAGCUCUUGCAUCUAGCCCUGAAGUUGGCUCAUCCAUGAAUAUUAUUGAGGGAUUUGCCACAAGCUCAACUGCAAUGGUCAGCCUCUUGCGCUGCUCGGUUGAGAGACCAUUUACACCUGGCAACCCAACUAGUGCACCCCUCAAUGGGGUCAGUUCCACGAGCUCCAUGACUUCCUCAAUGAACAUCUAUAACCAUUACCAAAGAUUAGAAAUUGUUUGAACCAGCACUUUUCCUCAGAGUAUAGGUCAAGCCAAACUUGAACCUGACCAUAGCUCAACCAAGUUUGAAAAAUCAAUUCUAGGGCUUUGCUUGUUCAGAGCACUAAAUUCAAUCAGAAAAAUGUGGAAACAACACAGAAAACUCUCACCUUCCUUGUUUCAGCAUCCACAUUAGGAGGCAAUCGCAGCCAAGCUGAGUAGAGCAAGGACUCAUGGACAGUAACAUGAGGAGAGUGGAUGUCAUUCUGCUCACAGUAUCCAGAAAUGCGAGCAAAAGUCUCUUGCUUCUUUGGGUAGCCAGAAAUGCUGAUGCUACCCUCAAUAUAUCCACCAGUUUUCCGACCAGCCAAUACAUCCAUGAGAGUGGUUUUACCAGCACCACUAACACCCAUCAAAGCUGUAAGAACACCAGGCCUGAAAGCACCACUCACCCCCUUCAGAAGCUCCAAUCUGUCUUCAGGGACACCUUGACUUUUCAUUUCCUGCAAAUUCAAUUCAAACAACUUACUUCUCAUUUUUGGUUUAUUAGUGCUGCUAAAACAUGUACAUUAUUUGCAAAAAUAUGAAGUUACCUCUGGCAUGUCAACUGAGUAUCUAAUAUCAUCAAAGGUGAUAGAAAGUGGUUGGAAUGGAAGAACCAUUCCUUUUUUGUUGUUACGUCUCGCCUCAGCAAUGGCUUCUGCCCUCACAGAAGAGGAUACGGAUGAGAUACUUCGCCCAAUUUCCUCUCCACUCUCUGCAUGUUAAGUUUAAAUUUAGAGAGCAAUAUAGAACAUGGGUUAAAUGACAAGAACACAGGCACACAAAGGCAUGCAAGCACCAUGUAUGAGUUUCAUCACCUGUGGAUGCGGUUUGGUCAAUCGAGCCUUUUCUAUGGGACGAUAACUCAAUCUUUCCUUCAGUUUUGGCAUUGUCGGACUCUACUGUUAUAACAGCUUGAGGCUUCUCAAAUGCUGCACAAUUUGCAAAAAUCUUAAUACACUAACCUCCAAUCAUUUAGGAGUUUCAAUGCAGAGACGGUAAAGAUACUCACGAUUUAGGUAAGUCAGAGCCACAGUGUAACAGAAGUUGAAGACAAAUAUGAAUCCAAGCAGUGCCCCAGCUCCUAUCCAGUACCAGUGUGCCUCCGUGAAGAACCCACGAGCCUUCAAUACUGCUACUCCAAGGGAUUCUGUUGAAUUGGUAGAAGCAUUCUGAAAAAUGGAAAUACAUUCAAUCAUCAGUGACUGACACACAUAAAUAAACACAAAUACUCACAUGCAAAAUUCAAGAACUUACUUUGCUCCAACUCUUCCCAAGGAAUUCAUUUACCAGUAUGGCGUUCUGUGCAUACAUCAUAGGGGAAGACCAGUAACCCCAAAUCCACCAUUUCUUGACAUUUUCUGCAGCAUUGACCAAAUACAAAAAGAAAACAAAAAUCCAUUAUUAGUGUUUAUCAACAAGAAGGUUCUACAUUUCCUGAAAAUUUCUUUCCUCCUUAUACCUCGUGACAGGACAAUACCACCCAAUGCAAAGGGCAGAACUAAUGCAAAUGACCCAAAUGUGUUUGCAACAAUCAUGCUUCUACAAGCUGCUGCUAUAAAUCGAAAUAAUGAAGAUGCCGUCUGAUUAAGAAGCAAGAGGAGUAGAUACUGUCUAAACAAUCUGCAAUAAGAAGAUUUGUUUAUUGAGCAUAGAUCAUUUUGGAACAGAGAAAACAUGUGAAACAAAUCUGGACAAGUUUCUGCAACUUCACAAGUUUUUAACUUUUACCUUCCCACAUUUGGAUCAAAUCCAAUGACAUAAUAAGUGAUGAAUACCCAAACACCAACUUCAACAAAUGUGAUGGGGAUCUUGAGGAACCAUGAGGGAAGAGCAUAUGCCCAUGCAGGAUAGAAGAGCAGGCCUCUUUGCUUGUAAAAGACAGGAAGUUUUAGAAUGGUCAUGGCAAGUUCUGACAUUCCAUUAAACAUGACCAUCAUGACAGUGAAGAACAAAGCACCAGUGUAAAUGUUUCCAUCUUCUGUUGUGUUUUUGUGCAUCUCAGUUCUUAGGAAGAUUGUCAUUGCAAUCAUUGCGACUAUUGUGAGCUAAAAGCAGAAAUAAAAAUAAUAAAUUACGAUCAAAUGUACAAAAUUAAAAGCCAUUGUUAUAAGUAACAACAAUAAUAAUACUCACUUGGGUGAGCUUGAAAAUAUAGACAAAUGAAUUCCUCUUCAUCAGCAAGUACUCUCUUGAGAUGCAAGCAUCCAACAGUUCCUUCUUUCUAACACCAUAUUUUUCAGUUUUCAAAGCAGCCGGGUGGCUUUUGGUCUUGUCGAAUGGAGUUGCAAGCUCAUCUCCUAGUUUCCGUCCAAAGUGAAAUGACUGGAAUGCCUCAGCAAAUUCCUUGGCUGUGACAAAACUGUAAGGCUCAUCUUUAUGUGCCCAAUACUGCUCCUGAUCUUUCCUAGAUGUUACCUGCAAUCAAUUUUAAAAUUCGUGUUCUAGCUUGGUUUUUUCUAAAGAAGGGAAAAAAUGAGAAGAUGCCAAAAGGUACAAAGCUAUUAGCACUCACUUCUUGUAGGAAGUCUGCCACACCCUUCCUUUCAGGACAUCUGAACCCCAUGGAUUCAAAAAAGUUAAGAACGUCUUCACGAGGACCCUGAUAAAUGAUCCGGCUAUCAGAGAGAAGAAUGAUGUCAUCAAAAAGAUCGUAAGUCUCAGGUGCUGGCUGGAGGAGAGAGAUGAGAGCAGUCCCAUUGAGAAUGUGGACGGUUUGCCUGAGAGAAUUUACGAUUUGAUAAGUUGUUGAGCUAUCCAAGCCAGUAGAGAUCUCAUCCAUGAACAGUGCCUUUGAUGGUCCAACCAGCAUCUCACCUAUCAUUCAUAUAUUUUCAAAUAAUUGAACUAUAUUAGAUUAAUGAACAAAAAAUAUCUUCUUCUUUUUCUUUUUCCUUUUUCAUGUUAGAACACAAAUUAUCCUACCAGUUGUGACACGCUUCCUUUGUCCUCCAGAGAUACCCCUCACCAUUUCAUCUCCUACCAUGGUGUCUGCACAGAUUUCUAGUCCCAGAAUCUGUAAAUUUAAGUUUAAAUGAAAAUAAACAAAUUAUGAGUUAGAACUGGAUUUUCUCAGAAAUCUGUAUUCCAUCAUUGAAAGUUUUAUGGUUAUGAUACCUUUAGUGUAUAAUCAGUGAUCACAUUCUCCUUCUGGCCUUCAGCUGCCGCUGCCUGAAAUGUUAGAAACCAAUAAUGAAAAUCUCAACAACCAUUAAAGUUAGUUUGGUACAUGAAGAUAUUCCAUGGAUAAGAUCGACAGAACAUCAAGAAAACAAAGUCAAUUUGCAUAUCUAUGUGAGAGAUCAAAAUUUUCAUUCUAGAGAAGACAAGUGUCCAUGUUCUCCACGAAAAACAAAUAGCUGAUCAAUUUCAUUAAGUAGCUUCUGUCUCACCUUCAUGAAGACAUCGAUAUCAGGAUCGGGCUUUAUAUUUGCUGCUUUUUCUCUUCUUGAGAGCUCUACUAACAUGUCUGCAGAUAGCCAAAAUAAGAGUCAAUCUCCUGGCCUAGGCAAAUGUCAUACAACUACAUCCACAACCUUCAAAAACAAAGAAAAUAAAAGUGAAGGCAAUGGUUUAGACUAACCAUAUCGAUCUCCAACACCCUGGCAUCUUGCAGAGAAGGCCAAGGUUUCCCGUACAGUCAUUUCUCCUAUAUGGGUAUCAAGUUGGCUUAUGUAGGCGGCAGUUCUCUGGGGUACAAACUCAUUCAUGCCAUGACCGUUGUAUGUCACUCUUCCCGUAACCUAAACAAGAAAUUUCAGUUUUCAAAUUGGAUAAGAGAUUAAAGAGCUAAAAAUUGAAUACGCAUCAAAGAAGAAAAGCAAUAAGAGUUUUUUUUUUUUUUUUUUUUUUUUGUCCGUUCAACCUUUAGACUGGAAUCAAGCUUUCCGGACAGAGCCAAUAAGAGAGUGGUCUUUCCAGAACUUGGAGGACCCAAAAGCAACGUCAUUCUGCAGAAAAAAAAUAUGCACAAAAAAUUGAGUAUUGAUCUUCAGGGCAUUCUAAAUUUGAGAAAGGAAAAAAUCAUUUGAUUUAUCAAUCAAUUUUUUACUAGAAAUAAAUUCAAAUUCUCACCUUCCGGGUUUGAUGAUUCCGCUAACAUCAUGAAGAAUGGUGAAUUUCUUCUUUCUACUUGGAAGAAUCCGAAGAGUGUUCAAGAUAUCCUUUAAAACAGAAAGAAAAAUUAUAAUCUAAAAACAAACUUUCCCAAGAGAGUACUUAUUGAUUAGCUAAUGAUCUGCAUUUGCAUUUUAGUUACCUCAAUUUGAUUAAAAACAGAAUUAAUGAAUGAAGGCAAAGCUCUGCUUCCUACAUGAGCUUCUGCAUCAAUGGUAAGAUGCUCAAAUCUAACUUCAAUUUCGGGAAGAUCAAUCCCAACUCUGAAAAAUGGAAGAGCCACGAAAACUCGUUAUUAAAAAGUCGAAGGAAGAUGUUGUUUGGUUGCAAAGAAAAUAUAGGAAACACUAUCAGGCAUACUUAAGAUGAAUUCUUUCUUUUCCACUGUUUUCAAUGUUCAAAAAGAGGCGAGGAGCGCAAGAAAAGAAGAGAAAUCGCACCUAUCCAUACGAUUCUUGAGCUUCAACAAGAACUUCUCAUUGUCCUCUUCAGCGAUUUUCACCAACCGCUCGACUAAAUUCUUCCUUUCCUGAGGCCCAAGGUUGUGUAUAUCAACUUCACUGGCCUCACCCUCUGAUCCGAUCAGCAAACCUUUCCUCAGCCGAUUGUAGGUGGGAAGUUUCUCGAGGGCAGCCCAUUUCAAAGCUUCCUCAUCAUCCUCAUCCCUUGAAGAACGGGAGAAAACCUCCGCACCAGAGUUCCUCCAUAUGGAAGAACUGUUCUUCCUGAAACUACCACUGGCUCUACGACCACUGGCUGUAUAAAUUUCAGCUGUUUCCAUUGCAACACGAAACGAGGAACCCCCCUGCAAAACUAACCAGAACCCACCAAAACCCAGAAAUUUUUCCAAAAAAUCAGGAGAAGCCCAAGUUUUGAUCUCUGGAGCUGAAAAAAACUCAGUCAGAGAUGGGUGUCCUCCCCUCUUUUCUCUAUGCACUUUGUAGUGCUAAAACCUUGUUCUAUGUUAGAAAACCAUGAGGAAUGGAAGGUUUAUAUACUGAUUCGAAGGACAGAAUCAGAGGCGGCCUAAAUGUUUCAAAUUCUUACUUUAACAUUUUCACAAUUCUCCGCUAUCUUGUUUGUCAAGUAAAUGGAAAAGUGAAUUAUUAAAUGUUGUCCUAACCGCCAAACUAACUAACUUUCCCGGGCGAAACUAACGAACCCUCCUGAAUUCCAAAUGUAAAACAUUUAUGGCAUCUUGUCUAUACUCUUGUUUAAUGAUAUGAUACUUUGGGUUUAGUUUGCCUAAAUUAAUAAUGUAAGUUAAUUUUUAACAUUUCAUUUAUAGUCUAAUUUGAUGUUGAUAUAUUGAAUUUGGAUUACUUCUUUUAAUCUCGGAAUUUAUUAGGAUUAGAUUGGAGUUGAGUUAAGAGGCCUCGAGUUGAUUUAAAUUAUAUUCAAGGAAAGAGUUAAGUAAACUUUAAUAAGUGAACGAUGAAAUCUUUUAUUUCUAAAUUAUAUGUAAUAUGAUAAAAUAUAUGUCUCAUUAUUACGAGUUAAUAAGUUACACGAUGAAUUCAUCAACUAAUUUUUAUGUAAAAGUAGAAUAUCUUAUACAAAAUGUAUGGAUUUACCUUAUAUCUUUAAAAUUUAUUUUUAAAAAUUCUCGUGACAUCAUUACAUAUGUAAGCUUGAUUAAUUUUAAUGAAUAGUAAAUUUAUCAAAAAUUAAAUAAAUGUAUAGUCAAUUCUAAGUUAGUCAUUAUUUUAUUAAAGCUAAAAAUAUUUUAAAAUUUUCAAAAUCAAGGCUUCAAUAACUCACAACUUUAAAUAAAUAUAUAUAUAUUUAAUAAAAUAUCAAUUACAAAGUUAUAAAAAAGUUCAUUUUAUUAUGUUUUUAUUAUAUAUAGUAGAAUUUAAAUAAAAUUAAUUACAAAUUAAAAAAUAAUAAUUUUUUAUUAAAGCUUUUUUGGGGGGCUAAUUUUCUUUACUCUUUUUUUUUUUUUUAAUUCCUAAGAUGUGGGAUGAGAAGGACCCAAAAUUAAUUAGAUCAUUAUCCAAAUUAUUUUUAUUUUUAAAGAAUAAAAACAUUAUAAAUGGUUAGAAUCCAACCUUCUAGAAAGAAAUGAAAGACUAGCAAAUAAAUCAUACUAAAUCCAACAACUAAUUAAAGUCUCUUCUCAAUUUAUUUUUGGAUUUAUUUUCAUUUAAAAAUAGUAACCACAUAAAACAUAGGCCAAAUAUAUUCUAAAAAUAGGUUGAUUUCUCACACGUGUAGAAGAAAGGGUACGGGUGGCCAUGAUCAUGGGAUAGACAUGAUUGACUUUCAAAAGCUUAAAAAGAAAAUGACUUUCAAAAGCUGCUAAUGACUCCAUGAUACAUGGGAUAUGAAUUGUUAAAGAUUGUCACAACUGCCCCUUUUGACCCUUCAAAUUACUUCCACAGUCCAUCACUUUGCAGCUUUCUUGACCCUUGUUUACCAAGUAACCCAAUAGGCAUAAGAAUUAUUGGAGGUUGGCCCAACAGCCCCUUUUGACCCUUCAAAUGGCUGACACAGUCAACAUUUUCAGCUUUACUCACCCUUCUCAACCAAGCAAGCAACUCACUAGGAAUAGGAAUUAUCAAAUUAAGUAACUUUGCCACAAGCAGCCCCAACCCCACCCCCAACCCCCCACCCAACAUAUUUUUUUGGCAAUUUUUGUUAAAUCUAAUUUAAUAUUUUGAUAUUUGGAUUACCUAAAUUAGAAAUGUAAGUUAAUUUUUAGAAUUUUGUUUGUAGUCUAAUUUAAUGUUGAUUAAACUCGAGUAAGUUCAAAUUAGGAUUAAAUCUAUUUAAGGAUGGUGUUAAACAAAUGAGGAAACCUAAACCUUAAUUAAGUGGGUUAUUAGAAAAAAUAUUAUGGUAUUAAUUAUUGCAUGAAUUUGUAUGGCUUAAAAUUAGUUAAUAAUACCCCCUCAUUAUUAUUCAAUAAAAGUGGCCAAUUCUAUGGUAAAGAAUAAAAAUAUUAAAAACAUUAGAUACCCCUCAUUAUUAUUCAAUAAAAGUGGCCAAUUCUAUGAUAAAGAAUAAAAAUAUUAAAAACAUUAGUAAAAGAUGUUUUAGACUUUACUAAAAAAAAUUAAGUUAAAAGACUUUUUCAAAAGAAUUUUAAAAAGUAUUUAAACUCCCCACUAAGAUAUUUUUAAUAAAUCAUUUGUUUUUUGUUUACCAAAUGGAAAUUUGAAUUAUUAAAUGUUAUCUAACUGCUAGACAAAUUAAUAACUUGUUUGACAAUUAUUUUUUGAGAAGUGUUUUUUGUUUUUAUCUUUAGAUUGUUUUCACUUAUUUUUUUAAAUUUGUUUAAAAAAAUAAUUAUACAGAAGAAUGAUUAAAAAUAAAGUAUUAAAUAUAAAAAAAAAUCAUUUUUAAAAAACAUUAAAAACUAUUUUAAAAUAUUUUAAAUUCUCAAACAAACUUUUAUUUUACAAAAAAAUAAAAAAUAAUUUUCAAAAAUUGUUCUUAAAAACUAUUUUUAAAAAUUAUUUUUUAACACAAUUACAAAACAGAUCAUAACUUUCUUUGCCUAAGUGCAAAUCUACCUAAAUUGUAAAUGUAAAAUACUUUUUGGCAAUUUAUUUAUAAUUUAAUUUUAAGAUUCCACACUUUGGGUUUUGGAUUACCACUUUUAAUCUCCCAACUUUUUAGAGUAGGAUUGGAUUAGCUAAAUUUGACUCAAUGCUUAGAGUUAGGUCCCGGGUGGUUUUUGACUGGCUCAUACUCUCCUAAAUUAUAAAUGUAAGUACAUCUUUGGGUUCAUUUCCUUCUUUUUUUUUUUUUUUUUCAAAAACAAAAUAUCUUAUAUGAAAAAAAAAAAAAAAGAAUUCUUGUAUAAAAGCUAGUUAUAUACCUUGUAUAAAAAUUUAAGUAAUUUUACUCCCACAAAUUUUCUAGGUUUUGAAAAGAAUUUUUAGAAAUACAAGGUAAAUUUUAACUUUUUAUAUAAAAGUUCUUAUAUUUUAUAUAGAAAUUUUUAUUUUUAAAUAUAAAAAAUAAAAAAUAAAAAAUGUAUCUAAUCACCACCUAAAUUAUUUUUCACCAUUUUUUUUAUACUAUAAUCUAAUGUUUAUGAUCCAAAUCUAGUGUUUGUAGUUGAGUUUGUAUUAAAGUUUAGUCAACGUAUUCAUGGAUGAAGCUAAACUAAUGGCAGAAACUUUAUUUAAGUGAGCAAUUAGAACAAUUAUGAGGGUAAUAAAUAAUUGAUAAAUUUUCAAAAUUUAAAAUUUGUUAACAAUUCCCCUCAUUAUUAUCAAAAAUAUAUAUACAAUUAUAGAGGUUAAUUAUAAAAAAGAAAGAAAAUAUAUGAUAUAUCAAAUUGAAUAAAAAUAAUAUCAAACAUAUUGGUUAAGAUAUUUUAGUUUUUCUAAAAAACAUCCAAAAAAUUAAAAGGUUUUUUUCAAAAGAAUUAAAAAAUAGUUGAAAUUUUCAAUAAGAAAUUUCUAAUAAUUUUGUUUUAACAAAAAAAAAAUCCUAAAAAUAUUUUUUUUUUAAAAAAUUCAACAAUUCCACUUAUAAAUUUCUUCUAUUUUUCAAAUAGCUAAAGAUAAAUUGACUGAGAAAACUAUUUUUUUUUAUGAAGUAUAUAUAAUAUAGUAAAAAUAUCAUAUUAAGUUAUAUAAUUUUUAUAAUUAAAGUUAAAUUCAAAUUCUCAUGAUAUGAGUCAUUAUGUAGGAUUAAAUGAGAUUUGAUAUGAUGAUACUUAUAAAAUCGAUGAUUGAUAUUCAAAUGUUUCUUUUUAAAACAAAUUGAUUUAACUCUAUAAAUGAUACCACCACCCAUAUAAAUUAAUAUUAAUUACAAACUUCCAUAAUACAAAUCAUUGCAUAGGAUUAGAUUUAUUAAAAAUUAAAUAACAUAUAAAUUUAUAUAGCUUUGUAGUAAAUUCUAAAUUAGUGAUUAUUUGAUUAAAUCUAAAAAAUAAAAAUAAAAUGACCAAAUCAAUCUGCAAAAAAUUCACCACUCAAAAUAAUUUAAUAAAAUUUCAAAUACUAAUAGAAUUUUUUGAGGGAUGACGUUUAGAAAAAUCAAAUUUAGCUUUUUCUAUUUGAAAAAACCUCAUUUUCAAGGGAAGACAUUAUUAAAUCCUCCUUGAUGAUGGUAAAGCUAGGGAAAGAAAAAGAAACAACAAAUCUUAAUAUGAUGUUUCAAGGAACCCUUUCUUCAAUGAAGCAAACUAGUUUUAUGGGGCCUAAUUGACUGGAAGUUCUUAUUUUCAUUUGUCCAAAUAAAGAAAUAUUCAGAAACUGAAAAUCUUCUUUCCUCUCACAAUUCUGAACAAUCAAAGCAACUAUUAAUAAAAAACACUGAGAAUAUGACAGAUUUUGAACUUAAUAUCAUCUCGAUUCACCUACUCAAGAAAUUUGAUGAGUUUUUGAGCUUGGAAGAGUCAGGUCAAAUCCACAUGUCUGAAAAUUUGGAAGGCAGUGAUUCUACAAUUCAAAGUAUAACUGCUUCAUUUGGAUAUGAUCAUCAGGAUACCACUGUAUGAGCACCAAACUUUCUUACAUUGAAUGAGUUGAAUACUAGGAAAACUGAACUAACUCUUUUCAUGGGUCAAUCAUAUAACUAGAAAUGGGAUCUGUAAGUGCAGUCAUGGAACUGCUGGAAGCCUUGAAAUACCUCUGAACUUUCUGAAGAAGGUCAAAACUUUUCUUUUUGCUAGCUCAAGUCUAAAUUUAAUAGCAUUUCAAACCCUGCCCCGUCAUACAUUUGUGUCAAGUAGUCUGUCUUUGAUAUCUCCAAACUCUGCUGUAACCAAUCCAUACAAAGUUCAUGCAACCGGACAUGCCCAAUAAUACCAUCUCCACCACACAGGAAUCCUCUGCAUUCAUCAUGGAAGAAAUGCAACAAAAUGAGACAGUUUCGUAUCCAUGUGCUAAACAAAGUUCCAAUUUAAAGAAUUAUGGGUUGAGAGCACUAACAGUCCGUGGGACGAUAAAACCUGAGAAGAGGUUCCAUAAUGCAUAAAAUGCUACAGCAAUGAUGGCAGCAAUAUGUUGAUUUGUUGUGGCAGCCACAGCCAUCAUGCCAAAAAAGGUAAAGUAUAAUUGGCUGAAGAACGUAAAAAACAAAUACCAGAAGAACUUAGCAGCUGUCCAUUCAAAUCCAAUCAUUGCAUAAACUAUAGCACCAUACACCACAGCUUGUGAAAAGACACAUGGUAUCUCAACUAAAGCCUGAAACAAGAGAUGAAUUUUGAUUAAUAAAACCCAUAAAGCAUUAGAGACAUACAAAGUCUAAAGCAUAAGAAAACUUGUUACCUGUGCAAAGGCUUAUGGCACGGAUGAAUACAUUCCUGCAGCUCUUUCUCUGUAAAAGACUGUCUAUUUCAACUGCCACGACUGGUUGCACCAAUUGGCCAUUCUGAAACCCAAGGAAGAUAACAGCAGCUACAUAGAGCCCAUUGCAUUAGAAAGAUCUCGUUGCCUUGUUCUGCAUUUUCCCAUGUGAAGUAAAAAUUGAAGUUGAUUUGGAGAAGCAUACUGAGUUCUCAAAAUUCUUAACUUACUUCAAGUUACCUUUGGGUGCCGAGAUCCCAGAACAUGGUUCCAAACAUCAAGGCUAUGAAAGUUGUGAAGAAAAAUCUCACUGCCGUGUAUGGUGGAUUGCGCCAGUAUGACCAACAUUGUUUCCAUAAGCAUGCCAUACAUUGGGUGAAGAAGGGCUGGGAGUAUUGAUUAGGGAAAUAGAGGUCCUUAGAACUAGGGGUAGGUUGGCUCAAUUCUUUAAUUAAAUCUUUGUUUCUCCUGAAACAUAUGCCACAUCUUAGAAAAGGCUUCAACAACAAAUUCAAGCCUGCAUGAUGAACAUUGAGAUGGCUGUAUAUGACAUUUCAAUAUCAUAAAGCAUUCGGAUAUCCUAUAGUUAAAUCACCUGUAUAUGUCUGAGUUUUUGUAUAUUUCAGUGAAAUUCACCCCCAAGAUUAAUUCUUGUGCAGAAAUGGUAACUUCCAACAUCUUUGAUUUUUCCUACUCCUCCAAUUCCCUAAAUGAAAGCGAGUCACAUGUAUUAGUAAGCACUUGAUAUGAAUUAACUCAAACUAAAGUAUUUUGCUUAUAGCUUUUACUUUAUCAUGGCAGCAUACCUCAAAAUACUUUAUCAGAUGAGAAGAAUGUCUACCCAGUGGUCCCACAUAUAUUUCUUGUCCUCCACUAAAAGCAAACAGCUCAAAUUCUGCAAAACUGGUGAAAAUUUCACACAGUAGCUUCUGUCUCACCUUCAUGAAGGCAUCGAUAUCAGGAUCAGGCAUAAUAUUUGCUGCUUUCUCUCUUCUUGAGAGCUCUGCUAACAUGUCUGCAGAUAGCCAAAAAAAAGUGUCAAUCUCCUGGCCCAUGCAAAUGUCAUACAACUACAUUCACAACCUUCAAAAACAAAGAAAAUAAAAGUGAAGGCAAUGGUUUAGACUAACCAUAUCGAUCUCCAACACCCUGGCAUCUUGCAGAGAAGGUCAAGGUUUCCCGUACAGUCAUUUCUCCUAUAUGGGUAUCAAGUUGGCUUAUGUAGGCGGCAGUUCUCUGGGGUACAAACUCAUUCAUGCCGUGACCCUUGUAUGUCACCCUUCCCGCAACCUAAACAAGAAAUUUCAGCUUUCAAAUUGGAUAUGAGAUUAAAGAGCUAAAAAGUGAAUAUUCAUCAAAGAACAAAAGCAAUAGAACUUUCUUUUUUUUUUUUUUUUUUUUUUUCAAUUCAACCUUUAGACUAGAAUCAAGGAUUCCGUACAAAUCCAAUAAGAGAGUGGUCUUUUCAGAACUUGGAGGACCCAAAAGCAACGUCAUUCUGCAGAGAGAAAAAAUGCACAAAAAAUUGAAUACGGAUCUUCAGGGCAUUCUAAAUUUGAGAAAAUAAAAAUUCAUUUGUUUUAUCAAUCAAUUUUUUACUAGAAAUAAAUUCUUAUUCUCACCUUCGGGGUCUGAUGAUUCCGCUAACAUCAUGAAGAAUAGUGAAUUUCUUCUUUCUACUUGGAAGAAUCCGAAGGGUGUUCAAGAUAUCCUUUAAAACAGAAAGAAAAAUUAUAAUCUAAAGACAAACUUACCUAAGAGAAUAUUUGUUGCUUAGUUAGUGAUCUGUCUUUGCAUUUUAGUUACCUCAAUUUUAUUAAAAGCAGAAUUAAUGAAUGAAGGCAAAGCUCUGCUUCCUACAUAAGCUUCUGCAUCAAUGGUAAGAUGCUCAAAUCUAACUUCAAUUUCGGGAAGAUCAAUUNNNNNNNNNNNNNNNNNNNNNNNNNNNNNNNNNNNNNNNNNNNNNNNNNNNNNNNNNNNNNNNNNNNNNNNNNNNNNNNNNNNNNNNNNNNNNNNNNNNNUUCAAUUUNCGGGAAGAUCAAUUCCAACUCUGAAAAAUGGAAGGGACAUGAAAACCCAUUAUUAAGAAGUCAAAGGAAGAUGCUGUUUGGUUGAGAAGAAAAUGUAGGAAACACUGUCAGGCAUAUUUAAGUUGAAUUCUUUCUUAUCCACUAUUUUCACUUUUCAAUGUUCAAAAAGCGGCAAGGAACGCAAGAAAAGAGGAGAAACCGCACCUAUCAAUACGAUUCUUGAGCUUCAACAAGAACUUCUCAUUGUCCUCAUCGGCGAUUUUCACCAACCGCUCCACUAAACUCUUCUUUUCCUGAAGCCCAAGGUUUUGUAUAUCAACUUCACUGACCUCACCCUCUGAUCCCAGCAGCAAACCUUUCCUUAACCGAUUGUAGGUGGGGAGUUUCUCGAGUGCGGCCCAUUUCAAAGCUUCCUUGUCAUCCUCACCCCUCGAAGAUUGGGUGAAAAUCUCAACAUCAGGGGUCCUCCAUCUCAUAGAACCGGCUCUACGAGUUUCAGGAGUCGACAUUGCAACCAGAAAGGAAGAACUCUCCUGUAAAACCAAAAAGAACCCACCAAAACCCAGAAACCUUUCCGAAGAAUAUAAGCUCCUUUCUUCUCUCUUAGUACGAUGCUUUGUCUUGUUCCAUUGCUGCUACUUUGCUCUGCACUGGAAUAAACAUAUAGAAUGGAAGGUUUAUAUGGUGAUUGGUAGGACAGAAAAUGAAGCGGCUCAAAAGAUUCGAAACUGGUUUAUUUUCCUGUGAUUCUUAGAAAAUUGGCGGGGGAAAAUUGACCAUAGAGGAGUCUGCACAAUGACUCCGUAAUAAUGUGCACAUGCCACCAUCUUUACCUUUCACAGUUCAUAAUUACUUCCUAUAUUAAGACUUUCACGGUUCAUCUCACACUCCCUAUUUAACAAAAAAUUUAUAUUUUUCUAAAUAAAUGAUAAAAAUAAAAAAUAAAAAAUAAAAAAUAAAAGAAAAAUAAAUUUAUAAUCUAAACACUCAAAUGAUAUUUUAGACUAAUGAAAAAUAAAGAACCUAAAUAUUCAAUAACAUUCUCCUCUAUUAAGCCAUAAGCUUAGAAUCUUAAAACAAAUUACUCUAAGGCUAUGUUUGGUUAUCAUAAAAUUUGAAGGAAAAUGCAAGGGAAAGAAAAUGCAAAAGAAAAAUAGAAUGAAAGAAAAUAAAAAAUAGAUUAAAAGUUGAUAAUUUUUUUUAUUACUUUAAACUUAUUUUAUUUAUUUUAACUCAUCAAUACAAAGAUUGAAUAAUUUAAAAAUACAUAAGUUUUUAAUUAGUUUUAAUUGUAUUUGAUUUUCUUUUAUAUUUUUUAUAGGACAAUCAAACAUGAAAAAAUCAUUUUCCUAUGCAUUUUUUUUCUUUCCUUAGUAUUUUCCAGAAACCAAACAUAACCUAAAAAUAUUUUUUAGAGUUGUGUAUUUCAAAAAGAAUGGGAUUGCUUCUUUUUUUUUUUCAUUUUAAGUCUUAAAUUACUUUAAAAUUUAAAAUCAAAAUAUAAAAAAUUUUAUUUUUUACAUUAAGAUAAAUUUAUCUUAUACAAAGUAACAAGUUAAUAAACAAAUAGUUUUAAAACGACUUAAGUCUUAACACAAUUAAGUAUUAUUUUAAAAUUAAACAAUAAAAAAACCAUCACCUUACAAAUAAGAUUUAAGUGGGUUUUACCAUUCAAAAUUGCUUGAAAUCUAAGAGGUUAUUUGUUUUUUAAACUUAAAUCUUAAAGCUAAUUGCUUUAAAAUUUAUUAUAAAAAUAAAAAUAAAAUAAAAUAAAAACUUUUGUUGUUAAGACAAAAUUUUAUUUUAAAAAUGAUAAACUAAAAAAUAAUUUCAAAAAUGACUUCGAUCUUAAAGCAACCCUUUCUAUUAGGAUUCCAUGUCUAUCCUAAUUAAAAUUAAUAAUUAACUUGAUUUUCAGUAAGAUUAUAUCGAUAUUAACCGAUAUUAUUUUCUAAUAAAAGUAUUUAUGAAAGCACAAACACAUUUAUGCUUCAAAAAAUGGAAAACAUUUUUUAGUAUUUACAACUAUAUUUACAAAAUAGUUGGAUUCCUCACAUCCUUUCAAACACACUGCAGGUACAAAUUUAGAAUCCUCACAUGCUUUCAAACAAACUAUAGGUGCAAAUUUAGAAUCCUCACAUGCUUUCAAACAAACUCUAGGUGCAAAUUUAGAAGUUGUUGCCAUAAGAGAUUUUCAAAUUUAAUUUUUUUCCUUUUUCAUAAGGAAAAAACCUAGGUACUAAAUUUGUAGAUACCAACUUUGUCUAUCCACAUAAAAAUAUUCCAAAUAUAUUUAAAAAAAAAUUGGAGUCCUCACAUAAAGUCAUCUUGAACAAAGGGUACUGCAACUUUUUGGGCUGUCUUAAUUAUCUUGAGUUAAAUGGUAUAGUGUUUAAGAAUGUGGACCCGAGACACGAAUAAUUAGAGUAAGAUAUAACCAAAUAAGACUAAGAUACGAAAUAAUGAGACCAAAGAAUUUGUCUCUAAAAGAUAUGAAAAAAUGAGAGUUAAAUAUAAAUUAACCCGAUAUAGGUAUAAAUUUAACAAGAGAAAUAUUAGCUAUGCUUAAAUGUGUGAAUUUAGGAAAAUCUAAAAUUUCGAUCAUAAUUUUUCAUGAUUAAAUCAACUAUAUAUAGGAAUGGUUGAAAAUAAUGAAAGCAAUGUAUAACCAAAUGGGACUAAGAAAAAUAAUGAAACCAAAAAAUUUGUCUCUAAAAGGUAGCAAUAAAUGAGAACCAAGUAUGAAUCAACUAAAUAUAGGUAUAAAUUUAAAUAAAGAAAUAUUAGCUAUGCUUAAAUGUGUGAAUUUAGGAAAAUCUAAAUUUGGUCAUAAUUUUUCAUCAUUACAUCAACUAUAUAUAGGAAUGGUUGAAAGAGUAGUAAAUUUGGAAGGCUGUGAUUUUACAAUUCAAAGUAUAGCUGCUUCAUUUGGAUAUGAUCAUCAGGAUACCACUGUAUGAGCACCAAACUUUCUUACAUUGAAUGAGUUGAAUAGGAAAACAGAACUAAUUCUCUUCAUGGGUCAAGCAUAUAACAAGAAAUGGGAUCUGUAAGUGCAGUCAUGGAACUGCUGAAAAUACCUCUGAACUUUCUGAUGAAGGCCAAAACUUUUCUUUUUGCUAGCUCAAGUCUAAAUUUAAUACUAUUGUUUCACUGUUACAUUUGUGUCAAGUAGUCUGUCUUCGAUAUCUCCAAACUGUGGUGUAACCAAUCCAUACAAAGUCCAUGCAACUGGACAUGCCCAAUAAUACCAUCUCCACCACACAGGAAUCCUCUGCAUUCAUUAAGGAAGAAAUGCAACAAAAUGAGACAGUUUUGUAUCCAUGUGCUAAACAAAGUUCCAAUUUAAAGAAUUAUGAAUCAUUGUAAAAGAGUAAAUUUAUGGACAUACAAAUUAAUAUAAUUGUAGGAAAAAAUAGGAUUUGACUCACUAAUACGAAAAUAUAUAGAAAAAAUAGCCUCAAAUUGUUAUUCCCUAAAAUAUCCUUUUUACUUAUCAUGUUAUCAACACCAAUUGAUAACUAGAUUCCUUCAAGUAAAUUUAUUAUUAUUAUUAUAGGAAAAAGUAGGUUUUGACUCACUAAUAUGAAAAUAUAUAGAAAAAAUAACUUCAAAUUAUUAUUCCCUAAAAUGUCUUUUUUACUUAUUAUGUUAUCAACACCAAUUGACAACUAAAUUCCUUCACGUAAAUUUAUUUGUUAUUAUUAUUAUUAUUAUUAUUAUUAUUAUUAUUAUUAUUCCUUCACGUAAAUUUAUUGUUAUUAUUAUUAUUAUUAUUAUUAUUAAAAAUGCCCUAAACAAUCAAAGUCCUUAAAAUUAACCUCAACUUACCUUAAUGAAAAAAAAUCAUACGAAGACCUUGGAAAAAACCAUAAACCUUAUUUUCAGCAAACUCAAAUUAGCUAAGGUUUUACCUACUAGUUAUAUUCACACUCUUUCAAAUUACCUCACUUUUGCUAUGAGAUGUUUGUUUAUAGAAAAAAAAAUCAACUUUUCCUAAAGGGUCUUUGUUUUUGGAGAAAAAAAAUCUAAAAUGAUAAUAAUAAUAAUAAAUAUCUAAAAGGAAGAUAAUUAAUUACGUGGAGUUUAGUUGUCAAUUAAUGUUGAUGACAUGACAAGUAAAAAUGGCAUUUUAAAAAAUAAUUAGAUGACUCAUUAAAAAUUGCAUGUAUUUCAAAUUAUUUUAAAAUAAAUAAAUAUAAUAUCCAUAUACAAAAUUUAGAGUUCUUUUUUUUUCAUAUAUUUUCAUAUUAGUGAAUCAAAACCCAUUUUCCCCCCAUAAUUAUAUACUCAAUUUAUAUAUUAGCCAUUAUUUGAUAAAAUUUAAAAUUAUUUUUAAAAUAUCAAAAUCAAGCCCUAGAUAACUCACCAUUAAAAAAAUAUUUAAGAAGUUAUAAAAAGCUCCUUUUAUUAUAUUUUUAUGGUAUAUAGUAGAAUUUAAAUAAAAUUAAUUCUAAAAUUUUUAAAAAUUAAAACAAAAAAAAAUCAUUUAUAAAAGUUAUUAACCAUUAAUAAUUGAUAGUGGUUGUAUUAUAAAAAAAAAAAAAAGAAGGUUGUAUUAGUCUUGUCAUUGAUAUUCAUAAUUGAUAAUAUCAUAUAUUAAAAUUAUUAACCAUUACUAAUAAAUCAACACUAAUUAUUAAUUAUUUAGACCUAUUUUACAAAAAAAGAAUGAAAAUUUUAAAUUAAUAUACCAAAAUUAGUUUUAGAAGCAUAUAGAGAAGAUUGAGAAUAAAAUUUGAGUUUUGUGGUGUUGUUUUAGUGUUUUAAGUUUUGAAACUUGAGUUAAGUGAUUGUUCUUUGCUCUGUUUGGUUGUUGAGAAAAAUAGAAGAAGAUUAAGAAUUCAACUUAAGUUUCGUGGUUAUUGCUUUGGUGUUUGAAGUUUUGAAACUCGAGCCAAAUGGUUGUGCUAAUAUAUGUAUCUUUUUUUGUAUGGAUUCUAACCAAAUCAUGGUGAACACACUUGUGCACACAUCCAAGAACAUAUAUAUCAAAUUUGAACAACCGUAUAAUGCAGUUGUAUUGACCAUACAAAGAUAAUGAACAAACUAUGUAAAGGGUAUACAAGACAAAUCAUGGAUUUUGAACAGCUAUACAAGACCGUUACAUUGACUAUAUAGGAGCAAUGAACCAACUAUACAAAAUUAAUGAACUAACUACAUAAAAAGUGUACAAAAUAGGACAUGAAUUUUGAACAACCAUACAAUACAGUUGCAUUCACUUUAUAAGGCCAAUGAACUAAUUAUACAACCAAUGUAUGAAUUUGAAUGUUUGUUUACAACUUAUUUCUAUCCCUCGCCAAAACACCUCAAAGGUUUAUGACAAUAAAAAGAAAAAAAAAAGUAUUAAUUUUUUUUUCAAAUUUUAAAAAAUCCAAUAAAUAUAAAAAUAGAUUUUUAUUUUUUAAAGAUAAAAUUAAAAAUUGAAAAAAAUAUGAUAAAUUUAAUUUUUUUUAUCUUUAACUUAAUUUGUAAAUAUUUUAAAAAUAAAUAGGAAAAUUAAAAUAUUGCAAUUGAUUUUUAAGAUAAAAUUUGAAAACAAAAAAUAACAAUAACUUUCAUAUAAAAUAUAAAAACUUUUAGAUACUUAGGUGGUGUUUAUUUUUUUUACUUAAUUCAAAAUAGAACCUUAAUGUUUAAUAGUGUUAAAUAUUAGGUUGUUUGUUUUUAUAGUAUUUUAUUUCUAUUAAGUAUUAAAAAGUAAAAAAAAUAAAUAUGUUAUUUUUUCUAUUUAGAAAAAGCUACAUAUUUUGGCUUUUUCUAUUUAAUAAAAAGUUUAUAAUAAGUCAUGAAAAAAGUAGAAAAACAAAUAACCUAAAUUCUAAAACUAAAUUGCUUUCAGCAAAAAGCCAAAAAAAAAAACACCACCUUAAACUAAAGAGGUAAUGGUAAUAAAAAAAAGUAAAAAAAAAAAAAAAAAAAAAAAAAAAAAAAAAAAAAAAACUCUACCCCUGACUUGGUCCCCAUGUUCGAUAUUGUACUAUUAAACACACUUCAUUCAAAUCCAUUCAAAUUGCAGUCUUUGUAUGAAGAGACUUAGCUCUGUUCAUGGGGCAUUACCUUGUUCAAUGCUGAGUUUGAGCAGCAAACAUAGCUCCCUUGAGUCCUAGAGACCUCAAUGUGACUUUUACAGAGUCAGAUGAUCCCUUGCAUGUCUUUUACCCUUGUUUAGAUGGCGAGAAAAUUAGAAGAAAAGGUUUUAGAAACUCACCACUAAGCAAGGAUUCAUGCAGAAUUUGUUAUGGGAUGAUGCACAGAAUAUUUGCCUUCUUUCUCCUCUGUUCUACAAGCUAAAUGCACAUACUAAAGUGUAGUAUAUAACUUUGUAUUAACUCAAUGAGAUAGUGACACUUCUCAGACUAAUAGAAUGGUUUGAUCAAAUUCUGCAAGUAUAAACAGUAAAGAUCUCAGCUGAGCAAACAACUUUGUAUUACUUUUUCAUGUUGGCCACAAUCACUAGAUCCUCUAUCCCCUGUUGAACUUUUUUGCUGUUAAUGAACUCAAAAAUCAAAUUUAGCUUUUUCUAUUUGAAAAAACCUCAUUUUCAAGGGAAGACAUUAUUAAAUCCUCCUUGAUGGUGGUAAAGCUAGGGAAAGAAAAAGAAACAACAAAUCUUAAUAUGAUGUUUCUAGGAACCCUAUCUUCAAUGAAGCAAACUAGUUUUAUGGGGCCUAAUUGACUGGAAGUUCUUAUUUUCAUUUGUCCAAAUAAAGAAAUAUUCAAAAACUGAAAAUCUGUUUUCCUCUCACAAUUCUGAACAAUCAAAGCAAGUAUUAAUAAAAAACACUCAGAAUAUGACAGAUUUUGAACUUAAUCUCAUCUAGAUUCACCUACUCAAGAAAUUUGAUGAGUUUUUGAGACUGGAAGAGUCAGGUCAAAUCCACAUCUCUAUAAAUUUGGAAGGCAGUGAUUCUACAAUUCAAAGUAUAACUGCUUCAUUUGGAUAUGAUCAUCAGGAUACCACUGUGUGAGCACCAAACUUUCUUACAUUGAAUGAGAUGAAUACUAGGAAAACUGAACUAAUUCUCUUCAUGUGUCAAGCAUAUAACUAGAAAUGGGAUCUGUAAGUGCAGUCAUGGAACUACUGGAAAUACCUGUGAACUUUCUGAAGGCCAAACUUUUCUUUUUGCUAGCUCAAGUCUAAAUUUAAUACUAUUCCAAACCCUGCCCCUCAUACACAUUUCAUGGUUUUGAAACCAUACUAUUUUCAUGCUGAUACCUGUCUUUAUGAUUUCAGCUGCUUAAAGCAGAGACUGAAAGUGGAGCACCAUACCAGUAAGUUGGUCAUCAAGAUGAAAGGAUUGCAUAAGGUUAUAUUAUUCUCUUGAAUUUCAAAUUUCAAAUUACAUACAACUGGGAGAAAACAAAAUACAAGAAUUUAACAAGAUAAAUAUUACCUCCUCAUAGCAGGGCUAUCAAUACUAUCUAACAGCCUAUACAUAGAACGAAACCAUUUUUUCAUCUUUGAAGAACUUGAGCUUUUAUCGCCUUUGGAAGUUAAAUGCCUUAAUGGAAAAGGCAAAGAUAAAUAAGAAAAGCACCGUAAACCCAACAAUCACAGCUGCAACCACUCCCAGGAAAUCAUGUUCAAACCCAAAAUAGUCAUCCAAGUAUUGUUUCACUGUUACAUUUGUGUCAAGUAGUCUGUCUUCGAUAUCUCCAUACUGUGAUGUAACCAAUCCAUACAAAGUCCAUGCAACUGGACAUGCCCAAUAAUACCAUCUCCACCACACAGGAAUCCUCUGCAUUCAUCAUGGAAGAAAUGCAACAAAAUGAGACGGUUUCAUAUCCAUGUGCUAAAUAAAGUUCCAAUUUAAAGAAUUAUGGGUUGAGAGCACUAACAGUCCGUGGGAUGAUAAAACCUGAGAAGAGGUUCCAUAAUGCAUAAAAUGCUGCAGCAAUGAUGGCAGCAAUAUGUUGAUUUGGUGUGGCAGCCACAGCCAUCAUGCCAAAAAAGGUGAAGUAUAAUAGGCUGAAGAACGUAAAAAAAAUAUACCAGAAGAACUUAGCAGUUGUCCAUUCAAAUCCAAUCAUUGCAUAAACUAUAGCACCAUACACUACAGCUUGUGAAAAGACAUAUGGUAUCUCAACUAAAGCCUGAAACAAGAGAUGAAUUUUGAUCAAUAAAACGCAUAAAGCAUUCGAGAUAUACAAAGUCUAUAGGAUAAGAAAACUUGUUACCUGUGCAAAGGCAUAUGGCAUGGCUGAAUACAUUCCUGCAGCUCUUUCUCUGUAAAAGACUGUCCGUUCGACUACCACGACUGGCUGCACCGAUUGGCCAUUCUGAAACCCAAGGAAGAUAACAGCAGCAUACAUAGAGCCCAUUGCAUUAGACAGAUCUUGUUGCCUUGUUCUGCAUUUUCCCAUGUGAAGUAAAAAUUGAAGUUGAUAUGGAGAAGCAUACUGAGUUCUCAAAAUUCUUAACUUACUUCAAAUUACCUUUGGGUGCCGAGAUCCCAGAACAUUGUCCCAAACAUCAAGGCUAUGAAAGUUGUGAAGAAAAAUCUCACUGCCGUGUAUGGUGGAUUGCGCCAGUAUGACCAACGUUGUUUCCAUAAGCAUGCCAUACAUUGGGUGAAGAAGGACUGGGAGUAUUGAGUAGGGAAAUAGAGGUCCUUAGAACCAGGGGUAGGUUGGCUCAAUUCUUUAAGUAAAUCUUUGUUAUUCCUGAAACAUAUGCCACAUUUUAGAAAAGGCUUCAACAACAAAUUCAAGCUUGCAUGAUGAACUUUGAGAUGGCUGUAUAUGACAUUUUAAUAUCAUAAAGCAUUCAGAUAUCCUAUAUUUGAAUCACCUGUAUAGAUCUGAGUUUUUGUAAAUUUCAGUGAAAUCCACCCCCAAAAUUAAUUCUUGUGCAGAAGUGGUAACUUCCAACAUCCAAGUUGCAGGGUUAUAACCAUCUUUGAUUUUACUCACUCCUUCAAUUCCCUAAAUGAAAGCCAGUCACAUGUAUUAGUAAGCACUUUAUAUGAAUUAACUCAAAAUAAAGUAUUUUGCUUAUAGCUUUUACUUUAUCAUGGGAGCAUACCUCAAAAUACUUUAUCAGAUGGGAAGAAUGUCUACCCAGUGGUCCCACAUAUAUCUCUUGCCCUCCACGCUUCAACAGGAGCAACUUCAAAUGCAUUUUGAAUAUGUCAGUACUUACAUUCAGGAGAGCAUAGAAGAGAAUAAAUCCUUUCUAUCCAUUAACAUUUCCCACCUCAUCAAAGGCUUCAAAGAUGUCAAUACUUGGCUGAUGGAUGGUGCACACAACUGUUCUUCCUGUGUCCACUGUGUUCCUGACUGUUCUCAUAACAAUUGCAGCAGCUCUUGCAUCUAGCCCUGAAGUUGGCUCAUCCAUGAAUAUUAUUGAGGGAUUUGCCACAAGCUCAACUGCAAUGGUCAGCCUCUUGCGCUGCUCGGUUGAGAGACCAUUUACACCUGGCAACCCAACUAGUGCAUCCCUUAAUGGGGUCAGUUCCACGAGCUCCAUGACUUCCUCAAUGAACAUCUGUAACCAUUAGCAAGGAUUACAAAUUGUUUGAACCAGCACUUUUCCCCACAGUGAAGCUCAACCAAGUUUGAAAAAUAUGGAAACAACUCAAGAAAGUCUCACCAUUCUGGUUUCAGCAUCCACAUCAGGAGACAACCGCAGCCAAGCUGAGUAGAGCAAGGACUCGUGGAUAGUAACAUGAGGAGAGUGGAUGUCAUUCUGCUCACAGUAUCCACAAAUUCGAGCAAAAGUCUCUUGCUUCUUUGGGUAGCCAGAAAUGCUGAUGUUUCCCUCAAUAUAUCCACCAGUUUUCCGACCAGCCAAUACAUCCAUGAGAGUGGUUUUACCAGCACCACUAACACCCAUCAGAGCUGUAAGAACACCUGGCCUGAAAGCACCACUCACCCCCUUCAGAAGCUCCAAUUUGUCUUCAAGGACACCCUGACUUUUCAUUUCCUGGAAAUUCAAUUCAAACAACUUAGUUCUCAUUUUUGGUUUAUUAGUACAGUAACAACACUCCUAUGCAGCUAAAAUGUACAUUAUUUGCAAAAAUAUGAAGUUACCUCUGGCAUGUCAACUGAGUAUCUAAUAUCAUCAAAGGUGAUAGAAUGUGGUUGGAAUGGGAGAACCAUCCCUUUUUUCUUGUUAUGGUUAGCCUCAGCAAUGGCUUCUUCUGUCACAUAUGAGAAUGUAGAUGAGAUACUUCUCCCAAUUUCCCCUCCCCUCUCUGCAAGUUAAGUUUAAAUUUAGUGAGCCAUAUAACACAUGCAGUUAAAUGACAACAUGUAAGAGUUUCAUCACUUGUGGAUGCAGUUUGGUCAAUUGAGCCUUUUCUAUGGGAUGAUAACUCGAUCUUUCCUCCAGUUUUGGCAUUGUCAGACUCUUCUGUUAUCACAGCUUGAGGCUUCUCAAAUGCUGCACAAUUUGCACAAAUCUUAAUGCACCAACAUCCAAUAUUUUAGGAGUUUCAAUGCAGAGAUGGUAAAGAUACCCACGAUUUAGGUAAGUGAGAGCCACAGUGUAAAAGAAGUUGAAGACAAAUAUGAAUCCAAGCAGUGCCCCGGCUCCUAUCCAGCACCAGUGUGCCUCUGUGAAGAACCCACGAGACUUCAAUACUGUGACUCCAAGGGAUUCUGUUGAAGUGGUAGAAGCAUUCUGAAAAUUGGAAAUACAUUUAAUCAUCAGUUACUGACACAAAUAAACACAAAUAUUUACAUGGACGAUUCAAGUAACUUACUUUGCUCCAACUUUUCCCAAGGAAUUCAUUUACCACUAUUGCGUUCUGUGCAUACAUCAGAGGGGAAGACCAGUAAACCCAAAUCCACCAUUUCUUGAUAUUUUCUGCAGCAUUGACCAAAUACAAAAAGAAAACAAAAAUCCAUUAUUAGGGUUUAUGCACAAGAAGGUUCUACAAUUCCUAAAAAAAUCUUUCAUCCUUAUACCUCGUGAUAGGACAAAACCACCCAAUGCAAAGAGUAAAAGUAAUGCAAAUGUCCCAAAUGUGUUUGCAAUAAUCAUGUUUCUACUAGCUGCUGCUAUAAAUCGAAAUAAUGAAGAUGCCACCUGAUUAAGAAGCAAGAGGAGAAGAUACUGUCUAAACAACCUGCAAUAAAAGAUCUGUUCAUUGAGCAUUGAUCAUUUUGGAACAGAGAAAACAUGUGAAACAAAUCUGGACAAGUUUCAACAUCAUAACUUUUUAACUUUUACCUUCCCACAUUUGGAUCAAAUCCAAUGACAUAAUAAGUGAUGAAUACCCAAACACCAACUUCAACAAAUGUGAUGGGGAUCUUGAGGAACCAUGAGGGAAGAGCAUAUGCCCAUGCAGGAUAGAAAAGUAGGCCUCUUUGCUUGUAAAAGACAGGAAGUUUUACAAUGGUCAUGGCAAGUUCUGACAUUCCAUUAAACAUGACAGUGAUGACAAUGAAGAACAAAGCGCCAGUGUAAAUGUUUCCAUCUUCUGUUGUGUUUUUGUGCAUUUCAGUUCUUAGGAAGAUUGUCAUGCCAAUCACUGCCAUUAUUGUGAGCUAAAAGCAGAAAUAGACUUAAUAAAUUAGGAUCACAUAUAGAAAAUUAAAAACCAUCAUUGUAAGUAACAACAGUAAUAAUACUCACUUGGGUGAGCUUGAAAAUAUAGACAAAUGAGUUCCUCUUCAUCAGCAAGUACUCCCUUGCAAUGCAAGCAUCCAACAGUUCCUUCUUUCUAACACCAUACUUUUCGGUUUUCAUAGCAGCUGGGUGGCUUUUGGUUUUGUCAAAUGGAGUUGCAAGCUCAUCUCCUAGUUUCCGUCCAAUGUGAAAUGACUGGAAUGCCUCAGCAAAUUCCUUGACUGUGACAAAACUGUAAGGCUCAUCUUUACAUAUCCAAUACUGCUCCUGAUCUUUCCUAGAUGUUACCUGUAAUCAAUUUUAAAAUUCAUGUUCUAGCUUGGGUUUUUCUAAAGAAGGGGAAAAAAAUGAGAAUAUGCCAAAAGCUACAAAGCUAUUAGCACUCACUUCUUGUAGGAAGUCUGCCACACCCUUCCUUUCAGGACAUCUGAACCCCAUGGAUUCAAAAAAGUCAAGAACGUCUUCACGAGGACCCUGAUAAACAAUCUGGCUAUCAGAGAGGAGAAUGAUGUCAUCAAAAAGAUUGUAAGUCUCAGGUGCUGGCUGGAGGAGAGAGAUGAGAGCUGUCCCUUUGAAAAUGUGGAUGUUUUGUCUGAGAGAAUUCACGAUUUGAUAAGUCGUUGAGCUAUCCAAGCCAGUAGAGAUCUCAUCCAUGAACAGUGCCUUUGAUGGUCCAACCAGCAUCUCACCUAUCAUUCAUAUAUUUUCAAUUAGUUGAACUAUAUUAGAUUAAUGAAGGAAAAAAUAUCUUCUUCUUUUUUCUUUUUUUUCUUUUUUUUCCUGUUAGGACACAAAUUAUCCUACCAGUUGUGACACGCUUCCUUUGUCCUCCAGAGAUACCCCUCACCAUUUCAUCUCCUACCAUGGUGUCUGCACAAACUUCUAGUCCCAGAAUCUGUAAAUUUAAGUGUAAAUGAAAAUAAACAAAUUAUGAGUUAGAAUUGGAUUUUCUUAGAAAUCUGUAUUCUAUCAUUGAAAGUUUUAUGGUUCUGAUACCUUUAAUGUAUAAUCAGUGAUCACAUUCUCCUUUUGCCCUUCAGCUGCCACUGCCUGAAAUGUUAGAAACCAAUAAUGAAAAUCUCAACCACCAUUAAAGCUAGUUUGGUUCAUCAAGAAAUUCCGUGGAUAAGACCACAGAACAUGAAGAAAACAAAGUCAAUUUGCCUAUCCAUGUGAGAGAUCAAAAUUUUCAUUCUAGAGAAGACAAGAGUCCAUGUUCUCCACUAAAAACAAAUAGCUCAAAUUCUGCAGAACUGGUGAAAAUUUCACAAAGUAGCUUCUGUCUCACCUUCAUGAAGACAUCAAUAUCAGGAUCAGGCUUAAUAUUUGCUGAUUUCUCUCUUCUUGAGAGCUCUGCUAACAUGUCUGCAGAUAACCACAAAAAGAGUCAAUAUCCUGGCCUAUGCAAAUGUCAUACAACUACAUUCACAACCUUCAAAAACAAAGAAAAUAAAAAUGAAAGGCAAUGGUUUAGACAAACCAUAUCGAUCUCCAACACCCUGGCAUCUUGCAGAGAAGGCCAAGGUUUCCCGUACAGUCAUUUCUCCUAUAUGGGUAUCGAGUUGACUUAUGUAGGCAGCAGUUCUCUGGGGUACAAACUCAUUCAUGCCAUGACCAUUGUAUGUCACGCUUCCCAUAACCUAAACAAGAAAUUUCAGUGUCCAAAUUGGAUAUGAGAUUAAAGAGCUAAAGAUUGAAUAUUCAUCAAAGAAAAAGCAAUGAUUUUUUUUUUCCAUUCAACCUUUAGACUGGAAUCAAGCUUUCCCGACAAAGCCAAUAAGAGAGUGGUCUUUCCAGAACUUGGAGGACCCAAAAGCAAUGUCAUUCUGCCGAAAAAAUAAAAUAAAAUAAAUAAAUAAAAAUAAAAAUAAAUAAAUAAAGCUAAAAAAAUGGAGUAAGGAUCUUCAGGAGAUUCUAAAUUUGAGAAAGGAAAAAUUCAUUUGUUUUCCAAACAAUUUUUUAGAAAUAAAUUCAUAUUCUCACCUUCGAGGUUUGAUGAUUCCGCUAACAUCAUGAAGAAUAGUGAAUUUCUUCUUUCUACUUGGAAGAAUCCGAAGGGCGUUCAAGAUAUCCUUUAAAACAGAAAGAAAAAUUAUAAUCUAAAAACAAACUUACCCAAGAGAAUAUUUAUUGCUUGGCUAGUGAUCUGUAUUUGCAUUUUAGCUACCUCAAUUUGAUUAAAAGCAGAAUUAAUGAAUGAAGGCAAAGCUCUGCUUCCUACAUAAGCUUCUGCAUCAAUGGUAAGAUGCUCAAAUCUAACUUCAAUUUCGGGAAGAUCAAUUCCAACUCUGAAAAAUGGAAGAGAAAUGAAAAUCCAUUAUUAAGAAGUCAAAGGAUGAUGCUGUUUGGUUGGGAUGAAAAUAUAGGAAACAUGAAAAUCCAUUAUUAAAAAGUCAAAGCAAGAUGCUGUUUGGUUGCAAAGAAAAUGUAGGAAACACUAUCAGGCAUAUUUAAGGUGAAUUCUUUCUUAUCCACUGUUUUCACUUUUCAAUGUUCAAAAAGAGGCAAGGAACGCAAGAAAAGAGAAAUCGCACCUAUCAAUACGAUUCUUGAGCUUCAACAAGAACUUCUCAUUGUCCUCAUCGGCGAUUUUCACCAAACGCUCCACCAAAUUUUUCCUUUCCUGAAGCCCAAGGUUGUGUAUAUCAACUUCAUUGGCCUCACCCUCUGAUCCCAUCAGCAAACCUUUCCUCAUCCGAUUGUAGGUGGGAAGUUUCUCGAGGGCGGCCCAUUUCAAAGCUUCCUCAUCAUCUUCAUCCCCUGAAGUUCGGGAGAAAACCUCCGCACCAGAGUUCCUCCAUAUGGAAGAACUGUCCUUCCUUAAACUACCACUGGCUCUAUAAAUUUCAGCCGUUGCCAUUGCAACACGAAACGAGGAACCCUCCCUGCAAAACUAACCAAACCCACUAGAACCCAGAAACCUUUCCUACAAAUCAGAGGGAAAAAAAACCCAAAUUUCGAGCUCUGGAGCUGAAAAAGCUCAAAAUCAGAGAUGGGUCGCCUCCACCCUUUCCUCUAUGCAUGCAAUUCCGUCUCUUUGCAUUGUUAAAACUUUGUUCCAUGUUGGAAAAAUGUGAAGAAUGGAAGGUUUAUAUAUUGAUUGGAAGGACAGAAAAUGAGGCUGCUCAGAAGUUUGAAAACCGCUUAUUUUCCACUGACUUCAUCUAGAAAAAUUGGCGGGGAAAAUCGAAUCUAGAAGAGGCUAUGAAAUUACGAAUGUCUCCAUUUUUGACUCUUCAAAUUCUUAUUUUUACAUUUUCACAUUUCAUAAUUUUCAGCCUUCGAGUACAUUGUUUGUCAAGUGACUGUAAAGAAAUGUAAAUUGUUAAAUAUUGUCUAACCGCCGCACUAAGGGCUUGUGUAGACUUUCCCCCUGUUUCAAGAAUGGGUUUUUGUUACUGAAAACAAAAAAUACAAAAAACUUAUUUGAGGAAGGGGAUGUGUUUUUAUUUUUGUGUUUUCCGUGUUCUCAAAAACCACUUUUUUUCAGAACAAUAAAAAAAAUGUUUUCAUUAUUUUUUCAAUAGAAUAAAUUAUUUUUUGUGUUUUCUUUUUCUUCUUUUUGUGUUUUUCUAGCUCCUUUUUGUGUUUUCACAAAGGUGAGCUCCACCCUCACCCUCACCUACAAACCCUUUCUUUUUCCUUAAAUUAUUGAAAUUAAUAUAUUUACACAUUAACUUUCAAACAUGUUUUUUGUUUUACUUAUUCUAAAAAACUUUUUUAUUAACUCAAUAAAACAUUUUUUUUUUAGAACAAAAACUGUUUUUCAAAACAAUUUUCAAAAAUAGCAACCAAACAGACCUUAACUUUUCGGUUUAGCUCAAUUCCCCCUAAAUUGCAAAUGUAAUUUUUUGUGGUUAAAAAGAUGAGGGAAAAGUAGGAUUGAUUUACUAAUAUGAAAAUACAUGGAAAAACAAACCUCAAAUUUUUUAAAUAAUUAUUAUCUUCGUUUAUUUAAAAAUAAUUUCAAAUAGAUACAUUUUUUAAUGAGUCAUCUAAUUAUUCCCUAAAAUAUUUAUUGUCAUAUCAUUAAUAUUAAUUGAUAGAUAGAUUCUUUCACGUAAAUGUUUAUCUUCCUUUUAGAUUUAUUAUUAUUAUUAUUUUAUUUGGGAUUUUUUUUUCACUGCUUUUAUCAUUCAUACUCUUCAAACUAUCUCACUUUUAUGAGAUGUUUAUGAAAAAAAAAAUGUCUUAACUUUUCCUAAGGUGUUUGUUUUUGGGAAAGAAAAAAAUCUCAAAUAAUAAUAAUUGUGGGAUGCUCACAACCGUCUAGCAUGAUCCUUAUGUGUCGUCGAGAGUGAUGCCUAUUUUGUGCAAUCGUCAUGUAUCUGUCUACCUUAAAAUGCAAACAGACAUAAAUCAUUGGGGCACUAUACAUUCCCACCAAUCAAGUAUUAAAUACGACAGAUAUUAAGUGCAUUAAUUGACAUAACCAUUACUAAGCAUAAAACGUCAUACUUCCAAGGCUCAAAAACUAGUAAUCAUUAACAUUAAAGACGAUAAAAGUGCAAUCAAAUGUAUAAUAAACGCAUUGAGAAGACAUUACCUUUGAGCUUGAAUAAACAGUCAUUAUUCAUAAAAAAGAAGUGACUUAAGCUUCCAAAGGAUGUAUCCGAAAAACUCAUUCAAACAUUCUUUUGUGCAAGUGCAAUCGUCGUCUACAUCACAUGAAGGCUAGCCGAAUACUUCAUUAUUGGUCAUGCACCAACAAUAAUGAUAAUAAAUCUAUAAAAAAAAGAAAAAGAAAAACCAUUUAUGUGGACAAGUCUAGUUGUCAAUUAAGGUUGAUGACAUGACAAAAAACAAUAACAUUUUAAAGGAUAAUUAAAUGACUAAUUAAAAGCGCAUGUAUUUCAAUUUUUUUUAAAUAAAUAAAGAUAAUAUUGAUUUAAAAAAUUUAGGUUUCUUUUUUUCCAUAUAUUUUCAUAUUAGUAAGUUAAAACUCACUUUUCCCUUAAAAUUAAAUUCAAAUUCUUAUUAUUCAAAGCAUUACAUUAGUUUGGAUUUAUCAAAUAUUAAAUAACAUAUAAAUUAAUAUUAAUCAUAAAUUCCCAUAAUAUGAAUCAUUGUAAAAGAGUAAAUUUAUGAACAUACAAAUUAAUAUAAUUGUAGGAAAAAGUGAGUAUUGACUCACUAAUAUGAAAAUAUAUAGAAAAAAUAACCUCAAAUUUUUUAAAUCCAUAUUAUCUUCAUCUAUUAAAAAGUAAUUUAAAAUAUAUGUACUUUUUAUUGAGUCAUAUAAUUAUUCCCUAAAAAGUAAUUUGAAAUACACACACUUUUUAUUAUCUUCAUCUAUGAAAAAGAAACUUUUUUUUUCUUUUCAUUUCUUUUAUUUUUUCACACUCAAUUGUUUUUCAUAUUAUUCUUAUAUUUUAAAACAAAAUAAUUUCUUUAAAUAAUAAAUUAUAAAAUGAUUUUAUUAUAUUCAAUGCUUUUUUAAAUUUGCAAAAAUAGACCAUCACCCUAUUCACCUCCCUCUAGGGUGAUUACCAUAGGUUGGAUUAACCUAAUAUUUCUAAUAAUUUUUAAAAUAUCAAAAUCAAGCCCUAGAUAACUCACCAUUAAAAAAAAAAUAUUUAAGAAGUUAUAGAAAGUUCCUUUUAAUAUAUUUUUAUGGUAUAUAGUAGAAUUUAAAUAAAAUUAAUUCCAAAAAUUUUUAAAAAUUAAAAAAAAUCAUUUAUAAAAGUUAUUAACCAUUAAUAAUUGAUAGUGGUUGUAUUAUACAAAAAAAAAAAGGUUGUAUUAGUCUUGUCAUUGAUAUUCAUAAUUGAUAAUAUCAUAUAUUAAAAAUUAUUAACCAUUAAUAAUAAAUCAACACUGAUUAUUAAUUAUUUAGACCAUUUUUACGGAAAAAAAAAUAGUGAAACUUUUAAAUUAAUAUACCAAAAAUAGUUUUAGAAGCAUAUAGAGAAGAUUGAGAAUAAAAUUUGAGUUUUGCGGUGUUGUUGUUUUAGUGUUUUAAGUUUUAAAACUUGAGUCAAGUGAUUGUUCUUUGCUCUGUUUGGUUGUUGAGAAAAAUAGAAGAAGAUUGAGAAUGAAACUUGAGUUUUGUGGUUAUACAGUUGCAUUCACUUUGUAAGGCCAAUGAACUAAUUAUAAAAGCAAUGUAUUGUUUACAACUUAUUUUUAUCCCUCACCGAAAUACCUCAAAGGUUUAUGACAAUAAAAAGAAAAAAAAAAGUGUUAAUUUUCCUUUUCAAAUUUUAAAAAAUCAAAUAAAUAUAAAAAUAGAUUUUUAUUUUUUAAAGAUAAAAUUAAAAAUGGAAGAAAAAUAUGAUAAAUUCAAUUUUUUACCUUCAAGUUAAUUUGUAAAUAUUUUUAAAAUAAAUAGGAAAAUUAAAAUAUUGCAAUUGAUUUUUAAGAUAAAAUUUGAAAACAAAAAAUAACAAUAACUUUCAUAUAAAAUAUAAAAACUUUUAGAUACUUAAACAAAAAAGGUAAUGGUAAUGAAAAAAGUAAAAAAAAAAAAAAAAGUGAAGUUUCAAAAAUUUUAUCCCAUCUCAAAUUCAAAAAUUUUUAAAAGUAAUUUUUAAGGAUAUAAAACAAACCUAUAUUUUUUAUAUAAGAAUUUUCCUUUUUUUUAAGUUAUAAAAAUUAUUCUCAAUUUCUCCUUUUAAAAAUAAUGAACAAGAAAUGUAUUUAAAAGAAACCUUAUAUUGAAAAAAUUUUAAAUGCCUAAUAAUUAAAAAAAAAAUUCUAAAUUUAAAAAUAAUAAUUUAAGUUUUAAAAUUAUAAAUCGUAUAUGGAACUUCUUCCCAUUAAAUAAUUGCUUACUUAAUCCCCACAUGUGAUUUUCUAAAAACCCAAUUAAGGGUAUUUUGGGCAUUUUUGGCUCACAAAAUGUUGGUACGUCCUUCAUAGUAAUUUGGAGACGUGCUCGACCCCAUCACAACAAUUAUACAAAUUCAUGGUCUUUAGGGUCAUUAUCACCUUCAUGGCUUCAAUCAGCCCUCGAUCAUAGCCGGCUGUAGGUGCAAUUUGGUCUCUUCUCACUUUAUUAAUCACACAGGACAAAGUCCAAAAUCAAAUAUAUUCUAAAAAAUAGGUGGAUUCUUGGCAUGUGUAUCAGGAAUUUUACUUUUCAUAUGGAAAGUGGUGAUUGCCUAAAUGGAACGCGUGAUUGACUUUAAGUCCUAAAAAUAAUAAUAAAUAAAUAAAUAAAUAAAUAAUGAAAAAUAAGGCAAUUGUGCCUAACUAUUGAAUGAAAAAAAUAAAAUAUUUUGUCACAUCUAUGGAAAGUUGACUUUGACAAUGACAUGAUAGAAUAGGUCAAGCCCACUAGAUUUCAGGAAAGUAGUAAGUAAAAAAUAAAUAUAAAAUGAUAUUCUAGUAUUUUAUUGAGCAUAAAAAAUAGAAAAUAAAUUCAAAUAUAAUUAAAAUUAAAUUUAUGAAUUUUAAGAUUAUUUAAUUUUUAUAUAAAAUAGUUAAAAAAAUUAAAUAAAAUUUUAAAAUAUAUAAAAAAUAAUUUAUUGAGUUUAAAUAAUUUUUCUCAUUAUUUUAUUUCUGGAAUUUCCUCAAAUUUUUCAAAAUCCAAAUGCUCUAUGAAAAUUGACUUUGACAAUUACAUGAUAGAAUAGGCCAAGCCCACUAGAUUUCAGGAAAGUAGCAAGUAAAAAAUAAAUAAAAAAUGAUAUUCUAGUAUUUUAUUGAGCAUAGAAAAUAUAAAAUAAAUUCAAAUAUAAUUAAAAUUAAAUUUAUAUAUUUUAAAUUUAUUUAAUUUUUAUAUAGAACAAUUAAAAAAAUUUAAUUUAAUUUAAAAAUAAUUUAUUGAAUUUAAAUAAUUUUUCCCAUUAUUUUAUUUCCAUAAUUUCCUCAAACUUUUCAAAAUCCAAAUGCUUGGUUAAGCUUUUUGAAAGCGAAUAUUAUAAUAAUAAUAAUAACAACUUAUUGAACUUUCCAUGCAUCAUCUUCCUUAAAAUAUAAAUGCUCCAACUCCCAUUUUCAAAUUUAUCAUUACAAAUUUUGCAAUUUUGGUUUAUUUAAAUUUAAAUACAGAAGAGGCCAAUAAUGGCUCCUAAUACAUGGAAUACGCAUAUCCCACCAUUUUUUACCCUUCAAAUUCUUAUAUUAACACUUUCUCCGUUCUUAAAUUCUAGCUUUUCUAUGUCUUAUAUGGGUAUAUUAGGCUAUGUCGUUUAAGAUCGACAAUUUUGUUCUAUUCAUUUUAGCUUAAAAGUGUCCAAGAAUAUGCUCUAUAUUAAACCUCUCUCAUGUUAGUAGCUUCAACAAGAUAGGAGUUCUUGAUGGAACAUCUAUGGUCCGGGGGACAUGAUAGACAACCCAUAUGACUAGUUCACAUAAUUAUGAAUCUUCUAUUCAAAUAUUUUAAUAUUUGACUCCCUUUUCCACAAUGAUAGCUAUACUUAUGAAUGAAAAAAUCAAGGCCAUCAAAGCCUCCUUGAUGAUGGUUAAAGCAAGAAAAAGAAACAAUGAAUCUUAAUGUGAUGUUUCAAGGAGCCCACUUUUCAACGAGGCGACCUGAAUUUAAGGGGCUUAGUUCACUGGAAGUUCUUACUUUUCUUGAUUCCAGAUAAUGAAAGAUUUGAUAUAUAUCUAGAAAUUCAAAAUCUUCUUGUCUUCACGCUUUCUGAUCAAAGCAAGUAUUAAUAAAGAAAACAAUCAGAACAUGACAGAUGUUGAACUUCAUCUUGUCUAGAUUCACAGAGUCGAUGAGGUUCUGAGCUUGGAAGAGUCAGGUCAAAUCCACAUGUCUGGAAAUUUGGAAGGCAGUGAUUCUACAAUUCAAAGUUGUAUAUCCACAUGUCUGGAUCUGAUCAGCAGGAUACCAAUGAAUGAGCACCAAGUUUAAGUAACUACUUUUCUUCAUGGGUCAAGCAUGGAACUUAGAAAUACCUCUGAACUUUCUGAAGAAGGCCAAAACUUCCCUUUUUGCUAGCUCAAGUCUAAAUUUAAGAGUGUUGCAAACCCUGCUCCUGAUACACGCUUGUUGGUUUUGAAAACAUACUAUUUUCAUGUUGUUACCGUGUCUUAAUGUCUUCAGCCACUUAAAGCAGAGACUGAAAGUGGAGCACCAUACUAGUAAGCAGGCAAUCAAGAUGAAAGAAUUGCUUAAGGUUACAUUAUUGUCAUGAAUUUUAACUUACAUAAAAUUGGGAGAAAACAAAAUACAAGAAUUUAACUAGUAUUAUCUGCUCAUUGCAGAGCUAUGGAUACUCUCUAACAGCCUAUACAUAGAACAAAACCAUUUUGUUCUAUCUUACAACCAAAGGUUGAACUGAGAAUGUUACAUAUACAUUAACCAACCAUCUUUGAAGAACUCGUGCUUUUACCGCCUUUGGAAGUUAAAUGCCUUGAUGGCAAAGGCAAAGAUAAAUAAGAAAAGUACUGUAAACCCAACAAUCACAGCUGCAACCACUCCUAGAAAAUCAUGUUCGAAUCCAAAAUAGUCAUUCAAGUAUUGUUCCACUGUGUCACCUGUGUCCUCAAAUCUGUCCUGUAUAUCUCCAAACUGUGAUGUAACCAAUCCAUACAAAGUCCAUGCAACUGGACAUGCCCAAUAGUACCAUCUCCACCACACAGGAAUCCUCUGUAUUCAUCAUGGAAGAAAUGCAACAAAAUGAGUCAUUUCCAUAUCCAUGUGCUAAAGAUAGUUGCAAUUUAAAGAAUAAUGAGUUGAGAGAACUUACGGUUCGAGGAACUAUAAAACCUGAAAAUAAGUUCCAUAAUCCAUAAAAUGCUGCAGCAACGAUGGCAGCAAUAUGUUGAUUUGGUGUGGCAGCCACAGCCAUCAUGCCAUAAAAGGUGAAGUACAGUAAGGUGAAGAACAUGAAGAACAGAUACCAGAAGAACUUAGCAGCUGUCCAUUCAAAUCCAAUCAUUGCAUAAACUAUAACACCAUACACCACAGCUUGUGCAAAGACAUAUGGUAUCUCAACUAGAGCCUGCAACAAGAGAUGAAAUUUGAUUAAUAAAACCCAUAAAGUGUUAGAGAUAGACAGUCCAUAGCAUAAGAAAACUAGUUACAUGUGCAAAGGCAUAUGGCAUAGCUGAAUAUAUUCCUGCAGCUCUUUCUCUGUAAAAGACAGUCCGUUCAACUGCAACGACUGGCUGCACCGAUGAGGAAUUUUGAACCCCAAGGAAGAGAACAGCAGCAUACAUAGAACCCAUUGCAUUACUCAAAUCUUGUUGUUUUGUCCUGCAUUUUACCAUGUGAAGUAUGAAUUAAAGUUGAUACAGAGAAACAUACUGAGUUCUCAAAAUCCUGUACUGGGUUCAAAUUACCUUUUGGUGCCGAGAUCCCAGAACAUUGUCCCAAAUAUCAAGGCUAUGAAAGUUGUGAAGAAAAAUCUCACUGCCGUGUAUGGUGGAUUGCGCCAAUAUGACCUACGCUGUUUCCAUAAGCAUGCCAUACAUUGGGUGAAGAAGGACUGGGAGUAUUGAGUAGGGAAAUAGAGGUCCUUUGAACCAGGGGCAGGUUGGCUCAAUUCUUUAAUUAAAUCUUUGUUUCUCCUGAAACAUAUGCCACAUCAGAAAAGGCUUCAAUAACCAAUUCAAGCUUGCAUGAUGAACUUUGAGAUGUGUAUACAUGAGAUUUCAAUAUCAUAAUGCUUUCAGAUAACCUAUAGUUGAAUCACCUGUAUAGGUUCGAAUUUUUGUAUAUUUCAGUGAAAUCCACCCCCAACAAGAAUUCUUGUGCCGAAGUGGUAACUUCCAGCAUCCAAGUUGCAGGGUUAUAACCACCUUUGAUUUUACUCACUCCUUCAAUUCCCUUAAUGAUAGCAAGUCACAUGUAUUAGUAAGCACUUGAUAUGAAUUAACUCAAACUAAAGUAUUUGCUGCUUAUAGCUUUUACUUUAUCAUGGCAGCUUACCUCAAAAUACUUUAUCAGACAAGAAGAAUGUCUACCCAGUAGUCCCACAUAUAUCUCUUGUCCUCCUCGCUUCAGCAGGAGCAACUGCAAAUCCAUUUUAAAUAUUUCAGUACUUAUAUGCAAAGCUCAUAGAAGGGAAACUAUAAAUUCUUUCUAUCCAUUAACAUUUCCUACCUCAUCAAAGGCUUCAAAGAUGUCAAUACUUGGCUGAUGGAUGGUGCACACAACUGUUCUUCCUGUGUCCACUGUGUUCCUGACUGUUCUCAUAACAAUUGCAGCAGCUCUUGCAUCUAGCCCUGAAGUUGGCUCAUCCAUGAAUAUUAUUGAGGGAUUUGCCACAAGCUCAACUGCAAUGGUCAGCCUCUUGCGCUGCUCUGUUGAGAGACCAUUUACACCUGGCAACCCAACUAGUGAAUCCUUCAAUGGGGUCAGUUCCACGAGCUCCAUGACUUUCUCAAUGAACAUCUGUAACCAUUAGAUAGGAUUAGAAAUUGUUUAAAAAAAAAAUGCGAAGCCAUAGCAGAGAUGGUAAAAAAAUUGACACUGCUUGUGACUCUUUUCAGUUAGCAGGUUGUGAACAAGUUUCUCUAGUCUUAUUAAACAGAUCAGUUCAUGGUUGCCAAUGCUCAAUAACACCUAUUAGCAUGCAUGAACUUCACCAACUUGGAUUCCAGGUCAACCAAAUUUGAACCAGCACCUUUCCCCAGGGUGAAGUUCAAGCCAAACUUGAACCUGAUCUAAGCCCAACCAAGUUUGAAAAAUCAAUUCUAGGGCUUUACUUGUUCAGAGCCCUCAAUUGAAUAAGACAAAUGUGGAAAGAACUCAGGAAGACCUCACCUUUCUAGUUUUAGAAUCCACAUCAGCAGGCAACCUCAGCCAAGCAGAGUAGAGCAAGGACUCAUGGAUAGUAACAUGAGGAGAGUGGAUGUCAUUCUGCUCACAGUAUCCAGAAAUUCGAGUAAAAGUCUCUUGCUUCUUUGGGUAGCCAGAAAUGUUGAUGUUACCCUCAAUAUAUCCACCAGUUUUCCGACCAGCCAGUACAUCCAUGAGAGUGGUUUUACCAGCACCGCUAACACCCAUCAGAGCUGUAAGAACACCAGGCCUGAAAGCACCACUCACCCCCUUUAGAAGCUUCAAUCUGUCUUCAAGGACACCCUGACUUUUCAUUUCCUACAAAUUCAAUUCAAACAACUUAGUUCUCAUUUUCGGUUUAUUAGUGCUGCUAAAGCAUGUACAUUAUUUGUAUUAAUAUGGAGUUACCUCUGGCAUGUCAACUGAGUAUCUAAUAUCAUCAAAGGUGAUAGAAAGUGGUUGGAAUGGAAGAACCAUUCCUCUUUUGGUGUUACGUCUAGCCUCAGCAAUGGCUUCUGCCCUCACAGAUGAGGAUGUGGAUGAGAUGCUUCUCCCAAUUUCGUCUCUCCUCUCUGCAUGUUAAGUUUAAAAUUAGUGAGCCAUGUAAAACAUGUGGUUAAAUGACAAGAACAAAGGCACACAUGCACCAUGAAUGAGUUUCAUCACCUGUGGAUGCAGUUUGGUCAAUCGAGCCUCGUCUAUGGGAUGAUAACUCGAUCUUUCCUCCAGUUUUGGAAUUCUCAGACUCUUCUGUUAUAACAGCUUGAGGCUUCUCAAAUGCUGCACAAUUUGCACAAAUCUUAGUACACUAAUCUCCAAUAUUUUAGGAUUUUCAACACAGAGAAUGUAAGGAUACCCACCAUUUAGGUAAGUGAGAGCCACAGUGUAACAGAAGUUGAAGACUAAAAUGAAUCCAAGCAGUGCCCCAGCUCCUAUCCAGUACCAGUAUGCCUCUGUGAAGAACCCGCGAGACUUCAAUACUGCUACUCCAAGGGAUUCUGUUGAAUUGGUUGAAGAAUUCUGAAAAAUGGAAAUACAUUCAAUCAUGACACAAAUAAACACAAAUAUUGAUAUGAAACAUUCAUAAACUUACUUUGCUCCAACUCUUCCCAAGGAAUUCAUUUACCACUAUUGCGUUCUGUGCAUACAUCAGAGGGGAAGACCAGUAACCCCAAAUCCACCAUUUCUUGACAUUUUCUACAGCAAUGACCAAAUACAAGAAGGAAACAAAAAUUCAUUAUUAGGGUUUAUGAACAAGAAGGUCCUAGUUUCCUAAAAAAAAUCUUUCCUCCUUAUACCUCGUGACAGGACAAAACCACCCAAUGCAAAGAGCAAAAGUAAUGAAAAUGACCCAAAUGUGUUUGCAACAAUCAUGUUUCUACCAGCUGCUGCAAUAAAUCGAAACAAUGCAGAUGCCAUCUGAUUAACAAGCACGAGGAGAAGAUAUUGUUUAAACAGCCUGCAAUAAGAAGAUUUGUUUAUUGAGCAUUGAUCAUUUUGGAACAAAGAAAACAUUUGAAACAAAUCUGGACAUGUUUCUUUUACCUUCCCACAUUUGGAUCAAAUCCAAUGACAUAAUAAGACAUGAACACCCAAACAGCAACUUCAACAAAUGUGAUGGGGAUCUUGAGGAUCCAUGAGGAGAGAGCAUAUGCCCAUGCAGGGUAGAAUAGUAGGCCUCUUUGCUUGUAAAAGACAGGAAGUUUUGCAAUGGUCAUGGCAAGUUCUGACAUUCCAUUAAACAUGAUCAUGACAACAGUGAAGAACAAAGCACCCAUGUAAAUGCUUCCAUCAUCUGUUGAAUUUUUGUGCAUCUCAGUUCUUAGGAAGAUUGUCAUGGAAAUUGCUGCCAUUAUUAUGAGCUAAAAGAAGAAACAAAAAUAAUGAAUUACGAUCAAAUGUACAAAAUUAAAAGCCACUGUUAUGAGUAACAACAAUAAUAAUACUCACUUGGGUGAGUUGUAAAAUAUAGACAAAUGAAUUCCUCUUCAUCAGCCAGUACUCUCUUGAGAUGCAAGCAUCCAACAGUUCCUUCUUUCUAACACCAUAUUUUUCAGUUUUCAAAGCAGCUGGGUGGCUUUUGGUCUUGUCGAAUGGAGUUGCAAGCUCAUCUCCUACUUUCCGUCCACUGUGAAAUGACUGGAAUGCCUCAGCAAAUUGCUUGACUGUGACAAAACUAUAAGGCUCAUCUUUACGUGCCCAAUACUGCUGCUGAUCUUUCCUAGAUGUUACCUGUAAUCAAUUUUAAAAUUCAUGUUCUAGCUUGAUUUUUUCUAAAGAAGGAAAAAAAAAUAUGAGAAGAUGCCUAAAGGUACAAAACUAUUAGCACUCACUUCUUGUAGGAAGUCUGCCACACCCUUCCUUUCAGGACAUCUGAAGCCCAUGGAUUCAAAAAAGUCAAGAACGUCUUCACGAGGACCCUGAUAAACAAUCUGGCUAUCAGAGAGGAGAAUGAUGUCAUCAAAAAGAUCGUAAGUCUCAGGUGCUGGCUGCAGGAGAGAGAUGAGAGCAGUCCCAUUGAGAAUGUGGAUGGUUUGCCUGAGAGAAUUCACGAUUUGAUAAGUUGUCGAGCUAUCCAAGCCAGUAGAGAUCUCAUCCAUGAACAGUGCCUUCGAUGGUCCAACCAGCAUCUCCCCUAUCAUUUAUAUAUUUCACAGUUGAAUUAACUUAAAUUAAUGAACGAAAAAUUCUAAUUUAUUUUAUUUGGUUGGAAACCAAAUUAUCCUACCAGUUGUGACACGCUUCCUUUGUCCUCCAGAAAUACCCCUUAUCAUUUGAUCCCCUACCAAGGUGUCUGCACAGACUUCUAGUCCCAGAAUCUGUAAAUUUAAGUGUAAAUGAAAAUAAACAAAUUAUGACUUAGAAUUGGGUUUUCUCAGAAAUCUGCAUUCCAUCAUUGAAAGUUCUAUGGUUAUGAUACCUUCAGUGUAUAGUCAGUGAUCACAUUCUCCUUCUGGCCUUCCGUUGCCGCUGCCUGAAAUAUUAAAAACCAAUAAUGUAAAUCUCACUCACCAUCAAACCAAUAAGUACCUUAAGAUAUUCCAAGGACAAAAGAUUUUGCUCUGCAGAACUGGUUAAAAUUUCACUCAAAGUAGCUUCUGUCUCACCUUCAUGAAGACAUCGAUAUCAGGAUCAGGCUUAAUAUUUGCUGCCUUCUCUCUUCUUGAGAGCUCUGCUAACAUGUCUGCGAAUAGCCAAAUAAAAGUCAACCUCCUGGCUUAUGCAAAUUUCAUAUAACUAAAUUCACAAGCUUCAAAAACAAAGAAAAUAAAAGUAAAAGGCAAUGAAUGGUUUAGACCAACCAUAUCGAUCUCCAACACCCUGGCAUCUUGCAGAGAAGGCCAAGGUUUCCCGUACAGUCAUUUCUCCUAUAUGGGUAUCAUGUUGGCUGAUGUAGGUUGCAGUUCUCUGGGGUACAAAUUCAUUCAUGCCAUGACCAUUGUAUGUCACCUUUCCCGUAACCUAAAGAAGGAAUUUCAGUUUCCAAAUUGGAUAUGAGAUUAAACAGCUGAAAAUGGAAUAUUCAUUAAAGAACAAAAGCAAUAAUUUUUUUUUUCAUUCAACCUUUAGACUGGAAUCAAGCUUUCCGGACAAAGCCAAUAACAGAGUGGUCUUUCCAGAACUGGGAGGACCCAAAAGCAGUGUCAUUCUGCAGAAAAAAAAUAUGCACAAAAGAUUGAGUAUGGAUCUUCAGGAUAUUCUAAAUUGGAGAAAGUAAAAAAAUCAAUUUGAUAUAUAUAUAUCAAUUAAUUUUUUUUCAAAAAAAAAAAAAAAAUCAUAUUCUCACCUUCGAGGUUUGAUGAUUCCACUAACAUCGUGAAGAAUAGUGAAUUUCUUCUUUCUACUCGGAAGAAUCCGAAGAGUGUUCAAGAUAUCCUUGAAAACAGAAAGAAAAAUUAUAAUCUAAAAACAAACUUACCCAAGAGAGUAUUUAUUGCUUAGCCAGUGAUCUGUAUUUGCAUUUUAGUUACCUCAAUUUGAUUAAAAGCAGAAUUAAUGAAUGAAGGCAAAGCUCUGCUUCCUACAUGAGCUUCUGCAUCAAUGGUAAGAUGCUCAAAUCUAACUUCAAUUUCGGGAAGAUCAAUCCCAACUCUGAAAAAUGAAAUAGACAUGCAAACCCAUUACUAAAAAGUCAAAGGAAGAUGUUUGGUUGUGAAGAAAAUGCAGGACUAUCAGUCACAUUUAAGGUGAAUUCUUUCUUUUCCACUGUUUUCAAUGUUAAAAAAGAAAAAGAAAAACGGCAAGAAACGCAAGAGAAGAGGAGAAAUCGCACCUAUCUAUACGAUUCCUGAGCUUCAACAAGAACUUCUCAUUGUCCUCUUCGGCAAUUUUCACCAACCGCUCCACUAAGUUCUUCUUUUCCUGAAACCCAAGGUUGUGUAUAUCAACUUCACUGGCCUCACCCGCCGAACCCAUCAGCAAGCCUUUCCUCAUCCGAUUGUAGGUGGGAAGUUUCUCGAGUGCGGCCCAUUUCAAAGCUUCCUCAUCAUCUUCAUCCCUUGAAGAACGGGAGGAAACCUCCUCACCAGAGUUCCUCCAUAUGGAAGAACUGUCCUUCCUUAAACUACCACCGGCUCUAUAAAUUUCACCCGUUGCCAUUGCAACACGAAACGAGGAACCCUCCCUGCAAAACUAACCAAACCCACUAAAACCCAGAAACCUUUCCUACAAAUUAGGAGGAAAAAAACCCAAAUUUCGAGCUCUGGAGCUGAAAAAGCUCAAAAUCAGAGAUGGGUCGCCUCCACCCUUUCCUCUAUGCAUGCAAUGCCGUCUCUUUGCAUUGCUAAAACUUUGUUCCAUGUUGGAAAAAUGUGAAGAAUGGAAGGUUUAUAUAUUGAUUGGAAGGACAGAAAAUGAGGCUGCUCAGAAGUUUGAAAACCGCUUAUUUUCCACUGACUUCAUCUAGACAAGUUGGCGGGGAAAAUCGAAUCUAGAAGAGGCUAUGAAAUUACGAAUGUCUCCAUUUUUUACUCUUCAAAUUCUUAUUUUACAUUUUCACAGUUCAUAAUUUUCAGCCUUCGAGUACAUUGUUUGUCAAGUAACUUUAAAGAAAUGUAAAUUGUUAAAUGUUGUCUACCUGCCGCGGCCUGUUUAGUUCCAGUUUUCAAAAAUGGUUUUUUGUUAUUGAAAAUAAAAAACACAAAAAAACUUAUUUAGGAAAGGGGAUGUGUUUUUGUUUUUGUUUUUUUUUUUGUGUUUUCGGUAUUCUCAAAAACCACUUUUUUUUAGAAUAAUAAAAAAAUAUAUUUUCAUUAUUUUUUCAAUAAAAUAAAUUAUUUUUCGUGUUUUUUUUUUUUCUUCUUUUUGUGUUUUCCUAGGUGCUUUUUAUGUUUCCACGAAGGUGAGUUCCACCUUCACAUCCACUCACAAACCUUUUCUUCUUCCUUAAAUUAUUAAAAUUAAUAUACUUAUACAUUAACUUUCAAACAUGUUUUUUGUUUUACUUAUUCUAAAAAACUUUUUUAUUAAUUCAAUAAAACAUGUUUUUUUUUUUUUGAGAACAAAAAUUAUUUUCCUAAACAAUUUUCAAAAAUAGCAACCAAACAGACCUUAACUUUUCGGUUUAGCUCAAAUCCCCCUAAAUUGCAAAUGUAAUUUUUUGUGGUUAAAAAGAUGAGGGAAAAGUAGGAUUGAUUUACUAAUAUGAAAAUACACGGAAAAACAAACCUCUUCGUUUAUUUAAAAAUAAUUUCAAAUACAUACAUUUUUUAAUGAGUCAUCUAAUUAUUCCCUAAAUUAUUUAUUGUCAUGUCAUUAAUAUUAAUUGAUAAAUGGAUUCUUUCACGUCAAUGUUUAUCUUCCUUUUAAAUUUAUUAUUAUUAUUAUUAGUAUUAUUAUUUUAUUUGGGAUUUUUUUUUCACUGCUUUUAUCAUUCAUACUCUUCAAACUAUCUCACUUUUAUGCAAGGAUUGAAAUAUCGGUAAACACGGAUAUAUCGGUACUUGGAUUUUACGGAUAUAUCGGAAAUAUCGGAGAAAUAUCGGUGGAUAUUUUUCAUCAAAUAUCGGUGAGACAAAAAUUAUCCAAAAUUGAUGGGAAUGUUUAAAAAAAGCCAAAGAAUGAUAAAAUAAGCAAGAAUAUGCAUGUUAAAGUUAUUUUAUAAGUGUAAUUGACAUAAAUAUGGUCAAAGAAAAAAAUAUCGGUAAAUAGUUUACGAUACUUGGAUUUGAAGAAUAAAAAAUAUGAAAUUUGGAAUUGUACACUUAGAAAGUUAGAAUUGAGUUAAGAAAUAUUUGAUUUCAUUAAAUGAAAACAAUUUACACAUAAACAUAAUACAUAUGACAUUGCAAUGGUCCUUAAUACCAAAAUGAAGAUCGAUGUGGUUCCAUCAUAUUGUUAUUGUUAGAUGAAGGGAGCCCAUCUUGUUGAAGACAAUAUUCAUACCAGGACAUGGAGUUUCGAUAGUAUUGAUUGUAUGUACGAACAUGCCAUGCAUAAAUUUCUUGAGUCCUACCAACAACUUGUCCAUGGAUAGGAAAUCCAGGGUNNNNNNNNNNNNNNNNNNNNNNNNNNNNNNNNNNNNNNNNNNNNNNNNNNNNNNNNNNNNNNNNNNNNNNNNNNNNNNNNNNNNNNNNNNNNNNNNNNNNUGAGGCUGCUCAGAAGUUUGAAAACCGCUUAUUUUCCACUGACUUCAUCUAGACAAGUUGGCGGGGAAAAUCGAAUCUAGAAGAGGCUAUGAAAUUACGAAUGUCUCCAUUUUUUACUCUUCAAAUUCUUAUUUUACAUUUUCACAGUUCAUAAUUUUCAGCCUUCGAGUACAUUGUUUGUCAAGUAACUUUAAAGAAAUGUAAAUUGUUAAAUGUUGUCUACCUGCCGCGGCCUGUUUAGUUCCAGUUUUCAAAAAUGGUUUUUUGUUAUUGAAAAUAAAAAACACAAAAAAACUUAUUUAGGAAAGGGGAUGUGUUUUUGUUUUUGUUUUUUUUUUUUGUGUUUUCGGUAUUCUCAAAAACCACUUUUUUUUAGAAUAAUAAAAAAAUAUAUUUUCAUUAUUUUUUCAAUAAAAUAAAUUAUUUUUCGUGUUUUUUUUUUUCUUCUUUUUGUGUUUUCCUAGGUGCUUUUUAUGUUUCCACGAAGGUGAGUUCCACCUUCACAUCCACCCACAAACCUUUUCUUCUUCCUUAAAUUAUUAAAAUUAAUAUACUUAUACAUUAACUUUCAAACAUGUUUUUUGUUUUACUUAUUCUAAAAAAACUUUUUUAUUAAUUCAAUAAAACAUGUUUUUUUUUUUUUGAGAACAAAAAUUAUUUUCCUAAACAAUUUUCAAAAAUAGCAACCAAACAGACCUUAACUUUUCGGUUUAGCUCAAAUCCCCCUAAAUUGCAAAUGUAAUUUUUUGUGGUUAAAAAGAUGAGGGAAAAGUAGGAUUGAUUUACUAAUAUGAAAAUACACGGAAAAACAAACCUCUUCGUUUAUUUAAAAAUAAUUUCAAAUACAUACAUUUUUUAAUGAGUCAUCUAAUUAUUCCCUAAAUUAUUUAUUGUCAUGUCAUUAAUAUUAAUUGAUAAAUAGAUUCUUUCACGUCAAUGUUUAUCUUCCUUUUAAAUUUAUUAUUAUUAUUAUUAGUAUUAUUAUUUUAUUUGGGAUUUUUUUUUCACUGCUUUUAUCAUUCAUACUCUUCAAACUAUCUCACUUUUAUGAGAUGUUUAUGAAAAAAAAAAUGUCUUAACUUUUACUAAGGUGUUUGUUUUUGGGAAAGAAAAAAAUCUCAAAUAAUAAUAAUUGUGGGAUGCUCACAACCGUCUAGCAUGAUCCUUAUGUGUCGUCAAGUGUGAUGCCUAUUUUAUGCAAUCGUCAUGUAUCUGUCUACCUCAAAAUGCAAACAGACAAAUCAUCGAGGCACUAUACAUUCCCACCAGUCAAGUAUUAAAUACAACAUAUAUUAAGUGCAUUAAUUGACAUAACCAUUACUAAGCAUAAAACAUCAUACUUCCAAGACUCAAAAACUAGUAAUCAUUAACAUUAAAGAUGGUAAAAUUGCAAUCAAAUGUAUAAUAAAAGCAUUGAGAAGACAUUACCUUUGAGCCUAAAUAAAUAGUCAUUAUUCAUAAAAAANNNNNNNNNNNNNNNNNNNNNNNNNNNNNNNNNNNNNNNNNNNNNNNNNNNNNNNNNNNNNNNNNNNNNNNNNNNNNNNNNNNNNNNNNNNNNNNNNNNNGAAUUAUGCAUAUAUGAAAUAGAUAAACAUUACAAUAAAAUUUUGAUAAGAAUUAAAUUAAAUUAAAAUAAAUUAAAUUUGCAUAUUCAUGAAAUUGAUAAGAAUCAUUACUAAUAAAAAUUAAAAUUGAAUUAUGCAUAUAUGAAAUAGAUAAACAUUACAAUUACAUUUCCAUAUGAAUUAGAAAAUAUCAAUUAAACUAUAUAUAACAAAUAAAAUUUAAUUAUGCAUAAUAAAAUAAAUUUUAUAAAAGGUAAGACAUACCUUAAUUAGCCUUUGACUUGGAGUUAAUCCCCUUCACCACCAAAUUUUCAAAAUAAAAAAUUUUUGCUAGAUCAUAUAAGAAUUUUGAUGUAUGAAAUGAAAUGGAAUGUGGGUAUUUAUAGGAAUUUUUUUGGUCAAACUAGCCGUUGGAUGGUCAAACUAGCCGUUAGAAAUUAAUUUUAACCGUUGGAUCAAAAUUUGGUUCAAAUUUCACCAUUAGAUCUUCAUAUAACCGUUGGAAACACUCCAUAGCCCUUGGAUAAAGUCAAGAUUGAUUUUCCACCAUUGGAUCACAAAUCUGACCGUUGGAGGCCUUUACAUACACGGGUGAAAUCUGGGCCAUCAGAUCCUCAAAAAUUCAAAAUUGGCCGUCAGAUCAAAAGCAGGGAAUCUUCAAAAAAAUCGCCGAUUUUUUCAAAAAAUCGCCGAUUUAUCGCGAUUUUAUCGGCAAAAAAUCGCCGAUUUUUUCAAAAAAUCGGCGAUAAAUCGCCGAUUUUACCGAUUAAUCGCCGAUUUUUUGCUGUCCUCUGCCGUCUUCGCCGCGCGUGGCUCCACUCGCCGAUGUUUCGCCGAUUUUUCGGUCCUCCACCGAUAUUUCGCCGAUAUAUCGGCGAUUUUGCCGAUUUUUGGCCGAUUUUUCCGUCAAUCGAUAAUCGGUGCCGAUUAUCGUUUCGAUGCCGCCCGAUAACCGAUAUUUCUCCGAAAUAUCGGCGACAUUUUCCGAUUUUUCAAUCCAUGCUUUUAUGAGAUGUUUAUGAAAAAAAAAAUGUCUUAACUUUUACUAAGGUGUUUGUUUUUGGGAAAGAAAAAAAUCUCAAAUAAUAAUAAUUGUGGGAUGCUCACAACCGUCUAGCAUGAUCCUUAUGUGUCGUCAAGUGUGAUGCCUAUUUUAUGCAAUCGUCAUGUAUCUGUCUACCUCAAAAUGCAAACAGACAAAUCAUCGAGGCACUAUACAUUCCCACCAGUCAAGUAUUAAAUACAACAUAUAUUAAGUGCAUUAAUUGACAUAACCAUUACUAAGCAUAAAACAUCAUACUUCCAAGACUCAAAAACUAGUAAUCAUUAACAUUAAAGAUGGUAAAAUUGCAAUCAAAUGUAUAAUAAAAGCAUUGAGAAGACAUUACCUUUGAGCCUAAAUAAAUAGUCAUUAUUCAUAAAAAAGAAGGUAUGUUGCCACUUUUCCAAAAAAUCUCUUGCUCAAGUUUUUUACAUCUGACUUAAGCUUUGAAAGGAUGUAUCCGAAAAACUCAUCCAAACAUUCUUUUGUGCAAGUGCAAUCGGUCGUCUACAUCACGUGGAGGCUAGCCGGAUACUUCAUUAUUGGUCAUGCACCAACAAUAACGAUAAUAAAUCUGAAAAAAAAAAAACAUUUAUGUGGACAAGUCUAGUUGUCAAUUAAGGUUGAUGACAUGACAAGUAACAAUGACAUUUUAAGGGAUAAUUAAAUGACUAAUUAAAAUUGCAUGUAUUUUAAUUUUUUUUAAAUAAAUAAAGAUAAUAUUGAUUUAAAAAUUUAGGUUUCUUUUUUUCCAUAUAUUUUCAUAUUAGUAAGUCAAAACUCACUUUUCCCUUAAAAUUAAAUUCAAAUUCUUAUUAUUCAAGGCAUUACAUUAGUUUGGAUUUAUCAAAUAUUAAAUAACAUAUAAAUUAAUAUUAAUCAUAAAUUCUCAUAAUAUGAAUCAUUGUAAAAGAGUAAAUUUAUGAACAUACAAAUUAAUAUAAUUGUAGGAAAAAGUGAGUAUUGACUCACUAAUAUGAAAAUAUAUAGAAAAAAUAACCUCAAAUUUUUUAAAUCCAUAUUAUCUUCAUCUAUUAAAAAAUAAUUUGAAAUACAUGCACUUUUUAAUGAGUCAUAUAAUUAUUCCCUAAAAUUUCCAUAAAAAAAAAUGUUGGUUACCAAUAAUCACAUCAAGAAUUUUACAUAAAAAAAUAAAAAAAUAAAAACAAAAAUAUAUUACUUUUUUAUAUGUAUCUCUAUCUCCUGAAUUGAAGAUGAAAUAAAAAAACAGAAGAAUGUCCUAAACAAUCAAGGUCCUUGAAAUUAACCUCAACGUACCCUAAUGAAAAAAAUCCUACAAAGACCUUGGAAAAAACCAUAAACCUUAUUCCCUGCAAACUCAAACUCACCUAUAGUCCGCUAAGGUUUUACCUACUUUUAAUUUCCACACUCUUCAAACUACCUCACUUUUGCUACGAGAUAUUUGUUUAUAGAAAAAAAAAAUUCAACUUUUCCUAAAGGGUCUUUGCUUUUAGAACAAAAAAUCUCAAAUAAUAAUAAUAAUAAAUAUCUAAAAGGAACAUAAAUAAUUACGUGGAGAAGUCUAGUUGUCAAUUAAUGUUGAUGACGUGACAAGUAAAAAUCAAAAUUUAAAAAAUAAUUAGAUGACUCAUUAAAAAUUGCAUGUUUUUCAAAUUAUUUAAAAAUAAAUGAAUAUGAUAUCAAUAUACAAAAUUUAGAGUUCUUUUUUUCCAUAUAUUUUCGUAUUAGUGAAUCAAAACCCACUUUUCCCAUAAUUAUAUACUCAAUUUAUAUAUUAGCCAUUGUUUGAUAAAAUCUAAAAUUAUUUUUAUGAAACCAAGGUUUGGUUCAUUGCGAUUUUGAUGAUAACAAAACAAGGUUUAGAACUAAUGAUUUUAUUUCAAGUGUGAUUAGGCAAGAUGAUUUCCAAAGUGGUAAUCACAAAGACAAAUCAAGUCAAGGAGAAAUUACGAAGAAGAAGACCACCUCAAAGAGAAGUGUUUUUCAAGACCUAAGUUUCAUAAGAUCUCUUUAUAAAGUUGUUGGUGUACUAGGAUUUUCAUACAUUACAUUCUUUACUUAUAUUCCAAAAUUAUCCAAGAGUUAUUUUGUUUUAAAUAUUUUAAAAUUGGAUGAUUUCAUGUUUUCAACUCAAACCUUGUGUCAAAAUGUUUUUCAAACUUGUUUAAAAGGUUUUAAAUUGAAAAAGUUGGUUGUUAAGCCAAAAACAGCUCAAUCGGAUGAGAAACCGAUCAACCGCCAGCUCAACCGGUUUAGGAGCAGGUCGACCUCCAGUUCAAUCAGUCAAGGGUGUGAACAGUAAUUGGUCGAUCGCCAGCUCAAUAGGUCGAUGGGUGCAAAAAACUUUAUCUCUCUUCCAAAAUGGUUGUUCAACUGGAUGAGGAACCAGUCGACCCAUACCUCAACCGGUCGAGGACCAAUUGAAGUCCAAUGGUCACCUACCAAGCAUUAAAUGCUAAUAACUAGUCAACCGGUCGACCCCCAACUCGACUGAUCGAACCCCCAAUGGCUAGUUUGAUUUUUUUUCCUCUAUAAAAAGGCUUCAAAUCUUCAUUGUUCAUGAGUUCAACUUUCCCAAACCUUUCUUGAAUAUAUUUGAGUCUUGGAAGAGUGUUUUGAGUGCACCAUUGUUCUAAAACUUGCAUAUCUUUAGUGCACCAUUCAAUCCUAGUUUUCUUAUAUCAUUUGAGCUUAAAGUUUUUGUACUAGGAUUUUGUAAGAUCAAUUAUUUAUAUAUCUUUGAGAGGAAGAUUCUCAAGUGUAGGGUAUCACUUGAGAGGUUGUUUAAGAGUGGGGUAUCUCUUGAGGAUUAUAAAGGGUGCUUAGAACCAAAAGUCCAAAAUAGUGAAUUGAAACCAUAAUCCAAUUGUAUCGCUUAAAGGCUUGGUUUGGAAGCCUUGAAUUAGUGGAACCUCAAGCUUGGGAUUGAAGCUAGAGAAAAAUGGAUGUAGGCUAGGUUGCACCAAACCACGAUAAAAUCUUGUGUUUGCAUUUUCUCUUCCCUACUUUUUUACUUUAUAUGCAAUUAUAUUUAUAUUGUUUUAUUAUAUACUUGCAUAUAUUUGUCUCUUACAUUCUUAAAAAACAUAAAUCUAUUUUUAAAAACUAUUACCAAGCAAGCUCUUAAUUCAUAUUUUCCACAUUUUAGGGUAAUUAAUUCACUUUCAUUCUCAUUUCUAUCAUAUUCAAAUUCUCUCAUUCCACACUCCAGAGCUUUUUCCAUAAAAGAAGAAUGGUCGUGGGUUUCUCAUUUUUUUUUUUGUAUGAAAUGUAAGAUAUUUCACUUUCAUUUCCAUUUCUAUUACAGUCAAAUUCUCCCAUUCGACACUCCAUAGCUUUUUCCAUGAAAGAAGAACCGUUGUGGCAAGGUUUCUCAUUUCCUUGUAUGAAAAGUAAGAUGAUUUCACUUUCAUUCUUAUUUAUAUCAUAUUCAAAUUCUCUCAUUCCAGACUCUAGAGUUUUUUCCAUGAAAGAAUAAUGGUCGUAAUCAGAUAUUAAAAUAUCGUGUUUCAGUGGACCACGCAGUAGCUCAGCCAACCACUGGAGUAAGCUUACCCCUUGUUAUAUAUACUGUAUCAAAUAUAUAUGGACUAAAACUCAUCAUAUAAACACAAUAUUAAAAUAAUAUUUUAAUGAACAAAUUAAUUAUAAUUAUUUUAUAAUUAAAUGAAAAAAAUCAUUUAAUUGAUUGCCAAAAAUAUAAAAUUAUCAUGAUAAUUUUCUUCAUAGUGUUUUUAAUAUCAUUAAUAUAUUAAUUAAAUAUUAAUAUAUAUCAUUUAUUUUACUCAAUUGUUAUUCACAACACUAUUUUUACUAAUGCAACAUUUUACAUUCCUAAAUUACCCUCCCUUAUUCCUUCCCCCUCUCUCUCCUCUCCCCUCUCUCUUCCCCAACCUCGCAUCCCAAUUGCACCCCUUUUUGAAUUUUUUUUCCCAAUCCCCACCCCACAUUUUAGCAUUUUUUUUCUUUUAUUUUUAUCUUCCUUUUCAUCUCUACAAACCCAACCCCCCAACCCACGUAAACUUCUUUUUUUUCUUUUCAUUUCUUUUAUUUUUUCACACUCAAUUAUUUUUCAUAUUCUUCUUAUAUUUUAAAACAAAAUAAUUUCUUUAAAUAAUAAAUUAUAAAAUGAUUUUAUUAUAUUCAAUGUUUUUUUAAAUUUGCAAAAAUAGACCAUCACCUUAUUCGCCCUCUUCUAGGGUGAUUACCAUAGGUUGGAUUAACCUAAUAUUUUUAAUAAUUUUUAAAAUAUCAAAAUCAAGCCCUAGAUAACUCACCAUUAAAAAAAAUAUUUAAUAAGUUAUAGAAAGUUCCUUUUAAUAUAUUUUUAUGGUAUAUGGUAGAAUUUAAAUAAAAUUAAUUCCAAAUUUUAAAAAAAAAAAAAAAAAUCAUUUAUAAAAGUUAUUAACCAUUAAUAAUUGAUAGUGGUUGGAUUAUACCAAAAAAAAAAAGGUUGUAUUUGUCUUGUCAUUGAUAUUCAUAAUUGAUAAUAUCAUAUAUUAAAAAUUAUUAACCAUUAAUAAUAAAUCAACACUGAUUAUUAAUUAUUUAGACCAUUUUUAUGAAAAAAAAAAUAGUGAAACUUUUAAAUUAAUACACCAAAAAUAGUUUUAGAAGCAUAUAGAGAAGAUUGAGAAUAAAAUUUGAGUUUUGUUGUGUUGUUGUUUUAGUGUUUUAAGUUUUAAAACUUGAGUCAAGUGAUUGUUAUUUGCUUUGUUUGGUUGUUGAGAAAAAUAGAAGAUUGAGAAUGAAACUUGAGUUUCAUGGUUAUUGCUUUGGUGUUUGAAGUUUUGAAACUCGAGAGUUGAAUGGCUGUGCUAGUAUAUAUCCUUUUUUGUAUGGAUUAUAACCAAAGCAUGGUGAACACACUUGUGCACACAUCCAAGAAUAUAUAUAUAUAUAUAUAUAUAUAUAUAUAUAUAUAUAUAUAUAUAUAUAUAUAUAUAUAUAUAUCAAAUUUGAACAACUGAAUAAUGAAAUUGUAUUGACCAUACAAAGAUAAUGAACAAACUAUGUAAAGGGUAUACAAGGCAAAUCAUGGAUUUUGAACAACUAUGCAAGACCGUUACAUUGACUAUAUAGGAUCAAUGAACUAACUAUAUAAAAAGUAUACAAAAUAGGACAUGAAUUUUGAACAACCAUACAACACAAUUGCAUUCACUUUAUAAGGCCAAUGAACUAAUUAUAAAAGCAAUGUAUUGUUUACAACUUAUUUUUAUCCCUCCUCGAAAUACCUCAAAGGUUUAUGACAAUAAAAAGAAAAAAAAAGUGUUAUUUUUCUUUUUCAAAUUUUAAAAAAUCAAAUAAAUAUAAAAAUAGAUUUUUAUUUUUUAAAGAUAAAAUUAAAAAGGGAAGAAAAAUAUGAUAAAUUUAAUUUUUUACCUUCCAAUUAAUUUGUAAAUAUUUUUAAAAAAAAAGGGAAAAUUCNNNNNNNNNNNNNNNNNNNNNNNNNNNNNNNNNNNNNNNNNNNNNNNNNNNNNNNNNNNNNNNNNNNNNNNNNNNNNNNNNNNNNNNNNNNNNNNNNNNNCCUCUACUCUCCUCUCCCCUCUCUCUUCCCCAACCUCGCAUCCCAAUUGCACCCCUUUUUGAAUUUUUUUUCCCAAUCCCCACCCCACAUUUAAGCAUUUUUUUUCUUUUAUUUUUAUCUUCCUUUUCAUCUCUACAAACCCAACCCCCCAACCCACGUAAACUUCUUUUUUUUCUUUUCAUUUCUUUUAUUUUUUCACACUCAAUUAUUUUUCAUAUUCUUCUUAUAUUUUAAAACAAAAUAAUUUCUUUAAAUAAUAAAUUAUAAAAUGAUUUUAUUAUAUUCAAUGUUUUUUUAAAUUUGCAAAAAUAGACCAUCACCUUAUUCGCCCUCUUCUAGGGUGAUUACCAUAGGUUGGAUUAACCUAAUAUUUUUAAUAAUUUUUAAAAUAUCAAAAUCAAGCCCUAGAUAACUCACCAUUAAAAAAAAUAUUUAAUAAGUUAUAGAAAGUUCCUUUUAAUAUAUUUUUAUGGUAUAUGGUAGAAUUUAAAUAAAAUUAAUUCCAAAUUUUUUAAAAAUAAAAAAAAAAUCAUUUAUAAAAGUUAUUAACCAUUAAUAAUUGAUAGUGGUUGUAUUAUACCAAAAAAAAAAAGGUUGUAUUUGUCUUGUCAUUGAUAUUCAUAAUUGAUAAUAUCAUAUAUUAAAAAUUAUUAACCAUUAAUAAUAAAUCAACACUGAUUAUUAAUUAUUUAGACCAUUUUUAUGAAAAAAAAAUAGUGAAACUUUUAAAUUAAUACACCAAAAAUAGUUUUAGAAGCAUAUAGAGAAGAUUGAGAAUAAAAUUUGAGUUUUGUUGUGUUGUUGUUUUAGUGUUUUAAGUUUUAAAACUUGAGUCAAGUGAUUGUUAUUUGCUUUGUUUGGUUGUUGAGAAAAAUAGAAGAUUGAGAAUGAAACUUGAGUUUCAUGGUUAUUGCUUUGGUGUUUGAAGUUUUGAAACUCGAGAGUUGAAUGGCUGUGCUAGUAUAUAUCCUUUUUUGUAUGGAUUAUAACCAAAGCAUGGUGAACACACUUGUGCACACAUCCAAGAAUAUAUAUAUAUAUAUAUAUAUAUAUCAAAUUUGAACAACUGAAUAAUGAAAUUGUAUUGACCAUACAAAGAUAAUGAACAAACUAUGUAAAGGGUAUACAAGGCAAAUCAUGGAUUUUGAACAACUAUGCAAGACCGUUACAUUGACUAUAUAGGAUCAAUGAACUAACUAUAUAAAAAGUAUACAAAAUAGGACAUGAAUUUUGAACAACCAUACAACACAAUUGCAUUCACUUUAUAAGGCCAAUGAACUAAUUAUAAAAGCAAUGUAUUGUUUACAACUUAUUUUUAUCCCUCCUCGAAAUACCUCAAAGGUUUAUGACAAUAAAAAGAAAAAAAAAGUGUUAAUUUUCUUUUUCAAAUUUUAAAAAAUCAAAUAAAUAUAAAAAUAGAUUUUUAUUUUUUAAAGAUAAAAUUAAAAAUGGAAGAAAAAUAUGAUAAAUUUAAUUUUUUACCUUCAAAUUAAUUUGUAAAUAUUUUUAAAAUAAAUAGGAAAAUUCAAAUAUUGCAAUUGAUUUUUAAGAUAAAAUUUGAAAACAAAAAAUAACAAUAACUUUCAUAUAACAUAUAAAAACUUUUAGAUACUUAAACCAAAAAGAUAAUGGUAAUAAAAAAAAAGUUAAAAAAAAAGUGAGGUUUUAAAAUUUAAUCCCAUCUCAAAUUCAAAAAUUUUUAAGGAUAUAAAACAAGCCUAUAUUUUUUAUAUGAAAAUUUUCAUUUUUUUAAGUUAUAAAAAUUAUUCUCAAUUUCUCCUUUUAAAAAUAAUGAACAAGAAAUGUAUUUAAAAAAAACCUUAUAUUGAAAACUUUUUAAAUGCCUAAUAAUUAAAAAAAAAAAAUUCUAAAUUUAAAAAUAAUAAUUUAAGUUUUAAAAUUAUAAAUCGUAUAUGGAACUUCUUCCCAUUAAAUAAUUGCUUACUUAAUUAUCCCCACAUGUGAUUUUCUAAAAACCCAAUUAAGGGUAUUUUGGGCAUUUUUGGCUCACAAAAUAUUGGUACGUCCUUCAUAGUAAUUUGGAGACCUGCUCUACCCCAUCACAACAAUUAUACAAAUUCAUGGUCUUUAGGGUCAUUAUCACCUUCAAGGCUUCAAUCACCCUUCGAUCAUAGCCGGCUGUAGGUGCAAUUUGGUCUCUUCUCAAUUUAUUAAUCACACAGGACAAAGUCCAAAAUCAAAUAUAUUCUAAAAAAUAGGUAGAUUCUUGGCAUGUGUAUCAGGAAUUUUACUUUUCAUAUGGAAAAUUGUGAUUUAUGGAAUGCGUGAUGGACUUUAAAUCCUAAAAAUAAUAAUAAAUAAAUAAUGAAAAAUAAGGCAAUUGUCUGCCUAAUUAUUGAAUGAUAAAAAUAAAAUAUUUUGUCACAUCUAUGGAAAGUUGACUUUGACAAUUACACGAUAGAAUAGGUCAAGCCCACUAGAUUUUCAGGAAAGUAGUAAGUAAAAAAUAAAAUAAAAUAAAUGAUAUUUUAGUAUUUUAUUGAGCAUAUAAAAUAUAAAAUAAAUUCAAAUAUAAUUAAAAUUAAAUUUAUGUAUUUUAAAUUUAUUUAAUUUUUAUAUAGAAGAGUUAAAAUAAAUUAAAUAAAAUUUAAAAAUAUAUAAAAAUAAUUUAUUAAGUUUAAAUUAUUUUUAUUUUUCUUUGCUUUCUUUGACUUCUGUUUUUACUCAUUAUUUUAUUACCAUAAUUUCCUCAAAAUUUUCAAAAUCCAAAUGCUUAUUGAAAUUUAUUAGUACAAACUUUGAAAUUUUGGCUUAUUUAAAUUUGAGUGCAGAAGAGGUCAGUAAUGUAGGGACCCCCCAGGACAUGUGGCACGCACCUCUAUUCGGGUCCCCCAAGGGGGGUAUACGACACUCUCAAAUAUCAUAUCCGGGCGAUGCUUUAUCCUAUCUGGACCUAUUGUCCGGAUCAUUGACUGUAACGAGCAAGUCUUGCUGAGUCAUCCCCGACAGUCUGCCACAACCCACGUUCCGUCGCCUGCAGAGCGAAAGAACAAGAGCGAUGACAAGUCACCUCCCACGAUCUUUGAUGAUGACCCUGCCACCACCUUGAAGACAUCAUGACAAGCCAAAAAGUUUUCCCACCAUUAAAGAGGGGAGCAGAGUUUCUGACAUUAUAUAAAAGGGUCUUCACACAAGGAGGAAGGUAAGCCUGAGAUCCUAAAAAAGCCAAUAGUCUGAUCUCUUAAGCCAUGACUAACAAAACCAUCGGAGGGUGUGUCCGGACAUCUUUUGCAGGAUCGACUGAGCCAGAACUCCUUCUUGGUUGAUAGCACGCGUCCACUUGGCAGCAGCAGGGAUCCCUGGGACACGAGGCAUCAACAAGUAAUGGCUCCUAAUACAUGGAAUAUGCAUAUCCCACCAUUUUUUAUCCUUCAAAUUCUUAUAUUAACACUUUCACGGUUCUUAAUUUUUAGCUUUUCUAUGUCUUAUAUGGGUAUAUUAGGCUAUGUAGUUUAAGAUCGACAAUUUUGUUCUAUUCAUUUUAGCUUAAAAGUGUCCAAUAAUAUGCUCUAUAUUAAACCUCUCUCAUGUUAGUAGCUUCAACAACAGUGAGUCAAGUCCGGGGGACAUGAUAGACAAACCCAUAUGACUAGUUCACAUUAUCAGGUCCUCUUGUACUAUAAUUAUGAAUGAAAAAAUAGACGUUUCUAGAAAUUCAUGGGGCUUAGUUCACUGGAAGUUCUUAUUUUUCUUGAGUCCAGAUAAAGAAAGAUUUGAUAUCUAGAAAUUCAAAAUCUUCUUGUCUUCACGCUUUCUGAUCAAAGCAAGUACUAAUAAAGAAAACAAUCAGAGCAUGACAGAUGUUGAACUUAAUAUUGUCUAGAUUCACCGAGUCGAUGAGGUUUUGAGCUUGAAAGAGUGAGUUCAAAUCCACAUGUCUGGAAAUUUGGAAGGCAGUGAUUCUACAAUUCAAAGUCCUAUAUCCACAUGUCUGAAUCUGAUCAGCAGGAUACCAAUGAAUGAGCACCAAGUUUAAGUAACUACUUUUCUUCAUGGGUCAAGCAUGGAACUUAGAAAUACCUCUGAACUUUCUGAAGAAGGCCAAAACUUCCCUUUUUGCUAGCUCAAGUCUAAAUUUAAGAGUGUUGCAAACCCUGCUCCUGAUACACGCUUGUUGGUUUUGAAAACAUACUAUUUUCAUGUUGUUACCGUGUCUUAAUGUCUUCAGCCACUUAAAGCAGAGACUGAAAGUGGAGCACCAUACUAGUAAGCAGGCAAUCAAGAUGAAAGAAUUGCUUAAGGUUACAUUAUUGUCAUGAAUUUAAGUUACAUAAAAUUGGGAGAAAACAAAAUACAAGAAUUUAACUAGUAUUAUCUGCUCAUUGCAGAGCUUUGGAUACUCUCUAACAGCCUAUACAUAGAACAAAACCAUUUUGUUCAUCUUACAACCAAAUGUUGAACUGAGAAUGUUACAUAUACAUUAACCAACCAUCUUUGAAGAACUCGUGCUUUUACCGCCUUUGGAAGUUAAAUGCCUUAAUGGCAAAGGCAAAGAUAAAUAAGAAAAGUACUGUAAACCCAACAAUCACAGCUGCAACCACUCCUAGAAAAUCAUGUUCGAAUCCAAAAUAGUCAUUCAAGUAUUGUUCCACUGUGUCACCUGUGUCCUCAAAUCUGUCCUGUAUAUCUCCAAACUGUGAUGUAACCAAUCCAUACAAAGUCCAUGCAACUGGACAUGCCCAAUAGUACCAUCUCCACCACACAGGAAUCCUCUGUAUUCAUCAUGGAAGAAAUGCAACAAAAUGAGUCAUUUCCAUAUCCAUGUGCUAAAGAUAGUUGCAAUUUAGAGAAUAAUGAGUUGAGAGAACUUACUGUUCGAGGAACUAUAAAACCUGAAAAUAGGUUCCAUAAUCCAUAAAAUGCUGCAGCAACGAUGGCAGCAAUAUGUUGAUUUGGUGUGGCAGCCACAGCCAUCAUGCCAUAAAAGGUGAAGUACAGUAAGGUGAAGAACAUGAAGAACAGAUACCAGAAGAACUUAGCAGCUGUCCAUUCAAAUCCAAUCAUUGCAUAAACUAUAACACCAUACACCACAGCUUGUGCAAAGACAUAUGGUAUCUCAACUAGAGCCUGAAACAAGAGAUGAAAUUUGAUUAAUAAAACCCAUAAAGUGUUAGAGAUAGACAGUCCAUAGCAUAAGAAAACUAGUUACCUGUGCAAAGGCAUAUGGCAUAGCUGAAUACAUUCCUGCAGCUCUUUCUCUGUAAAAGACUGUCCGUUCAACUGCAACGACUGGCUGCACCGAUGAGGAAUUUUGAACCCCAAGGAAGAGAACAGCAGCAUACAUAGAACCCAUUGCAUUACUCAAAUCUUGUUGUUUUUUCCUGAAUUUUACCAUGUGAAGUAUGAAUUAAAGUUGAUACAGAGAAACAUACUGAGUUCUCAAAAUCCUGUACUGGGUUCAAAUUACCUUUUGGUGCCGAGAUCCCAGAACAUUGUCCCAAAUAUCAAGGCUAUGAAAGUUGUGAAGAAAAAUCUCACUGCCGUGUAUGGUGGAUUGCGCCAAUAUGACCUACGCUGUUUCCAUAAGCAUGCCAUACAUUGGGUGAAGAAGGACUGGGAGUAUUGAGUAGGGAAAUAGAGGUCCUUUGAACCAGGGGCAGGUUGGCUCAAUUCUUUAAUUAAAUCUUUGUUUCUCCUGAAACAUAUGCCACAUCAGAAAAGGCUUCAAUAACCAAUUCAAGCUUGCAUGAUGAACAUUGAGAUGUGUAUACAUGACAUUUCAAUAUCAUAAUGCUUUCAGAUAACCUAUAGUUGAAUCACCUGUAUAGGUCCGAAUUUUUGUAUAUUUCAGUGAAAUCCACCCCCAACAAGAAUUCUUGUGCCGAAGAGGUAACUUCCAGCAUCCAAGUUGCAGGGUUAUAACCAUCUUUGAUUUUACUCACUCCUUCAAUUCCCUUAAUGAUAGCAAGUCACAUGUAUUAGUAAGCACUUGAUAUGAAUUAACUCAAACUAAAUUAUUUGCUGCUUAUAGCUUUUACUUUAUCAUGGCAGCUUACCUGAAAAUACUUUAUCAGAUGAGAAGAAUGUCUACCCAGUGGUCCCACAUAUAUCUCUUGUCCUCCUCGCUUCAACAGGAGCAACUGCAAAUCCAUUUUAAAUAUUUCAGUACUUAUAUGCAAAGCUCAUAGAAGGGAAACUAUAAAUUCUUUCUAUCCAUUAACAUUUCCCACCUCAUCAAAGGCUUCAAAGAUGUCAAUACUUGGCUGAUGGAUGGUGCACACAACUGUUCUUCCUGUGUCCACUGUGUUCCUGACUGUUCUCAUAACAAUUGCAGCAGCUCUUGCAUCUAGCCCUGAAGUUGGCUCAUCCAUGAAUAUUAUUGAGGGAUUUGCCACAAGCUCAACUGCAAUGGUCAGCCUCUUGCGCUGCUCUGUUGAGAGACCAUUUACACCUGGCAACCCAACUAGUGAAUCCUUCAAUGGGGUCAGUUCCACGAGCUCCAUGACUUCCUCAAUGAACAUCUGUAACCAUUAGCAAGGAUUAGAAAUUGUUUAAAAAAACAAUGCAAAGCCAUAGCAGAGAUGGUAAAAAAAUUGACACUGCUUGUGACUCUUUUCAGUUAGCAGGUUGUGAACAAGUUUCUCUAGUCUUAUUAAACAGAUCAGUUCAUGGUUGCCAAUGCUCAAUAACACCUAUUAGCAUGCAUGAACUUCACCAACUUGUAUUCCAGGUCAACCAAAUUUGAACCAGCACCUUUCCCCAGGGUGAAGGUCAAGCCAAAUUUGAACCUGAUCUAAGCUCAACCAAGUUUGAAAAAUCAAUUCUAGGGCUUUACUUGUUCAGAGCACUCAAUUGAAUAAGACAAAUGUGGAAAGAACUCAGGAAGCCCUCACCUUUCUAGUUUUAGAAUCCACAUCAGCAGGCAACCUCAGCCAAGCAGAGUAGAGCAAGGACUCAUGGAUAGUAACAUGAGGAGAGUGGAUGUCAUUCUGCUCACAGUAUCCAGAAAUUCGAGCAAAAGUCUCUUGCUUCUUUGGGUAGCCAGAAAUGUUGAUGUUACCCUCAAUAUAUCCACCAGUUUUCCGACCAGCCAGUACAUCCAUGAGAGUGGUUUUACCAGCACCGCUAACACCCAUCAGAGCUGUAAGAACACCAGGCCUGAAAGCACCACUCACCCCCUUUAGAAGCUCCAAUCUGUCUUCAAGGACACCCUGACUUUUCAUUUCCUACAAAUUCAAUUCAAACAACUUAGUUCUCAUUUUUGGUUUAUUAGUGCUGCUAAAGCAUGUACAUUAUUUGCAUUAACAUGGAGUUACCUCUGGCAUGUCAACUGAGUAUCUAAUAUCAUCAAAGGUGAUAGAAAGUGGUUGGAAUGGAAGAACCAUUCCUUUUUUGUUGUUACGUCUAGCCUCAGCAAUGGCUUCUGCCCUCACAGAUGAGGAUGUGGAUGAGAUGCUUCUCCCAAUUUCGUCUCUCCUCUCUGCAUGUUAAGUUUAAAAUUAGUGAGCCAUGUAAAACAUGUGGUUAAAUGACAAGAACAAAGGCACACAUGCACCAUGAAUGAGUUUCAUCACCUGUGGAUGCAGUUUGGUCAAUCGAGCCUCGUCUAUGGGAUGAUAACUCGAUCUUCCCUCCAGUUUUGGAAUUCUCAGACUCUUCUGUUAUAACAGCUUGAGGCUUCUCAAAUGCUGCACAAUUUGCACAAAUCUUAGUACACUAAUCUCCAAUAUUUUAGGAUUUUCAACACAGAGAAUGUAAGGAUACCCACCAUUUAGGUAAGUGAGAGCCACAGUGUAACAGAAGUUGAAGACUAAAAUGAAUCCAAGCAGUGCCCCAGCUCCUAUCCAGUACCAGUAUGCCUCUGUGAAGAACCCGCGAGACUUCAAUACUGCUACUCCAAGGGAUUCUGUUGAAUCGGUUGAAGAAUUCUGAAAAAUGGAAAUACAUUCAAUCAUCAGUUACUGACACAAAUAAACACAAAUAUUCACAUGAAACAUUCAUAAACUUACUUUGCUCCAACUCUUCCCAAGGAAUUCAUUUACCACUAUUGCGUUCUGUGCAUACAUCAGAGGGGAAGACCAGUAACCCCAAAUCCACCAUUUCUUGACAUUUUCUACAGCAAUGACCAAAUACAAGAAGGAAACAAAAAUUCAUUAUUAGGGUUUAUGAACAAGAAGGUCCUAGUUUCCUAAAAAAAAUCUUUCCUCCUUAUACCUCGUGACAGGACAAAACCACCCAAUGCAAAGAGCAAAAGUAAUGAAAAUGACCCAAAUGUGUUUGCAACAAUCAUGUUUCUACCAGCUGCUGCAAUAAAUCGAAACAAUGCAGAUGCCAUCUGAUUAACAAGCACGAGGAGAAGAUAUUGUUUAAACAACCUGCAAUAAGAAGAUUUGUUUAUUAGCAUUGAUCAUUUUGGAACAAAGAAAACAUUUGAAACAAAUCUGGACAUGUUUCUUUUACCUUCCCACAUUUGGAUCAAAUCCAAUGACAUAAUAAGACAUGAACACCCAAACAGCAACUUCAACAAAUGUGAUGGGGAUCUUGAGGAUCCAUGAGGGGAGUGCAUACGCCCAUGCAGGGUAGAAUAGUAGGCCUCUUUGCUUGUAAAAGACAGGAAGUUUUGCAAUGGUCAUGGCAAGUUCUGACAUUCCAUUAAACAUGAUCAUGACAACAGUGAAGAACAAAGCACCCGUGUAAAUGCUUCCAUCAUCUGUUGAAUUUUUGUGCAUCUCAGUUCUUAGGAAGAUUGUCAUGGAAAUUGCUGCCAUUAUUAUGAGCUAAAAGAAGAAACAAAAAUAAUAAAUUACGAUCAAAUGUACAAAAUUGAAAGCCAUUGUUAUAAGUAACAACAAUAAUAAUACUCACUUGGGUGAGCUUGAAAAUAUAGACAAAUGAAUUCCUCUUCAUCAGCAAGUACUCUCUUGAGAUGCAAGCAUCCAACAGUUCCUUCUUUCUAACACCAUAUUUUUCAGUUUUCAAAGCAGCUGGGUGGCUUUUGGUCUUGUCGAAUGGAGUUGCAAGCUCAUGUCCUAGUUUCCGUCCAAUGUGAAAUGACUGGAAUGCCUCGGCAAAUUCCUUGACUGUGACAAAACUGUAAGGCUCAUCUUUACGUGCCCAAUACUGCUGCUGAUCUUUCCUAGAUGUUACCUGUAAUGAAUUUUAAAAUUCAUGUUCUAGCUUGAUUUUUUCUAAAGAAGGAAAAAAAAAUUGAGAAGAUGCCUAAAGGUACAAAACUAUUAGCACUCACUUCUUGUAGGAAGUCUGCCACACCCUUCCUUUCAGGACAUCUGAAGCCCAUGGAUUCAAAAAAGUCAAGAACGUCUUCACGAGGACCCUGAUAAACAAUCUGGCUAUCAGAGAGGAGAAUGAUGUCAUCAAAAAGAUCGUAAGUCUCAGGUGCUGGCUGGAGGAGAGAGAUGAGAGCAGUCCCAUUGAGAAUGUGGAUGGUUUGCCUGAGAGAAUUCACGAUUUGAUAAGUUGUCGAGCUAUCCAACCCAGUAGAGAUCUCAUCCAUGAACAGUGCCUUCGAUGGUCCAACCAGCAUCUCCCCUGUCAUUCAUAUAUUUCACAGUUGAAUUAACUUAAAUUAAUGAACGAAAAAAUCUAAUUUAUUUUAUUUGGUUGGAAACCAAAUUAUCCUACCAGUUGUGACACGCUUCCGUUGUCCUCCAGAGAUACCCCUUAUCAUUUGAUCUCCUACCAAGGUGUCUGCACAGACUUCUAGUCCCAGAAUCUGUAAAUUUAAGUGUAAAUGAAAAUAAACAAAUUAUGACUUAGAAUUGGGUUUUCUCAGAAAUCUGCAUUCCAUCAUUGAAAGUUCUAUGGUUAUGAUACCUUCAGUGUAUAGUCAGUGAUUACAUUCUCCUUCUGGCCUUCCGUUGCCACUGCCUGAAAUAUUAAAAACCAAUAAUGUAAAUCUCACUCACCAUCAAACCAAUAAGUACCUUAAGAAAUUCCAAGGAUAAGAGAUUUUGCUCUGCAGAACUGGUUAAAAUUUCACUCAAAGUAGCUUCUGUCUCACCUUCAUGAAGACAUCGAUAUCAGGAUCAGGCUUAAUAUUUGCUGCCUUCUCUCUUCUUGAGAGCUCUGCUAACAUGUCUGCGAAUAGCCAAAUAAAAGUCAACCUCCUGGCUUAUGCAAAUUUCAUAUAACUAAAUUCACAAGCUUCAAAAACAAAGAAAAUAAAAGUAAAAGGCAAUGAAUGGUUUAGACCAACCAUAUCGAUCUCCAACACCCUGGCAUCUUGCAGAGAAGGCCAAGGUUUCCCGUACAGUCAUUUCUCCUAUAUGGGUAUCAUGUUGGCUGAUGUAGGUUGCAGUUCUCUGGGGUACAAAUUCAUUCAUGCCAUGACCAUUGUAUGUCACCUUUCCCGUAACCUAAAAGCAGGAAUUUCAGUUUCCAAAUUGGAUAUGAGAUUAAACAGCUAAAAAUUGAAUAUUCAUUAAAGAACAAAAGCAAUAAUUUUUUUUUCAUUCAACCUUUAGACUGGAAUCAAGCUUUCCGGACAAAGCCAAUAAGAGAGUGGUCUUUCCAGAACUUGGAGGACCCAAAAGCAAUGUCAUUCUGCAGAAAAAAAAUAUGCACAAAAGAUUGAGUAUGGAUCUUCAGGAUAUUCUAAAUUGGAGAAAGUAAAAAAAUCCAUUUGAUAGAUAUAUAUAUAUAUAUAUAUAUAUAUAUAUAUAUCUCAAUUAAUUUUUUUACAGAAAAAAAAAGAAAAAAAAUCAUAUUCUCACCUUCGAGGUUUGAUGAUUCCACUAACAUCGUGAAGAAUAGUGAGUUUCUUCUUUCUACUCGGAAGAAUCCGAAGAGUGUUCAAGAUAUCCUUUAAAACAGAAAGAAAAAUUAUAAUCUAAAAACAAACUUUCCCAAGAGAGUAUUUAUUGCUUAGCUAGUGAUCUGUAUUUGCAUUUUAGUUACCUCAAUUUGAUUAAAAGCAGAAUAAAUGAAUGAAGGCAAAGCUCUGCUUCCUACAUGAGCUUCUGCAUCAAUGGUAAGAUGCUCAAAUCUAACUUCAAUUUCGGGAAGAUCAAUCCCAACUCUGAAAAAUGAAAUAGACAUGCAAACCCAUUACUAAAAAGUCAAAGGAAGAUGUUUGGUUGUGAAGAAAAUGCAGGACUAUCAGUCACAUUUAAGGUGGAUUCUUUCUUUUCCACUGUUUUCAAUGUUAAAAAAGAAAAAGAAAAACGGCAAGAAAGGCAAGAGAAGAGGAGAAAUCGCACCUAUCUAUGCGAUUCCUGAGCUUCAACAAGAACUUCUCAUUGUCCUCUUCGGCAAUUUUCACCAACCGCUCCACUAAAUUCUUCUUUUCCUGAAACCCAAGGUUGUGUAUAUCAACUUCACUGGCCUCACCCGCCGAACCCAUCAGCAAGCCUUUCCUCAUCCGAUUGUAGGUGGGAAGUUUCUCGAGGGCGGCCCAUUUCAAAGCUUCCUCAUCAUCUUCAUCCCUCGAAGAACGGGAGAAAACCUCCUCACCAGAGUUCCUCCAUAUGGAAGAACUGUCCUUCCUUAAACUACCACCGGCUCUAUAAAUUUCACCUGUUGCCAUUGCAACACGAAACGAGGAACCCUCCUGCAAAACCCACCAAAACCCAGAAACCUUUCCUACAAAUUAGGGAGAACAAACCCAAAUUUUGAACUCUAGAGCUGAAAAGCUCAAAAUAAGAGAUGGUUCCCCUCCCGCUUUUCCCUGUGCAUGCAAUUGAUUCCGUCUCUUUGUAUUGCUAAAACUUUGUUGUAUGUUGGAAAAACACGAAGAAUGGAAGGUUUAUAUACUGAUUGGAAGAACAGAAAAAUGAGGCCACCCAUAAUUUUCAAGACUACUAAACGUCUUCGUAAUCGCAAUCGUAACUGCUGUUGUAUGCAAAUGCCACGAUGUUUGACCCUUCAAAGUCUUAUUUCACAAUUCGUAAUUUUCAGAUUUCCAGUACCUUGUUUGUCAAGGAACUCAAUAAUCAUUAAAUGUUUCCCAACUGCCAAACCAACUAACUUUCCCGCCCGCCGAAAUUGCACUGUGAAAGAUUUAUAGCAUUUUAUUUAUACUCUAGUUUAAUGACAUGAGACUUUCGGUUUGGAUUGCCUAUAUUAUUUUUAGUAAUUUACCUUAUAUCUUUAAAAUUAUUUCAAAAAAAAAACCCAUAAUAUUAAUUAUUAUAUAAGUUGGAUUUAUUAAAUAUUAAAUAACAUAUAAAUUAAUAUUAAUCAUAAAUUCCCAUAAUAUUAAUAAUUACAAAAGAGUACAUUUAUCAAAAAUUAAAUAAUAUAUAAAUUAAUAUAAUUGUAUAAUCAAUUCUAAAUUACACAUUAUUUAAUUAAAUCUAAAAAUAUUUUUAAAAUAUCAAAAUCAAGCCCUAAAUAACUCACCACUUUUUAAAAAAUAUUUAAUAAAAUAUCAAUUAUUUAUCUUCUUAUUAUUUUUUUAUGAUAUAUAGUAGAAUUUAAAGUGAAAUUUUAAAUUAACACACCAAAAAUUGUUUUAGAAGGAAAAAAAAUAUUUUUUUCUGAUAAUAUUUUUUAAAAUAUAUAUAUUUUUAGUCUAAAAUAUUUUUAAAGAAAAAAUCAACCUUUUGAUCAAAUUUUAAAAUAUUAUUAAAAAAUAAAAAUUAUUUAUAAUAUUAAAAAAAUUCAAAAAAAAUAUUUUAAUAAAAACAUUUUAAGUAGAAAUACUAUUUCGUAAGAUACAAGAUAAGAAUCGCACAUAAAAGCAUUAUAAAUUAUUAGAAUCGCAUCGCAUAAAUCAUACUAAAUCUAACAACUAACCAAACUCAUCCUCUCUAAAUUUCAAUUUGGUCUCUUCUCAAUUUAUUUUUGGAUUGCUUUUCAUCUAGAAAUAGCAACCACAUAAAGCAUAGGCCAAAUACUCUAAAAAUAGGUAGAUUUCUCAUUUCUCACAUGUAGCAUCUAGAAAAAAAAACCGGUAGGGUUGGCAGAAAUAUAGGAACCACAUAAAGCAUAGGACAGAUGUUAUAAAGAUAGGCAGAUUUCUCACAUGUUAGCAUCUAGAAAAAAAAACGGGUAUGGGCUGGCAGAAAUAUAGGAAGGUGGUGGUGUGUAACCAAGACUUUCAUUAUCCAAAUUCACAUUCUUAUGGGAAAAACGUGAUUGACUUCGACACUUGAAAAAAAAAAAACAAUGGAAAGAAAAAGGGAAAUCAUCUACCCAAAUACUUGAAUGAUGAAAUCAAAUCUUUGAUCAUAUCUGCUAGUUUGGAAAGUUCAGUUUGACAACUACAUUGAAGAAGAAAAAAAAAAUUAAAACAUUACAGGUUGUUUGUGAUUUAAAAAUAAUUUUUAAUUUUUUAAGAUUUUUAAUAUUAUUUUUGUCAUUAUUUUUCGAAAAUAAUAAUAAUUUUUAAAAAAUAAGAGUUAUUUUUAUCGAUUUUUAAAAAUAAAAAAAAAAUAUAGAUCUGUUUGAUCAUAUUUUCUUAAACUUAUUUUUAAAUUGAUUAAAAUAAAAAAAUAAAAAAAAUAUUAAAAAUACAUAUAAAAAUGGUUUAUUAAUUUAAAAUAUUUUUUAUUUUUUAUCUUCUAUUUUUUCUCAUUAUUUCAUUUUCAUUUUCCACUUCAAAAUUUUCAAUAUUCAACUAUUGAAUUCCGUACACUUUUUUUUUUAAUGAAAAAGAUGAGUUUUGACUUUUGACACUUUUUCAAAAAAGAUGCGUUUUGAUCCCUUCCCUAUAAUAAUAAAAAAAGAAAUAGUAAAUUUAUUGACGUCACUCCAUGCAUCAUCUUCCUUAAAAGUACAAAUCGUCCUCCUCUUCUUCUCUUACUAUGUUUUUUUUUUGUUUUCAAUUUAUUUAAAGAAAAAAAAAAAUCUUUGGUGUCCGGUGGAAUCAAUCGAAUGAACGAGUGGCUUCUAUUAUUACAAAUUUGAAAAUUUGGCUUAUUUUAUUUUUAAAUAUAGAAAAAAGGCUACAUGAUAACUCCAUAAUAUAUGGAACAUGCAUAUGCCACCCUUUUUGACCCUUCAAAUUCUUAUGUUCUCCGUUCAUAAUUUUCACGUGUGUUCAAGGAAGUAGGCAAGCCUACGUUAAACAAUAAAAAAGAUGUUUUAAAUUUUACCAAAAAAAAAAAAAGUCAAAGGAUUUUUUCAAAAGAAUCUUAAGAAGUAAUUGGACAUCUCAAUAAGAAAUUUUUAAAACUAUAAAUGUAAAAUAUUUUGUUGGCAUUUUAUUUAUAAUUUAAUAAACGUUUUCAAACUUUGGGUUUUUGGAUUACAUGUUUGGAUUAGUAAUUGAAAUGUUGGGAAAUAUCAACGAGGUUCGCCAUGAAUAUGGGAUCAAAAGUCAAUAAACGAUGUUUCAUUAGUUAAGGUUGCUGGCUCUCUUGGUCAAACUCCCUAAAAAAAGUUUAAGUUCCAAAAGGUUUGGGUUGAAGCUUGGCUACCACUAGGGUGAAUUCAAUUAAUAUAUGUGCACAAGUAUAUAUUAAAAUCCAUUAUUAAAAAAAUAUUUUAAUAAAUAAAUUAAUUCUACUUAUUUUAUUUAAUUGAUUACUAAAAUAUAAAAACCAUCAUUAUAAUUUUUUAACAAGACUUUUUUUUAUAUCAUUUAUGUGAUAAUUAAAUAUUAAAAAUAUAAAUAGGAUAAAAAAAUGCAUAUAAUUUUGAAUGUUUUUAUUUUAAAAUAUUGAAAAUAUAAAUUUAUUUGAAAAUUGUUAAAAUAUAAUAAUAAUAAUAAUAAUAAUAAUGAAGUUCUAAUAUUUUAUAAAUUAAAAUUAAUUUAAUAAGAUAAAUUAUUAAUAUAAUUUUAAUUAUUUAAAUAAAUCAAUGUCAAUAGCAAAAAGUUGUCACCAUAAGUAAUAAAAUUUUAAAAAUUAAAACUCAAAUAAAAUAUUUUAUAUAAGUCUUAAAAUGUAGUUAAUUUUUUUUAUUUGAAAUGUAAUAAAAUUUUUAAUUUUUAAAAUAAAUGAAUAUAAAUAUAUUAAAGGAAUUUGAGAUCAUUUUUUCUAUAAAAAAAUUUGAUAAAUAUUGUCCUUGACCAUACCUAUGUUAGUUACACCUACAAAAUAACUUUAACAUAUGUUUUUUUACUUAUUUUAUCAUUUAAAACUUUUUUAAAUAUUUUCAUGAAUUUUGAACAAUUUUCGUCUUAUCGAUAUUUCUGAUAUAUCCAUAAAAUUCAAAUACUGAUAUAUUCGUAAAAUCCAAUUAUUGAUAUAUAUAUACAUGUUUAUAGAUAUUUUCAUCUUUGCUUUGGAUGCAUUUUUCUAUUUUUUGUUUUUAAAUAGAAUACUUUAAAUGUAGAGAAAAAUAUAGGAAUUCUUAUAUAAAAAGUAGGUACAUAUCUUGUAUACAUAAAAACACUUUUUAAAUUUUAAAUAAGUAAACAUUUUCACUUCCAAAAAAUUUUAAAGUUUUGAAAAAAAAAUUAAAAUAUAAAGUAAAUUUGGACUUUUUGUAUAAGAGUUGUUAUAUUUUAUAUAGAAAUUUUUAUUUUUAAAAAUAAAAAAUAAGAAGUGUAUCUAAUAGCUAGACACCUAAAGUAUUUUUUUUACAAUUUUAUUUAUACUCUAAUCUAAUGUUUAUAGAUUGAGUUUGUAUUCAAGUUUAUAUUAUGAUCGAUAUAUUAAGGGAUGAAGCUAAAGUAACUACCGAAAUGUUAUUUAGGUGAGAAAUUAUAAAAAUUAUGAUUGUAAUAAAUAUUUGAUAAAUUUUCAUAAUUUAAAAAGUAGUUAACAAUACCCCUCAUUAUUAUUAAACAAAAUAAAAAACAAUGGACAUUAAUUAUAAAAAGAAAAAGAAAAUAUAUCUUAUAUCAAAUUGAAUAAGAAAAAUAUUAAAUACAUUGGUCAAGAAUAUUUUAGAUUUUAUAAAUAAAAAAAAUCAAAAAAUUAAAAGAUUUUUUCUUCAAAAGAAAUUUAAAAAAAAAAAAGUUAAACAUUUCAAUAAGAAACUUCUAAUAAUUUUGUUUUAUUAAAAAAAUCCUAAAAAUAAAUUUUUAAAAAAAUCAAUAAUUCCACUUAUAAAUUUCUUCUCUUUUUCAAAUAGCUAAAGAUAAUUGACUGAGGAAACCUUUCUAAAAAUAUAGUUUGGUGAACUCCACAAGUAAACUAUGAAUAACUAAGAAGAGUUUCGGAGUUAUUGUUUGUAAUUUAUAAAUAUCAUAUUAAGUUAUACAAUUUUUAUAAUUAAAGUUAAAUUCAAUAUCUCGUAAUUUGAGUCAUUACAUAAGAUUGAAUUUAUCAAAUAUUAGAUAACAUAUAAAUUAAUAUUAAUCAUAAAUUCCCAUAAUAUGAAUCAUUACAUAAGAUUACAUCUAUCAAAAAUUAAAUAACAUAUAAAUUCAUACAAUUUUGUUGGCAAUUCUAAAUUAGUGAUUAUUUGAUUAAAUCUCAAAAAAAAAAAUUAAAAAGUCAAAAUCUAGCUAUAAAAAAUUCGCCACUGAAAAAAUUUAAUAAAAUAUUGUUAAAAUAACGAGAAUAGGUAAUUUAAAAAAAACACUAACAGACAAAAAACACAUAAAUUUACGUGAAAAACUCUAAAUGAGAAAAAACACAAGUAGAAAAGACAGAAAUCCAUUAUAUCAAAAUAUUGGUAUAAGAGGGAAAAGUUGCCAGCAAUUACAGAAGAAACAUAAUUAUCCUAAUCCUAAAACUAUACAUCAUCAUAAUCCUCCCAAAAAUCUCAUAAUUAUAGUUUCACUACAUAUGUUGUACCACAAGGUUUUUGAAUCGGAUUAAAUAGAAUUCGGAUUACCAAAUUCUAAUAAAUGUCAACGAUAAAGUUACAAAAAAUUUAUUUAUUAUAAAUUUUAUGGUAUAUAGUGGGAUUUAAAUAAAAUUAAUUAUAUAAAUUUUCAAUAAAAUUAAAUAAAAACAAAUAAAUCAUCGAUAAAACCUAUAUACAUUCAUAUUUAUUUACUUAUUUUUUUUAUUUUGAUCUUCAACAAGUUUUCAAAAAUAAAACAUUCAUUUUUUCAAAUAGAGUUCAAGUGUGACCAUGAUGCAUAUCACCUUUAUGAGAAUUGCAGGCCCACACUCAAAAUUUUAAAUAAAUAUUUUUAAAUAAUAAUAAUAAUAAUAACAACAAAAAGAAUAAUAAUUAAAUAAAUAAAUAUGAAAUGGGAAUUUCGGAAAAUUAUUCUAAAAUGAAAGUUUUAAAAUUAUUUGAGAAAUGGAAUUAUGAAAGGAGUUUUGGAAAAUUGGAGUUAGGAAAAUUGUUAAAAUAAUAAGAAAAUAAAUAAAAAGUCAAAAUCUUAAUGGGGCCAUGUGCCAAAGUGACCACACUUAGAGGUGGGCCAAGGUCGAAAAAGGUUUUCAAAUGAUGUUUGAACAUCCUGGCAGCCCAAAGAAAAAUAAAACAAAAUCUUGCAACGUGCACAUCCAUGAAUUUACAUCUGUGGCCCCACCAUUCAAUAUCACCGCCAAACCAGAAGAAAACCCACAAGUCCGCAGGCCGUCCUAUGCCAUCAGCAAUAAGCACAAGCUCUGAUUUCUCAAAUUACAAAAUAGCCCCACGGAAAGAAAUUCAAUUUCGAAUCUCCACCAAAAACUCCAAUAAUUGCCUAUCGACUUCACCCAAACUGCAAAACACUAAGGCUAUGUUUGAUUUCCGGAAAGUACGAAGGAAAGAAAAAAAAUGCUAAAGAAAAUGAUUUUCUCAUAUUUGAUUAUCCUAUGAAAAAUAUCAAAGAAAAUAAAAUAUAAUUAAAAUUAAUUAAAAAUUUAUAUAUUUUUAAAUUAUUUAAUCUUUAUAUUGAUGAGUUAAAAUAAAUAAAAUGAGUUUGAAGUAACAAAAAAAUAAUUUAUCAACUUUUAAUCUAUUUUUUUAUUUUUCUUCACUUUUUCUUUCCUUCUAGUUUUCCUUUGUAUUUUCUUUCCCUCGUAUUUUCCCUCAAAUUUUCCGGGAACCAAACAUAGCCUAAUAAUUCAACCACCCUCCAGACCACGCGUAGACGCUCCACUUCCACAUAUUUUGGCACGUAUUCUGUCAAGAUUAUUGGAUGCUGCCCAUGAGGCCUGUUAAUUAGUCGAAUGGUUCUCAACCGAGCCUAAAGCUUUGUCGAGUCAUAACCAGCUUCCCCGUGUUGUUGGCUCUCAGUGAGGGAUACUUCGGACUGAAGACCUCUCUACCAUAUCUCUCAUAAUGUAUCAUGGGCAGAGAAGCAAUGGAGAUUGGAUUGAUUCUUCUUGCUUUCAGGAGCUCUAUUAACUCCAAUUCCAACUUAACUGGAAAUUCCGAACCAAUAAGAGUUAUGGGACCCGUACCCACACCGGAAUUUUCUACUAUCGUCUCCGGAUAACACGCCACCGCAUGGGUCAAUCAGGUUCGUUUUGUAUGCUGUCACUGUAAAUACUCUGAAUAAUCCCCCAAAAAUCUCAUAAUUAUAGUUUCACUACAUAUGUCAUACCGCAAACUUUUUGAAUCGUACUAAAUAAAAUUCGGAUCACUAAAUUCUAAUAAAUGUGACAAAGUUACAAAAAGUUUAUUUAUUAUAAUUUUUAUGGUUUAAGUGGGAUUUAAAUAAAAUUAAUUUAAAAUUUUUCAAUAAAAUUAAAUAAAAACAAAAUAAAUCAUCGAUAAAAACUAUAUACAUUCAUAUUUAUUUACUUUUUUUUUUAUUUUGAUCUUCAACAAGUUUUCAAAAAUAAAACAUUCAUUUUUUCAAGGGAGAAUUAUCUUUUGGGGGUAGAUGGGCCCUCAAAUUAACAAAAGGUUCAUAUAACUCUUGAAAUUGAGUUGAAGGAUAUGAAAUAAUAACGGACAAAUAUACCCUUUAGGAACACAUAUAAAAUAUUUUAUAAAAUUAAGUUAAAUAAUUUUUUUUCAAUAACUUUUUUUUUUUCAAAAAUACUAAAUUAAAUAAAAGUAGUUUUCAAAAAUAUUAAAUUAAAUAAUUUUUUUUUUCAAAAAUAUUAAAUUAUUUUUUUUUCAAAAAUAUUAAAUUAAAUUAAAGUAUUUAAAAAAAUAUUAAAUUAAAUAUUUUUUUAAAUAUUAAAUUAAAUAAAUUUAUUUUUAAAAAAUAUUAAAUUAAAUAAAAGUAUUUUAAAAAAUAUUAAAUUAAAUCAAAAAUAUUAAAUUAAAUAAAAGUAUUUUUCAAAAAUAUUAAUUUUUUUCUCAAAAUCAACAAAGGGUAUUUUUGGAAAUAUUGAAAGAUGAUAUCCUUCAACUCAAUUUCUAUACUUUCAUUGGGUCUUGGGCUCAAUUUGAAGAGUUACAUGGACCUUUUGUUAAUUUGGGGGUCCAUCUACCCCCAAAACAUAAUUCUCCUUUUUUUCAAAUAGAGUUUCAAGUGUGACCUUGAUGCAUAUCAUCUCUAUGCGAAAUGCAGGCCCACCCUCAUGGUGUUCUCUAUUCCCUACUAAAAUAAUUAUUCCUUAGUGGAGCUAAAUAUCCCCAACUCAUUGAGGCAUCCCCAACAAUUGUCAUUAUUACAUCCUUUAUUUCCCAACAACUUUCAUGAAGAGGUAAAGGUACUUUGACAUUCUGCCUAAUAUAGCCAUGGUAAGGCUUCUUAUGAGCAUUUUGCAGUUUGGUUUGUGUAUGGGGAUCAAGCAACUUUUUAAUGUAGAGAAGACUAUACAUUGUGCUAGCAGAUUCUUCAAUGCAAACAUGUUAAUAUAAGAAUACAAACCUUAUAUUUUUAUCUACCAUAUAUUGAUAGGGAUAUUCCAAAUAGUUUCCAAUAUUCUAUAAGAUAUUUAAUUGUAAUGACAUAUACUUAGGAAUUUGAGAUACUUUCUAAUAAUUUUAGUCUCGUAUCAAAUUCAAUUAAGUUAAUCUUUCAUCUUUUCAUGAUACACGCUUUCAAAAGACUUGUUUUAACCAAAUUCUAACUCCACAUCAUGACCAAAUCUUUACUUCACAUCAUAACUUCUUUAUACGCCACACUCUCCUCAUGUGUCACAUGGUUCCUUUUGUGCACCUCAUGUGUCACAUGGUUCCUUUUGUGCACUAUAGUCUUAUCAUGUGUCACGAUUCCCUCGUGUGCUAUGGAUUUAAAAUCAUUUUUUUCCAUUUUAAACAUGUUAUUUCUUUAUAGCAUUUACUGUCUUUUUCAUUCAAGUUUCCUUUUCCUUUACUUUUAGUAGGACAUUGUUAUAAAACUCUACCUCUCACUUGGUCCGUAGGUUCCUUAUUACACUACCAACACACGCUCUAUUCAAAUUAUAGUCUAGUCUCAAUGUUAAUUUUGCAGAGUUAGACGAUACCCUUACGUGUAUUUCACCCUUGUUUGGAUGGCAAAAAAAAGUUUAGGAACUCACAACGAAGUAGGGAUUGAUGUUGAAUUUGUUAUGGGAUGAUGAAUAGAAUACUUUCCUUCUUACUCCUCUAUUCUACAUAAAUGCACAUACGGACAAGUUCGGUAUAAGUUUGUACUAACUCAAUUGGUAAGUGUCACUUUUUUAAUUAAUAGAUGUUGACAAUUUUGUCUUAAAUUAUAUAUUUUAGUUUUAGGAAAAUCGGUAUAUGUAGAGUUUAGCUUUUAGAAAACUCCCUUUUUAGGUUGACUAAGACUAGGAACUUAUUGUUUAGGAUUAGGUCUAUAAAUAUGUGGCCUACAUAGGAUUUUUUUAAGAGAGUGAAAAGAAAGUAAGUGCAUCCAAUUAAGUGAAAUUGUGUCCUUUUUCAUAUUUAGUAGAUUAUUUAACGUUUGAGAGACCACAUUUGUGUGACUGAUUUAUUUAUAUUUGCAUAAGAAUUUUACUCUCUUUAAAGAAUAAGUAUAAAGAGACAAACUUAAAAUAGGUAAUAAAAUAUUAAUUUGGGGAUUAAUUCAAAGACCACACCUUCUCUAUUUCACUUUAUUUUUUUACUGCAUUUGGAUGUUGUGAUUUUCCUAAAAAGUGGUAUCAGAGCCGUGCAGAGAUAAUGGAAAAAUUAUUUUGAUGAAAAUGUCUAACAUAAAAUAUAAUAUUGAGUUCUUUGAUGGAAAUAAUAAUUUUAGUAUUUGGCAAAGUAUUAUUAAAGAUAUUUGGGUACAACAAGAACUUCUCAAAGUGUCACAAUAAAAAAAAAAAAAAAAAAAUCAGAGAACAUGAAGAUUAAUUAGAAGCAAGAAUGGUAAGUGCUAUUUAUCUAAUUUUGAUUCCUAAAAUAAAAUACAUUUUUUAAAAAUGAGAGAUCUCUUUUUUAUUUAUGAGAAAAUUUAGAGAAAAUUUAUAAGCCAAAAUUCUUAACACAUAAAUUAUAUUUGAAGAAACAAUUAUAUGAGUUGAAGAUAGAUGAAGGAACAAAUGUUAGGAAUCAUACAAAUAAAUUCAAUAAAUGCAUGACUUAGUUAUUAAGGGUAGUGGUCAAGAUUGAUAAGAAUGAUCAAGCUAUUAUUUUCUUAGUGUCUUUACGAAAUUAUAUGAGACAUUGGUGAGUACACAAUUAGUUAGAAAGAUGAUAUUAACCAUUAAUGAUCUAUCAACUACCCUUUAAAUAUUGACCAACCAAGUAAUUCGUCUUGUACCGCACAAGCUUUUGUGGUGAAGUUUGAAUCAAAUCGUGAUAAGAGUAAAUCACAAGGAAGAUAUUAUGAUAUGAGGGAUGAUUGUUCUCAACCACACUUCUAGAGGGAUGUGGAGUUUUACUAUUGCCUCAAAAAAUGACAUAUCAAAAAGUACUAUAAAGAAUUGACAAAACACUUAGAAUCAAAGAGGUAAGCUAAAUUCUAGGAGACUUCAAAUUUUACUAAUAUUGUUGAUAAAAAGUUUGAUACAGAUAAUGUUGUUCUUUUUAUUAUAAUUGAUGAUUUUUUUUUUUUUUUUUUUUACUUUUAGAUUUUGGAUUUUGAAUGUUCUUUUCAUAUGUACCCAUAUUAUAAGUGGUUUGAUACCUAUAAGACUUGCGAUGCUAUUACUAUUAUAAUGGGCAAUGAUUCAAACUAUAAAGCUAUUGGGAUUAGUAUUGGGAAGGUGAAGAUAUUGGAUGGUGUUGUGAGGAUAUUGAGUAAUGUUAAGUAUGCUCCUAAGUCGAGGGGGAGUUCAAUUUCUUUGAAGACUUUGGACAAUUUCAACCAUGACUUUUUUGCUAAAGAAGACAUUAUGAAUAUUAGUAAAGGUGCUUUGAUAAUUAUGAAGGAAGAAAGGUGAAAAUUUCAUACACUUUGAUUGAGAAUACAAUUUUAGAUGCAAUUAUGAUGGUGAAGUCAUGCCAUGAAGUGUCUUAUGCUAGUGUUAAAGAAAUUGUCAUAGCAGAAGAGCACAAAAAAAUACUGGUAGUAGAUGAAAAACACAGAAGUGAGAUGAUCAAGGCUUUGUUUUUGGUUAAAAAUACUUAGUGGCACAAAGAUAAAGACUAAUUGAAAAAGAAAAGUUAUGAAAAAAAGAAUGUUCAUCGAGUCAAAGCUAAUGAGAGACUGAACUUGACAUAUACUUAUUCUCAUUGAUUAUGUGGUGGUGGCAAGGGGUGCAAAGAUGGGUAUCAAGGAAAAAUAACCCUACAUAUAGAUUGAGAAUUUGAAUCAAGAUGGAGAUUAUUAGUAAUUUUGACUUAAAUUAUUUAUUUUUUAUUUUUAGGAAAGCCAAUAUUUGUUGAGUUUAGGUUUUAGUAAAUUACUUUUUUAAAUUUGACUAGGAUUAGGAAACUUAUUUUUAAGGUUAGGUAUAUAAAUAUAUGGUUUUACAUUAGAUUUUAGGAGAAAGUGAAAAAAUGAGCGAAAAAUAUAGAAAGAUAGACAAAUUAUGUAUUGGGUUUUGGUAGAGUGACGUUGAGAAGGUUUGAGUAUAUAUUUUUUAAGUUACUAAUAAAUUUGAUCUCUCUCUCCCAUGAAAUCAUGUAAAUCUUUUAUCUUCUCUAUUUUACUUUAUUCUUUAUAUUGUCUUUGGGUGUUGCAAUUUCCCAAUAAUAGAAUGGUUUGAUCUUAUUUUGUUUCUAAGUAAAAUGUAAAUAAGUUAUCAGGUUAGCAAAUUAUUCAUAUACAUUAUUUUUUUUAGUCAUAUCAUCCAUGAACUUUUUCAAGGUGGCAACCUAUUUGGAAAAACCACAUUUGAUUUAAAAAAAGGAGAAUUGUGUUUUGGGCCAAUUGGGCUCAAAAAUUAAUCAAAGAUCCAUAUAUCAUGCACAUUUAAGCCCAAGACUCAAAUAAAGUGUAAAAAAUUAAGUUGAAUGAUAUUAUCCUUCGUUAAUCCCUCAAAUACCCUUAACACCUACAUAGAUAUAUAGUAAGUGUAAAUUUCAAUUUUUUUUUAAGUGUUUUUUUCUCUUUUCUAUUCCCAAUUAAGUAUUACUCAUUUCUAACUUUUUGUUUUUUCUUUUCUUUUUUAAAGAUAUUGAAUCUUUUUACUCUUAUUAUAAGUAAGGAUAAAAAAUCUUCAUAUAAAAUUUAAUGGAUAAUCAAUGAAUAAAAUUUAAUUCUUUUUAUUAUUUUCAUAUAAAAAAUAGUACUAAACAAGGGUUUCAAUUUUUAUUUUUAAAAAUAGUUUUCAUUUUUUAAUUAAAUGUUUUUUCAAAAAGAAAUAUAAAAAUAUAAAUCAUAUUACCAUUUUUUAGAAAGUAUUUUUUUUAAAUAGUUUUUGAACGUAAUUUUUCUUUAUUUAUAAUUUAAAAUAGAAAAUAAUGUUGAUUUCAAUUAUUUAAAAAAAAUUAAAAAAAAACAAUGAAAAAUCCAAAUGGUUAAAAUAGAAUUAUUAUGAUUGCAUGAAUCGUAGUGCUAUAAAGACCAAAAAAGUUUAUAUGAAAAGUUAAUGAGUAUUUUGAUCUUUUGAUAUCUUAUAUCAUUUCCAUCAAUUAUGUAAGUUAUAUGGACGAAAUCUUAAUUUUUUUGUCUAACUCGCUCAAAAUUCCAUUAUCCCUUUAAAAAAUAAAAUAAAAAUCAAAUCCUCCUUAAACAAAGGAAAGAAAAAGAAACAACAAAUCUUGAAGUGAGGUUUCAACAGAUCUUUGUUCAAUAAAGCAGCCAAGCAUUAUGGGGCUUAGUUGAAAGUACUCAUUUUCAUGAGUCCAAACAAUGAAAGAUUUGAUAUCCAGAAGCAUUCACCUAGUCAAAAAAUUUAAUGAGUUUUUCAGCUUGGUAGAGUCAGGUCAAAUCCACAUGUAGUGAUUCUACAAUUCAGAAUAUAACUGCUUCACUUGGAAAUGAUCAUCAGGAUACCAAUGCAUGAGCACCAAAUCUUCUGAACUACUUUUCUUCAUGUGUCCAGCGUAUAAGUAGAAAAUGGAUCAGUAAGUGCAGGCAUGGAACUGUUGGCAAUAAGUCUGAUCUCUCUGAAGAAGGCCUAAGCUUCCCUUUUUGCUAGUUCAAGUCUAUAGAUGUAAUAGUUCUUGGAAAUGGUAUCUGAUUUCAGACUGGUUGGUGUUGAAACCAUACCAUUUUCUUGCUGUCAUUGUGUCUUAAUGUUUUCAGCUACUUAAAGAAGAGACUGAAAGUGGGGCACCAUAGUGGUAAGUUGGUAAUCGGGGAUGAAAGAAAUGCUCAAGGUUGUAUCAGUCUUGAAUUUCAAAUUGCAUAAAAUUGGCAGAAAAAAAAAUACAAGAAUUUAAUAAGAUAGAUGUUACCUGCUCAUUGCAGGGCUAUGAAAACUCUCUAAUAGCCUAUACAUCAAACGAAACCAGUUUUUUUCAUCUUAAAAUCAAAUGUGGAACUGAAAAGGUUACACACAUAUACAUUAACCAAGAGUCUCUGAAGAACUUUUGCUCCGUGUGACUUCUUAUCGCCUUUGGAAGUUCAAUGCCUUAAUGGCAUAGGCAAAGAUAAAUAAGAAAAGCACCACAAACCCAACGACCACAGCUGCAACCACUCCUAGGAAAUCAUGUUUGAAUCCAAAGUAGUCAUUCAAGUAGUCUUUCACUGUUACACCUGUGUUUAGUUCUUCUGUUAUAUCUCCAAACUGUGAUGUAACCAAUCCAUACAAAGUCCAUGAAACUGGGCAUAUCCAAUAGUACCAUCUCCACCACACGGGUAUUCUCUGUAUUCAUCAAGGAAGAAAUGCAUCAAAAUGAGUCAUUCCUGUAUCCAUGUGGCUAAAGAAAGUUGCAAUUUAAAGAACUAUGGGUUGAGAGCACUUACAUUUCGUGGGACUAUAAAACCUGAAAAGAGGUUCCACAAUCCAUAAAAUGCUGCGGCAACAAUGGAAGCGAUAUUUUGAUUUGGUGUGGCAGCCACAGCCAUCAUGCCAUAGAAGGUGAAGUACAUUAAGGUGAAGAACAUGAAAAACAGAUACCAGAAGAACUUAGCGGCUGUCCAUUGAAAUCCAAUCAUUGCAUAAACUAUAAGACCAUACACCACGGCUUGUGAAAAGAUAUAUGGUAUCUCAACU
rnacentral:lncRNA from 1 species